rnacentral:lncRNA from 1 species
AAGCUUUAUAUUCAUAUUUGCCACUGCUUGCAGGGAAAGAAGGAAGAGCAGCUCAAGUCUUGUUGCUUUCACCAGUGUAGCUCUUUGUACGAUUGUUGUGGUUAAUUACCUUCAGCCCUGGGGGAUCUUUAUUGAUCUUGACUUAGCAAUUAUCUAUGUUAUAAGCAGUUAAUUAGCUGAUAAUCUUCUGUGCUUUCUAGUAUUAGAGUCGGAGUGUGGUGGUUUAAAUAUGGCAGAGUUGGAAGCUUGGUUGAACUUGUAAUGGUCGUAAGCUGUGGUCUAUUGUUACCUUCACUAUAUAUGUUGUAAUGGCUUCGACGUUUUCUGGCCGAGAUGAAGGACUGAAUCCUCUUGUUUUGUUUACCAUUUUUGCUGCUGAAUGAAGCCUGAGAUGUUUUACAGAGCUCGUGUGCUUGUAUUUUUUAGAGAGCUCUGGAAACCAUUGCUGCUUUUGUCAUUUCCUUUUUCUUUUUGAAAGUUCAGAUUAAAUCUUGAAACAAGAUGUGCGUUUGGAUCAAAUGUUGCCGCUGAAGAUUUUUGUUCUCUGGCUUUCAGUGCUCUUUUCUUCAUCCUUUGAUGAUGCACACUUCGGAAGUCUCAUGACUUAUGUUUUGGUCAAUUUACACAAAUGUGGAUCAAAGUUGUAGGGAAGCUGAAACAAUAAGUUAUAAUACUUGCUCUGCGUUGUACUGAACGAUGAGUUUUUUUUUAUGUAGUUUGAUGUUUAAAUGCAGUACAAAAUCUGAUUGGCAAGAUGGUUAUGCUUCACCUGGUACGGGAACUUAAGCACCUGGUACCCAAUACAGUAUCUUUUAGAUCAUCCGGAUAACUUAGUCAGCAGUACUAUGUAGACUGGUUUAUUUUUUGUGUGUGUCCCCUUUCUCAUCUCUGAAACAUGCAAUGUUCUGGGAUUUAUUUGCCUUUAUGCAUCGAGUUCAAAACUUGAACAUUUAGCAGGCAUUGAGCAAAGUAACACGAGUACCGCUUCCUCGAGGUACUUCAUAAACCAUCAGAAUGUACUCACUGUUUUUUUUUAGGGGAGAAGGUGCUCACUGUUAAAAACACAUACUCCUAACUAAAUUAGCACCUCGACGAGGUUCAGACAUGAGUUCUAAAACAUAUCUCUUGGUACCAUGCAGGUGCUCUAUGAUUAGAGAUGAAAGUGACCAAAUACUACAUGCUUUUAAAAUGGAAAUGUUGACCGCGCCUAAUGAAUGGUGAGAUUGAUUUUUCCUUGCUGGUUAUGAGUUAUAAGAUGCCCGUUGACUGUAUUUUCUCAAAUAAAAUAAAAUGAAAUAAUAGUGAGGCAUUUGCAUCAUAGCGAGGCAUUAUGUGAAGAUGCAAAUUAAGUUGGUGUAUGUGUACGAGAGUGGCUUGAUCAGAAUAUGUAGACAUCUUUUUGUUGCUCUAUGUGUACAGUAUUUUAAAAUAAAAUUGUACCAAGACUUUUGUAUCACAAGAAUUAUGAGACCUGUUUUUUAAGGAAUAGAAGGCAUUAUGUGAAACUGCACAAUAUUUUUAUGGACUGAUGAGACGGUGUGUAGUGAAUUAUGUGAAAAUGCGCAACAGACGGCGUAGAGGGCACUCGCACGGCGAAGCCCCUAGGAGAUGGGUAUUCCAGCAUCCUUUAUAGGAGUAACACCCUAGGUGGCCGCACACGGCACACCAACCUGAGAGUCUUUCAAUACUUGACAUGGAAAAUCUGCCUUUUGUUGUCACGUAUUAUAGCUUUGACAUUCUUGAGAAGCUUUCUCACACUGAUCUACCUUUGCCCUGAAAAUUUCCCCUCGAAAGCAUUAGACGCGACUCUGCAUACACAAACUCGCCCCGCCUUUCUUGUAAAGGACUCAUCAGAAGAAUGAGGAGAUUCACAUGUAAAGCCAGAUAAAUUGGGUGGAUCAACUGGAGGUCCCUUUGCAGCAACCCAUGAGGUUUUGGGGUACUGCUCAGGCUUCCAAUAUGUUCCAUCAGCAUUGAGUUUCCUCUCAAAGGCAAUACCCUCUUUCCUAGGGUUCCUAUUGAGGAUCUGCUUUUUAAGCACAUCACAAAGAGUCUGAUGCCCUUUGAGGCUUUUGUACAUGCCUGUCAUGUACAAUUCCUUCAGCCCUGCAUCAUCAGUGAUACUAGCAAUGUCCUCAGAUGAGGAAUUAGUGAUAGCAGAGACAGGUGAAGAAUUUGUAACAUUAGAAGCAUUUGAACAUUCUGGUGUAGAAUUAGCAGAUUCACGUUAAAUGCACUUCAGACAUGGCGGAUCAAAUUCUUCCUGAGUAGCGCUGAUUUGUUGAGCUAGUAAUGAAUCAUGCUCCUUCUGAAGAUCUUCAUAACUCACUCUUAGCUUCUAAAGAUCUUGCUUUCUUUGAAGAAAUUCAUAAGAAAGCUUCUCGUGAUCAGAUAAGAGAGUGUUAUGAUGACUUUGAAGAUUGUCAAACUUAGACUGAAGUCUCUGAAGAUUUUCAGUUAAGUUUUUAGUGCGAUCCAUUUCUUCACCCAACAUAUCAUCACUUUUGUCUAGCAUGUUUUGAAGCUUUUCAAUAGCCUUUUGUUGUUUCAUAGCAAUUUUAGCAAGUUUAGAGUAGCUAGGCUUAAGAUUUUCAUCCGAUUCAUCCUCACUUGAUUCAGAGGAGGGGUAUUUAGUUACCUUGGCACCCUUUGCCAUGAAGCAAUAGGUGGGAGCGUAGUCAUCAUUGCCUUCAUCAGCAUUGUUGGUGUUGCCAUUUUCUUCGGAGUUGAAGAUAGACUUGCUGAUGAACGCGGUAGCAAGAGCCAGGCUUGCCACACCAGACUCGGACUCCUCGGAUGCCUCCUCUUCCUCAUGAUCCUCAGAUUCAGCCUCAGAAUCCAUUGUCACGCCCAAGAUGCGGUCCUAUCCUAAAGGAACUCGAAGGUCCCACCAAGGAUAGAAGCGCAUCUUGAAGACGCUUUUGCAAGGUGGAUAUCAUUACAUCAACAUUACAUAAUAGUGGGGAUACAUACAAGGCAUACCAAUGCCGCAUGAAUACAUCAAUACAACAUACAAGAUCAACAUCCGACUACGGAUGAAUCAUAAACAGAAACUCAAACAACAUCCACCCUGCUAGCCCAGGCUGCCGACCUGGAACCUAUCCCCUGAUCGAAGAAGCAGAAGAAGAACUCCAAAACAAGCAAACAUCGCUCUCGCGUCAUGAUCAUCGCGUAACCUGUACCUGCAACUGUUGUUGUAGUAAUCUGUGAGCCACGAGGACUCAGCAAUCCCAUUACCAUGGGUAUCAAGACUAGCAAAGCUUAAUGGGAAAGGAAGGGGUAAAGUGGUGAGGUUGCAGCAGCGGCUAAGCAUAUAUGGUGGCUAACAUACGCAAAUGAGAGCGAGAAGAGAAACAAAGGAACGGUCGUCAACUAGUAAUGAUCAAGAAGUGAUCCUGAACUCCUACUUACGUCAGACAUAACCCAGAAACCGUGUUCUCCUCUCGAUCAACCCCGAAAAGAGACACUCACGGUUACGCACACGGUUGGUGUAUUUUAGAAGAGUUUACUUCAAGUUUACUACAACCGGAUAUUAACAAAUUCCCAUCUGCCACAUAACCGCGGGCACGACUCUCGAAAGUUUAUACACUGUAGGGGUGUCCCAACUUAGCCCAUGAUAAGCUCUCGCGAUCAACGAAGGAUAUUCCUUCUCCCCGGGAAGACCCGAUCAAUCUCGGAAUCCCGGCUACAAGACAUUUCGACAGUAAUAAAACAAGACCAGCAAGACCGCCCGAUGCGCCGACAUCCCGAUAGGAGCUGCACAUAUCUCGUUCUCAGGGCAACACCGGAUAAGCUAAGCGUACAGGUACCGACGUAACCCAAGUUGCCAAGGGAUGGUCCCGCACGGUGCUCUAGUUUGGACCAACACUUAGACAAGCAUUGGCCCGGGGGGCUGAAUAAAGAUGACCCUUGGGUUAAUUACUCCCAAGGGAAAUGUAGGUGGUGGUGAGGCAAAUGGUAAAACCAAGGUUGGGCCUUGCUGGAGGAGUCUUAUUCAAAGCGAACUGUCAAGGGGGUCCCAUAAAUCACCCAACCGCGUUAGGGACGCAAAAUCCGGGAACAUAAUACCGAUAUGACGGAAACUAGGGCGGCAAGAGUGGAACAACACCAGGCAUAAGGCCGAGCCUUCCACCCUUUACCAAGUAUAUAGAUGCAUUAAUAAUAUAAGAGAUAUUGUGAUAUCCCAACAUAAACAUAAACCAACAUGGAGCAAUCUUCAUCUUCACCUACAACUAGCAACGCUAUAAGAGGAGCUGAGCAAAGCGGUAACAUAGCCAAACAACGGUUUGCUAGGAAGGGUAACAACGGUUAGGGGUUCAUGGCAAUAUGGGAGGCUUGAAGAGCAAGCGAUAGAGCAAGCGAUAGGUAGCGCAACAUAGCGAUAGAACGAAGCAACUAGCAUAGCAAUGAUAGCAAUGAGAUCCAAGGUGACGGUCAUCUUGCCUGAAAUCCCGCUAGGAAGAAGAACGAGUCCAUGAAGAAGAUGAAGCCAUGAAGAUGAUCCAAUCGUAGACGAAUGAAUCCUCACGAUCGCAACAUAACGGGAACUAUCGAGAAGAAGCACACAACAUGGUAAACACACCACACAUAGACAACACAUGAUGCACAACCAAGCAUGAUGCAUGACAAGACUACAUGAAGCUACUCAUGGCAAGAGAUGAUGCAUACAAGAGCAACACCUCAAGGCAAGUUUAAAUGAGGCCGGAAACAACAUAUAACAAUUCCGGUAAGUCCUCAUAUGCAAAUUUCGAAAUUGGUCCAGAUCUGAAUAAACCUUAUGUUCAAGUUGUUAAACAGCAAGUUAAGAUGCACCAAGAUGAUCUACACGAAAUUCUAGUCAAGUUACAUAUAAAGUUCAUUUAAUUCGGAGCUACGGCCUAGAAGAUAUGAGCAAAACGAGUUAAGCAUGGCAUUGAUGCAAAAUGCAUACAAACAUCAAUCAAACACCUCAAAACAAGGAUGCAACAUGAUAAUAUGAAACUACAUGCAAUUCUAAGCAAGUUUCAUAUAGGGCACACUCAAAACGGAGCAACGGUUCAACACAUACACUCUAUACAAGACAUAACAACAAUCUGUCCAAAACAGCAAGUAGGCAUCUAGCAAGCAUCAAAACAACAUGCUACAGCACCAAAACAUGAUAACAAAAAGCAUGGACAUGAAGUACAGGUAAAGCAUGACAAAACAUGAACAAUGAGCUAUCUCCAGAAAUCACUAGAACAUGCUCAAAAGGACAUGGCAAGAUUGCAAAUAAUAACAGGUUCACAGACUUAGCAGAAUUCACAGGACAUGGCAGAAAUAACAUCAGGUUAGCAUGUUUAGAGCUAUGAAGCAACAUGUUACAGCAAGCUAUCAUGUCAAACUAGAGCAUGGCAUGAAUCUACUCAAGGCAUAUAACAAACGUCCCUUACUGACCAUGAGCCAAAAGGGAUCAGAAAAUACAAUUGCAAGCAUGUGAAUAUAGCAAAAACCAUAAACAGAUUCAGACUUGGUGAAAAACUGGAGCAUGGCAUAAACAGAUAACAAGUAGGCAUAUUUACAAGCUCGAUGGACUCACUACGAGGCAUUGCAUGAUAAAUUAAGCACACACCCAGCAACUAGACAUGGCAUAGAAGCUAUACAUGGCAAGAACAACAAUAUAGCAUGCAAGGAUCAACUACAACAACUUUGGCAAAAUCGAAUAACAUGUAAACAAUCUGCCAGGAACAUUUUAUAGCAAAAGUAGAGCACGAAAAUGACAUGAUAGAUUACUCCAUAAUUGCAAACAAGGGCAUGGAUGGAUAGAGCAUAACAAUAUGUUCAAAACAUCCUUACUGAAGUAUCUCAAAAUAUGCAUGGAUCUCUCUGUAGAAACAUGAAUACAUGGCAUCACAAUAACAGCAGAACAAGGACUAAAAUCAGCAACAUCACGAAGCCUAGUUUGCAUGCUUGUUGUAGUCACCACAUAGAUCACAAAAAUACAUGGCAUACAUCCCUGGAAAGAUGGCAUGGCAUAGUUUAAAACACAUGUAGAGCUCAUACUCAUAGGAGGCACACAUUAAAUGCAACAAAAAUGACAAAUCAUCAUGUUAUAACAGUUCCAGCAGAUUAACAUCAUAUAGCACUCUUGCAAUGAUGAUUCAGGCAUCAAGAUGAGCUCAAAUGAAAAUGAUGCAAUGGAAUGAAAUUAAGUACUCGUCGAGAAGAACAAUUUGACAUAUUACACGCACGAAACGGAGCUACAGAUGCCGAGAUACAAUGUGAUGAACAUGGCAUGAUGAAGCUGAAAUAUUCGGGACAGUGAAAACGNNNNNNNNNNNNNNNNNNNNNNNNNNNNNNNNNNNNNNNNNNNNNNNNNNNNNNNNNNNNNNNNNNNNNNNNNNNNNNNNNNNNNNNNNNNNNNNNNNNNNNNNNNNNNNNNNNNNNNNNNNNNNNNNNNNNNNNNNNNNNNNNNNNNNNNNNNNNNNNNNNNNNNNNNNNNNNNNNNNNNNNNNNNNNNNNNNNNNNNNNNNNNNNNNNNNNNNNNNNNNNNNNNNNNNNNNNNNNNNNNNNNNNNNNNNNNNNNNNNNNNNNNNNNNNNNNNNNNNNNNNNNNNNNNNNNNNNNNNNNNNNNNNNNNNNNNNNNNNNNNNNNNNNNNNNNNNNNNNNNNNNNNNNNNNNNNNNNNNNNNNNNNNNNNNNNNNNNNNNNNNNNNNNNNNNNNNNNNNNNNNNNNNNNNNNNNNNNNNNNNNNNNNNNNNNNNNNNNNNNNNNNNNNNNNNNNNNNNNNNNNNNNNNNNNNNNNNNNNNNNNNNNNNNNNNNNNNNNNNNNNNNNNNNNNNNNNNNNNNCCGGCGGCGGGCGGACAUGUUCGGCGGGCGAGAGGGAGGUUGAUCUAGGGUUAGACCGGGAUUUCGGGGAGGAAGACAUAUUUAUAGGUAGAGGGAGCUAGGAGAGUCCAAAUGAGGAGCGGUUUUCGGCCACACGAUCGUGAUCGAACGACCGAGAUCAUGGAGGGGAGUUUGCUGGGUUUUGGGCCACUUUGGAAGGGGUGUUGGGCUGCAACAAAAGAGGGCUUUUGCGGUUACCCGGUUAACCGCUGGAGUACCAAACGACCUCCAAAUGGCACGAAACUUGAUAGGCGGUCUACCGGUGAUAUACCAAGGCCGCUUGGCAAAACUCAGCCCAUUCCGAGAAAGUUUAACACCCGCACACGAAAAGAGGCAAAAGGAGGCGCCGGGGGACAUAGGAGUGCCGGAUUGCAAAACGGACAACGGGGAAAAGGACCGGAUGCAAGAGACGAACAUGUAUGCAAAAUGAGAUGCAUAUGAUGACAUGAUAUGAAAUGCAGAUGAUGACGUGGCAAAGUGCAACACGCAAGCAAAUGACAUGGCAACGAUGGCGAAUAACUGACGGACACCUGGCGCAUCGAAUCUGGGGCGUUACAACUCUCCUCCACUAACUAGAGAUCUCAUCCCGAGAUCUUAGGACCGAGACGGAAGGAAAAAGGGAUGAGGUGAAGCAAGAACUCAAGAGAAGAUUCAAAGAAUCGAGAGCACUUGAGAAAAGGAGAGGACCGACGAGAAUGACGAGAAUCGAAAGCUCACGGAAUCAGAUAGACUAUGAAACCACUUCGGUUAGAAUGAGAUAAGAAAACGAAUAAGACUGAAAGGAUUUAGGCAGCACUCCGACUGAACAUGGAAGGAUUAGAACACGAGCUCGAGAGGAUGGAAUGAUACUUGAUGAAGACAUGACACAAAAACCUCCGGAAAGAAUUGAAAGAGUUGAAUGAAAAGGACGGAGAAGAAAAUGACAACUUGUGCCACGAAUGAAAUAGAAAGCAACCUUAGGGGAAAGGAUUGAACGGAGUUGUUGAGAAACUCAACAACGAAAAGAAUAAGCUUGUUGUGGUCUUAUAGGUAACAUCUCAAAAUUAUGAGUGAUAACCGGCCACAAACGAAAAUGAUUGGAUAGCUUAGAAGAACGAAGAAAUGCAAAACUCCACUUCAAAAGAAUGCGGAGAAUCAAUUGCACCUCCCGAAGCAAAAGAAGACAACUUGAGCUCCUCCAAAAGACUUGAUGAACACUUGAAGAAUGAAUUAAAUCAUGACGAACCACCGUGAAGAUCUCCGGUAACAGAAGGAUGACGAGAUAAAAUUGAAGGAUGAAAGAAUAAGAUAAAAAUCUUGCGAUGAUUCCGAUGGAGGUUCCGACAAAAUGGCCGAGAAAAUUUGAACUCCGGAAAGGAAAAGAUGAAAGCACUUAGAACUAGAAUUUAUUCAUCAAGAACAAACUCCGAAGGAAGGGGUUAAUCACUACGAGGAAAUAAGAAUAAGAUUUAUUGUAUGCUUAUCCUUCAUCAAAUUAAAUUGAUGACAAGCAAUGGAUUUUGCACACUACUUAUUCUUCUUGAAAAAGGAUUGAGAAGUGACAUAUCGCAAACUUGAGAAGGUCUUCAUGAACCACCGGUAGGAUUGAAAAGAACGAAUGAAUUAAAAUGAUAAUCAAGGAAAAUAAUCUUGAACGAACCACCGUAAGAAUUUGGAAAUGACUGAUGAAAGAGAAUGAAUCACCGGGAAGAAUUAGAAAAACCAAUAAGCUAGAGGGGAUUUAGAUGCAAAAGACCAAAGAGAUCAUGAGCUGAUUAAAGAGCACUUGAACGAAGCACCGGGAUAAAUAGCGAACAAUAACUGGAAUGAUGGCCUCCGGUGAAAUGAAAUGGAAAAACAACUUCUGACAUACUCCGGAUGGGUAAGAAAAGAAUCUCUGACAAAGGAAUAAUUCGAGAGGAUAACAUGAAGCUAGAACCACGAAUCCUCGAGAGAAUGGACAAUAUUUAGAGGAAAAACUCUUCUUUGGUCUUCAAAUGCUGAGAAUGAUGACGAGAAACACCACCGAAAUUUGUUAAGGCACUCCGGGAGAACGAAAAGCGAAGAGGUUGAGGCAACAAUGAAAAGAAUUUGCAAGCGAUCCCGGGGAAGGCCUGUGACUGCUGAAAUUUAUGCUUACGUCAAGCUCGAAAAAGAAUUAGGAAUGGCUCCGGAAUAAUUAGAAGAGUCAGGUAAGAUCCUGGGAAAAGACCUGUGGGUUAGGGCCCACUGAAGAGAUAACACCGUUGGAAAAGAUUAUCGAAGAGAUGAUACACCGGAACGAUUGAAAGAUUUGAAUGAGGUGACAACCUCGAAUUAAUUGGAACACAGACGAAUCUCCUGAGAUGUCUUGAACACUCCGGAAGGAUAAACUGGCGAGAGGCGAACGAGCAAGGAGAACACUUGGACUGCGGGAAAGAAUACAAUCAACAACGAAAAACUUGAAUUUGGAUCCAUCGGAAAAGAAAAAGAGAUGAAGAAUGACGAACAAGACGAGAAUUCACCGUUUGAAAUAAUUGAGGGAAAACCUGAAGAGGCUCCACACGAAUGAAAUUGAUGCUCGAAACANNNNNNNNNNNNNNNNNNNNNNNNNNNNNNNNNNNNNNNNNNNNNNNNNNNNNNNNNNNNNNNNNNNNNNNNNNNNNNNNNNNNNNNNNNNNNNNNNNNNNNNNNNNNNNNNNNNNNNNNNNNNNNNNNNNNNNNNNNNNNNNNNNNNNNNNNNNNNNNNNNNNNNNNNNNNNNNNNNNNNNNNNNNNNNNNNNNNNNNNNNNNNNNNNNNNNNNNNNNNNNNNNNNNNNNNNNNNNNNNNNNNNNNNNNNNNNNNNNNNNNNNNNNNNNNNNNNNNNNNNNNNNNNNNNNNNNNNNNNNNNNNNNNNNNNNNNNGAAACAGACUCAAACUCCGGGAAGAAGAGGGUGGGAGGGCGGGAAAACAAAGGCAACUUGGAAGGGGAAACUGACGAAUAUCUUGAAGAGAAAACACCGGUUGAAAUGAUUGAGGAAAGAAAGCAAAGGCUUCGCACGAGUAGGAUGGAUACUCGAUUACAGGCUCCGGCUCCAAGAAGAAAAAGGGGUGGGCGGGUGGGAAAAAGAAAACAACUGAGGAUUGAACUUGGCAUCAAUGAAGAGGCUCGAGUCAACUUGACGAGAAAUGCACCAGAUCAAAAGAGCUGAGACCCAACGAAUGAAAAAAAACUAACCACGUGAUCCUAAAGAAAAAUUUGAACGGGAGGAGGAGUAGUUCAAAACACCUACGUCAAGAUUCCUCACCAGAACGACGAAGGGGCUGAGGAGUAAAAAGAAUUCCUACUCUCCGAUAUAACUAGACUCCGAAAACAGUUUUCUUCUAGACUCGACUUCGGCCAAACUACACGAUCAAUCAAGGGGGCUCCUAGGGUCGGUCGAGCCUCAGAAUCCAUUGUCACGCCCAAGAUGCGGUCCUAUCCUAAAGGAACUCGAAGGUCCCACCAAGGAUAGAAGCGCAUCUUGAAGACGCUUUUGCAAGGUGGAUAUUAUUACAUCAACAUUACAUAAUAGUGGGGAUACAUACAAGGCAUACCAAUGCCGCAUGAAUACAUCAAUACAACAUACAAGAUCAACAUCCGACUACGGAUGAAUCAUAAACAGAAACUCAAACAACAUCCACCCUGCUAGCCCAGGCUGCCGACCUGGAACCUAUCCCCUGAUCGAAGAAGCAGAAGAAGAACUCCAAAACAAGCAAACAUCGCUCUCGCGUCAUGAUCAUCGCGUAACCUAUACCUGCAACUGUUGUUGUAGUAAUCUGUGAGCCACGAGGACUCAACAAUCCCAUUACCAUGGGUAUCAAGACUAGCAAAGCUUAAUGGGAAAGGAAGGGGUAAAGUGGUGAGGUUGCAGCAGCGGCUAAGCAUAUAUGGUGGCUAACAUACGCAAAUGAGAGCGAGAAGAGAAACAAAGGAACGGUCGUCAACUAGUAAUGAUCAAGAAGUGAUCCUGAACUCCUACUUACGUCAGACAUAACCCAGAAACCGUGUUCUCCUCUCGAUCAACCCCGAAAAGAGACACUCACGGUUACGCACACGGUUGGUGUAUUUUAGAAGAACUUAAUUCAAGUUUACUACAACCGGAUAUUAACAAAUUCCCAUCUGCCACAUAACCGCGGGCACGGCUCUCGAAAGUUUAUACCCUACAGGGGUGUCCCAACUUAGCCCAUGAUAAGCUCUCGCGAUCAACGAAGGAUAUUCCUUCUCCCUGGGAAGACCCGAUCAGUCUCGGAAUCCCGGCUACAAGACAUUUCGACAGUAAUAAAACGAGACCAGCAAGACCGCCCGAUGCGCCGACAUCCCGAUAGGAGCUGCACAUAUCUCGUUCUCAGGGCAACACCGGAUAAGCUAAGCGUACAGGUACCGACGUAACCCAAGUUGCCAAGGGAUAGUCCCGCACGGUGCUCUAGUUUGGAGCAACACUUAGACAAGCAUUGGCCCGGGGGGCUGAAUAAAGAUGACCAUUGGGUUAAUUACUCCCAAGGGAAAUGUAGGUGGUGGUGAGGCAAAUGGUAAAACCAAGGUUGGGCCUUGCUGGAGGAGUCUUAUUCAAAGCGAACUGUCAAGGGGGUCCCAUAAAUCACCCAACCGCGUUAGGGACGCAAAAUCCGGGAACAUAAUACCGAUAUGACAGAAACUAGGGCGGCAAGAGUCAAACAAAACACCAGGCAUAAGGCCGAGCCUUCCACCCUUUACCAAGUAUAUAGAUGCAUUAAUAAUAUAAGAGAUAUUGUGAUAUCCCAACAUAAACAUAAACCAACAUGGAGCAAUCUUCAUCUUCACCUGCAACUAGCAACGCUAUAAGAGGGGCUGAGCAAAGCGGUAACAUAGCCAAACAACGGUUUGCUAGGAAGGGUAACAACGAUUAGGGGUUCAUGGCAAUAUGGGAGGCUUGAAGAGCAAGCGAUAGGUAGCGCAGCAUAGCGAUAGAACGAAGCAACUAGCAUAGCAAUGAUAGUAAUGAGAUCCAAGGUGACGGUCAUCUUGCCUGAAAUCCCGCUAGGAAGAAGAACGAGUCCAUGAAGAAGAUGAAGCCAUGAAGAUGAUCCAAUCGUAGACGAACGAAUCCUCACGAUCGCAACAUAACGGGAACUAUCGAGAAGAAGCACACAACAUGGUAAACACACCACACAUAGACAAGACAUGAUGCAGAACCAAGCAUGAUGCAUGACAAGACUACAUGAAGCUACUCAUGGCAAGAGAUGAUGCAUACAAGAGCAACACCUCAAGGCAAGUUUAAAUGAGGCCGGAAACAACAUAUAACAAUUCCGGUAAGUCCUCAUAUGCAAAUUUCGAAAUUGGUCCAGAUCUGAAUAAACCUUAUGUUCAAGUUGUUAAACAUCAAGUUAAGAUGCACCAAGAUGAUCUACACGAAAUUCUAGUCAAGUUACAUAUGAAGUUCAUUUAAUUCGAAGCUACGGCCUAGAAGAUAUGAGCAAAAUGAGUUAAGCAUGGCAUUGAUGCAAAAUGCAUACAAACAUCAAUCAAACACCUCAAAACAAGGAUGCAACAUGAUAAUAUGAAACUACAUGCAAUUCUAAGCAAGUUUCAUAUAGGGCACACUCAGAACGGAGCAACGGUUCAACACAUACACUCUAUACAAGACAUAACAACAAUCUGUCCAAAACAGCAAGUAGGCAUCUAGCAAGCAUCAAAACAACAUGCUACAACACCAAAACAUGAUAACAAAAGGCAUGGACAUGAAGUACAGGUAAAGCAUGACAAAACAUGAACACUGAGUUAUCUCCAGAAAUCACUAGAACAUGCUCAAAAGGACAUGGCAAGAUUGCAAAUAAUAACAGGUUCACAGACUUGGCAGAAUUCACAGGACAUGGCAGAAAUAACAUCAGGUUAGCAUGUUUAGAGCUAUGAAGCAACAUGUUACAGCAAGCUAUCAUGUCAAACUAUAGCAUGGCAUGAAUCUACUCAAGGCAUAUAACAAACGUCCCUUACUGACCAUGAGCCAAAAGGGACCAGAAAAUACAAUUGCAAGCAUGUGAAUAUAGCAAAAACCAUAAACAGAUUCAGACUUGGUGAAAAACUGGAGCAUGGCAUAAACAGAUAACAAGUCGGCAUGUUUACAAGCUCGAUGCACUCACUACGAGGCAUUUCAUGAUAAAUUAAGCACACACCCAGCAACUAGACAUGGCAUAGAAGCUAUACAUGGCAAGAACAACAAUAUAUCAUGCAAGGAUCAACUACAACAACCUUGGCAAAAUCAAAUAACAUGUAAACAAUCUGCCAGGAACAUUUUAUAGCAAAAGUAGAGCACGAAAAUGACAUGAUAGAUUACUCCAUAAUUGCAAACAAGGGCAUGGAUGGAUAGAGCAUAACCAUAUGUUCAAAACAUCCUUACUGAAGUAUCUCAAAAUAUGCAUGGAUCUCUCUGUAGCAACAUGAAUACAUGGCAUCACAAUAACAACAGAACAAGGACUAAAAUCAGCAACAUCACGAAGCCUAGUUUGCAUGCUUAUUCUAGUCACCACAUAGAUCACAAAAAUACAUGGCAUACACCCCUGGAAAGAUGGCAUGGCAUAGUUUAAAACACGUGUAGAGAUCAUACUCAUACGAGGCACACAUUAAAUGCAACAAAAAUGAUAAAUCAUCAUGUUAUAACAGUUCCAGCAGAUUAACAUCAUAUAGCACUCUUGCAACGAUGAUUCAGGCAUCAAGAUGAGCUCAAAUGAAAAUGAUGCAAUGGAAUAAAAUUAAGUACUCGUCGAGAAGAACAAUUUGACAUAUUACACACACGAAACAGAGCUACGGAUGCAGAGAUACAAUGCGAUGAACAUGGCAUGAUGAAGCUAAAAUAUUCGGGACUUAGUGAAAACGGAGGGGGGGGGGAGUCAACCUAGGCUUCGACCGGAUCUGGCGUGCGCGGGCUUCGAGGUUCGCCGGCCGGAGUUUGGGGAAGCCGGAGGAGNNNNNNNNNNNNNNNNNNNNNNNNNNNNNNNNNNNNNNNNNNNNNNNNNNNNNNNNNNNNNNNNNNNNNNNNNNNNNNNNNNNNNNNNNNNNNNNNNNNNNNNNNNNNNNNNNNNNNNNNNNNNNNNNNNNNNNNNNNNNNNNNNNNNNNNNNNNNNNNNNNNNNNNNNNNNNNNNNNNNNNNNNNNNNNNNNNNNNNNNNNNNNNNNNNNNNNNNNNNNNNNNNNNNNNNNNNNNNNNNNNNNNNNNNNNNNNNNNNNNNNNNNNNNNNNNNNNNNNNNNNNNNNNNNNNNNNNNNNNNNNNNNNNNNNNNNNNNNNNNNNNNNNNNNNNNNNNNNNNNNNNNNNNNNGGAGGCGGCGGAGCGGACACGUGUCGCACUGCGGUUGGACGCGGGCGGCAGCGGGAUUGGUCCGGCGGCGGGCGAGCAUGUCCGGCGGGCGAGAGGGAGGUUGAUCUAGGGUUAGACCGGGAUUUCGGGGAGGAAGACAUAUUUAUAGGUAGAAGGAGCUAGGAGAGUCCAAAUGAGGAGCGGUUUUCGGCCACGCGAUCGUGAUCGAACGACCGAGAGCAUGGAGGGGAGUUUGCUGGGUUUUGGGCCACUUUGGAAGGGGUGUUGGGCUGCAACAAAAGAGGGCUUUUGCGGUUACCCGGUUAACCGUUGGAGUACCAAACGACCUCCAAAUGGCACGAAACUUGACAGGCGGUCUACCGGUGAUAUACCAAGGCCGCUUGGCAAACCUCGGGCCAUUCCGAGAAAGUUUAACACCCACACACAAAAAGAGGCAAAAGGGGGCGCCGGGGGACAUAGGAGUGCCGGAUUGCAAAACGGACAACGGGGAAAAGGACCGGAUGCAAGAGGCGAACAUGUAUACAAAAUGAGAUGCACAUGAUGACAUGAUAUGAAAUGCAGAUGAUGACGUGGCAAAGUGCAACAUGCAAGCAAAUGACAUGGCAACAAUGACGAAUAACUGACGGACACCUGGCGCAUCGAAUCCGGGGCGUUACAUCCAUUUCCUUGCCUAUGAAUGCCCGAGCCUUCUUGGAGCUGCUCUUCUUGUGAGAUGAAGACUUCGAGGAUUUUGAUGAUGAAGACUUUGAAGAUUUCUUCUUCUUCUUGGCAUCAUCAGAACUGUAAUCUUGUAUUUCUUCUUCUUCAAUUCCUUAUCCCACUGAGGACAAUCUUGAAUGUAAUGACCAGGUUUCUUGCAUUUGUGACAUAGCCUGUUGGGGAUAUAACUAUUUGUGUAAGCCGCCCAGGAGGGGCCGGGUUACACAAAUAAGACUCAUCAGAGGAAGCCCAAGACCAAGCAUGAAGAUGGCGAUUCAAUAAAGGGCUUAAGGCCCACGGGCAGCUUAAGGCCCGUUGUAGUAAACCGCCAUGAUGAUAUGACUUGUAUCAUAAGGUAGAUUUAAAUAGUCACCGAGCCGGACACUGUUUAUGAGCCGGCCGGGACUCUGUAAGCCACAGGACGUCAACCCGUGUAUAUAAGGGGACGACCUGCUGGCGGCUUAGGGCAAGAAACAACCCAUCGAGAGCUGGGCAUAGCGUAUCUCGCUCCCUGGUCAUUGAAACAUCAAGCAAUACCAACCCAACUAGACGUAGGCCUUCCUUCACCGCAAGGGGCUGAACUAGUAUAAAACCUCUCGUGUCCUUUAUCCCGAGUAACCCCUUUAAGCUUCCUAGUUGCGAUGGCACCACGACAAGUCCUUACACGAGGACAGCUGCCGUGACAAAACCACGACAUAGCCUCUUCUUGUAGUCAUUGGAUGAGGAAUCAUUGCUCCUUGAGGAUUUUCCAAAGCGACCCGUCUUGAGAACUUCUGAAAUUUCUUCACGAGCAGUGCUAGUUCCUGGCUCAGUUCUUCAGGAUCACCAAGGCUGCUAGUGGAGUCCUCUUCUUUAGACUCAGAGACUGCCUUGGCCUUCAAAGCACGUGGUUUACCAUAGCUCGAACCAUGGAGAUCUCUCUUCUCAGCAAGAUGGAACUCAUGAGUGUUUAGCCUCUCAAGGAUAUCAGCAGGAUCAAGUGACUUGUAAUCAGCACGCUCUUGAAUCAUCAGUGCCAGAGUGUCAAAUGAAGAAUCGAGCGAUCUCAACAAUUUCUUCACCACCUCAUGGUCGGUGAUAUCAGUGGCGCCAAGCGCUUGAAGCUCAUUUGAGAUAUCAGUGAGGCGAUCGAAGGUUUGCUGAACAUUUUCAUUGUCAAGUCUUUUGAAGCGGUUUAAGAGAUUGCGAAGGACGUCAACACAAGAGUCAUGUUGAGUUGAGACUCCUUCAUUUACUUUGGAGAGCCUAUCCCAGAUAAGCUUAGCAGUUUCUGUCGGGGAUAUACCCCGCGGCGUAAACCGGCCGGAAGUUAAUCCGGCCGGACUUGGCGGUUUAUCUGAAGACCCGCCCUGACCUUGGCGGUUUACAAGCAAUCCGCUUGGUCGUUAUGAUUCACUGGUAACCCGGCGGGCGGAUCAGACGGAUGACAAGGCCCAAGGCCUAGAAGGCCGGUUCAACUAUUGUGGGCCGGUUUAAGAGGAAAGGAAUAUUUACCUUACAAAGAGUUAAGACCAGGACUUGUAUCCGGUUUGUAUUAGAGAUAGAUCAGUCCUAAUCCUAAUAGGACUCCACAUGUAAACCGCCCCUUCAACAUAUAUAAGGAGGGGCAGGGCUCCCCAAAGAGGGACAAGUGACAAGGGACAAGUGACAAGUGACAAGAGACAAGCGACAAGAGAGAAACAAUCUUAGGACUAGAUACAAAGAGGAGAGCCGGUUUACGGCGACUCCCUCGUGAUGAUAAUGAGACCUAGCCUCAAACAGCAUGUAGGGCUUUUACCGGAUGAUGUUUCCCGGGGCCCGAAGCUGUCUAAAUCUCUGCUUGUGUUGCGUCUCUCGAUUCCGCUCAACCCCUCUCAAGCUACCACAUAGAUGCGUUGGCCUCGCGACUAUGUCCUGACACUAAGGACAUCUGCCGUGAUGAAUCCACGACAGUUUCCAAAGCACUCACUCUACCAUAUUGCCCUUUGCUCAGAUGGCCACAUAUGAUAUUCUUCGCUUGAGAAUUGAGUUGCUUGAAUCUCUUCACAUCAGUAGCAUUCAGGGACUCAGUCACACCAUUUUCGACAACAUACCAGAGAUCAUUGUCAAUUUCCUCAAGAUGCAUUCGCAUCUUAUUCUUCCAGUAGGGGUAGCCCGUUCCAUCGAAGGUAGGACACCCAGCAGAGACCUUGAUCAUACCUGCGGUCGACAUAACUAAAACUCCAGGCGGUUAAACCAAAAUCACACAGAACAAGGGAGUAUCUUGCUCUGAUACCAAUUGAAAGUGCGUUAUAUCGACUAGAGGGGGUGGAUAGACGAUUUUUAUGAAUUCUUCACUGAGGAAUUUGCAGGUGAGGAAGUUCCUAAAUGAAGAACUACUUGCAGCGAAAUAAGUACUCAAAAGUAAAGAUAGCAGAACACACGCAUAGUCAUCAUGAUGAAAUGAAGACAAGCACAGGGUACAGGAAGCGUAAACACAUGAUAACACAAGAUGAAGACGGACAGACUGAAGAAAUUGAACUGAGGAAAUUGAGAAAGUCUUCAGUCAAAGUCUUCAAAUAGAUAUGAACGAGCACACAACAACAGAGAUGAGGAAAUUAAAGAGUUGAGGAAAUAGAACCAGUAAGCUCGGUGAAGACAAUGAUUUGGUAGACCAGUUCCAACUGUUGUCUCAGUUGUACAUCUGGUUGGAGCGGCUGAGUAUUUAAACUCGAGGACACCCAGUCCCGGACACACAGUCCGCACCGUAUUCUCCUUGAGCUAAGGUCACACAGACCUUGCCCAAUCACUCGUGGCAAGUCUUCAGGUGACUUCCGAACCUUCAAAAACUCGGUCACUCGGCGAUCCACAAUUCCUCUUGGAUGCUCUAGACCUUGACGCCUAACCGUCUGGAAGAAGCACAAUCUUCAAAGGAAACAAGCAUCAGAUCCACGUAGGAUCAAUCUCUUCAGUGAUGCUCAAUCACUUUGGGGUUUGUAGGUUUGGGGUUUGGGUUUUCCUCACUUGAUGAUUUUCGCUCAAAGUCCUCGGAGGAUGGAUUGCUCUCAAAUGACAAGUGUCAGUUUCUCUUGGAGCAGCCAACCAGCUAGUGGUUGUAGGAGGGCGCCUAUUUAUAGCCUAGGGAGCAGCCCGACAUGAUAAGACAUAAAUGCCCUUGUCUGAUAUGACCUUUAGGUGGAUAGAUAUUUUGGGACAGCCGGCGCGUAGCACAGCAACGGUCGGAAUAUUUGACUCUCAAAUACCUCAGGGCUAUCAUGUUCCUCACUGUGUAGGCAAUCCGCACUGGCAAAUUCUUAACUCCUCAGUCAGAACAAAUUCCUCAGAGACCAGAAGAACUUCGUCUCUGUCACUGAAGAAUAUGACUGAACUGUGCGAGAUUUCCAAUGGCUUCACUCGAAAGGAUUGGUAGGUGUAGGAUUUUGAGUUGAGCAUCACAUGGAAAUUUUUCCUUAGUAUUUCCUCGACCCCCUUUAGCAGUACGGUGUUUCCUAUGACUCAAGAAAGAGAAAAUGAAACUAUAAAAACAAAAGUCUUCACGCUUCAUGUUCCUCGAAUGAAUACCAAGUCUUCAAGGUCACACCAAUUUCUUCACUUUCAAAGUCUUCAGAAAUCCAAAGUCUUCAGUUGAAGAACUUCAUUUUUAGGGGUCGACUUUCUUUGUAAAUAUCAAACUCCUCAUAGACUUAUAGACCUGUGUACAGUCACAAAUGCAUCAGUCCCUUAACCUAUAAGUCUUCAAUACACCAAAAUCACUAAGGGGCACUAGAUGCACUUACACGCCGCCACCGUUGGCGACGUUCUUGUGGAGGCGCACGGCGGUCAGCGCCGCCACCGCUGGCGACGUUCGUGUGGAGACGCACAGCGGUCAGCUUCUCCCACGGUAUGCGCAUUCUAGACUGAGGCCCCGUGCAUGUCGGUGUAGCGCUAAAUGUUAGUAAUAGACGCUGUUAAUCUCACUGUUUGCCGAAGUAGUUUACAGUCAAUAUGCUCUGCUUAAGAAGCUUCCUUGCCCUAUUCUGCACUCAAUCUGCUUAGCUGAGAUGGCAUGCCAAGGCCGAUUAGUUGCUAAAAUAUCCUGCCAUAUAUUUAUUGUGACGUAGAUUGCCAUGGUCUAGUAGCCAAUCUGUUAGGUGAAAUAGCUCUACACCAUUUUAUACUCGAUCUUUGUUGCUGCAAUGGCCUUCGAUAGUUCGAUGGCUGUGUGCUCGGCCUCAUUGACUGCUGAAACAGCCUGCCAUAAUUUAGCACUCAAAUCUGUUUGCUGAAUUAGCUUUACAUAUAUUUCAUUACUUAGAUAUGCUCGUCCAAAUAUCUUGCCAUAGCUUUAGACAUCGACCUAGGUAUUUUUUUCUAGACUUCAUAAAAAAGCAUAUAUGUUUUUCUUGUAAUAUCUAGUAGAAGAACUAAUUUGUAUGUCUAACAGAUGGACAGGACUUGGAUCACUUCUGCUCAAAGAUUCUCCGCUGCAUAUGUCGAGGGGUUGAAAACUUCAUGAACUUUAUCAGAGCUGAGUACGGUGGUCCGAAAUCAGAUGUGCUCUGCCCGCGUAGCAGUUUUAUGAAUUCAGUUACAAGACCACAGUCAACUGUGCAAAAUCAUCUACAUUUGUAUGGGAUGUCAGUCACAUAUACUAGGUGGGUUCAUCAUGGUGAAGCUGUGAAUGUCAAUGUUAUUGACUACGUGGAAGCAGUAGAUCACCAUCUUGAUCUGCCUGAUGCUUAGGUGGAAGAGGAGGAGGAGGUGGUGGUGGCGGAGCCAGUGAGUUUGACCAACAUUGAAAGAAUGCUAUGAAAUGCUUGUGCAUUCCGUGAACUUUCACCUGCAGAAGAAUAACGGUGGGCCCGCAUGUCGGAACAAUGCAAUGUGGCUGUCACCCCAGGAAAUAAGCUGUCAGUAUUCUCAGCUAUGGUCACCUUUCCUCAGGUGAAGACAUCUGAGCGGAUGACCAACAAAUCAUUCGAUGCGAUGUUGGCUGCUUUCUGCAAAUCUUUCCCAGAUGCGUCUGAGCUUCCACACACCUACAGUAAAAUGAAGAAUUUCCUUUGUGCAGUUGGAAUUGGAUAUGAUAUGAUCCAUGUUUGUAAGAAUAAUUUUGUUCUGUUCUGGAAGGAUUAUGCCAACUUAAGUUAAUGCCCGAAAUGCAAAUAAUCAAGAUGGAAAGAUGGCGAUGUUGUGAGGAGGAUUCCUCAUAAUGUUCUGAGACAUUUUCCAAUUAUACCAAGAUUGCAGAGGUUGUUUCAUGAUGCUGAAAAAAGAGAGGAUGUACUAUGGCAUUCUAGGGACCAGGAGUACAGAGAUCAGAAUGUAAUGAGCCAUCCAUCUCAUGGUAGUGAGUGGAAAAGCUUCAAUCAUAAACACAAAAAGUUUGCUGCUGACCCGAGAAACAUUAGACUUGGCUUAGCUUCAGAUGGAUUUAACCCAUUUGGCCACCAGAGCGCCACAUAUAGCAUGUGGCCAAUGCUUGUUAUCCCUUACAACAUGCCUCCAAAUUUCCGCACCAAAGAAUCAAACUACAUGAUGGCCUUGCUCAUCCCAGGUCCAAAAAGUCCUGUAAAGGAUUUUGAUUUGUUCAUGGAGCCUCUUGUGGAGGAACUUCAAUAGCUAUGGAGGGGUGUUCUCACUCGAGCCCUAUAUAGCAGCCCACGAGGUGAUUUCUUUCUGCGUGCUGUUAUAAUUUGGUGCAUCCAUGAUUAUCCAGCUUUGGGCACUAUGUCAGGGAGAACGACACAUGGUUACAAUGCAUGUGUUCGCUGUGACAGGAAUCCGCUGUCAUACGCAAUACUUAGCAAGAUCUGUUACAUUGGACACCACCAUUUCCUUGCCAAGGACAAGCCGCAUCCUAGAAAAUACCGAAGACAUGUGUUCAAUGCAAAGCAUGAAAACCAUGAUGCGCUAAAGAGGCUCACCACCGAUGAGUUGCAAGUGGAAUUAGAGAAGGUCAGGCAUAUUACACCAGGAAACCAUCCUGGUAAUGGUAGCGGGAAAAGGAAGCGUGGCUGGGCAGAAGAGAGAUUAUUGUUUACCCGCAGGUCCACUUUGUGGGACUUGGAGUAUUGGAAAGUUUUUUAUCUACGACAUAAUCUUGAUGUGAUGCACAUCGAGAAAAAUAUAUGUGACAGCAUUAUCGACACACUUCUUAAUAUUGAAGGCAAGACAAAAGAUACCUUAAAGUCUAGGAUUGAUUUGACACACCUGGGUAUCAGACAGAAUUUGCAGGUGCAAGAUGAAGGUAAACCACGGGAUAUGGCACCAGCUGUGUUCGUCUUGGACAAGGUAAAAAGAAAAGAAUUCUGCGAGGUCCUGUCACGUGUGAGAUUCCCACAUGGAUUUGCUUCCAACCCUGAAAGGAGAGUCAGUGCAGAUGGAAGCAAGGUACAAGGGUUGAAAAAUCAUGACUGCCAUGUCCUACUUCAAAGGGUUUUACCUGUUAUCCUUAGAAGAUUGGGCCGCCCUGACUUAUACAGAGCAGUUGCAGAGUUGGGACAAUUCUUCAGGGAACUCUGCAGUAGAAAUAUCAGGAUAGAUGCUUUGGAGCGUCUUAGAGACAAGAUACCAACUAUCCUAUGCGACCUUGAGAAGAUAUAUACUCCAGCCUUCUUUGAUGUGAUGGUGCAUUUGGCCAUUCAUCUAGCUGAUGAGGCACUACUUAGAGGUCCAGUACAGUAUGGCUGGAUGUACCCUAUUGAAAGGCGGCUAGGCACUUUCAAGGGCUAUGUUAGGAACAGAGCUAGACCCGAGGGUUCCAUUGCAGAGGCCUACAUUGCUACAGAAGCAUUGACAUUUUGCUCAAAAUACAUUGAAACAACUGAUCAGCUUAGCAAAGAGGUGGGUGAAGACAAUCCCGGGCUCAAUGUUUUCGAUUAUUCUGUUCGAGUUACAGGGAAGAGUCGACAAGAGGACAAACCUAAAGAUUUGGACAAAAUGGUUUGGUAUGUGUUGAAUAACUGUACUGACAUACUACCUUAUAGCAAGUAAGUGCUAAGUACUGCAGCUUAUACAUCGUAAUCUACUAAACUUGCAGCACAUUCUUAUAUAUUUAGAUGUUUGACGCGAUCACUAUGUUGUGCAGCGUCUACAAAAAGGAGUUGCUGCCGCAAAAUCCAAGAAACAUUGACAAACUAGUUAUGGCAGGAUUUGCGAAAUGGUUCAAGAGCCAUGUAAGCUUUUGAAUAGCACUGUCAUUUUUUUAAUAUAUUGAGUACAUAAGAUGAUCAGCUUGUCUAUUUUCUAACCAUAGGUUAAGAAGAUGCGGGAGGAUGGGCAGGCAGUUGAUGAUGCCCUUUACUCACUAGCAAUGGGUCCUGAUACUCGGGUAAGACAUUAUGAAUCUUGCGUUGUUGGAGAUGCGCGCUACAACCCCUUGCACGAGACGAAGGCAGGAAGACACAAAACAGUGCCAUCAUGAGCACAGAUAUGUAUGACAAAGAGACAACCGAAAUGUAUGCUAACAUAACCGACAUUGUUCAGUUGCAGUAUAUCUCCAGUUUCAAGGAUCAUCGGUGUGUAGUUCUAUUGUGCUGUCAUUGGUAUAACCUGUUUUCCAGAUCGCAAAACCCAGAGCUGAUGAUUAUUUCAAAUCCACCAAUGUCAAGGCGGCGUACCAGACCAACGAGCCUUUUAUUUUGGCAAAUCAAGCAACACAGAUAUUUUUCUUGGAAGACACAUUUGCACGUAGCGAUGACUGGUGAGUAUUGCAAAGGUUUGAGCAGAGGAAUUCGUUUAAUGAAGUUGCACAACAAGAUGAUGCUUACACUGCUCCUGAUGUACAAGAUAACACAGAUGUUCCUAAUAUCUUUGAGAACCAUCACGUCAAUGACGCCGGCGAAAAGAUUGCCUGUCGGGCUGUGGACAUACAAGAGUUGAUCAAGAAGAAGCCAACGUUCAAGGACGUUGAGGAUGAACAAGAAGAUGACACCAUGGGGAAUUACGAUUCAUACUGAUACACAUGGCGAAGAUGUUGAUGCUACUACUGCGGAUGAUUAUUACAUAGCUUUUGUCGUAUUUGCCUGUCAGAAGACGUUCGUAACACCCCGGAUGUAACUUUCCAUCAUUGUAACUCCAACUCUUGCCUUUUCCGGCUUUGUGAUAUGUUAUCUCCUUCAUGGUUGGGUUUUUGUCUUUCGUUUUGCAUUUUGUUCAUGUCAUGCAUUUCAUCUCAUGUCAUCAUUCGCAUUGCAUCGGCAUUGUUUUCUUAAAACUUGCAUCCGCUCGUAGUUGCCUCUCCUCACUUCUCUCCAUUGCGUUCGUUGACCCUUCCGAGACCAACCGUGUUUUUGAUUUCCCUCUUGUCUGACUGAUUGACCCUCUAUACACUUUACUCAGACCCCUCGCGCGCAUCCGAAAGUUGUCCCGAACCCAACCCGCUCAGUCAUCACCGUUGGAUUCGGAUCAUCCCCAAACAUUUAUAAAACAUCUCCAUUUUCUUAUCUGGACUCCCUACCUAUUUAUUCUCGAUCAUUCGAUUACGAUCAGACAGACCGCGUUAACCUCUACCCUAAUCCCCUACCUAUAUAAAUACUCCAACCCUAGACCAAUCCCUAAAAUCUAGCCCCCUUGUCCAAUCCAUCCCUAGCCGCGCCGCCAGCCACUCGGCAUCUUCAUCGGGAUCCCUCCCGAUCCACCAACCUCUCCUCGAUUUCAGCCACCGGCCAGUCGCCGUCGAACCUACGCAACCGGCGCUCUCCUCUGGAUCCCCUCGAUUCGGCCAGCCGAGCGCCUCCUCCUUCCUCUUCCUGCUAUCCCGCGCCUUCGCAUGUUCUUCUCGAGGACCAGCAGAGCUCACGCGUCUCCUCCGCCUCGUCCCUGCCACCUGCAGCAGGAGCAGCUCCUGCAUCCCCGACCCCCGAGCACCUCCACCGUCGUCGUCUAAGAUGAGUGCCGCCCUGGUUCCCUUUCUCUCAUUCCUCUAGUUCGCUCUUCUCAUCUCUCUCUCUCUCUCUGUGCAUUGCAGCAGCAUCCCCGCGCCAUGGAGCUCCAAGUCCGCCGGCCCGCCUCUGGGGAGAAUUGAUUUUAACCCCCCCUGUUCGCUUGCCUUCGAUCUUAGACCCCUUUGUUCGUUCGCCUCCCUAUGAGCCCCCCAGUUCUGUCUAGCUGUUGCUCAUACCCCCUAUUGCAUGUUUAACAAAAUUGUUAGUACAUAAGCAUCAAAUAGAGAUAACAAUAGACAGAAGUACCCAUGUCAAUCUUUUCAGAAACAUCACACCCCUUUACAGAUCCAGCCCCUCCCAGUCGAUUCCCCAUAUCAAUCUCCCUCAGCACCUAGAGUUCCUACGAUUUAGACAACUGUACAAGAGGAACUUCACAAAAUCCAUGGAAAACGUAAGGGGAGAAGCUUGCCUUGUCUUGGGACAGCAAUGGAGGGCAGCGGAUGGGGGAGGGAGGGGACGCGGCGGAGUAGCAGGGCACGGACGGCAGGGUGCGGCGGCUCUGGUUGCUGGUCGCGGUCAAGCAAGAAGAAAAGAACGAACGGGAUAGCCCUCUUGAGCGAAAAACUCCCAUGCUGUGUUCUUGACGAAACUGUACGAGGGCAGAUUAGUCAAAGAGGAAUAUUGUAAGGCUAGUUUUUUUUUCAUUACUAGCUAACUGUACAGAUAACAAAGUCAAGGGGGCAAUCAACAAGAAUUAUAUGGUACUGGGGGGGCUCAGAGGGAGGCGAACGAACAAAGGGGUCUAAGAUCAAAGGCCAUCGAACAGAGGGGGGGGGGUUAGAAUCAAUUCUCCCCCGCCUCUGCUUCGAUCCGGCAGGGAACGUGACCCCGGCGACCGGGAUCCGGCCACCCCGGCGCCCUGUGCCCUCGGCCCCCGCCAGACCUACUUCCUCCGUGCCAAGCCUCGCCAGCGCCAUGUAUCACCUUCGCCUCGGCAACGCAUCAGUCCCGCCGUUGACCGAGCCACUCGCUCGCGCGAGGCCUCCUCUGCUCCCGCCAGUGACCCGCAGCCCGACCCCGCCUCAAGCGGCGCUGCCUUCACCGGAGAUCGCGCCAAGUGCAGCGCCGCCUCGCCCCGCGGCGUCGACCUGCCGCUGCGCCUCUGCCCCCUGCUUCGUCUUGUCAGAGACGAACGAGCGCCUCGUCCUACUCGGUCCAGCCGCGCCCGUUGACCGCGGCCUGCCCAGCUCCUUCGCCUCCUGGGCCACAACCAAGCCGACCCGCGUCCGACCUCCCCAGCUAGCCUCCUCCACCAACGGGCCGAAGCCCAUGGGUGAGCUGCCCCAGCGCCUGCUUGUUUGGCCUGUUAGCCAGAUUCAGCCCGCAUUGUAAUUUUUUUCCCUGCUGCGAAUUUAGACAUUUUCCAGAGUUCACUGUUUUAUAGAAAAGUCCCUCUAGGUCAUGCAUUUAAUAACUCACAAAUGGUGCAUCAGAUUAAAAUGAUUUUAAUAUGUAAAAUGCUUAGAUUUUCAUCUAGUUUCAUAAUAUUCCACUUUCAUCCAUGUUAAAAAUGCUUAAACAUGUCGUUUGCUUUAUUUUUGCAUAAAUGCCAUGUUAAAAUGAUUUAUUUUAUAACUAAUUAACCGUAACUCCGAAUUAAAUAAACUUUAUAUGUAAAUGGGGUGGAAAAAUGCCUAGUUUAACUUGGUGCACUUACUUUGCAUGUUUAACAACUCUAAAAUUAUGUAAUAGGCGGAACAGUAGCAUAUUCAAAAAUAUGGACAUGAGGAUUUUUCCAGAAUUGUUGUUUGUUGUUCCGGCCUCAUUUAAACUUGCCCAGAUAGGUAGUUUUAUUAUGCUUCACCACUUGCCAUGUUAACCAACAUUUAAUAUUGAUGUGUACCUAAACGAGAGCAAACUAAAUAACUCGAAUGUGGUGUUUCGUAAAUAUACAACUCGUUGCAUAUUGAGCUCCACUUAACUUGUAGUAUUGUUUGUUGCACUUUCCCUUGCCAUGGCUCUUUAAAUCGGACAUGCAUCAUACUUGAUUGUGCAUCAUGCCGUGUUUAUGUGAUGGUUGUUUACCAUGUUGUUUACUUCUUUCCGGGUGCGCUUCCCUUGAUAGUUCCGGUAACAUGGCGUUCGUGAGUAUUCGUUCGACUACGUUGGUUCAUCAACUUCAUGGACUUGUUCUUCUUCCUAUCAGGAUCUCAGUCAAGAUGACCAUUACCCUCAAUAUCACGUCUAUCUUUGCUUGCUAGUUGCUUUGUUCUAUCGCUAUGUUGCGCUACCUAUCACUUGUUUACCAUGCCUCCCAUAUUGCCAUGUGAAGCCUCUAACCCACCUUUCCUAGCAAACCGUUGUUUGGCUAAGUUACUACUUUUGCUCAGCCCCUCUUAUAGCGUUGCUAGUUGUAGGUGAAGUUGAAGAUUGCUCCAUGUUGGAACAAGAUUACGAUGGGAUAUCAUAAUAUCUCUUAUUUUAAUUAAUGCAUCUAUAUACCUGGUAAAGGGUGGAAGUCUCGGCCUUAUGCCUGGUGUUUUGUUCAACUCUUUCCGCCCUAGUUUCCGUCAUACCGGUGUUAUGUUCCUUGAUUUUGCGUUCCUUACGCAGGUGGAUUUAUGGGAACCCCUUGACAGUUCGCUUUGAAUAAAACUCCUCUAGCAAGGCCCAACUUUGGUUUUACAUUUGCCUAACAACCUAUAACCUUACCUUAGGCAGGCCAACCCAAGGGUCAUCUUUAUUUUAAUCCCCCCGAGCCAGUGCUUCUCUAAGUGUUGGUCUGAACCGAGCAGCCUGCAGGGCCACCUCGGGGAAACUUGAGGGCUGGUUUUACUUGUAGCUUGACUCAUCCAGUGUGCCCUGAGAACGAGAUAUGUGCAGCUCCUAUUGGGAUUUGUCGGCACAUUCAGGCGGGCUUGCUGGUCUUGUUCUACCAUUGUCGAAAUGUCUUGUAACCGGGAUUCCGAGACUGAUCGGGUCUUCCCGGGAGAAGGAAUAUCCUUCGUUGGUCGUGAGAGCUUAUAAUGGGCUAAGUUGGGACACCCCUGCAGGGUAUGAACUUUUGGAGAGACGUGCCCGCAGUUAUGUGGCAGAUGGGAAUUUGUUAAUAUCAGGUUGUAGAGAACUUAACACUUGAAUUAAUUAAAAAGCAUCAACCGCGUGUGUAGCCAUGAUGGUCUCUUCUCGGCGGAGUCCGGGAAGUGAACACGGUUUGGGUUAUGUUUGGACGUAAGUAGUUCAGGAUCACUUCUUGAUCAUUACUAGUUUGCGACCGUUUGCGUAGCUUCUCAUCUUAUUCUGGUAUUUGUAAGUUAGCCACCAUAUCAUGCUUAGUCGCUGCUGCAACCUCGCCACUAUCCAUUCCUUAUCCUUUAAGCUUUGCUAGUCUUGAUACCCAUGGUAAUGGGAUUGCUGAGUCCUCGUGGCUCACAGAUUACUACCAAAACUAUUGCAGGUGCCGAUGAUACCAGUGCAGUUGUUGCUACCGAACUCAAGUGGGAGUUCGACGAGGACCUUGGUCAUUACUAUGUUUCGUUUUCUGAUGAUCAGUAGUGGAGCGCAGUUGUGACGAAUGGGGAUCUAGCAUUUGGGGUUAUCUUAUUUUCAUUUGGAUUUGUCCGUAGUCGGACUAUGUAUGUACUCUGAAUGAUGUAUGAUUUAUUUAAGUAUUUGUGUGAAGUGGCGAUUAUAGGCCAACUCUUUAUCCCUAUCUUGUUCAUUACAUGGGAUUGUGUGAAGAUGACCCUUCUUGCGAAACGACCACAAUGCGGUUAUGCCUCUGAGUCAUGCCUCGACACAUGGGAGAUAUAGCCGCAUCGUGGGCGUUACAAGUUGGUAAUCAGAGCCAUCCCCGACUUAGGAGCCCCCUACUUGAUCGAAUCACUGACGUUGUCGAGUCUAGAACAAAAAUGUUUUGAGUCUUAGGAUUAUAUAUAUCGGAGAGUAGGAUUCUUUUUACUCCUCUGUCCCUUCGUCGCUCUGGUGAGGCCUCCUGACGUACAUGUUUUGACUUUCCUCUCCUCAAAUUUCACUAAUUUUUUUUAGGAUCAUGCGGGUAUCUUGGGAUCGUUCCGAUAUUCUUGUGACGAGAACAUUGUUCUUGGUGCCUCCUGACAUUCAGGGGUUGUGGCAGUAUCCCGGCGAGUUGAGCUCCGAGGUGUUGUCAUCACAAUUUUAUCAUUGCAGUUCUGGAGUACCUGAGUUUUCGCCGACAUCGAAAAUCUCUUUUACGCAGUUGUUGGUGAGAUAACCUCGACGCCACCCAGUACUGGGGCGGGAGUUCGGGAGUAUUGCCGUAGCUUGUAUAACGGAUGCUUUUCGAAGGUUUAGGUACACGAAUUCCGAAGUUUUCUUGGUUAUGUGUUGACGGAUGGAUACAACUGGAUGUAGGAAUUGUUAGUUUGGGUGAGAUAUAUUGCUUCCCCUAUAUCCCCAACACCAGAUUGCAUAACCAUAAAGUUUCGAGAGUUUUAUAGGUGGGAAUUUAAGUAGCUCUAGUUUUUUCUUUCUGACAGCUGCAUGAUAUGAGAUUGGGGUUCGACGUCUAGUGGUCCACCUAUCCACGGUCAUUUUUACUGUGGUCUCAUUGUGUCUUAAUGAGUCCUUGGCUAUGCUGACUUGGGGACGCUUCGUAUGUCAUGUGCACUGCCUUGUACAUGAUGGUGUUGUACGAUCGAGCCCGUGUGGGCCCCACCACGAAAACUUCAAAGAAAUCUCUAUCAUAUGUUUGUUUCCGGCUUAUUCUGCAAGCCAAUCCUUUGUUUUGUUUUAUUUGUGGUAUUCGAGUUGCUUCGAAGUCAAAUGUUGAAUCCAUACCUUCCCAAAAUGGUGUUCUCAUAUUUCUAUGGGAGUGCUAAUCCUUCUUGAUCAUUGAUGUUCUCAUGUUAAUUUUUUUCAACCGGUGUGCUUCUUUUCAAGUGGACCCGAUCAUUUCAACAUUCGCAAGAUCAAUUCUAAGUUUUCUCAACGGUAUCCAUUCCAUCUGUCCAAGUUGCCUUUGUUUUUCCCGCCCUCCCACCCUUUUCUUCAAGGACUCAUAUUUCUUAAUCGGGUAUCCAUUUUAUUGAUGGGAAGUCUCUCCAUUAUUUUCCGUCAAUGUUCUUAUCUGGCGAUUCUCAAGAAGAUACUAACGGAGCUUCAAGUUCAUUAUUCUUCGUCUCUUUUCUUCUCCGGUGGAUUAAUUUCAAGUUUCGGUGUUGAUCAUAUCUCUUCCUUUUUUUUCACAUAUCUUCCCAUGUGAAUUUCUUAUCCAAGGCUCUCUUAUUUAUUCACCUCUCCUAGUUCAUAUCCGGAGUGCUCAAGAUAUCUCACAAGACUUGUGUUUCCAUUCUCAAUCUGUUCAAGAUAUUUCGAGGUUGUUAUCUCAUUCAAGCCAUUUAAUUCUACCGGUGCAAACUCUAUUUCAAGCAAUCCUUCAGUGAUGUUUCUUUCGAGUGGGCCCUAACCCACAGGUCUUUUUCCAGGACCUUACCUGACUCUUCUAAUUUUCCCGGAGUUAUUCUCAAAUUCAUUUCAAAGUUUGACGUAAGAAUGAAUUUCAUCAGUCAGAUGUUUUCCAAGAUCGAUUUCAAAUUAUUUUUCAUUGUUGGCUCAACCUCUUUGUUUUUCAUUCUCCCGGAGUAUCUCAACAAUUCAUGGUGGUGUUUCUCGCCGUCAUUCUCGGAUUUUGAAGACCGAAGAAGAGUUCCUCUUAAAUCCUUGCCCGUUCUUCCAAAGAUGCGUAGUUCAAGCUUGAUGCCAUCCUCUCAUAAUUUUUUUCGAUUGUGAGAAUUCUUUUCUUACCAUUAGUAGCAUUUAAUGAGUUGUUUCCAUUUCUUUCCUCCGAAGGCCAUCAUGCCAUAAUUCUUCAUUCUCAGUGUGUAGCUAUCGUUCUCCAAAUCUUAUCGGUGCAUCGUUAGUUCAUGAUAUCUUUGUUCUCUUGUAUCUAAAUCCCCUAAAGUAUCUUCAUUCGUUUUCCAAUUCUUCCAGGUGAAUUGUGCCUUUGCUACUUUCAUUUUCGAUUCUUACGGUGGUUCUUUCAACAUUCCUCUUCCUUUGUUACCGUAUCAUUUCAUUCGUUCUUUCCAAUCCCACCGGUGGUUCCAUCAAUACCUUCUCAAGUUUGCUCUAUAUCUCUCUUAAUCCUUUCUACGGGAAUAAGUAGUAUGCCAAAUCCAUUGCUUGUCAUCAAUUUAAUUUGAUGAAGGAUAAGCAUACAAUAAAUCUUAUUCUUAUUUCCUCGAGGUGAUUCAAUUCUUUUCUUCCGGAGAUUGUUCAUGAUGAAGUAAUUCUCAGUUCUAGUGUUUCAUCUUUUCCUUUUCCGGAGUUCCAAAUUUUCUCGGGUAUAUCGUCAUGAAGCUCCAUCUAAAUCAUCGCAAGGCUUCACCUUUUGUUUUCAAUUUAUCUUUCUUUUUAUCAUCCUUUUAUUACCGGAGUUCUUCAUGGAGGCUCUACAUGGUGGUUCGUCAAGGAUUCUUUUCAUUCUUCAUUUGUUCUUCAAGAUUCCUCUCGAGGUUCUGAUCCACUAGACUAUACUCAAAAUUAAACAUGGUGCUCAACACAUGUUUUGUUUUGAGGCGUUCAAGCAUUCUUCAUCUUGCAUUCCAAAGUGCAAUUCUCCUGCCUUAUCUUUUGAGAUGGUGUUAUAUCAUUCUUGACAAUUUCCAUUCAUGUUUCAUGAUUCACAUGUUGUUAAGAAUUAGGUAUUAUAAAUCCGUCAAUCUCUUCGUUGGAGUUAUCUUGAAAUAGAUUUCACUUAAAACCUUCCCUAAGGAAUGUUGCUAAUUGUGGUGUCUAUCGAUAAUCCAAGUUUCUACCUAUUCUUGCAGUGAAAGAAGCUUUUCAUCUCCUUGGUGCUCUCAAUCAAAUCAAUGGUUUCCAUUAGUGGCCGGUUGUCACCUCAUAGUCUUGAGAUGUUUUCCAUAAGCCCACUACAAGCUUAUUCGUUUCGUUGUUGGUUUUCCAACAACACCGUUAUAACCUUCUUGGAAGGGUGCUUUCCAAGCUCAGUUGUGGCAGAAGUUGGCAUUUUCUUCUCCAUUCUAUUAUUCCAAUGAUCUAUCUUCUAUUCUUUCUUCCGAAGACAUUGUGAUGUUGCUCUCUUCACUCAUCUUCUUGUAUUGAGGAUCGUGUUCUUUUCAUGCUUAUCCAUUUAACCGGAGUUUCGUGUCCUCUUUUCAAGUUCUUUUCAUCUUAUCAAGUCUUGCAUCUCUUUUCAACCGGAGUGCUGUCCAAAUUUGUUCUUCCUUGUUCAUUGUCUAUCUCGUUUCAACGAGAGUGAUUCCAAAUCCUUCUUGUCCAUUGUACUCGUCAUUCAUAGCUUUGCAACCUCCAAGGUUCAAAUGGUGUUCCUUGUUUCUAUUUUCUACCGCAGUGCUCUCAAUUGUGUUCAACUCCGUUGUGUUCUUUCUUUCAACUUUUCAAUCUCUCAAGGUUCUUUGGUUUCACUCAUUGGUCGAAGAAGCAACUUAGUUUUACCUCUUCUCUUCCUCUUCCGUUUCUCUCUGGUGCCAUCCUAGAUCUCGGGACGAGAUCCUCUUGUAGUGGUGGAGUGUUGUAACACCCCGGAUGUAAAUUUCCAUAAUUGUAACUCCAACUCUUGCCUUUUCUGGCUUUGUGAUAUGUUAUCUCUUCCGUGGUUGGGUUUUUGUCUUUCAUUUUGCAUUUUGUUCAUGUCAUGCAUUUCAUCUCAUCUCAUCAUUCGCAUUGCAUCGACAUUGUUUUCUUAAAACUUGCAUCCGCUCGUAGUUGCCGCUCCUCGCUUCUCUCCGUUGUGUUCGUUGACCCUUUCGAGACUAACCGUGUUUCCGAUUUCCCUCUUGUCUGACCAAUUGACCCUCUAUACACUUUACUCAGACCCCUCGCGCGCGUCCGAAAGUUGUCCUGAACCCGACCCGCUCAGUCAUCACCGUUGGAUUCGGAUCAUCCCCAAACAUCUAUAAAACAUCUCCAUUUUAUUAUUUGGACUCCCUACCUAUUUAUUCUCAACCGCCCGAUUAUGAUCGGACGGACCGCGUUAACCCCUACCCUAAUCCCCUACCUAUAUAAAUACUCCAACACUAGACCAAUCCCUAAAAUUUAGCCCCCUUGUCCCAUCCAUCCCUUGUCGCGCCGCCACCCACUCAGCAUCUUCAUCGGGAUCCCACCCGAUCCACCCACCUCUCCUUGAUUUCAGCCACCGGCCAGUCGCCGUUGAACCUACGCAACCGGCACUCUCCUCUGGAUCCCCUCGAUUCGGCCAGCCGAGCGCCUCCUCCUUCCUCUGCCUGCUAUCCCGCGCCUCCGCUUGUUCUUCUCGAGGACCAGCAGAGCUCACGCGUCUCCUCCACCUCGUCCCUGCCACCGGCAGCAGGAGCAGCUCCUUCAUCCCCGACCCCCGAGCACCUCCACCGUCGUCGUCUAAGAUGAGCGCCGCCCUGGUUCCCUUUCUCUCCUUCCUCCGGUCGCUCUUCUCAUCUCUCUCUCUGUGCGUUGUAGCAGCAUCCCCGCGCCAUGGAGCUCCAAGUCCGCCGGCACGCCUCUGCUUCCAUCCGGCAGGGAACGUGACCCCGGCGACCUCCCGCGACCGGGAUCUGGCCACCCCGAGCCCUGUGCCCUCGGGCCCCGCCAGACCUCCUUCCUCCGUGCCAAGCCUUGCCGGCGCCAUGCGUCACCUUCGCCUCGGCAACAUAUCAGUCCCGCCGUUGACCGAGCCACUUGCUCGCGCGAGGCAUAACCUGCUCCCGUCAGCGACCCGCAGCCCGACACCGCCUCAAGCGGCGCCGCCUUCGCCGGAGAUUGCACCAAGUGCAGCGCGCCAGCCGCUGCGCCUCUGCCCCCUGCUUCUCUCGUCAGAGACGAACGAGCGCUUCGUCCUGCUCGAUCUAGCCGCGCCCGUUGACCGCGGCCUGCCCAGCUCCUACGCCUCCUGGGCCACAACCCAGUCGGCCCGCCUCCGACCUCCCCAGCCAGCCUCCUCCACCAACGGGCCGAAGCCCAUGGGUGAGAUACCCCAGUGCCUGCUUGUUUGGCCUGUUAGCCAGAUUCAGCCCGCAUUGUAAUUUUUUCCCUUCUGCGAAUUUAGACAUUUUUCAGAGUUUACUGUUUUACAGAAAAGUCCCUUUAGGUCAUGCAUUUAAUAACUCACAAAUAUGCAUCGGAUUAAAAUGAUUUUAAUAUGAAAAAUGCUUAGAUUUUCAUCUAGUUUCAUAAUAUUCCACUUUCAUCCAUGUUAAAAAUGCUUAAACAUGCUGUUUGCUUUAUUUUUGCAUAAAUGCCAUGUUAAAAUGAUUUAUAUCAUAACUAAUUAACCGUAACUCCGAAUUAAAUAAACUUCAUAUGUAAAUGGGGUGGAAAAUGCCUAGUUUAACUUGGUGCACCUACUUUGCAUGUUUAACAAAUCUAAAAUUAUGUAAUAGGCAGAACAGUAGCAAAUUCAAAAAUAUGAACAUGAGGAUGUUUCUAGAAUUGUUGGUUGUUGUUCCGGCCUCAUUUAAACUUGGCCAGAUAGGUAGUUUUAUUAUGCUUCACCUCUUGCCAUGUUAAGCAACAUUUAAUAUUGAUGUGUACCUAAACAAUAGCGAACUAAAUAACUCGAAUGUGGUGUUUCGUCAAUAUGCAACUCGUUGCAUAUUGAGCUCCACUUAACUUCUGGUAUUGUUUGUUGCACUUUGCCUUGCCAUGCCUCUUUAAAUCGGACAUGCAUCAUACUUGAUUGUGCAUCAUGCCAUGUUUAUGUGAUGGUUGUUUACCAUGUUGUAUGCUUCUUUCCGGGUGCGCUUCCCCUUAAUAGUUCCGGUAACGUGGCGUUCGUGAGUAUUCGUUCGACUAUGUUGGUUCUUCUACUUAAUGGACUCGUUCUUCUUCCUAUCUUGAUCUCAGGCAAGAUGACCAUUACCCUCGAUAUCACUUCUAUCUUUGCUUGCUAGUUACUUCGUUCUAUCGCUAUGCUGUGCUACAUAACACUUGUUUACCAUGCCUCCCAUAUUGCCAUGUGAAGCCUCUAACCCACCUUUCCUAGCAAACCGUUGUUUGGCUAAGUUACCGCUUUUGCUCAGCCCCUCUUAUAGAGUUGCUAGUUGUAGGUGAAGUUGAAGAUUGCUCCAUGUUGGAACAAGAUUAUGAUGGGAUAUAAUAAUAUCUCUUAUUUUAAUUAAUGCAUCUAUACACCUGGUAAAGGGUGGAAGGCUCGGCCUUAUGCCUGGUGUUUUGUUCCGCUCUUGCCGCCCUAGUUUCUGUCAUACCGGUGUUAUGUUCCUUAAUUUUGCGUUCCAUACGCGGCUGGGUUUAUGGGAACCCCUUGACAGUUCGCUUUGAAUAAAACUCCUCUAGCAAGGCCCAACUUUUGUUCUACAUUUGCUUAACAACCUAUAACCUUCCCUUGGGCAGGCCAACCCAAGGGUCAUCUUUAUUUUAACCCCCCUGGGCUAGUGCUUGUCUAAGUGUUGGUCCGAACCGAGCAGCUUGCGGAGCCACCUCGGGGAAACUUGAGGGCUGGUUUUACUCGUAGCUUGACUCAUCCAGUGUGCCCUGAGAAGGAGAUAUGUGCAGCUCCUAUUGGGAUUUGUCAGCACAUUCGGGCGGUCUUGCUGGUCUUGUUUUACCAUUGUCGAAAUGUCUUGUAACCGGGAUUCCAAGACUAAUCGGGUCUUUCCGGGAGAAGGAAUAUCCUUCGUUGGUCAUGAGAGCUUAUAAUGGGCUAAGUUGGGACACCCCUGCAGGGUAUAAACUUUUCGAGAGCCGUGCCCGCGGUUAUGUGGCAGAUGGGAAUUUGUUAAUAUCCGGUUGUAGAGAACUUGACACUUGACUUAAUUAAAACGCAUCAACCGCGUGUGUAGCCGUGAUGGUCUGUUCUCGGCAGAGUCCGAAAAGUGAACACGGUUUGGGUUAUGUUUGGACGUAAGUAGUUCAGGAUCACUUCUUGAUCAUUACUAGUUUGCGACCGUUUACGUAGCUUCUCAUCUUAUUCUGGUAUUCGUAAGUUAGCCACCAUAUCAUGCUUAGUCGCUGCUGCAACCUCACCACUAUCCAUUCCUUAUCCUUUAAGCUUUGCUAGUCUUGAUACCCAUGGUAAUGGGAUUGCCGAGUCCUCGUGGCUCACAUAUUACUACCAAAACAGUUGCAGGUGCCGAUGAUACCAGUGCAGUUGUUGCUACCGAACUCAAGUGGGAGUUCAACGAGGACCUUGGUCGUUACUAUGUUUCGUUUCCUGAUGAUCAGUAGUGGAGCCCAGUUGGGUCUAUCGGGGAUCUAGCAUUUGGGGUUAUCUUCUUUUCAUUUGGAUUUGUCCGUACUGGGACUAUGUGUGUACUCUAAAUGAUGUAUGAUUUAUUUAAGUAUUUGUGUGAAGUGGCGAUGAUAAGCCAACUCUUUAUCCCUAUCUUGUUCAUUACAUGGGAUUGUGUGAAGAUGACCCUUCUUGCGAAACAACCACAAUGCGGUUAUGCCUCCGAGUCGUGCCUCAACACGUAGGAGAUAUAGCCGCAUCAUGGGCGUUACAGCGUUUUUUAUCUACUAUGUGAAAUUGUGUUUGGUAUGACAACUGAAACCUGAUGAACAUGUUGUUUAGUAUUUUGCUGUGAGAACAUCACUUGUUAUGUAUGCUGAUUUGUGUUUGGUGAUUGUAUGGCGACUAAAACAUGAUGACAUUGUUGUUUAGUUGUACUCAUAUUUGGCUGUGAAACUUGAAUUUGAUGACAUAGUUUGCUGUUGGACUGCAAUUUGCUCGACGUCUUCGAAUGAGAACAAAGCUGACCCGACAGGGCCUCUGCUAAUUUAUUUAUUUAUUACCAAAAGGGCCUCUGCUAUUUAUUUAUUUAUGAGCAAAAGGGGAUACCCCUGAUUUCUUUUAAUAGAAAUCAUUAGAUGUUCACAACACUACGCCCAGCCUGCUACACAGGUUUCAUUCAUUACUAGUUUCGGCAAAGUGCUCAUGUCAUAGCCACUGAAUACAUCACGAGUGCUACAUACACUGCAAAUAAAGAGACAAUCAUCCUACAGAGCACAUCGAUUUUGCCCAUUAUCUUCACAAGCUCUUUCAUCUCCUCAUUGCUGUCAAGGCCGUUCAGUAGCUGUUGCUUGGCCAUGAUCAGAGGAAUUGCAUCUUUUACCUUCUUCUCUGCAUCUUCCUCUUCUACCGUUCCUUCAGUUACUUGUCCAACACCCCAACCUGCUGGUAUUGGGAUUCCUCGGCUAACCAAAUAAUCAGUGUAGUUGCAUUCCCCCACAUCAGCAACUUCCCAGAAAUACAAAUCACACGAAUCUUCCCUUUUCUGCACGAAUCAAAUUGGAAGAUCAUCAACCAAACUAUUAAAAAAAUCAGCAACUGAAAGCAGCAGAACAAGACUUAAACAUAUUCUUGCCCCAUGAUUCAGGCAUUUGUAGAAGACUCGCCAGGAUUGAGGAUUGUGGUUGAGACGCGACGGAUGACUCUGCGUGAUUUGCAGCAGUGGCACCACACCAAGGUCAGCGGGUUGCGAUGAGCAAUUGGUUGCGGUGCACGUGUUGGCGAGGGUGUGAUGAGACCCAUAGGCAAUGGUAUGGGUGGCGACUCUAUGCAUAUCUGGUUGUAGCCUUCUUAAGAGCAGGUGGACGAGAAGCCAGCGGACAUGGUUGCUGCGGCCAGAGCUUCUGAUGCUAGGCAGAGUAAGUAGAGAAGAGGAGAAGCGAAUGUUGGAUAUGUUAGUUUCAUUACUUGCAGAGUAGCAUAGCACCAUAUAUAGUCAUAGUCUAGGUUUGGAUUCGAAUCAGCUACAGGAGCACCUCUCUCUCUCUUUUCUAAAACUCGGCAAUGUCUCUUUACUAGUACACUAUCUUGUUCUGUACGCCUUCUCAAGUCUUUGGUUUUCUUUCCCUUUUUUGCGAGGAAGGAACGAGGACAAAAUUGAGAGUUCCUGGGACUUGAACCCAAGACCUUUCAGUUGAAAACCAAGGGUGCUAAGUCACUUACGUGGCGAACGUUCCCUGGGAGGAGGACGGCAGACGAAUGCAUUUUCCUCGCAGUUUUAGUUGCGACACAAGAUCGAACGGUCGUAGUUUCGGGAAUGUUAUCAGGCGAACGAGCCCAAUUUUUCUUUUCUUCCUAUAUAUAAAAAAGUAUGCUACUUGGUGUCGGCUUAGUCAACAAAUGAUUGUGCCAACCUUGACUGUUGGAUUGACCUUCAACGUCUGUCGUGUUUCUUCAGUCUCUUCUUCCUCGAGCCGCCAAAGCCAAACCAGCGCUGACGGGACCGCCUUCUUGUGGCGACCGGUUUUCCGGGUAUUAAUUUCCAGAAAAUUAGUCGUCGUGCUCAUCAGCCCUAGGAUUACUGUUAGCUGACAAGGCAUCAACUUGAUACAGAAAAAUCCAAGAAAAAUACAAAAUAUGUAGUACAAGACCAUUUUGGCCCGUGAGUACAACAAUUGGUUUCUAGUGGUUGAUGGCGGAAGCAGUUGGUGGAUCACCAGUGGCUAUGGGACUCCAUUUCCCACAAGAACAGCUGACCAGGUUAACUCCUAUCUUCGCGAGUCUGCUAUCAUCGUUGCUUACGUUCCGGGGCUGUCAUCGCAACGCCCCUCUCCAUGCACGAUAUCUGGCCAAGACAAUAGCCAGGGACAAGCCAGUGAGUACUUUGAAUGUACUCGCAAACAUUAUGAACACAGGUAUAAUAUAAGUGAUAGUCAUGCACUGAAAUAUCCCAUGAUCACAUCUUCAGUCAUAAUUAAAAUGUUCUAUGCAUGCAAGCAGGUUAUUUAUAUGAGCAUGAAAGAAUGAAGUGGAAAUAAAAUGCCGCAGUUGGGCGUCUAUGCGACACCACAUAAAGGGCUUAUAAGGAAGAUAAAUAACAAGCAAUGCCACAGUCGGGCGUUUGAGCGACACCACAUAAAGGGCUUAUAAAGAAAGAAAAUAACAAGCAUGCCACAGUCGGGCAUCUGAGCGACACCACAUAAAGGGCUUAUAAAGAAAGAAAAUAACAAGCAUGCCACAGUCGGGCGUCUGAGCGACACCACAUAAAGGGCUUAUAAAAAGAUAACAACAAUGAACAUCCAGGAGGUAGAACCGUCCCAAGGAUACUCAAUAAUAUAAUGGGUUAGUCCAUAAUAAUAACAAUAAUCAUAAAUAUCAAGCAGCACAAGUCACAAGUCAUGAGCCAUGUUCUGAUUUAGCAGUUCUCCUCCGAAGAUUGACACUAAGACCGACACUAGACCCAUCCCAGACUAUAAUCCUGAACCAUGGACACUGCUAUUCGGGUAGGUUUAAUCUCUGCAGAGGGUGUACUCUUUUACUCACGAGAAACGGAUUCCUUUAGUCCAUCGGGACUAAUUCCGUUUACGGUCUUUUAAUUGAAAACACACCUGACUUGCACACACCAGCUUAACUUACAGGUAUCUGGAAUCACCCAUGACACCUGUUAAGCAAAACUUUAAGUGGGGAGGCUACAACCUCGCGGAGCAUGGGAUCAAAUUUUUAUCGCGCGCUCUAAGGGGUGGCCUCCCCUCUCGAUCUCAACCGGAUACACCCAUGCCCCGGGACCAGGUGGCAUGACUACCGACUACAAUCGAUAUCCUCCACCGUGGCCUCUCUGUACGGCGUGUGCUUGAAAGGGGUUGACAACUUACUGAACCGUACCCUACUCGCGGCAGGGGCAAGUGGUAGUACGGGGCAAAUAUGGGGGUUACUAGAACCAGACUUGAUCUGCGGUAGACUCAGGGGUUUCAUAAAUUUCCUUGUGUGACAUGUAUAACAAAAAUAUUUCAACCAACACAUCAACACUCAAUAUAUCUUACUAUGCCAUACCGGUCAUAACCGUCCCGACGGAGGCUGGCGACAAGCUCACGCCUACCCAAGGCAGAGACUUUCCCAGAUACCUUUCCGGCAUGCAGGCAAGGCACAUGAGGAUGAUCACCAUCACAUGUAUAUACGUUUCCAACAGCAAGGAAAAAUAUUAAAAUGCAACCAUGCAAAUGAUCAUAUCACAUGAAAUAACAUGUCCUCCGGAAUAAGGCGGUGUUAUAAACGUGUCAACUAACACAUCAAAAAUAUUAUGCCGGGGUUCAGAAUGCUUGCCUUCAAGUUGUGGAGUGGUGAGGUGCUCUCCAAAACUAUUGAAAGUUUUCUCCUCUCUCCCAAAACCCUAUUUAAAAAAUAUUUCUUAAUUUAACACUCAUUUUCAAAACAGCACAAAAAAAGUUGUCUGAAUUUUUUUCAAAUAAAUCUUAAAAUAAAUUAGACAAUAUUUGAGAGAGGUAGGAAAGAGAAUCAAUUCAUUUGGAGUUGUAUUUUAAAAGAUAUAGCUGGUCAAAGUUUAGUCAAAAUUCUGUUUUUAAAAAUAAAACAGAAAAGAAAACGUUUCAGUUAAACACGUACACGUCGAAAGCGUAUUUUUGAUUUACGCUUCCACUUACUCCGCGUGGACCGUGCGAGGGUCACUGACAGUGGGCCCGGGGGGCCCCACUGGUCAGGUUUGACCAGUCCCCUUCCCUCUUCCUCCUCUGGCCGAACCGAGGCGGGGGCUCCGGCGAUCAUCGCCGGCGUUUGGCUGCUCCUCGCGGGCCCCCGAGGGUGGGGAUGGAUCCGGACGACUGGGGCGGUUCUUCCGAUGGUCGAGAAAGUGACGGGGACGGAGUGAGCUGCCGGUGGCGAGCCUCGCGGCGGAGGAGGCAUUCGGGAGCGAAGUGGUUUUGGGGCUGCGGUGGUUCCCGAUCAAAAUUGAGAAGGGGGAUGUGUUCACGGGAGGAAGGGAGGGUUUCUGGUGAAGAGAGUGGAGAGGGGGAGGCUCUGGAGGCGCCGGAAUGGCCUGGGUAGUGGAGGCGGCGGCAGUUGCCGGAGAUGGGGAAGAGGACCUCCCCGGGUCGAUUGGCUGCCAAUGGGGGUCUUAGGAAGGUGGCUUGAGACUGCCUGCGUGCGGAGACGAGCUCGGGGCUCCUUAAAUAGGCGCUCGGGGUCGGUUCCGCGGCGGCUGUGGAUAAGUUCGCCGGCGAACCGCCUCCCUGUAGCGGCAGGGUGCCGUGGCGGCGACGAGAGCUAGAGGACGCGCGAGAGGAUGAGGCUGAGCUGUUCCAGGGGCAGGUGGCGAGCAGCUGGGGCUUGGCCGGCACUGACCACGGCAGGGCGCGCUGCGGACGCCGGCGUGCCGCCAAAGGUUCUGAUGGCAGUGCUGCAGGGUACCAGGGCCUGCUUGGCGGGUUGCGGUGAGGAGGGGAGUGUGUGGCGCGGCUCUGCAAGGCGGUGGCAAACCAGGGGCGCGACGCGUCGGCUCGGGCGCGGCACGUGCAAUACGCGUGCUCUGCUCGCGCCCAGAGCACGCACGGAACGUGCUCGAUGAAAUGCCAUGGCAUGAUAUGGGGCUCCAAACCAUAAGAGUGUUAGCAGGGUGGGGUUAUAGUCUAAGGCAAAGCUAUUUGACAUGCUGGUUUGGUCAGGGGAUCAAGUCCACAGUGCAAACAAGGACUCAUGCCAAAACAGAUCAUGCCCAUAAGGUGUUUGACAAAAUGCCAAGGGCACUUAGGCAUUUCUUGGGGUGGCCAAAACUUCCAGAGUGGGGUCUCUUUAGAUGAAAGAGAGGGUGGUGAGGUUAGUUGGCCCAAAGCUCAAACUUGCCAGUGCAAGUUUUGCAAAACUUCAAUUCUGGACAGAAAGAAAAUGGCAUUUUUGCAAGCACUUAGAAACAUUUAAUGGGUCCACUCUCCUGUACUUAAGGAUUUGGCAAGGAGGACUAUAAGUAGGAAAAGGAAUCAAGGGCCAAAGAGCAAGCAAGGAUAUGGUUGUUGUACAAACCAUCAUGUUGGACCAGAAUGAAGAUGAGGUUGAUUUACUCAAAAUUCUCAAAGAACAUCACUAGGUUAUUUCAAAAAGCUGAUUUGCAUGCUAUUACUGACAUCCCAAAAUUUUGGUGGAAGCUAGAAAGAAUUAUUUAAAUAGGUUGUAGUGCAAAACUGCCCACUGGACCAGAUUUGAAAAUAAGGUGCAGAGUUCAAAAUAUUUAAUGGGCAGAGGAUAUUUUUGCACAAAAGUGGUUUAGAUACUCCAUAUGACAACUCCAAAUUUUAGUGUGAUUUUUGAAUGAAUUUAUAAAAGGGUUGUAGUACAAAUGGGACCAUGAAACUAUGGGGAACCAAUUUUCAAGAAAGUAAAGAUCAGAAGGACCAUUAUAUAAUUAAUUCCUCUGAUAAAGAAAUUAUUUUCCUUUAGAGGGUAAACAAGUCCAACAUCAUAUUAGAAAGGUUUUCAUUUUAGGAAAUAACUCCAAGAAAACCAAGAAAAGAAUGGUUCUGAAAAUCAAUAAAAUCCAAGACAAGGAAAGUUUAAAUUUCCUGGAAAAAUUUUAAUUAACAAAACAAGGUUAAAAAUUUUUGGGUGUCACACUGCUCCCGCCUCCCACGACUAGCUAUGCUGCUGCGAUCGCAUCAUGGCCACAUCGCACCCUAAAACUCUGUGCAUCUUCCCUGGCUCCUGUUCGUUCCCGUCCGAGGCCUCACCAUCGUCCUCCGGCUUGGUUCGCUUGCUGCGGCACCGCCCUCCGGUGUUGUCAACAUGGUCAACAACCGAGAGGAAUAAGGAGAUGACUGUACAUGGUGAGGAUGACAGUAGGGACCCAGCAGCGCGCGCAGUAAUUUUUAUUUUUCAGGACGGAGAAGGGUAUCAACUGGGGUGUGCGGGACCUAUGGCCCGUCUAGCGCAGGCUUUAAUUUCAUAUGUUUAGCACAUGACCAACCCAGUUUGUUUCUUUUCUUUCUGAAAAUGGCUAGCCAGCUAUUUUGUUUUUGCAGAAUAACCAACGUAGGCCUACUUGCUUUUCUACGCCCUGCUAGGGCGGAAAUCUUUCAAGAUGAGGAGGGAUGCAUUUUGCCCAGAAAAUGGGCUGUAAGUAAUAAGAAAUGGGCUAUAAGUAAUAAUAAAUGGGCUGUAAAAUGAAAAAAAUACGGAAACAGGCAAUUAGUUCCAAAAUACUUUUUUCUUUUGGAUUUUGAUAUUUUAAAUUUCAUUGUUUGUGGGUAAAUUUUCAUUAAAUUUAAAUUAAGGUAUAUUUAGUUUUAAAAUUAAUUUGAAUCUGGCUAGAAAUUUCGGGUUGUAUGCUAUUUGGGACAAGAUUUGAAGGCUGACUUGUGGGUCUACUAGGUUGACGUGUACGAAAGGCUUUGUCAUCUUAGUCCACAAACGGUUCUAGCAGCAGUGACUGUUGGAUGUUAAUCCAACGACCGUGCUGCUUCUUCAAUAUCUGAUCUUCUUGCUCCAGCCGCCCAAACCAGCACCGGUGGGACUGCCUGCUCCCGCCUCCCGUGGCCGGCUGUGCUGCCACACAGGCCGCACCGCCCCACCCUACUUCAUUGCUUGCCAGGCCAUUCCUCUACUCACCCACACCUCCUGUUAUUUUUCGGCGACGGCAGCCGGACCAGUAAACCCUCGUACUCCCCACCGCGUGGGCAACCAUUGUUGAGUCUUCCUCGGCUCCAUGUCGUUCCCUUCCUAGGCCUCACCAUCGUCCACCACCAUGGUGCUUUUGGCGCGGCCUGGUCAACAUGGUCACACUACAAGAAAUAUGUCAACUUGUGACCUUGACUAUUGGUCACUGAAAGGUCAUUGUUUUUCAUUUGCGACCUUUUUGUGACCAAAAACAAAAGGUCAAAAGCUGGUGGUCGUAAACUGAAAUUAACGACCUUCUCUAUGAGAAGGUCGUAGACGUUUACGACCGAAACAGAAGGUCGUUGAACCCAUGACCUUUUGUUUUGGUCACUGGCUAUCUGCCCAGGCCACGUCGAAUCCGACGUGGCAAAAUUACGACCAAUUGAAAAGGUCGUUGACAAGAUUUAGCCCGGUCCGAUUGAGUGUUUUACAUGGGCCGAGCCCAUUAAUUCAGCCUUUUUACUGUAUAUUUUUUCUAUUUAUUUUCUCUAGCUACAUGGGCCUGGCCCAACCAUUUGGCCUUUUUAUUUUCUAGAGCAUUGCGGUCCAUUUCUUUUUAAUUUCCUGUUUUUUUGUCAGCUUCAGUAGUGGGUCCCAAUUGUCAGAUUUUUCCUGGCAGUGGUUCCAAAUCGCUUUUUCACAUCUUAUUAAUAAGCAGUAUAUAUCAAACAGAAAGAAGAGAGAAGCAUAUGAAAAUCUUCAAUAAGAACCAAAAUAGGUUUAUUACAAUAUAUUCUGUACAGAACAGAACAUGUGAAACUCCAUACACUCGUUCACAUCACAACAACCAGUUUAACCGUCAAAUAUUGCAUGCCCAGGAACUUCUUCACGUACAUAACCAUACAAUAUUCCACACUAGCUACUCUUGGAUACCACGGAACACACUCUUCAAGAUAGGAAGAAGUCAUCAACGGAGUUCUACCAACAACACGAGCUCCAUUCACCUGCAAGAACAGAAUGGAAUAUCAAGUACUUGGAUCAUUCAAGCAGAUUACAACCAAUAUAUAUAUAUAUAUAUAUAUAUAUAUAUAUAUAUAUAUGUAAAAGUACAUCAGUAAAUAUGAUGGAGAAAAUCGGACAACAGAUACACUUAUACAACCCAACAAAUGGGUGAUGACGACAAGCAAAAAAUACACUCCCAAAUUUGGACAAAUAGUGUCAGAUCAAGCAGAAAAGAAAACAUGAUUUCAGCAAAACUAGAACUGUCAAUGAAAGUUGAAUAACAAUGCAGCAGAUUAGCUCUUAGCAUGGAGGAACAUCACCAAAUUAAACAAGAUGGUUUUUCAAGUUUCUAUAUGAGUAUUCAUGAUUUCGGUUUGUCAUCGUCCUUUAAAUAUCUUGGCAAACAUUGACAUCAAAGAAACAAAAAAUUUAAGUCAAUAGCUUUGUGAGCAUGUAGUAGAUUGUUCACAUCCUAAUGAAAUACAUGGCAAAUAAGCUUUACCAUGUAGACAAACACCCACUAACUCAGACACUACAGGUGCUUGUUUCAUCAUGUUACAAAGGAGCAGCACAAACCACAACUUUACUCCACACACACACACACACACACACACACACACACACACACACGGACCAGUAGAUCAACAGGAGGACAUAGAUUAGACCAAAUCCACAUAAACAAAUCCAUACACAUAGCAGGAUAACUGGAUAGUGGCCAAUUGGUUUGAUCAAGAGCAACAGUGCAUAUUUUCCCUGAACCUAAAAUUGCCAUAGUGCGUAAAUCAUGCACUGGUCAGAGCACAACACCACAAUCACCAGUACAAGGCCACCAGAAGCACUACAGAGAGGGAUAGAGCUCACCUAGGUGGUUUGUAGCCGAGGCAGAAGCAUAGCCGUCCGUGGUUGUGGCAGAGUUCCUUGCAACGCAUACGCAGAUCCUCGAGGCUUGUUGUCUUUACCAACACUUCAUCCCACAAAACAACUCCCUCGGCUGCCAUGUCACAUGCUUCUACUACCUUGUCCACCAUGUCAUAGAUGCAUCCAGAGUAGUUGGACUGAGAUCCUCCAGCAGAGGGGCACAACCAACUAACAUACAAAAGGAGAAACGGUCACUUUAAACGGUAAUAAUAUUUUAGGUCUGACUAGUACUAAAAUCAACAACAUCCGACUCUAUAUAGAAAAUCAACAACAUGUUGUGACAGUACCACUGUGCUCCCAAUCAUAAACAACAAGAUUCGGGACAUUUAUCAUGCCAACAAUACCACUAGUAGUAGUACCAAUGUGUUAACAAAAUUUAGGCCAGUAUUACCAGGACAAAGCCCCUGCUGCUCUCAAACAGUAGAUCACUGCCAUAAGCUUUGAUUUCUGGCAACAAGGGGAAUUGGAUCAAUUGCAAUUCAAGAUGGUGCAUUAUUUGCUAGUGGCAAAGCAGGUACGUUUUUACUGGGUACUGACAAAGUUGGUUUUUACUAGGUAGCGGCAUAGUAAGUUGUGGCAUUUAAAAAAAAAGCCAGUGAGAAAACCAGCGGCGGCUGCUUUAGCCCGCUUCUCACCUCCUGGACACUGUUGCUGUAGGAUUGCAGAAAUAUUAGGGAACAUGAAAAAAGAAUCUCAUGAAGGGCAGUACUAUAAUACUAUAUUCAUAGUCUCACAAAGCACCCAGCAGAAAGCAACACACAAUGAUGUCAUAUUUUUACACAACGGGUUAGCAAUGAUUCGAUUAGGGUACAACAAAGAGAGGAACAUUAACUUGUUCUGUGUUGAUUCAGUUCAGAACAGUCACAAAAUGAGACCCCUAAUUAGUAUAUAGAGAGUUUAACUAAUUACUAGUACUAAAAGUUGCAGCAGAUUCACUAAUUAGUUGAGCAGAAAAGGUUGUGACACUAAGAGGAUGUCAGUAUGAGAAAUAAUUGCAGAGCUCGACAAAAAAUAGCGCCGGCUACUUCUGUUCUACAAUAGUGCCAGCUAGUUCAUUUGCAAUGAACAUAGGAGUUCUAUACCAUUUUUAGUUUGUUUGCAAUGUACUAUGUAGAACAGUAAAUGGUCGCCGCAGAUUCCUGAAUGUUGGUGUGAUCUCAGGCUGGCGACUCUAUUGCCCGCUCACCUCGAAGAAGGACACUGCAAGCAGAGGUGGAAACAAGGACAUUACUCUGGAAGCUGCAUACACGGUACGGUGUACAAGUACUUGCAUACUCUGCUUGGUAUACAUGUACCUGGAGAGGCGGUAGUGUUGAGGGAGUAGUUGGCGAGGGGGACAACGAAGGACUUGAUCCUCCCCGUGUAGUACCUCGUCCUGCUCGCCAUCUUGGACAUGCUCUGUAGAAAACGCCGCGCCAUUGCUGAUCAAACGUCACGGCCACUGAUUACUUGCUCGUUGCGCGGAGAUGUUAAUCAGUGUGACAACUAGUCACUAGAUACAAAACAAUUCAUAUAAAUAGGGCAUGUUGACCUGUGUGCGGAACCGGUGACGCAGCUGAUCUGGAUAUGGAUCGGCGGUGGGAUACCUACAUCAAGAUUCAACAAUCAUCGUUUCAUCAGUAAAUCAUAAGAAAGAAAAUCUCAAUUCAAGUUUUCCUGAAUCAACUAGACUUCACUGUGUAGGUACUACCAAGUACCAACAACUUAAAUACCUAAGUACCACGCUUUAGUUCUAGAUCUCUACAGUUCUAUAUUUACCAACCCAAUAUGCCCAAUUUCCCACAGACCGAUUCAAAGUUAUUAUAGCUUACAGGUUAAGCCUAGGGAAUCAAAGGAAAUACACAUCAGAAAUCUUAGGUACAUGUUGGGACAACACUACAAUGUUUCACACAAUAUGCAUAUUGGAAAGAACAAAAAUGUAAAGGAGCAGCUGACUAAAUGAUAGUGGAAAUAAACAAUUCUAUGGUAUACUAAGCCAAAGGCCUGCCUACAAGGUACCAAAAAGGCAUAGAUUUUGACAGCACUGUCAACAUUAGCACUUUUCAAAUUACUAAAUAAUACCAUGCUAAUCCAUUUGCAUCACAACAGUCAGCUAGAGUCAAAGGUGAUGUAAAGUGGUCAAACAUUCAAAUGCUUACACAAUAACCAAUCCAAAGGAAAACAUGGUUGCCAACUAGCACAGGAAUAUUCAAGCAUCCAUCCAUAUACUAUUUCUUUUCCAUUACUCAAGGUCUUGCUGGCAUUUCCACUUCACUAAACCUUUUAAAAUUUGGAAGUCAACUAUGAGCUCAAAUCUUCCUGUGUACUUGAAGGCCGCCCAUACUAAUACUUAAUGAUAAUAUACUGAUGAACAUCUUAUAACUUGCGAAUAAGAAAAGUGAAGUAUGCACGGGUAACAGGAAGCUUCUUCUAUCUGAUAGACUCAACACCAGAAACAUGCUGAAGCGAAGACACUACAACAUUGGCAAUGACUAUACUUGCCCCCUCUGCGAGUCCAACAUGGAAGAAACACUUGAACAUCUUUUCUUUGGUUGUGCCUUCAGCAAGGACUGCUGGUCUGAUAUUGCCAUCCGCUAGAGCUCUCAAGGUUCACGAUUGGAUUGGAUAAGCACAACUAAAAUUGCAUGGAACAAGCCAAUGUUCAUGGCAAUAUUCCUACAAGCUGCAUGGAGCAUCUAGAAGGAAAAGAAUAAUAAAUUUUUCAGAAGAAUCACACCCAUGAAAACAUCCUGGAUUUCAAGACUAAAAGAGGAUCUAUCUCUCCUAACUCACAGGGUUGGAGAAAAACACACCUCCUUUCUCACCUCCUUUUUAGCUACUCUUUGAUUUGUUCCCUACCCCACCCCCACCAUCCCCAAAGGGGACGGCAUGUACAAAACCAUAAGUAAAUCCCCCCCCCCCAUUUAUUAAUUUAAUUACACAGUAGGAGGCUCUCCUACUGUUUCAGGUGUCAAAAAAAAACAACCCUGGUGUUUUGUACUCCUAGUGAUGGGAAACACCUACAUGAACCGUACAAUAAUACGGUUUGCAAGUAGCAUCGUAUCAUUCCAAUGAACUCACUGAUCAAAUGAUCAAAAGACAAGAUAACAGUAACUGGUAAGCAUUUCAUCAAGUCACGAUAGCAGUCACAACGUUUAUAUAGGAAUGAAACAUGAGGCUAAAGCAACACAAUCACCACCUUUACUGACAAAUGAUGAGAAGAGGAAGCAGACGGCGAGAGCGACGACGAUGAGGAGGAGCAGGAGCAUCCGCCGGCGACGGCCCGCGAACAUGCAUAUCAGGGCGAAGAGGAGGCGCUCGCCCCGUGGCCGCCGGCGCCGGGGCCGCCGCCGCCGAGGGACAUCUUCGCGGGCUUCCGGACUGCCACCAGCGGCGACGGGGAGGGGGACUGGCCAUUGGGCUGCUGCAGGGACCCAUAGCUCCCGGACGUCCUGAGCCCCAGCGAUGCCCCGCCGCUCAUGCCUCCGCUGCCUUCGGGGCCAUGGCGCCAGCUCUCAUCGCCCCGCAAUGCUGGGCCGGCGCAGUGCCAUAGAUCACGGUCUGGACACCCCACCCGUCGACACUACAAAAAAAUACACUUCCGUGAUGAUACGUGUUUGUCACAGUAGGUCGUGUUUUUUGUCAUGCAUGUACAUCCAUGACAAAUUUAUGACAGAAUCAAGAUAGUCAAACCUGUGCUGUCAUAGAAGUGUUCCAUGACAUUACCAAAAUUAUCAUCAUCGAAGUGUCCACUUCCAUGACGAUAAAUCGCGCGUCACAGAAGUGCUUUCGUCAAGGGUGACCGACACGUGGCAUCCACCGUAACGGAAUGCCGUUAAGCUAUCGGGUCGGGUUUUGGAUCUGAUAACCCGUUAACAACCCCGACCAAUGGGGAUUUUCCAUGCGUAAAAUCAUCAUUGGCUGGAGGAAACACGUGUCGGCUCAUCAUUGGGACAGAUGUCAUCCACUCACUGGACAGAAGGCGCCUAUGAUACGUCGACAUGUGGCACGGCCCAACAGUGGCCUGAGUACUUGAAGGCCGCCCAUACUAAUACCUAAUGAUAAUAUACUGAUGAACAUCCUAUAACUUGCGAAUAAGAAAAGUGAAGUAUGCACAGGUAACAGGAAGCUUCUUCUAUCUGAUAGACUCAACACCAGAAACAUGCUGAAGCGAAGACACUACAACAUUGGCAAUGACUAUACUUGCCCCCUCUGCGAGUCCAAUGUGGAAGAAACACUUGAACAUCUUUUCUUUGGUUGUGCCUUCAGCAAGGACUGCUGGUCUGAUAUUGCCAUCCACUGGAGCUCUCAAGGUUCACGAUUAGAUUGGAUAAGCACAGCUAAAAUUGCAUGGAACAAGCCAAUGUUCAUGGCAAUAUUCCUACAAGCUGCAUUUAGCAUCUGGAAGGAACGGAAUAAUAAAGUUUUCAGAAGGAACACACCCACGAAAACAUCCUGGAUUUCAAGACUAAAAGAGGAUCUAUCUCUCCUAACUCAUAGGGUUUGAGAAAAACACACCUCCUUUCUCACCUUCUUUUUAGCUACUCUUUGAUUUGUUCCCUACCCCACCCCCACCAUCCCCAAAGGGGACGGCAUGUACAAAACCAUAUGUAAAUCCCCCCAUUUAUUAAUUUAAUUACACAGUAGGAGGCUCUCCUACUGUUUCAGGUGUCAAAAAAAUAGCAACCCUGCUGUUUUGUACUCCUAGUGAUGGGAAACACCUACAUGAACCAUACAAUAAUACGGUUUGCAAGUAGCAUCGUAUCAUUCCGACGAACUCACUGAUCAAAUGAUCAAAAAACAAGAUAGCAGUAACUGGUAAGAAUUUCAUCAAGUCACGAUAGCAGUCACAAGGUUUAUAUAGGAAUGAAACAUGAGGCUAAAGCAACACAAUCACUUCCUUUACUGACAAAUGAUGAGAAGAGGAAGCAGACGACAAGAGCGACGGCGACGAGGAGGAGCAGGAGCAUCCGCCGGCGACGGCCCGCGAACAUGCAUAUCAGGGCGAAGAGGAGGCGCUCGCCCCGUGGCCGUCGGCGCCGGGGCCACCGCCGCCGAGGGACAUCUUCGCGGGCUUCCGAACAGCCACAAGCGGUGACGGGGAGGGGGACUGGCCAUUGGGCUGCUGCAGGGACCCAUAGCUCCCGGACGUCCUGAGCCCUAGCGAUGACCCGCCGCUCAUGCCUCCACCGCCUUCGGGGCCAUGGCGCCAGCUCUCAUCGCCCCGCUACGCUGGGCCGGCGCAGCGGCAUAGAUCACGGUCCGGACGCCCCACCCGCCGACACUACAAAAAAGUACACUUUCGUUAUGAUACAUGUUUGUCACAGUAGGUCGCGUUUUUUGUCAUGCAUGUACAUCCAUGAUAAAUUUAUGACAGAAUUAAGAUAGUCAUACCUGUCCUGUCGUAGAAGUGUUCCAUGACAUUACCAAAAUUAUCAUGACGGAAGUGUCCACUUCCAUGACGAUAAAUCGCGCGUCACAGAAGUGCUUUCGUCAAGGGUGACCGACACGUGGCAUCCACCGUAACGAAACGCCUUUAAGAUAUCGGGUCGGGUUUUGGAUCCGAUAAGCCGUUAACAGCCCCGACCAAUGGGGAUUUUCCACGUGUAAAAUCAUCAUUGGCUAGAGGAAACACGUGUCAGCUCAUCAUUGGGACAGAUGUCAUCCACUCACUGGACAGAAGGCGUCUAUGAUACGUCAACACGUGGCACGGCACAACAGUGGCACAUUCCUGUGAAAAGGCCGGCCCGUUUGACUUGGUCAAAAGAUGGCGGGCCGGCCCAUGGAAAGCCUGUUAACGGCCUGUUAGCAUAUAGCCCAUUUACAGCCCGCUAACCCAAGGCCCGUUACGCCCUAUGCGAAUUAGGCCCAGUAGCGUCAUCUGGGCCAUCCAAUAUGAUUCUAGCCCGUUUUCACUUCUGGCCCAUGUAUGGCCCAUGACGUCUUUCGGCCCAUAUGAGGUCCUUUGUAACUCUUGGCCCAUUAGCGGCCCGUGCUGAAACUGGCCCAUAAUGAACAGUGUAUUACUUUACACCCAUUAAUGGCCCGCAGUGAAACUGGCCCGUAAUGAACAGUGUAACACUUUAUACCCAUUAACGGGCCGUUAUUCCGCUGGGCCAUUUCCAGCCCAAGUUAACUUUCGGCCUUCUGAGGGCCCAUUUAUUCUUGGGCUCAUUUGCAGCAUUCGGUUACUUACGGCCCGUUACUGUCAUUUUCUGCUUGUGGGCCAAAUUCAGCCCGUCGUUACAAUCGGCCCGUUUGUGGUCCGUUAGUCUGUUGGGCCAUUUUCAUAGCAUCACCAAAUACGGCCUAUUAACGGCCCGUUAUGGUCCGCCCAUAAAAUGUAUGAUUUCCAUUAUAGGCCCGUCUAUGGCCCAUUAAAGGCCAGUACAAAACCCAUAAAUGAUUCAGCGGCCCAUGGAUCCUACGUGACGUAGAAGGCCCAUGGAUCCUGCGAGACUUAGAAGGCCCAUGGACACUGCGAGACGUAGAAGGCCCAUGGAUCCUGCUAGACGUAGAAGGCCCAUGGAUCCUGCGAGACGUAGAAGGCCCAUGGAUCAUACGAGACGUAGAAGGCCCAUGGAUCCUACGAGACGUAGAAGGCCCAUGGUCGGGCGAGUUGGCCCCCGUUUGAAUGAUAUAGCAUAUUCAAAGAAUUAUCCUACUCAAUACUAUCACCUCUAAAGAUCAUACACUAUACAACAAAGAGAUCAAGGCAUAGAAAGGUAGAAUAAUCCUACACUAUACAAUAAAGAAAUUACAGCCGAUUAUACCCACUGGGCAUUAUGGUACGACACAGGUGAUAAUAAAGCAUACACAAACAGCAAAUUACAUACACUGGGCAAAUACGGCUCAUACAUCAUGGACGCGCAUCAACUUAACUCCAUUUGAACUACAAUCUCUUCAGAAAAUAGGAUUGGUCGGAUUCAGAUAGCACAAAUUUCAAUCUGCAAAAUCUCCAAUUCCUACAUGGUUACCUCGAUGUCUUGUUUCAUUUUUUUGACUCCUGCAUCUAAUACCUGCAUGUCCAGUCUCAACUUGUUGAUUAUACGUUGACAAUCAUGUACACGUUGUCUUGCCACCUCUAGUUGAUGCUCGAGAACAUCAGCACAUUCCAAUUCCAAUCCAUAAUCAUUCGGUAAUGGCCAUGCCGCACUGCUCGCAGAUUUUUGUGUUGAUGUCACUUCAUCCUGAAAUGUUUCUGUAAGUACACAUAACUAGGGCAAAAAUAUAGUUACAACAGUGAAGCGAACAAGACACUAUUUUGUACUACAUGGCAAAACAGGACUAACAAUAAUUUUACACGUCACUUUCACAAAAAAUGUUACACGUCAUGAAGCAUAAGCAGGUGAUAUUUUAAAAAUUAUAAAAAAGAUAGUCUGUGCAACCUGCAUACAGAAAUCCCUCUUAGCUCACCAGAGGAGCAUGAUGUUGGGGCCCAAUUGAAAACAUAGACAAGUUACAAAUUUAGACAGCAUGUUGCGUAUAAGUAAGCAAGCAGUUGGCCAUUCUGUACCUCAAUUAAAGUCUUAGGGAGCAUAAUGAACAGCAGAGGGUUUCAUACAAACAUACUACAGUAGGCAAAACUAUGCAAUCAUUAGCGUAGUAUAAACUAGAUUGUGAGCCUCAUGCAAUAAUAGUUGGUUAAUAGACUUCAAAGCUUCAGGCACACUUUGGCAGAGUAAUUAAAUGGUAAGGCCUUUAAUUAUGUUAACUAAUAGUGAUACAAGUACCGAACAUCAGGCAUAAUUAUUUGGGCAUCUCAUUAAGUGAGGACAAAUAAAGCAAUUGAAAAGAGAAAAUUAACUAUGCCUGAAACAAACAAGGAAUUGAACUGUUGAGUUGCAUACAGUGACUUACCUUAGCAGGUUGAAGAGGCUCAGUGCAGCUCCUACUUCUCUUGCAAGGCUCCUUCCUAACAUCUUGUACUUGGAAAUCCUCAAUCUUAUCUUCAUUGCACCCCCUCUGCAAGGUGACACAAACUACUUACUUGUCUCCUUGGAAGAUAAAUAUGCAUACUUUCCAGUCUGUGAACACAAAAGGAUGAGAUUAUAACAAAACAACACCACAUAAUGAAACAUGCCGCAUCUCUUGCACUUGCACACAAUGAAAUGAGCAUUUACUAUGUCUGCACUAUGUAAAAACUAGGCAUACCUUCAAACUGGAUCUCCAGGUACUCUUGGAGAGCCUACUGUAGUGUACAGCAAAACCUUUAUGUCACCUAUGAGUUAGACAAGGCCCCACUACAGCAGCCCUUAGUGUUUAAAUCAUCGACAAGCUCUGUUAGAGUGUUAGGUCAAGAACAACAAGUAAUCAAAGCAAACAAUCCUAGUAUGGCUGGCUGAUGCAAACAAGCAAUUGAACAGAUGUGUGAGCAAAUCUUACAUAUCAAGAAAAGAAGCAAAGAAGGAGCCUUAAAGACCAUCACUUGAAUGACCAGAUUUAAGGGGCAUUUAAACAUCAUGUGCAACGUAUGAACUAACAUAAACAUUGCAUAUUCCAGAUUCUACAAUGGAAUGCACAUGUAUUAGGUUAUGCCAUGUAUGAUGAUGCCUAAAUGUAUAGAUAGCAGGUAGGAGUGAUUCAUCAUUGCACGCACAAUUGAAUUGCAGGUUAAGGGCCAGUUCAAUUCCGCCUUUCAGGGCAUAUUGUCAAAAUAAGCCAUAAAAGAUUUAAAGAAGUCAUUUUUGUGUUAUGGGCUUGGGCUUAACUAAUUUCGCUUUGGAGGGGGGUGUUUCGGGUAGAACCUCACUAAAAAUUGAAGGGAAGGGGAAUAGUGAAAUGACUCUGUUGUCUGCCUAUAUUACACUCAAAAUGCAACUGCUGACGCCCGUGUCACACCUGACCCUCAAGUAAAAACAAACACGCAAGCAUUCAUUGCCAUGCCCGCUUGCAUCUCCUCUCCCCUUUCCCUCUACCUCGAUCCCCUGCCUGCAGCACUAGGGUUCCUCCAGCGAGCCGUCGCCACUGGUCCCAUCUAGCCUGGUCCUCGACGAUGCUAUGUCCAGCUAGGCUACAUGGCCGACGGGUAGGGGAAAAUCUCCCUGGCUGCUCCUCCCUCUAGCGCCGCCCCUCAUUCUCAUGGUCUCCAGCAGCUGCUCCACUAUGGUUCGUCCAACGCACUACUCCGGCGGGCGCUGCACAACUACGGCUGAUGCCACACCGUGGCAGAAGGCACCUUGUUCCCCCUCCCCUCCUCCCAGGCCAUGUCCUUGAGGAGCUGUUGAAGGAUGAGCUCAUCCAACAAGGUGAGGAUCUCCUCUGAUUUUUUGCCAAAUUUUCAUUCUGAUCCACUAUACGAUGAAUUGAUAUGAGCUGCUUCUGCUGCUGCUAUAUGAUGCAUUGCUAUGAGCUGCUCCUGCUGCUGCUAUAUGAUGAAUUGCUAUGAGCUGCUGCUGCUGUAUGAUGAGUUGCUAUGAGCUGCUGCUGCUGCUAUAUGAUGAAUUGCUAUGAGCUGCUGCUGCUGCUAUAUGAUGAGUUGCUACAAGCUGAUCCUGCUGCUGCUAUAUGAUGAAUUGCUAUGAGCUGCUCUUGCUGCUGCUAUAUGAUGAAUUGCUAUGAGCUGCUCCUGCUGCUGCUAUAUGAUGAAUUGCUAUGAGCUGCUGCUGGUAUAUGAUGAAUUGCAGACUGCUGCUGCUGUAUGAUGAGUUGCUAUGAGCUGCUGCUGCUAUAUGAUGCUUUCAGGUGGUGCUGCUAUAUGAUAAUAACCAGCCACUUGGACAAUCGAAUUUCAAUAAAUAAUUGUUCUUCAUUUAAAUGUGGGUCAAGCGUUCUUCGUUUAAAUUAGGAAAUGGGAUCUCUAUGGAAAACAUUGACCAAAGUAGAUUGUGACAAGUAGAUGUUAUCUUUGUAUUUGCAUUUUGAGCAAAUAGUGAUGGUUUGUUUUCAUAUCAUAUUAAUUACUGCACUGGGUUCAAUUUGUGAUGUUUGCAAGUCAAAUUUAUUUCCAUAUGGGCAGCAAAAUGAAAAAUAUAUAUAAUGCAAUCUAGACUUUCCACUGAUCAUACCAAAGAUAAGCUAAAAACGCAAUGAAAAGAACUGGUUGGCGUAUUACAUGGAGCUUAUAUUCACAGGUGCUUAUUUUCUUAGGAUAGAUCGUAAUAACUAUCCCUAAGAAACUUGGCUAAUAGAACUGGCAUACAAAUAACAUGUCACGAUGAUUGCAAUGGAGGAGUGACGUACCAUAGCACACUGUAUAGGCUCACCGCUGCCUCUCCUUUUUUUUGCGAUGUUCCAUGAAAUUGCCACAUACAUCUUGUACUUUUUCAUUGUGUAACCCUAUCUGCAAGUUGACAUGGCUAAUUUCAGACAUAUCUACAUGAUACUACAUUGCAUAUCCCUUGCGCAUAUUUAAACCACCAAUUAACGAUUGUGUGCGUACCAUAAACUAGCCAUGACUCUGUAUGCUGGACUGGCAGGCACUCUAAGGGAGCCUAAUGUAGUGCAUUGGAAUUCCUACAUGCCACCUAUGAUUUUGUGUAAUGUACUGCCCCUGUUCCUAAAUAUAUGUCUUUGAAGAGAAUCCAGUAUGGACCACAUACAGAUGUAUAUAGAUGCAUUUUCGAGUGUAGAUUCACUCAUUUUGGUCUGUAUGUAGCCUAUAGUGGAAUCUCUAGAAAGACUUAUAUUUUGGAACGGAGGUACGAGGUAGUAUCAUGUAUGACAUCUACAUAUCUAAUUUAGCAGCCAGUAGUAGAAAUCAUUGUCUGCACAAAGGGAUUACUGGUCGAAAAUCCUAGCAAAGCACGCUGGCAGGCAUAGAACAAUACAAGAGAGAGAGACGCGCUUACAAGAUCAUAGCAAUGCCUCAGUCCAGGAUCUUAGUUGGCCAAGCUGUUAGAUCCAGAAGAAACAUCGUCCUUGUAGUUUUUGCCAGCUGCAUAACAGGUAACAGCGACCGGUUAGUAUAUUUGAAGUACAUCGGGCAGGUGAUGCUGGACGGGUUUAAAGGUGACAAGUACCUAGGCCGUGGCGGGUGCUUGGCAUCUCUCCAAACGGUGGGAAUCAGGUUAGAAACAUCGAGGGUGAUGACGCUGCGCUGGCUGUCGGGGUCCGAUAAGGAGAUCUAGAACCAUCGAGUAGGGUGUUUGUGGAGCGGCUCCGGUAGGGUGGACUAUAUGGUGUGGGAGAAGCGGAUCUGUGGCCGUGGACGAGGGCGUAGGUGAAGCUGCUCCGGUGGUUGGGUUAAGGAUGGUGUCGAAGACGCGGAUCUGCGGCNNNNNNNNNNNNNNNNNNNNNNNNNNNNNNNNNNNNNNNNNNNNNNNNNNNNNNNNNNNNNNNNNNNNNNNNNNNNNNNNNNNNNNNNNNNNNNNNNNNNNNNNNNNNNNNNNNNNNNNNNNNNNNNNNNNNNNNNNNNNNNNNNNNNNNNNNNNNNNNNNNNNNNNNNNNNNNNNNNNNNNNNNNNNNNNNNNNNNNNNNNNNNNNNNNNNNNNNNNNNNNNNNNNNNNNNNNNNNNNNNNNNNNNNNNNNNNNNNNNNNNNNNNNNNNNNNNNNNNNNNNNNNNNNNNGUGGUUGGGUUAAGGGUGGUGUCGAUGAUGCGGAUCUGCGGCCGUGGAUGGGGCGUCAGAAGCUGCUCCGGUAGGUUGGAUGAUGGUGCGAGGAAGCGAAUCUGAGGAUGUGGACUUGUGAGUUGGCAAAGCGGCCCCGGUAGGGUUGAGAAUUGUAUAGGAGAAGCUACUCCGGUAGGGUUGACCCUGGUGUCGGCGAAGCGACUCCGGUAGGGUUGAGGAAGGUGUCGGCAAAGAGGAUCAGAGGCCGUCGACGGGGGCGUCGGUGGGGCGGCUCCGGGGGGUGUGGACGAAGUGUCUCCGGUGGGGAGUACGAAUGAGCCGCUGCAGAUGCGCGGCGGUUGACGAGAGUACCGGCGAAGCACAUCCGGCGCCGUGGACAAGGCCGACACUGAAUGGGCUGUGGUACAGUGGUGGAUGAGCAGUCUACUUGUUUCUAGGGGAGGUGGGAGGGGUAGAUGCGGCCGCAGAAGCAGAUCCGGCGAGGUGGACGCCGCUGGCAGUGAAUGGGCUAUGGUACGCCAGGUGAUGAGCAGUCUAGGGUUUCGAGAGGGGAGGGGAGAAAGGGCGAUGAAGUACAGACGGCGUGAUGUAAGAUGCUCUGGUGCCGUGGAGUUAGUCGUUUGUGCGGGAGGGGGAGAGGAAAUAGGGGUGCCGUGUAGUGGGGGGAAUCGGAAGUUACCAAAGCAGCCCCGACCUAUCAUGUAGAUGAGGGCGGUAUUGUAACUGUUGGUCUCGUGCACCAAGGACAAAAGGGGGAUUUCGCAUGCUAAAGACUAAGGUGGCGGAAAUUUUAGAAGGAGGCGGGAGAUUUUGCCGCCCGCAGGAUCGUUCGUAUCCAGUUUCAACUAAUUUUGGACCGUGCUAGCGGGAAGGUCAUGCUAGACUGUGUACACGGGGCAUGCGUCAGCAGUUAAUAACUGGUGUGAAGUCCACCCCAGAAAAAAGACAAUAACUCGGGAUGAUGCGCCGAUAACUUGGACGUUCACACGGGCGCGGCCAAUCGUACGGGUGUAGUGGCGUGUUCACAAAAAAGGGAUCAAACGCUCAGCCUAUGUAUUUCUCGUGUAAAUAGAUAAUUUAGUGCCAUUGGUUAUUUACUUUAAACAUAAUGCAUUGACGUGUUAAUGUAGAGGCGCACAAAAAGAAAUGGAUAUUGUAGUUAGCUACUUAAAAGUGUUACCUCAUAUGAUUACAUAGCCUCCAUUUCAUAAAUUGCGUACCCGUUGAAUUCAUAUAUGAAUAUUACAUAUAUUACUUCAAAAUAGAAACUUAAAUCAUCCAAGACUAAUGAAUUUGAAUGCAAGAGUAACAAUGGUGCAUGUGCAUGAUAGCUACAUUGGUUGUUUGAAGAAACAUCACUGUAACUUUGGCAUGCACAACUGAAAAGGUUUAUUUAAAUAGAAAAAAUGUGAUAUGUGAGUGUCCAAUCUUUAUAGCGUUGAAUCGAUAUUUUACCUUUGGCCACAAUAUGAAGUAGAUAUUGACUUAUGUUCAAGCGAUGCACGUCCACGAUCGCUAGAUAGUGAUACGUGAAUGAAUUGUGCAAUCUCUCUCACACGCAUACAUGUGCAGGACCAGAUUUGCUGCCCUCACAUAGGAAAAAGGUUCAAAGAGAACAAAUACGGGACCAACGCAUAUAUGCUUCUUGGCUACAUACUUUGCAUCACCCAUUUAUACGUGUGGACGCACAUGGUGCUGGCAUGUCCCAUACAGCUAUUUUGCUGUUGUUAAUCUAAGAAUGCCGCCGGAAAAGUGAAGCAAUGUGUCAGGGCGGGCUGAUCGCCACGGACACCUAUGGGACCGGAGCCCCUUUUCGGUACGGUGAGGGGGCGGAGAUUGCACAAAGAGCGGAUCGAGGCGAAGCACACGAGCGGUUUACCCAGCUUCGGAGCUCUCCGGAGAGAUAACACUCCUACUACUGCUUCGUGGUUGUAUUGCUUCUUGCUUGGGAGCUUGAGAGCUACCAGACCAAGCUAGUUCUUGUCCUAACUAUCGAAGGAUUCGAACUGCGAACCUUCCGAACCCCUUCUACGUUGCACCCGGGCCUCCUUUUAUUCAUGGAAGGGGUCACCGACAGGUGGCAAGGUAGGUGGGGAUAAAAAUAGAAAAAGAGUAUGCUAAUGCAACUGUUUGCUACAGUGGUCUAUACCUAACUAUGACGGCAGGGGACAAAGGCAUUAAAUGCCUAUCUCGGUCACCCAAACAGUAUAGAAAAGUGACCGUCAGGUGUGCCACCGAUCGCCAUGGUGGUAGCUUGUCAGCGCCGCUUGACGCUGUGCACCGCUGGCUACACAGUCGCUCGCCACGCGUGCCCGAGAAGGUCUCGUGGUGACACGUUAGCGGGUGAGCUGGAGCGCCGGUGCGGUGUAGAGGCUUGUCGCGGCAAACGCCUUGCCGCCUCCCGGAAGCUUGUCGUUUGCCGGGUCUUGCCGGGGCGCGAAGCGCGUCGCGGCGAGGCACUUGGUUGCUUCUCCCGGCGAGCUCCUCUCGCCGGGGUCUUGUUUUCCUUAGUUGAUCUUCCCGGCAAGCUUCCUUUGCCGGGACCUUGUCUUCUCGGCCAACACUUUGUUCUUGAAUGGCAGUGGAUAUGAAAUAGCGAAGGGUCUUGGUGGGCGCCCGGCAAGCCUUGCCGCGGAACGCUGCGACUGCCCGUGCACAAGUUCGGGGUACUAAAGGUACCCCUACUUUAGUACACCGACAGGAGCCCCCGGGCCCGGGCCACAAACGGUGCCGAGCGCUAUUGGGCCAGGCCCAAAACAGUGCACGGGCACGCGCGGCCUGGGUCCAAGCCAAACCCACUCCGCACCCGCCGCGUCUCCCCCGCAACGGCACGCGUCGAUUGCGGCGCCGUGGGAGAGAACGUGGAGGAGUGGUUUAAACCCACGAAAUGUGUAACGUUCGCCUUGGUUCUGCAUGUUCGCCACGCGUCUCCCAUGCACCUGGGGUCACGGACGGAGGAGGCGGGGAGUUUGGACCAUUGCGAACAGAGGCAACAGGUCGGCCCCGACCCCCUGCCUCUCCCAUGCCCUGAUUCGUUGAGCUGGGCGGCCGAGCCCCCACCCCGCCCCUUUAAGAAGAGCGGGAGGGGAACGCAGAAAUCCGCACUUCCUCAUCUUCUUCUUCCUUUAGCUUCUGUUCCCCUUCCUCCCAUCCGCCAUGGAGAAAGGGAAUCCUGGUCCUUCAUCGGUGGCGGCGAGGGUCGCCGCCAAGCAGCGCGCUUCUCCCUAUCCUGCUCCCACGGCGGUAGAGCCGGCCGCAAGGGGGAGAGGGAGAGGGCGAGGCCGCGGCCGGGGUCGAGGACGAGUCACUCGGGGAAGAAGCGGACGGGGCGGCGCAUCGUCUCCGCCUCCGCCGGCGGAUCCUCCCCUUGCGGCGGUCCACACGGGGGACGACCCUUGCGAGUUCUUCGUCAAGCUGCGGCGGGCGCCUCGUCGUCGUCUCCGGCUUCCGGCUUCAUUCGCGUGCGUGAUGGAGUUGGAGUCACCCAAUACGUUGAGGUUGCACAUGAGGGGCUGCGGAAUCAGUGGUACGCGAGUCCACGUUGUAUUCCCAGCCCACAGUGUGAUGUAUCUUGACCGAGGGUGGAAGACGUUCGCCCGCAUCCACAACUUGAUGGCGGGGUUCACCCUCCAUUUUAAGUUAAUGGAGGGUGAUCUCCUCUCCGUCAAGGUCUUCGGGGACUCCGGCAUCCGGGCAAGGUGCUGCGUGUAUAGCUCCUCCAAUAGCGAAGAUUCCCCGUCAAGCGAGAGUGACGAGGAGGGGAGCGACAGCGACGAUAAGGGAAGCGGGCGACAGGAUGACGGGUCUGACUAGGUGUUGGGCGCCGCCGCGUGUGUCGCCGGCUCCUUGAACUCCCCGGGGUCGUCUCCUUGGGCGGCUGGCGUAGGGAGGCUGUGGAAGAGGGAGAGGGUUGGCGGCGAGGCCGUCAAGUCGGAGUACGAGGGCGUAGCGCCUUCGACAGCGUGCUGACGUCCUGCUGCUCCGUCUCCCGGCGCCGCCUCCACCGUCAAGCCCCCGGUUGGCCCCCGGGAUGUUCUCUUGGUGUCUUCUGGCGCCCGUAGCUCGCCUAGGCGCCCCUUUUGCCCUCCUUGCCUCCUUUACCUACCUCCUGAAAAGAGGGACAGGAGAAAGGAUUACGGGCAUCUUAUCUUUUCAACCUGUAAGCCUUCGGGCCUUAGUUGCAUUUAAAACUUGUAAUCCUCUCUUUCAUGUUUUUCAUCCUCUACGGAAUGUAUCCGAAUAAGAUGUUUUUUAAUGAAAAAGAGGAUCCUUGCUAUGUUAUAUCCUUUACUUGAUUUUAUCCUUGUAUGUUUUCACCCUACGUUUUGAGGGAACUUGCCGGUGUAAGCACACUUGCCGUGAGCGCUAAGUGCGGAACAUCAACAGCUCGCCGACAAUGUUGCUUCCGGCAAGAAAUCUUGUCGGGGUCAGUUGCAGCGCGCUUCCAUUGUUGAGCGGACUCGAAAACAAAGUAAGGGCGCAACUUAGUCACGAGUCGAUUCCUCCGCGCACAGGUUUUCCAUACAAGGCAUGGUCGUUCAAGGAAUAUAACAUGUAAUUUAAAACUGACUGAGCUCAGGCUUGAUGCGGAUGUGGAGCCGUUCAAGGCCCUUGUCACACCCAUUGUGGACAAGGUUGCCGGCAUCAAGCGGAUUGACGGCGAUCGCGUAGACUAGGCCGUCCAUUUUCUUCUUUUCUUGCCGCUGUUGAUCAAGUCACAGGAACAGUCCAUUAGAACUGCGACAAUUUAUUUGUGUACUAUAACUUUAUCUUUGAUAUCUACUGCUAUGUUACUCCCUUUACUCGAUUCUUCCUUUGUAUGCUUUGACCCUACGCUUUUAGGAAAGCUUGCCGGUCAGGUACCUUAACCGUAAGUGCCGAGUGCGGAACAUCAGCCACUUGCGCAGUACUGCAUCCGGCAAGCAACCUUGCCGCAACCAGCCGCAACGCGCUUAAGUUGUUGAGCGGACUCGAAACAAAAUAAGGGUGCGAUUAGCCGUGGGCAGGUUCCUUCGCGCACAGGUUUUUCAUACAAAGUGCGGAUCGUUCAAGGAAGAUAACACAAAAAAGUUUGAAAACUAGAUGCUCAAGCUUUGGCAACUUAGCUUUUCUGUUAUUUGCUGUCCGGCAAGGCAACACCUUUUGAACGACGUCUGGUCGCCAUCCUUAUCUCCUCCUCUUCCCUAGGAUUCCCUUUCUCCGAGAAGAAAGAAGAGAAAAUAAUGAUAUAGAACCUUUAGGCUCGUUACUGCUUACCAGGGUCAAGUGCUGCACAAAAUGUUAGACAGUGCAUGCAUAAUAUACAUAAGGCAUGGAACUAACAUGAAUGUGCUGAGCACAUGAGCUUUAUUUACGCGCGGGAUCUGCGCCCGGCUUUGUAGAAAGGAUUACAUGCAACUGCGGCAAGACUUGUACAAAAGGUGGUUGCCGGAACGGGUUCCAACAACCGCGCCCUACAGGUAAAACUUAUGAAGAUGUUCAAUAUUCCAGGAAUUGCUCACCAGUUUGCCAUCUUCGGUCUCAAGGCGGAUAGCGCCGGGCCUAGUGACUCGUUUCACCCGAUAAGGGCCUUCCCACUUUGGCGUCAACUUGUUUGAAUUCUUGGCGGAAUGAACACGCCGAAGAACAAGGUCGCCUUCCUUGAAACUUCUGGCCUUAACUCUGCGGCUAUGGUAGCGGCGCAGAGCUUGCUGGUAGCGAGUGGCUCGCACAGCAGCCUGAAGACGAUCCUCCUCAAGGAGCAACGCGUCAUCUUGCCGCAACUGCUCUUGCUCAAGCUCAUCAUAAGCGAGCACUCGAGGCGAUCCGUAUACGAGUUCCGUGGGGAGAACUGCCUCUGCUCCAUAGACUAGAGCAAAGGGUGUCUGGCCAGUAGCUCGAUUUGGCGUCGUUCUGAUCGACCAAAGAACCACCGGCAACUCCUCGAUCCAGUUUCUUCCGCACUUGUGCAGCCUGUCAAAAGUUCUGGUCUUGAGCCCACGCAGCACUUCAGCAUUUGCCCUCUCCGCUUGACCGUUGCUUCUCGGGUGAGCAACAGAAGCGAAGCAGACCUUGGCGCCAAGGUCUUGGACGUACUGCAUGAAGUUGCGGCUCGUGAAUUGGGUGCCGUUGUCGGUGAUGAUCCUAUUGGGGAUCCCAAAACGACACACAAUUGACCUGAAGAACUUGACUGCUGACUGUGCUGUCACCUUCCUCACUGCUUCCACUUCCGGCCACUUUGUGAACUUGUCGAUAGCAACGUACAAGUACUCAAAGCCCCCGAUUGCUCGGGGAAAGGGGCCGAGGAUAUCGAGCCCCCAGACCGAAAAUGGCCAGGAUAAAGGGAUUGUCUGGAGAGCUUGAGCUGGUUGGUGUAUCUGCUUGGAAUGGAACUGGCACGCUUCACACUUGGUUACUUGUGCAGUUGCAUCCUGGAGGGCUGUCGGCCAAAAGAAGCCUUGCCGGAAAGCCUUGCUGGCAAGGGCUCUUGCGCCAAUGUGGUGACCACAUAUGCCUCCAUGUAUCUCUGCCAACAGCUUCUGUCCAUCUUCCCGGGGAAUACACUUCAAUUUCACACCGUUGAGUCUUCUUCUACAUAGUGUGUUGUCAACAAACUGAUACAUACUUGACUGCCGGGCUACUCUUUCCGCUUCUUCUUGCUCUUCGGGAAGUUCUCAUGUUUGAAGGAAACGGACGAUUUGCUGCGCCCAUGCUGGAGCUUGUGGCUCGACAACAAGGACUAAAGGCACUUCUGCUGCUGUGGGAACAUCCGCUUCGACAACAAGAACUUGUGAUUCUGCCGGAGCUUGAUGAUCCCCGGCAAGGUUGCCGGAGCAAGACUUGUCGGGAGCGUUUGCUUCAACGGAACGAGACCCGAGGCUCGCCGGAGCAUACUGCUCCUCAGCACUCUUGUCAUUGAUCUUGGGGACUUUCUUGGCAGCGGCUUCUGGUAGCUCUGCCGGAAAGUAAUCACCGGAGACCAACUUUCUCUUCUUGUUCUGUCCAAUUGAUGGUGUCACAGUUGGUUGAGUCAACUUGAGCACAAAGAUCCCUGGUUCCACAGGUAGCUUGUGUGCGACACACUUUGACAAGCCGUCUGCAAUGUCGUUCUCGGCUCUGGGAACAUGCUCCAUUUGCAGGCCGUCAAAAUGCUCUUCUAGUUUCCUCACUUCAUCAAUAUAGGCCUCCAUCAACGGACUCUGGUAAUCUUUAUUCACUUGGCGGACCACAAGCUGUGAAUCACCCCUGACAAUAAGCUUUUUAAUCCCAAGCUCUGCCGCAAUCCUGAGGCCGGCAAGCAAACCUUCAUACUCUGCAGUAUUGUUUGUUGCUUGCUCCCUAGGAAAGUGCAUCUAGACCGCGUACUUGAGGUGCUCUCCGGUGGGUGCGAUGAGCAGCACGCCAGCACCGGCGCCUUGCAGCGAGAAAGCACCAUCAAAGUACAUAAGCCACUCCUUGUUUGCUUCUUUGACGGGAAUGCUUGUCGUUGGGGUUUCUUCAUCUGGUGUUGGCGUCCAUUCUGCUAUGAACUCCGCCAAGGCUCUGCUCUGGAUAGUUGAAGUACUCUCAAAUUUGAGACCAAAGCUUGACAGUUCUAGUGCCCACUCGACAAUCCUGCCUGUUGCUUCUGGAUUUUGCAAUAUCCUCUUCAACGGAAAGCGAGUGACAACUGUGAUUUCAUGUGCUUGGAAGUAAUGGCGCAGCUUUCUCGAGGCCAUGAGGAGGCCGAAAAGCAAUUUCUGCACGCCAGAAUACCUUGAUCUAGCCCCUUGUAGAAGGGAACUGACAAAGUAAACCAGGUGCUGCACCAUUUUCUUUUGCACUUCUUGCUUGUCGGGACCAGAGCUUGCCGGUAAGGCUUCCUUCUUGUCGCUGGAUGUGCUUGCCGGUGAAGCCCCCUGCUUGUCGCCGGACGCGUUUGCCACGGUUGUGGGUUCUUCAUCCGCUUCCCUCUCCGCUACUAAUGCAGCACUAACCACUUGAUUGGUUGCCGCUAAGUACAUCAGCAACUUCUCUUGUGGUCUAGGCGCGACAAGUAUUGGAGUGGAAGACAGGUAUUCCUUUAAGUCCUGCAGCGCAGCCUCCGCUUCCGGAGUCCAUUUCAUUGGACCUGCCUUUUUCAAAAUUUUGAAAAACGGCAGGGCGCGCUCAGCAGACUUAGAGAUAAACCUGCUAAGAGCAGCCACGCAACCAGCAAGUCUUCUUACGUCCUUGACGCGCUUCGGGGCCUCAAUCUGCUCGAUGGCCUUGAUCUUGUCGGGAUUGGCUUCUAUCCCUCUCUGAGAAACAAAGAACUCGAGAAGCUUGCCGGAGGGGACUCCAAACACACACUUCUUGGGGUUCAACUUGAGGUUGAUUCUGCGCAGAUUUGCAAAGGUCUCGUCCAAGUCUUGAAUCAGAGUUGCUUUAUCUUUGCUUUUGACCACUAUAUCAUCCAUAUAUGCUUCCACAUUUCUGUGUAGCUGUGGCUCAAAGGCUUCAUGAACUACCCUUGCAAAUGUUGAACCAGCAUUCUUUAAUCCAAAAGGCAUUCUUAUGAAACAAUAAGUGCCACAUGGAGUAAUGAAUGCGGUUUUCUCUUCAUCCUCUUUUGCCAUGAAAAUCUGGUGGUAUCCUGAAUAUGCAUCAAGAAAUAAGAGCAGGUCACAUCCAGCCGUGGAGUCAACAAUCUGGUCAAUGCGCGGCAAGGGAAAUGGGUCUUUGGGACAAGCUUUAUUGACAUCAGUAAAGUCUAUACAAAGCCUCCAUUUCCCAUUUGCUUUGCGCACGACAACUGGAUUGGCCAACCACGUGGGAUGGAGUACUCCUCUGACAAGGCCUGCUGCUUCCAACUUCUUGAUCUCCUCUGCUAUGAAUUCUUGACGCUCCACUGCUUGCUUUCUAACUUUCUGCUUGACGGGCCGCGCGUGAGGACAGACAGCUAGGUGGUGCUCAAUUACUUCCCUGGGAACACCGGGGAUGUCAGACGGUUGCCAUGCAAAUACGUCCACAUUCGCCCGCAGGAAAGCAACGAGCGCUCUUUCCUAUUUAGGGUCGAGGGUGGCGCUGAUGGUGAAGGUACCACCAGUGCCGUCUUCCUUGGCGGACACCUUCUUGGUCUGCGGUGGAGCUGAUAUGGCCUUGGCACGCUUGCCGGUGGAGCUCGAUGGUGCGUCCUCAACGGUAGCGCAGCACUCCGAAGAGGUGCGCUUGCCGGAGUGAGCAUCAUAGCACUUGCCGGACUUGGCCUUCUUCUUUCCUCCGGGAGCUUCAGCGGCAAGUGUGGCAUGGUCUGCUGCGGCUGCUGCAUCCCGGUAAAUCUUGUCGGCACAGAUGAGAGCGUCCUUCUUGUCGCCAUGGAUAGAAAUGACGCUUAUCGGGCCAGGCAUCUUGAGUAUGUUGUAGGCAUGAUGAGAGGCUGCCAUGAACUUGGCAAGCGCUGGACGGCCAAGUAUCCCAUUGUAUGGCAAUGGGAAAUCUGCUACGUCGAACAUGACCCUCUCAGUUCUGUAAUUCAACUCGCUGCCAAAUGUGACCGGCAACGUGAUCUUCCCCUUUGGCAUGCUCCUUCCCGGAUUGAUUCCUUGGAAAGUGCCAGUUUCUUCGAGCUCGCCGUCGGGGAUUUGAAGCUUCUGGAGUACAGCUGAGGAUAUCAGGUUCAGGCCGGCCCCGCCGUCAACUAACAUCUUAGUGACCUUGAGAUUGCGGAUGGUUGGUGAUACCAACAUCGGCAAGCACCCGACCGCAGUUGUACGAUCAGGGUGAUCCUCAAUGUCGAAGAUGAUAGGCGUGCUGGACCAUUUUAGAGGUUUGCGCGACUCUAUGGAUGGUUCUGCUGCAUUAACUUCUCGAGCCCACUGUUUGAGUUGGCGGUGCGAAGUGUGCAGAGAAGCGCCUCCGUCAACGCAUAGAACCUCUGUGGCCUUCUGAAAUUCCUGCUCACUGGUCUCAUCCUCAUCCAUAUCCUCAUCUUCGUCUUAUUCUUCAUCAUUGUCACGGCCCCGGGGAGGUCUGUCUCCUUGCCGCUGCUUGACCUUGCCGCGGCGUCCUCCCCGGCCGGGACGUUUCUUGCCGGAUCCACCAUCACCUCCUUGGGCAGCCUUCUCCUUGUCGCGCCGCUCGUAUUCAGCUUUCUGGAGCUCCACGAGCUGCUCAACCUUUUUGCAACUCUGAAGAUCGUGGCCCUUGGUGCGGUGGAUCUUGCAGUACUGCUUGUUGGUGUCGUCCUGCUUGUCGGCGGCCGCCACAGCUUGGCAGUUGGUGCAUGUGGCAAUCUCCUUGCCGGAAGCACCAGCUGGGGCUGUCUUGGCGGCGCCUCCAUUGCCGGACUGCUCAACAACCGCUACAUCUUUUCCUUUGUUUUUCCUGUUGUUCCGCCGCCGAUUUCUCUUUGCCAGGGCGGCCUCCUCACUGUUAGACUCUACUGUCCCAACAGCCUCUCCGGGGAUUCUUCUCCCCUCCUCAGCGCGUGCACACUUGUCGGCCAGAGCAUAUAGCUCGCUGACAUCCUUGAUCUUGCACAUCGCCAUCUCCUCCCGCAUCCUACGGUUCCGCACGUUCUGAUGGAACGCGCUGAUGACCGCAGCGGGGUGGAUAUCUGGCAUGUUGUAGUGCACACGGCUGAACCUUUGUAUGUACUUGCGCAGGGAUUCUCCUUCCUUCUGGACAAGUAUGUGGAGAUCACUCUCUUGGCCAUGGGGUUUGUGGCCGCCAGUAAAGGCUCCGACAAACUGAUGGCACAAAUCAGCCCAGGAGGAUAUGGAGUUCUCUGGCAAGUGCAUGAGCCAUGAUCUGACAUUGGGCUUGAGUACCAACGGGAAGUAGUUGGCAAGGAUCUUCUCGUCUCGUCCCCCAGCAGCUUGCACCGCGAUGGUGUAGAUGCUGAGAAACUCCGAUGGAUGUGACUUGCCGUCGUACUUCUCGGGUACGUCGGGCUUGAAGUUCUUGGAACGGGGCCACUGGACUCGCCGCAGCUCACGAGUGAACGCAGGGCAACCUACCGUGUUCGGCAAGUCACAUGGCUCUCCGGGCGCGUGCGUGUCAACAGUGGGCCCAGCGCGCUGGUCUGAUUGACACCGCGCUUCCCUCCGACGCUCGAUGUGGGUACGAGCGUCCUCUCGCCGGCGUUCUUGAAGAACUUGGCGCUGAUCCCGCCGAGUUCGCGGGUCCGACGAUGCAGUGGAGUCGCCGUCAAGGUCGGCCCAGCGAGCUGGCGAUCUUGGCCUUGGUGGUGGAGAGUGCACGGUGAGCGCACCCCCUCCAGCUCCGUCUCUGUUGGCUUGCGCUUGGCGGAUUUGGCGCGGCUACGAAGUGCUUGGUUGCCGCAGAGUGUCGCUGUUGGCGAAGCCGAUGAGACUCUGGAUAGUGGCCCUCCAUUCGUUGAUCUUGUCCGACGCAGGAGGGAAAUCAAGGAGCAACUGGGCUCGCGCCAAAGCUUCUGCUGGAGUGGAUGGCGGCAGCGGCGAACGGUGCGAGGAACGAGACGUGCUCGAACUCCUAACAGUGUUAGGAGGAGCAGUAUCCCGCCCAAGCAGCCGUAUGGCGCUUGCGCCAGCUUGUGGACGUGCAAGUGGGUCUUGAACGUCCCGGGAUCCACCAGCUUGAUUUGGAUUUAGCACACGCAUGGCACCAUGAGUGCCAUGACGCUGCCGGUCCCGCGCCUCCUGAGACGAGCGCGGGGCUUGUCCGGUCGUCGAGGUUUGCGCCGCCUUGUCCUUGGACUUGGCAGCAACUUGGCCCCCCUCGUCGACGUCCAUUCCUCCGCCGGCGCCUACCCCACCGCCCUCUGGCUCCGGUAGCGGUGGGUUCGACGCAGACGGAGCAGCCACCUCCGAAGCCUUCUUCUUCGGUGGCAUGUUGAUGAAGAUGUCGAUGACAAUGCAGUUCGUGCGAACGCCGGAUCAGGUUCACACAACCUCGACGCUCCCCUAUCUGGCGCGCCAAAGAUGUCGGGGCGGGCUGAUCGCCACGGACACCUAUGGGACCGGAGCCCCUUUUCGGUACGGUGAGGGGGCGGAGAUUGCACAAAGAGCGGAUCGAGGCGAAGCACACGAGCGGUUUACCCAGCUUCGGAGCUCUUCGGAGAGAUAACACUCCUAGUGCUGCUUCGUGGUUGUAUUGCUUCUUGCUUGGGAGCUUGAGAGCUACCAGACCAAGCUAGUUCUUGUCCUAACUAUCGAAGGAUUCGAACUGCGAACCUUCCGAACCCCUUCUACGUUGCACCCGGGCCUCCUUUUAUACAUGGAAGGGGUCACCGACAGGUGGCAAGGUAGGUGGGGAUAAAAAUAGAAAAAGAGUAUGCUAAUGCAACUGUUUGCUACAGUGGUCUAUACCUAACUCUGACGGCAGGGGACAAAGGCAUUAAAUGCCUAUCUCAGUCACCCAAACAGUACAGAAAAGUGACCGUCAGGUGUGCCACCGAUCGCCACGUUGGUAGCUUGUCAGCGCCGCUUGACGCUGUGCACCGCUGGCUGCACAGUCGCUCGCCACGCGUGCCCGAGAAGGUCUCGUGGUGACACGUUAGCGGGUGAGCUGGAGCGCCGGUGCGGUGUAGAGGCUUGUCGCGGCAAACGCCUUGCCGCCUCCCGAAAGCUUGUCGUUUGCCGGGUCUUGCCGGGGCGCGAAGCGCGUCGCGGCGAGGCACUUGGUUGCUUCUCCCGGCGAGCUCCUCUCGCCGGGGUCUUGUUUUCCUUAGUUGAUCUUCCCGGCAAGCUUCCUUUGCCGGGACCUUGUCUUCUCGGCCAACACUUUGUUCUUGAAUGGCAGUGGAUAUGAAAUAGCGAAGGUCUUGGUGGGCGCCCGGCAAGCCUUACCGCGGAACACUGCGACUGCCCGUGCACAAGUUCGGGGUACUAAAGGUACCCCUACUUUAGUACACCGACACAAUGCCACUGUUAAAAGUAAAUUACAUUUUUUAACGAAUGUUGUUUCAAGAGAAUGUCUCUGUUAAUAUGAAUCAAUGCAACCGUUUUAGAAAUGCUAUUAUCCUACUUUGUUUUCCAUCCAACAUAAGUUAGAUGCUUCUUUUUGUCACCAUUUGUUUCAUCCUCCUUUAUCGGCAAGUAAUUGUUUCCUUUUUUGCCUCUGUUAAAACAGGGGUAUUGAUUCAACUUGUUGCUAUUGCGACAUUUUGCUUUGCUACUCGAAACACUUAUGUUUUAAGAGUGUUUUGUGCAUUUCAACUUGAAUGUCACACCGGUGACUUUGCUUAAUUUUGGUGGAACUGCACAAAAGGAGAUCGAGAUUUGUUUCCAGUCUUCGUGGCGAGUUGUUUCAAAUCUUGGUCUCAUCCACAUGAUGUGCAGUGUGCUUUGAGAUGUUGUGCUACUUGUUUUGGUACUGUUUUAAAUAAAUGUUGAAUUGAAGCUAUUGUAUUGCUGUCUUUUCCCAUUAAGUAGUGAACAAACAUGGGACCAACCAGACAUGAUGCUUGUUGCUUUUUUACAACAAAUUCAGCAUCACCCCCUUUAUAAGCCAGUAAUUGAUGCCACUCUCAGAAUUAACUACUGAAUCUUAUUUCAAAACUGCAACACUUGUUAGGGAUUGGCAGGAUUACCAUUUUUGUGGCCGCAUGUUUCAUCCUCCUUUAUUAGCCAGUAAUUGAUUCCUUUUUUGCCUCUGUUUAAAAAGGGAUAUUUAUUCAACUUGUUGCUAUUGCGACAUUUUGCUUCGCUACGCGAAACACUUUGCUUGAUUUCAGGGCAACUGCACAAAACGAGAUUGGAUUUCCUAUUCGUGUUGGCAGAUUCAUAUUUUAUCCUGGUCUUCUCAUGAAAGGUCAAUACAGGCCUUCAUCCACAUGAUUGUGCAGUGUGCUUUGAGAUGUUGUGCUACUUGUAUUGAUAUUGUUUUAAAUAAAUGUUGAAUUGAGGCUAUUGUAUUGCUGUCUUUUCCCAUUAAGUAGUGAACAAAAAUGGAGCGAACCCAGACAUGAUGCUUGUUGCUUUGUUACAACAAACUCUGCAUCACCCCCUUUAUAAGUAGAUGGAAGCACAUAUUGUUGGUGCUCCCACUCUCCCCUAGAACUGUUUAUGGUUUUUGUUAAUCUAAUACCGCUGGUAAAAUUAAGCAAUGCCACUCUCAGAAUUAAUUAACUACUGAAUCUUGGUUCAAAACUGCAACACUUGUUAGGAAUGGUACUAUCCUACUUUGUAGUUCUUUCUACAUGUUUAACCAAGGUAUUGUUAAGAUAAUGUCUCUGUUAAAAUGAAUCAGUUGCAUUGUUUUAGAAAUGGUACUUUUCUGCGUUGUCGUUCUUUAUACAUGUUGAAACAAGGCAUUGUUAAGAUAAUGUCUCAGUCAAUAUGACUGAAUCACACUGAUGGAUAAUUGCUACUCUCCUGCUUUGUUUCCCAUUAAGAUAAAGUAGAUCCUUAGAUGAUUUUCUUCUGGGAGUACAAGCCAUCAACCGUUAUUUCUCAGUAAUUGUUUCCCUUAUACCUAUUGUUGCUUCCAGGGAUAUCAAAAUUAAAGAUCGAUUUUAUUCCGACUUCGAUUUUAGUUGAACUGCACAAAAGGAGCCAAUGUGUCCAAGGCAAACUACUGCAUUACUGGGUCCAGUUGGUCGUUCCACUUCGCAGAAAGAAGCAGUCACUGUUUGCGCUACAUUACAGAAGGAAUGACCGAGAAGCUUUAUAGAGUAUUAUUAGACGCUGGUGACAUGACUAGUCUGUAGAGAGCAUUGGCAAUUUAACAACACGUGGAUUGCACUAGGCAAAAAGGGCCCAAAUAAGUACAAGAAGCUACGACAGGACUCCACGAUCAUAGGCAUUACAUAUUUUGAAUGGGAAAAGCUUGUCAAAGUUUAAUCAUUGAUGUUAGCAAGAAGACGUUAGUUUAAUAUAUUGGAAUUGGAAAACCUUGUCAAAAUUUGCUCAUUGAUGUUAGCCAGAAGACAUGCAUUUGAUAUUUUUGAGUGGGACGCCCUUGCUAUGAGCAGCGUCGAUUGUUUUUUCCUAUUCCUGUGUUCAGUUUAGAAGUAAAUAGUUACUCUGCUGAGAUAUUCCUGUGUUAAGAGUUUGUUUUGAAUAUUGUCUAUGUAAUGCCAGACCUUGUGUUUGAUUGCAAAGUUGAGCUUGGAAUGUUGUGGCAUGCGGCAUCACGAGCUGUUCACCGUGCCUCCUGAGAAUAAUGCUUCGUAUUGUUUUGCAUGUCGAUCUAAUGCCAGUGAUUUGCUUGUUAAGAAGAUCAUCCUCUUCUAUUGUUUCCGUGCUUAAGAAGUUCAUCGUCUCAUGUUUCAUUCAUAGCCUAUACGACAAGUCGGGUAGGUUAGACGUGAAACCAUAUGAUCUUCUGACCAACACAUGAUAUUAGGCCGUGAUUGGAUCGUCAUUUUCCAACCAAAACCGCUUGUAAAACUGACGCUUGUAAAUAAAAGCAGAUGGUCUCGGGCGAAGCGCUUGGUUGGUCGAUUUUGACUAGUAAAAUAUCGGAAGUACUUCACACACGAUAAAAACGCUGAACGACACUCGGACGAUUGCUAAUCCAGCUGUUAGCUGCUGUUUCAGCCUUGCCCAUGGAUGGCAUGAUACGCACGUCGUGCAUGUAUCGUCUGGUAAUGUCGUCCAUAUAGUAGUGCUCGUAAAAUAUACACUGGUCUCUCAAAUUACACGCGUAACCCGCCGGUUUUACUUACAGACCUCGGGCCCUCGGUUUCAUUAUGCCUGUAUUUUACACGUUGUUUCCGAUGACGAGUAAAUUACACUUGUAUAUUAAUAAAGGUUUUAAAUAAACCAGAGCUCCCAAGCACGGCCUUACCGUUUCAUGCCGUCUCAGUUUCUCGAAGGUGCUCAUAGGUGUUCGAUGAUCCUUGCUUCCUGAAUGAGCAGCGGGCGUUGUAUCAGACCAUCCGUAGGGCUCCGUCGUCCUUCGAGAUGUUGCGCUCGCAGUGGCGCCGAGCAUUGUUAACAUCGUCAACGAAAAUGAGGUUUCAGGAGAUGACUUUAUUUUGACUCGAUGACACUAGGGACCCACUAGGGCCAUAGCCGUACGUACGCAAGUGCCUCCUUAUUAUGUACAACAAUUUUUUUCGCUUCCUCCUGGUUUCCUGACAUCACGGUCCCACACCAUUGUCAACCUAUGUAGUCAAUAUAAACGAGAAAAUUGCACAAGGUGCGGCCGACAGCUGGGACCAAGCAGCUCGAGCAGUAUUUGUGUUUUUGAGGCAUGAGCACUGCAGAGUUUUUCUUGGCGAUAAUUUCGUUGUUGUUCAGAGAAGAGCAGGGUAUUAACUGGGCGGGCUGUGGCCCGUCUAGCCCAGGCCAGAUAUCCAGCCCAGAUACUAACUUUUUCAAGAUGAAAAUGGCUAGCCUAGCUAUACUUUUUUGAGGAAUACCCAGGCAAGGUCAACUUGUUAUUCUCCGCCCCGCUGGGCUGCAAAUCUUUCCUAGGAGGGAUGCAUUAGGCUUAACAGGAAAAUGGGCUUUAAAAAAUAAUAAAUGGGACGUAAUUAUAAAAACUGGGCAGUAACUAUAAAAAAUGCACCAAACACGAAAUUAGUUUAUAAAAUAUUAUUUAUGGAUUUUGAAAAUCUUAAAUUUUCAUUGUUGCACGCGCAAUGUUUCGUUGGAUUUUUACGUAAUACAAAUUUAUAUUUAAUCUGACUAGAAAUUUUGGGAUAAAAAUAUUUCGGAUCCCAUCAAAAUGUGGGAAAUUUUUAUUGAAUUUUGUCUUCAACGGUUGGUUGAAAUUAUUAAUCGUUGUCCUAGCUAGAAAAUGGGUUGUACUUUUAACAAACUGUAAAUGGGUUGUAGUAAAUUCCAUUAGUAUUCAAAAAUGGGCUGUACAUUCUUACAAAUCGCAAAUGGGCUAUAAGUUCUCUACCACACACUUGUGGGCCUACUAAGUUGAGUGUUCCCUAAAAAAAUAAGUUGACGCGUAUGCAAGGCUUUGUCAACUUAUUAUAGUCAACACACGGUUCUAGCAGUAGUGGCCGUUGGAUGUCAAUCCAACGGAGGCCGUGCUUCUUCUUCAAUCUCGGAUAUUCUUAGCUCUGGCCGCCCAAAAAAUGAUUCCUCCCCCUGACAUCUGGGGCGCACCGUUUCGGAGGCUGACCUGUGGGCCUACUAAGUUUGCGCGUACCAAGGGCUUUGUCAACUUAGUCAAUAUAAAUGAUUCUAGCUUUAGUAACUGUACGAUAUCCAUCCAACGGCCGUAGUGCUUCUUCAACCUCUGGUCUUCUUGCUCCAGCCGCCCAAAGCAGCGUCGGUCGUGCCGCCUGCUCCUGCCUCCCGUGGCCGGUUGUGCUGCCGUGGAGGCCUCACCACCCCCAUACUACUCCCACCGCUGGCCAGGCCAUCCCUCCACUCACCCACACCCCCUGUUAUUCUGCGGUGACGGCAGCCUCACACCACAGCCGAACCAGUGAACCCUCGUACUCCUCUCCGCGCGGGCUUCCACUGCUGCAUCUUCCCCGGCUCUGCGUCGUCCUCUUCCUAGGCCUCGCCGUCGUCCACUGCCCUGGUGCUCUCAGUGCGGUGUACUCAACGUGGUCAAUGACCGACUUCCAUCGGAAGAGUACUGUACGUGGAGAGGCUGAUAGCUGGGUCCAUGGCGGCCGCAAGGAAGUGCCUCCUUAUUACGCGCAUAAUAAUUAUUCCUCCACCUGACAGCAGGGACCCACCGGACGGGCCACCUUAUUUUGUGAAAAAAAAUGUUUCCCCCCUGACUGAUGGGACCCACCGUACGGGCCACCAUAUUUCGUGAAAAAAACGUUCCCCUCGCUGUCAGCUCAGACCCACCGGAAGUGCUUCCUUAUUACGCACAAAAAAAUGAAUACUCCCCCUGCUAGCUGGGACCCACCUUGGUGGGAGGCUGACUUGUGGGCCUACUAAGUUGACGGGGAUGGAGGGCUUUGUCAACUUAGUUAAUAUGAACGAUUCUAGCUCCAGUGACCGUACGAUGUCCAUCCAACGGCCGUAGUGCUUCUUCAACCUCUGGUCUUCUUGCUCCAGCCGCCCAAAGCAGUGCCGGUCGUGCCGCCUGCUCCUGCCUCCCGUGGCCGGCUGUGCUGCCGCGGAGGCCUCACCACCCCCUACUAUUCCCACCACUGGCCAGGCCAUCCCUCUACUCACCCACACCCCCUGUUAUUCUGCGGCGACGACAGCCUCACACCGCAGCAGAACUAGUGAACCCUCGUACUCCUCUUCGCGUGGGCAUCCACUGCCGCGUCUUCCCCGAUUCCGUGUCGUCCCCUUCCUAGGCCUCGCCGUCGUCCACCGCGGUGGUGCUCUCGGCGCGGCGUAUUUAAUGUGGUCAACGACCGACUUCCAUCGGAAGAGUACUGUACGUGGCAAGGCUGACAGCUGGGUCCACGGCAGCCGCAAGGAAGUGCCUCCUUAUUACGCGCAAAAUAAUUAUUCCUCCACCUAUCAGCGGGGACCCACCGGACGGGCCACCGUAUUUCGUGAAAAAAACAUUUCCCCCCUGACUGUUCGGACCCACCAGCUACACCUUCGCAUGCAAGGAAGUGCGUCCGGGCAAAAAAAAAAAACAAAACGAUUCGCCCCCUGACUGCUGGGACCCACUAGCUACAUCUUCGCACGCAAGGAAGUGCCUGACAGUCGGGACCCACCUCGUCGAAGCGUACGUAGCAUUCUCAUUUUGGUCGUGAACGUGUACAUACAUAUAUACUGGUCGAUGUAGAGGCACGCACAUGUCGUAGUAGAGGCGCGCAUGUAGCAUGUACACGUACGUACAUCGGCCAGUGUGCAAGAAAGAAAAUACGGCCAUGUAUGUGUACAUACGGGCGGGGUCUCGAACGCCUACUCACGCAUACGUACGGCCAGGGCUCGUGUACAUGGCUAGGUCGGAAUGGAGAAACAGCAUCGUCGUCGCGUUCAUGGGGAGGCAACGAAAUGUGUCGUGUUCAUGGGGAGGCAACGAAAUGCGUCGUGUUCAUCGGGAGGCAACAGAACGCAUGGGAGCCAACCGGCUGGGUCAGAAUGGAAUGCGUCGUCGUGUUCAUCGGGAGGGCUUGGACGGAACAGGCGAUGGAAACGAGGCCUGGCGUACCGCCGAACGGAGGAAAUGGCCAUGUGUUCGACCGACCACAUUCAAAAUGGGAUCCUGUUCAUCGGGAGGGGUCUGGCUACCGCAAAACGGAGGAAACGGACCUUCUACGGUCGAAACGGGGGUCCUGCUGAUUGAGAGGGGUGUGGCGUACAGCAAAACGGACGAAACGGGCUUGUGUUGGAGCGCGACGGUCGAAACGGGGGUCCUGUUCAUCGCGAGGGGUGUGGCGUGAUACGUCCAUUUUGCAUCAUGCUUUUAUAUCGAUAUUUAUCGCAUUAUGGGCUGUUAUUUCACGUUAUGUCACAAUACUUAUGGCUAUUCUCUUUUAUUUUUCAAGGUUUACAUGAAGAGGGAGAAUGCCGGCAGCUGGAUUUCUGGGCUGGAAAAGGAGCAAAUAUUGGAGACCUAUUCUGCGCAACUCCAAAAGUCCUAAAACUCCACGGAAUAUCUUAAAAUAAAUAAAGAAAAACCGUUGCCAAAGAUGAAGGCAAGGGGGCCCACACCCUGCUCACGAGGGUGGGGGCGCCCUCCCCCCCUGGGGCGCCCCCCCCUAGGGCGCGUCCCCUACCUCGUGGGCCCCCUGGUGGCUCUCUGACGCCCAUCUUCUCCUAUAUGAAGUCUUUCGUCAAUAAAAAACAUUAAACAGCCUUUCGGGACGAGACUCCGCCUCCACGAGGCGGAACCUUGGCGGCACCAAUCUAGGGCUCCGGCAGAGCUAUUCUGCCCGGGACACUUCCCUCCGGGAGGGGGAAAUCAUCACCAUCGUUAUCACCAACGUUCCUCUCAUCGGGAGAGGGCAAUCUCCCUCAACAUCUUCAUCAGCACCAUCUCAUCUCCAAACCCUAGUUCAUCUCUUGUAUCCAAUUCUUGUCUCCAAGUCCGGGAUUGGUGCUAGUAGGUUGCUAUUAGUGUUGAUUACUCCUUAUAGUUGAUGCUAGUUGGUUUAUUUGGUGGAAGAUCAUAUGUUCAGAUCCUUUAUGCAUAUUAUUACCCCUCUGAUUAUGAACAUGAAUAUGCUUUGUGAGUAGUUACGUUUGUUCCUGAGGACAAGGGAGAAGUCUUGCUAUUAGUAGUCAUGUGAAUUUGGUAUUCGUUCGAUAUUUUGAUGAGAUGUAUGUUGUCUAGCCUCUAGUGGUGUUAUGUGAAUGUCGACUACAUAACACUUCACCAUUAUUUGGGCCUAGAGGAAGGCAUUGGGAAGUAAUAAGUAGAUGAUGGGUUGCUAGAGUGACAGAAGCUUAAACCCUAGUUUUUGCGUUGCUUCGUAAGGGGCUGAUUUGGAUCCAUAUGUUUCAUGCUAUGGUUAGGUUUACCUUAAUACUUUUGUUGUAGUUGCGGAUGCUUGCAAUAGAGGUUAAUCAUAAGUGGGAUGAUUUUUCAAGUAAUAACAACACCCAAGCACCGGCCCACCCACAUAUCAAAUUAUCAAAGUACCGAACGCGAAUCAUAUGAACGUGAUGAAAACUAGCUUAACGAUAUUCCCAUGUGUCCUCGGGAGCGCUUUUCCUUAUAUAAGAGUUUGUCCAGGCUUGUCCUUUUCUACAAAAAGGAUUGGGCCACCUUGCUGCACUUUAUUUACUCUUGUUACUUGUUGCUCGUUACAAUUUAUCUUAUCACAAAACUGCCUGUUACCACUUAUUUCAGUACUUGCAGAGAAUACCUUGCUGAAAACCGCUUAUCAUUUCCUUCUGCUCCUCGUUGGGUUCGACACUCUUACUUAUCGAAAGGACUAUGAUAGAUCCCCUAUACUUGUGGGUCAUCAAGACUCUUUUCUGGCGCCGUUGCCGGGGAGUGUAGCGCCUUUGGUAGGUGGAAUUUGGUAAGGAAAAAUUUAUAUAGUGUGCUGAAAUUUACCGUCACUUGUUACUAUGGAAAGUAAUUCUCCGAGGGGCUUGUUCGGGGUAUUUUCACCCCAUCUAGUAGAGCAAGGAGUUGCUCCUCAACCUACUGAACAUAUUGAAAAUGAAACUCCUUUUGAAUUUCCUUCGGGUAUGAUGGAAAAACUGCUAGCUAAUACUUUUACAGGAGAUGGAACAAAGCAUCCUGAUGAAAAUCUACUCUAUGUGGAUGAAGUUUGUGGACUAUUUAAGCUUGCAGGUAUACCCGAUGAUGUUGUUAAGAAGAAGGUCUUCCCUUUAUCUUUGAAGGGAGACGCAUUGACAUGGUAUAGGCUAUGUGAUGAUACGAGAUCAUGGAACUAUACAAUAUUGAAAUUGGAAUUUCAUCAAAAGUAUUACCCUAUGCAUCUUGUUCACCGUGAUCGCAAUUAUAUAUAUAAUUUUUGGCCUCGCGAAGGAGAAAGCAUUGCUCAAGCUUGGGGGAGGCUUAAAUCAAUGUUAUAUUCAUGCCCCAAUCAUGAGCUCCCAAGAGAAAUAAUUAUUCAAAGUUUUUAUGCUCGGCUUUCUGAUAACAAUUGCACCAUGCUUGAUACUUCUUGUGCUGGCUCUUUUAUGAUGAAGACUAUUGAGUUCAGAUGGAAUUUAUUGGAUAGAAUUAAACGCAACUCUGAAGAUUGGGACCUCGACAAAGGUAAGGAGUCAGGUAUGGCACCUAAGUUUGAUUGUGUUAAAUCUUUUAUGGAUACCAAUAUUUUCCGUAAGUUUAGCACUAAAUAUGGACUUGACUCUGAGAUAGUAGCUUCUUUCUGUGAAUCUUUUUCUACUUAUGUUGAUCUCCCCAAGGAGAAGUGGUUUAAAUAUCAUCCUCCCAUAGAAGUAAAAGUAGAUGCACCUAUUAAAGUUGAAUAAAAGACUGUCACUUAUAAUGAUCCUAUUGUUCCUACCUCUUAUGUUGAGAAACCACCUUUCCCUGUUAGAAUAAAGGAUCAUGCUAAAGCUUCAACUGUGGUUCGUAAAAGCAAUAUUAGAACUUAUACACCUCCUGAGCAAGUCAAAGUAGAACCUAAUAUUGCUAUUGUUAAAGAUCUCUUGUCUGAUAAUAUUGAUGGGCAUGUUAUUCAAUUCUGUGGUGAAUCUGCUAGAAUUGCUAAACCUAGCGUUAAAGAUAAACAUAGACCUGUGGUAGGCGUGCCUGUUAUUUAUUUUAAAAUAGGAGAUCAUUGUUAUCAUGGCUUAUGUGAUAUGGGUGCUAGUGCUAGUGUUAUACCUUAUGAUUUAUAUAAAGAAAUUAAGCAUGAAAUUGCACCUGCUGAGUUAGAAGAUAUUGAUGUUACAAUUAAAAUUGCCAAUAGAGAUACUAUAUCUGCAAUGGGAAUUGUUAGAGAUGUUGAAGUCUUGUGUGGGAAAACUAAAUAUCCUGCUGAUUUUCUUGUUCUCAGUUCUCCACAAGAUAGCUUUUGUCCCAUUAUAUUUGGUAGACCCAUCUUGAAUACUGUUAAUGCUAGGAUAGACUGCAAAAAAGAAUGUUGUUACUAUUGGCUUGGAUGAUAUGAUUCAUGAGUUUAAUUUCUCUAAAUUUAGUAAACAACACCGUGAAGAAGAAUUGCCUAGUAAGGAUGAUAUUAUCGGUCUUGCUUCUAUUGCCGUACCUCCUAGUGAUCCUUUAGAACACUAUUUGCUAGACCAUGAAAAUGACGUUCAUGAAUAAAAGAAGGGAAAUAGAUGAAGUAUUCUUUAAACAGGAACCUAUUCUGCAACACAAUUUGCCUGUUGAAAUCCUAGGGGAUCCUCGUCCACCCAAGGUUGAUCCCGUGUUUGAGCUUAAACCGUUGCCUCACAAUCUUAAAUAUGCUUAUCUUGAUGAAAAGAAAAUAUAUCCUAUUAUUAUUAGUGCUAACCUUUCAGAGCAUGAAGAAGAAAGAUUAUUGAAAACUCUGAAGAAGCACCAUGCCGCUAUUGGAUAUACUCUUGAUGAUCUUAAGGGCAUUAGUCCCACUCUAUGUCAACAUAAAAUAAAUUUGGAAGCGGAUGCCAAACCAGUUCGUGAUCCUCAAUGACGUUUGAAUCCUAAAAUGAAAGAAGUGGUAAGAAAAGAAAUACUCAAGCUUCUGGAGGCAGGUAUAAUUUAUCCCGUUGCUGAUAGUCAGUGGGUAAGUCCUGUCCAUUGUGUCCCUAAGAAGGGAGGUAUUACUGUUGUCCCUAAUGAUAAAGAUGAAUUGAUCCUGCAAAGAAUUAUCACAGGUUAUAGGAUGGUAAUUGAUUUCCGCAAAUUAAAUAAAGCUACUAAGAAAGAUCAUUACCCCUUACCUUUUAUUGAUCAAAUGCUAGAAAGAUUAUGCAAACAUACACAUUAUUGCUUUCUAGAUGGUUAUUCUGGUUUCUCUAAAAUACCUGUGUCGGCUAAAGAUCAAUCAAAGACUACUUUUACUUGCCCUUUUGGUACCUUUGCUUAUAGACGUAUGCCUUUUAGUUUAUGUAAUGCACCUGCUACCUUUCAAAGAUGCAUGAUGGCUAUAUUCUCUGAUUUUUGUGAAAAAAUUUGUGAGGUUUUCAUGGACGAUUUUUCCGUCUAUGGUUCCUCUUUUGAUGAUUGCUUGAGCAAUCUUGAUCGAGUUUUGCAGAGAUGUGAAGAAACUAGUCUUGUCUUGAAUUGGGAAAAGUGCCACUUUAUGGUUAAUGAAGGUAUUGUCUUGGGGCACAAAGUUUCUGAAAGAGGUAUUGAAGUUGAUAAAGCCAAGGUUGAUGCUAUUGAAAAGAUGCCAUGUCCCAAGGACAUCAAAGGUAUAAGAAGUUUCCUUGGUCAUGCUGGAUUUUAUAGGAGGUUCAUUAAGGACUUCUCAAAAAUUUCCCGUCCUCUGACUAAUUUAUUACAAAAAUAUGUACCAUUUUUCUUUGAUGAUGAUUGUGUAGAAGCAUUUGAAAUACUUAAGAAAGCAUUAGUCUCCGGACCUGUUGUUCAGCCACCUGAUUGGAAUUUACCCUUUGAAAUUAUGUGUGAUGCUAGUGAUUAUGCUGUAGGUGCUAUUCUAGGGCAAAGAGUUGAUAAGAAAUUAAAUGUUAUCCAUUAUGUUAGUAAGACUCUAGACAAAGCUCAAAGGAAUUAUGCUACUACUGAAAAGGAACUUUUAGCAGUUGUAUUUGCUUGUGAUAAAUUCAGACCCUAUAUUGUUGAUUCUAAAGUAACUAUUCACACUGAUCAUGCUACUAUUAAAUAUCUUAUGGAAAAGAAAGACGCAAAACCUAGACUUAUUAGAUGGGUUCUCUUGCUGCAAGAAUUUGAUUUGCAUAUUGUUGAUAGAAAAGGAGCUGAGAACCCCGUUGCAGAUAACUAAUCUAGGUUAGAGAAUGUUCUUGAUGACCCACUACCUAUUGAUGAUAGCUUUCUUGAUGAACAAUUAAAUGUCAUAAGUGUCGUGGUAGACUGGUCGCCACGGACACCUAUGGGACCGGAGCCCCUUUUCGGUUCGGCGGGGGGCGGAGAUCGCACGAAGAGCAGAUCGAGGCGAAACACACGAGUAGUUUACCCAGCUUCGGAGCUCUCCGGAGAGAUAAUACUCCUACUGCUGCUUUGUGGUUGUAUUGUGUUCUUGCUCGGGAGCUUGAGAGCUACAAGACCAAGAGAGUAUGCGUUGUGGCUAUCGAAGGAUUCGAACCCUUUCUACGUUGCACACGGGCCUCCUUUUAUACGUGAAAGGGGUCACCGACAGGUGGCAAGGUAGGUGAGGGUAAAAAGGGAAAAAAGAGUAGGCUGGUACAGCUACUUGUACAGUGUUCUAUACCUAACUCUGACGGCAGGGACAAAGGCAUUAAAUGCCUAUCUAAGUCACCCAAACAGUGCAAAAAGUGACCGUCAGAGGCGCCACCGCUCGCCACGGUGGUAUCCUUGUCAUCGCCGCUUAACGCUGUGUACCGCUAGCCGCACAGCCCCUUGCCACGCGUGCCCGGAGAGGUCCCGUGGAGACACGUUGGCGGGUGUGCUGGAGCGCAGGUACAGAGCGAUAGCUUGUCGCGGCAAGCGCCUUGUCGUCCGGAAGCUUGUCGCUCGCCGGGUCUUGCCGGGACGCGGGACGCGUCACGGCAAGUUUCUUGAUAUGCUUUGGAUGUUCUUCCCGGCAAGCUCCUCUUGCCAGGGUCUUGUCUCUCCAGUUGGCCUUCCCGGCAAGCUCAUCUUGCCAGGGUCUUGUCUUCUCAGCUUGAGCACUUCGUUCUUGAAUGGCUCCAAAGGAAGCAUGGAGGAUCUUGGCGGUCGCCCGGCAAGCCUUGCCGCGGGGCGCUGCAACUGCCCGUGCACAAGUUUGGGGUACUAGGGUAACCCUAUUCUAGUACACCGACAGGAGCCCCCGGGCCUGGGCCAUACACGGUGCUGAGCGCUGUUGGGCCAGGCCCAAAACAGUGCACGGGCACGUGCAGCCAGGUUCACGCCGAAUCUCACUCCGGAUCCACCGCGCCCUCCCCUAACGGCACGCGUCAAACGCGGCAUCAUGGGGAGAGAUCGUGGGGGGUUGUUUAUUUGGAAAAGCGGAACGUCCGCCCCCUCCCUCUUUAUAAGCAGGGGAAACAGGGGCGGUUCCUCCGCUCCGCCCGUUGCUGCUUUCCGAUCUCAGAAAUCUUCGCUGCUCCCCCUUCUUCCCAAGCCAAAGGAGAGCAGCGCUCCGCCCCAUCGCCGCCGGCGCCACCCACGCCUUCAAACUCCUCCGCCACCUCCGCCAUGGCUCCGAAAGCCAGCAAGGGGAAGGGCGAGAAAUUGAAAGGCGAGAAGUCGAUGGAGGCACAGCAGCUCGAGGUGCUACGAAAGGAGCGAGCCACCUUCCCUCCCGAGCUCCCUGCGAAAGAGCUGAGGGAGGGUUCUAUCUGUUCUGGUCGACGGAGACGCGAGCGCAUCCGCGCACCAAGGUAAUCUCCGCCGAUGCCUCGAAGAAAGCUCCGUUCAGAUAUCCUUUCUUCGCAUUGUUCUUCCAUUGCGGGCUCUGCCCGCCCUUCUCUCAGUUCUUUUGCGAUGUCAUGAAUACCUACGGAUUCCAUCUCCUUGAUUUCACCCCCAACGCCAUUCUCACCAUGGCUGUUUUCGCGCAUCUGUGCGAAAAUUUCGUCGGAGUCCACCCAAAUGUCGCUCUCUUCCGCAAUUUCUUCACCCCCCGAGUCGAGAGAGGAGAGCCUCUAGCCGGCGGAAUCGCCUGGGUUUCGAGGACCGGCAAGAAGGAAUCCUAUCUGCUUGGGGAGCUCCGCAGCAAAUGGGAUGAGUGGAGAGCAGAGUGGUGUUAGAUCUUGGAGAAGGAUCCGCAGCCGUUCACAGCCCUGCGCCAAGCCCCGGUAGUGCGCGGCAAUGAUUGGAGCAAUCUGGCCCCAGAUGACGCCAAGCUGAAGAUUGCCAUUAUCCGGAUCUUGCGGCUCAGGCUUGCCGGACUAACCGUAGGAGCUGUCGGCGCAGAUUUCCUUCGUCGUCGCAUUGCCCCUCUGCAGGAGAUAGGCAGACCCGCCUGGGAAUUUGGAGGCCUAGUGGAUAUCAUGAGGCUGCGACCGGGCCUCAAUUUCAAUUUUACUGUCUUGGAACUUGACGGAAUGCUCAGGGAGCUAUUCAAGCAUGACCCCGAUCAUCCCGAGUGGUUCAAGCUGCCGCAUGGCGUCGUCCCGCUGUGCAACAGCUCUUCGCGGGAUAGCAUCUGUGCUAUGAUGCCCUUGUGCGACUCACACGGGCUUGUUCCAACUUGGAAAGAGCCUCCGAACAACGUUGUGCAAGAGUUCUUUGACAACCUGUCUAAAGUAGCAGUCCGCUCUGAUGAGCAGAAGGAGCUCACCCGCGACAACACCGACGAUGAGGUGCGGUACAUCGCCAGCAGAGCAGAGGAGGCAGCGGCAGCCGCUGCCGCGGGCAAGUUUGGGUUUACAGUGGAGGAGGCAGAGGCAGCCGAGGCGGAAAGCCUUGCCGACCAAGACGAGCUUGCCGGAGAGCUUGCCGGUGAGGGAGACCCUGCCGCGUCAGAAGCUGAAUCCAGCGAGCCCGCCGAGGGUACGGGCGGCCAGCCAUCUUCAAGCACCUUGCAGCAGGCGGAGCCUUCAGCGCAGCCCCCGGUGCAGCCCCCAGCGCAGCCAAGAAGACGCCUUCGCAGGGCCGGGGACGCGGCGGAGCGGCCAACGAGACAACAGCCGCCGCGCCGCGCGGCAUGCUCUGCCACGGCAAGUAAUGUUGCCGCGGAGACGCACCGCGCUGCCGCGGCAACUGGAGCGGGGUCCUCCCGGACCGCCGCUGCUGCUCCAGCCGCUUCACAGGCCACGGCAGCGACCGGGGCUGGGACGUCCCAGGCCACCACCGCUGUCCCCGCCAAGAGGCCAAGGGAGCCUUCUCCGCCUCGUCGCGCCGGGCCGGACUUCGACCUCUCCGCACUCAGCUCCGAUGAGGAGGAGGAAGAGGAAGAGUAAGUUCCUUUGCUGCUCUUGCAAAUCUUCAAUCCUUGCUGUUUUGUCUUGUUUCUGACUUGUUUUACUCUGAAUCUGUUUCUUUCAGGACUCUGGCUGAGAGAGCGGCAAAGAGAGCCAAGACCCCGGUGAUUAACAUCGAGGACGAUCCCACUGCGGCAGCAGGGGAUGUGCCUGAGACUUCCUUACCGGAUCCGGCAAUCGUGCCCCAAAGCAGCCCCCAGCGUAAGUAUAUAAUUUACUUUCGCUGUAAGGCACGCAUGAGUGCUCUUUAUUUGCUGAUGUCUUGAUCUUUGACUUGUGUAGGAGCAGAGCAGCCUCACCAGGAGCCCUUGGAAGCAGCCCCUGAUGUGCCAUCUGCUGCGAUUACUCCGCCAAGGGAGGCCUCCCAGACAAGGGAGCAUUCUCCGGCAAAGGAUGCGUCCCCGACAAGGGAGGCGUCUUCGGCAAAGGAUGCGUCCCCGGCAAGGGAGGCGUCUCCGGCAAGAGACGGUUCCCCGGCAAAGGACGGCACCAACGAUCCCUUGGUGGAGGAGACCGUGACCGUGGAGCCCAAUGCAGGUAACCCCUUGCUUUAAGACUUCCCUUGGGAUUUUCUUCUUAUGAUUUUCUUCUUGGAUUUUUGCUUGACUCUUCUCCCUUUUCCGGCCGUCAGGUCCUUCUGACGUGGAGCCAAUGGAGACUGAUGUUGCCGGCGAGGAAGACGCGCACAGCAACAUUGACGACGCCGCCGCCACCAAUGAGGCAGCCGGCGCUGAAGAUCCUACCGCUGAAGAGGCCACCAAGGCUAACGCCGCAGGAGCCGGCAAGGGAUCCGGUGAUCGCACUGACGGCCCUGAGGCCGCAGGAGCGACAGGCGCUGCUCCGACCGCCGAUCCCUCCACCUUUGCUGUAGCAUCGGGCUCCGAGGAGCCCCAUCCCGGCGCCUACUUGAAUGUGAUCGGACCCUUCCCCCUCUAUGCUAAACUCAACCCAGUCUGUUCUCAAAUUCUUCAUGUGCGUUCUAUUUGAAACUCGUUCAAUAUCUUCACUGUGUCCUUGUCAGCUGAAGAAAUUGCGAACGAAACUUUUAACUUAUCUUAUCUAAAUUUUCGGUUUUGCCGCUCAAACUGUUCCGCAUCCCAUGAUAAUACUUAUCUUUUCACCCACGAUCUUACACGAUCGCCACCUCUCAGUAUGUGGGUGACACAUGUCAAGCAAAUGAGAAGGGCCAGGGACACGUUCGUCCGAAUUCCUCGGGCGUAUAGUUUUUCCCUCCGACUAUAAAUACCCCCUUCCCUUCCUCACUUUGUUUUUACUCUGCUUGUUCUCACUCCCGCUCGAGCUUCUCAAACCCUAGCGCCGCUACUUCAUCAUCGCCGGUGAGGAAGAGCUUCACUGCCUCGACCUCGUCGCCGUCGUACUCGCGCCCACUGCGGAUUUCUUCACUCCGUCGUCGCCAUAGCUGUCUUCCUCUGCCGAGUUAGGGCGUGGAAGAUCUGAUCUGACGAACUUCACAUCUGCACUUCCAAGUUCAUCGUGUUCUUCAACUAGGGUAAUUAAAAGUUACUUUUAUUGCCCUCUUUGAUUCAAAUGUUUUCUUGAAAAUCUUCAAAGGUGUUUAUUCUUCAAAUCUUCACACACUAAACACCUCACAUGUCAUCUGCUCUUGAUUCGUUUCUCUAAGCAAUAAUUUCUCUUCAAGAUUCCUCAAUUGUGUGGAUCUUCCAUCUACACAACUCUGGAACCUAAGAGAAAGAACGCUUAGUGAAAUUCUUCAAGACUCAUCUGGUCAAAUUCCUCAAACUUAUUCUCUUUGAAAAACCUUCUGAGAACGCAUAUGACCUCUCCAAAUUCCUCGCAACUAUGCUCUGUUCACAGGUACUCAUGUCUGCUGCUGAAUCACUAGGGUCUCAUCAACUUAACUCAUUUGCAGCGUUCCUCGAAGAAAAGUUGCAUACAUCUUCAUAGAAUUCCAUUGUUCAAAUUCCUCAACUAAAGAAAAUGGCUGAUAAGAAGCCACAGAAGGGAGGAAAGAGGCCUAAGGUCAAUAUCGCUUUUGAGAUCCCUGAUGACAUUUAGGCACACCCCCUGAGGAGGAUAGAAAUCAGCGCAAGGUGCGCAUCAAAAGAUUGAGAGGAGAUGGGCACGAGAGUGGAGGGAGUACAGAUAUGUUACUCCCAAGUAUAUGAAGAAAUUCGCUCUCAACCCUCCAUGCCCAAGACCUCCAUUGGCACCUGGCCAAUUGGCAGAUCCCACCAGCCUCAAGCGCAGUGAGGAUUAUCCUAAUAAAUGGGCAAAGCGCCAGGCCAAACUGGCCAAAUAGGCAAAAGAAGCAGUGAGGAAAUUGAAUGAAGAUUCUGCUGCUGCUGCUACCGCUGUUGAGGCCUCUACAAGCAAGCCGAAGAAGGCCAUGGCUAAGAAGCCUACUCAUAAGCCGAGUGCUUCACCAUCAAUGCCCUCACGGCCAGAUUCUUCAAAGCCCUCACGACCAACUCCUCAAACUGCUCCUCCUCCUUCAAAGUCAUCAGCUCCUCCGACAAAGUCCUCAGCUGCUCCAACUAAUUCCUCAGCACCUGUGCAUCUUGCCACGUGCCAAAGGACUACAGGCAUCUCAAUUGCCUCAGGAGCGUCUGCAAGUUCCUCUGCUGCACCAAAUUCCUCAACUGGCCCCUCUCUCUUGAAGAAAAAGGCCACUGCUGGACGAGGCCUUCGACCAAAUCCUCACAAGAAGCAAGGCGCCUUUCAAGUGCCCUUUGAUGAUGAUGAGGCUGAUGAUGAAGAACUUGCCGAAAUCAUUAGAGACAGGCAGGCCAGGGCCGCUAGAGCCAAAGGCAGCAAUGUGCCAAUGUUACUGGAUCCAAAGUUGAUCCUAGAUUCCAUCGAUCUAUGGCACAAGGACCCAAACAUACCUUUGCCGGAGAUGAACCUCACUCCUGGUUAAAGUCAUUUUUUUACUGCCUUCAUUGAAGAAGAAAAAUGGAAAUAUGAAGAAGGAAGAAGGGUGAAGAAAGCGCAGUACAAGAAGCAGCACAACCUAAAGGACAAUGUCCUCAAUCUCUCCCCUGAACAACUUUGCCUUACAAGCUGAGAUCAAGCAACUGAGUGAUGAAUUGAUUGCUACUGUGCUGACUGGCUUGGAGCCAAAGUCAGAUUUGUGAAGAUUACUGAUAAACUCACUUCAAAGUUGCAGCCCCAACGCAACAAGAAAAUCCUCAGGCUGAUGCAUCUGAAGAUCAUGCCAGCAUUGCUGAUGAAAAUCAGGCUGCUGAAGAAAAUGAAAGUACCUGGGAUAAUGACUGCAUUCCAGCCGCUGAAGAAAUUGCCAGGGCAUCCACUAGUGUUGCGCCUGAAGAAAAUGAAGAAGUCAGGGUAACUGCAUCAGUUGUGCCUGAAGAAAUUCAACCAAAUUCCUCUGCUCCUCCUGCGCCUACACCAACUCCGAUCCUUCCAUCUGCAUCAGAUGUGAAGAAGACCAAGGCUGUAGAGCAUGCAGCUAUGAAGAAAAGGAAGGCAUCAACUUCAUCAGAUUCUUCAGCUCCGAAGAAGAUGAAGCCUUUGACUAGCUCAAUUGACAACCCAAUUGAUGUCGUUCCUGUCUCAUUCAUGCCAUCAAAGGACCUUGUUCCUUUUGAUGAAGAUUAUGUGAUUCCAAGUGAAUCCGAUGAAGAAAUUCCUUCUGCUGCUUCGUCAGUGCUGUUGGAUGAAGAAAUUGAAGUGGAUGCAAUCCCUUCAACACAUGUUGUCUCCUUGCCUAUGCCUCAGUUUACUGCUGAAGAGGUCGGCAUUGAAGAAAUGGAAGAUGAGGAUGUGGAGAUUGGCUGUUCCACACCCGUGCUGAAUGAUGACUUUUGGGAAAGUCAGCACCCCAACUCUCCACUGUUCACCGCACUUCAGUCAAUUCCUCAGUCCCCUGUUGUUACUGAAGUACAAAUGGGAUCUAAAGAACCUCAUGCAACCCCAUCUAUCCGUGAAGAAAUUCUAGCCACUAGUGCUGAUGAAAAUGUCAAUGAAGAAUUGAAGACCCAGGCUGCAGCUGAAAAAGAGCCUGAAAUUCCUCAGCCUAUGGAUCCUGAGAUUGAGAUUCCUGAGGUGGCGAUGCAAUUGACUGAUACUCCUCAGCCCAAGCCAAAGGAUCCCUUCUCAAAGAAGCAAAAAUUCAAGGCUGAUGAUUUCUUCGACGAGCAUGUUUUCUUCACUGAAUUCAAUCCUUAUGACUCUGCUUGUCUUAGAAGGACGCAUUUUUGGACUGCUAGCCAGGCCAAUUUCUAUUCUUCACUGCUUUUCAACAAAGACAAAGUCUUCAACCACGAGCAUAUUCCUCACAUGGAUAUGGAAUCAAUGCCUUGCUUCUCUCCAGCCCUCAGUGUGCUUCACGAUGCAGGACUGCUCAUCUAUUGCUCUGACAUAGUUGAUUGGAAUGAAGAGCUUAUUCUUCAGUUUUACGCAACUCUGCACGUCAGGGGUGAUGCUAAUGAUAUCAACACUUGGGUGUUGGACUGGAUGACCGAAAACACUCAUUAUAAGGCACCAGCCUCUGAAUUACUUCAUGCCCUGCCAAUCAGUCCUCCACCUGAAGGUGCUCGUUGUCUGUACCAAGAACCUGAACUUGCUGCUCAUUACAUGCAAGUGCUAAUGAAGCCUCUGAAGCCCGGUCAAGCCCUAAGGACCAAAUUCCUCGUGAAGGAAUUACUGUAUGUGCCAAGAACAGUCUAUCGCAUUCUGAGGAAGACUUUGAGUCCUAUCAAAGGCCACAACUCAUCUGAUGAGGAAAUUGUUGGCAUCAUGAAGAAUCUACUAUUCAACAUCAUGCAUGGCAUCCCUAUCAAUUAUCAUGAUUUCUUCAUGAGGACUCUGGCAAACGCUGCAGUUUCUCCGUUUGAGCUGAAGCCUUAUGCUCCUUGGAUUAUGAGAUUCCUCAGAACAAGGUCUUCACUCGACUACAAAGCUGAUUUUUAGAAUCACCUCAGCUACUUGCCCCCAAUUGAAGUCCUCAAGCGGACACAUUCCUCAGCCGAUGAAAAGGGAAAGGCACCGACUAUUUUCGAUGAAGGCAUUCAUCCAUUGCAUGGUCAGUUUCGCAAAGCUGCAUCUUAUUCCACCAAUGAUGACUCUGCCACUCAUGAUUCUGCUGCCAAUGCAUCCAAGCCAAAUCCUGAAGCCACUGCUCCUCGUGUGAUGACAGAUCAUGAGCUGCUUCUUAGUCUUCACCAGAAGGUGGAUCUAAACCACAAAUGGAUUAAGCGUUAGUUUGGUUCUAUUCUUCACAACAUGACUUGUACACAUAAUGCAGUGAAGAAAAACCAUUACUACCUCCAUGAAGUCUUCGAUCGCACCUGGGCUAUUCUACCACAUCUCUAUGGUGAAUAAGCUCUGAAGCAAAUGGGUUUCAAGGAAGAUUUUGACUUGUCUGCUCCUCCACCGAAGAAAUACAAGAAGGUCAAGGUUCCUCCCUUGGUAGCCAGUUCAUUUUCUUCAUCAUGCGACACGGACGAGUAUGAAGACUUGGACGACACUGCGGCAGGCCCUACAAUGACACACGACCCCAACAACGUUGGCGCUCCUCCAUCAUCAUGAUAUUCUUCAGGGGCGUUAGUCCUCAUUUUUCAACCCUUUUGGUCAUUCGAUGACAAAGGGGGAGAAAUUUGAGUUAGUCUUGAAACGGGUCUAUCUUAUAUGGGUGUUUUUUUGCUAAGUUACAACUCUUGUUCUUUUGAUGACUUUGCUGGAUCGAGUUGUAAACUUAAACUCUAUGGUGGACUGAUACUUUUGCUGAGUUCUUCUGCAUGCUUAUUCCUCAUUAAUAUCAAUGCACGCGUGCUGAAUUACAUCAGUCACCAUAUUUCAUCAUGCAUUUCAAAUUCUUCAUAUUAUAUGUCAAAUGCGUGUAUGAAUUACAAGAUAUAGGGGGAGAUCUCCAUGAUUAUACUCUUCAAGUGUGCAUUGCUUCAAAAGCAAAUUCCUCACUAUGCACAUCUUCAGGGGGAGUUCUUCUAUACCUUGCAAUCAAAUUCCUCAAUAUCAGUAUUUACACUUCAUAUGUUUAUCCCCAUUGAAAACUUAACCUAUAUUGUCAUCAAUCACCAAAAAGGGGGAGAUUGUAAGUGCAUCUAGUGCCCCUUAGUGAUUUUGGUGUAUUGAAGACCUAUAGGUUAAGGGACUGAUGCGUUUGUGAGUGUACACAGGUCUAUAAGUCUAUGAGGAGUUUCAUAUUUACAGAGAAAGUCGACCCCUAAAAAUGAAGUUCUUCAACUGAAGACUUUGGACUUCUGAAGACUUUGAAAGUGAAGAAAUUGGUGUGACCCUGAAGACUUGGAAUUCAUUCGAAGAACAUGAAGCAUGCAGAGUUUUGUUUUCAUAGUUUCAUUUUCUCUUUCUUGAGUCAUAGGAAACACCAUACAGUUAAAGGGGGUUGAGGAAAUACUAAGGAAACUUUCCAUGUGAUGCUCUACUCAAAAUCCUACACCUACCAAUCCCUUUGAGUGAAGCCAUUGGAAAUGUCAUACAGUUCAGUCAAUUACUUCAGUGACAGAAACGAAGUUCUUCUGGUUGUUGAGGAAUUUUUUCUGACUGAGGAGUUAGGAAUUCGCCAGUGCGGAUUGCCUACAUAGUGAGGAACAUGAUAGCCCUGAGGAAUUUGAGAGUCAAAAUUCCGACAAUUUAUGUGCUAUGCGCCAGCUGUCCCAAAAUAUCUACCCACCUAACGGUCAUUUCAUUGAAGGGCAUUUAUGUCUUAUCAUGUCGGGCUGCUCCCUAGGCUAUAAAUAGCCGCCCCCUACAACCACUAGCUGGUUGGCUUCUCCAAGAUAAACUGACACUUGUCAUUUGAGAGCAUCCCAUCCUCCGAGGACUUUGAGCAAAAAUAAUCAAGUGAGGAAAACCCAAACCCAAACACCUUCAAACCCAAAGUGAUUAAGCAUCACUGAAGAGAUUGUUCCUGCGUGGAUCCGACGCUUGUUACCUUUGAAGACUGUGCUUCUUCCAGACGGUUAGGCGUCACGGUCUAGAGCAUCCAAGAGGAAUUGUGGAUCACCGAGUGACCUAGUCUGUGAAGGUUUGGAAGUCACCUGAAGACUUAACACGAGUGAUUGGGCGAGGUCUGUGUGACUUUAGCUCAAGGAGAAUACGGUGAGGACUGUGUGUCCGGGAAUGUGUGUCCUCGGGUUUAAAUACCUAGCCGCUCCAACCAGACGUACAAUUGAGACAGCAGUUAGAACUGGUCUACCAAAUCAUUGUUUUCACCAAGCUUACUGGUUCUAUUUCCUCAACUCUUUCAUUUCCUCAUAAUUGUGUUGUUUGCUUGUUCUUAUCUGUUUGAAGACUUUGACUGAAGACUUUCUCAAUUUCCUCUGUUCAAUUUCUUCAGUUUGUCUGUCUUCAUCCUGUGUUAUCCUGUGUUUACGCUUUCUGUACUCUGUGCUUGUCUUCAUUUCAUCAUGAUGACUAUGCUUGUGUUCUGUUAUGUUUACUUCUGAGUACUUAUUCCACUUCAAGUAGUUCUUCUCAAAGGAAUUUCCUCACUAGCAAAUUCCUCAGUGAAGAAUUCAUAAAAAUCGCCUAUUCACCCCCCUCUAGUCGAUAUAACGCACUUUCACUACUCUUUUUGUACUGUCAUUAGAUAGAAAUACUAACGGUUUGCAUGUGAAUUUAUUGGCAGGGUGGACCUACAUUGCAGGUGGAGGACAGGAUUCAAUGAUUGGAUACUCAAUUUCGGUUGUAUCAAUUUCACCUCUUCCAUCACUGCGAACAUGAAUAUCCUUGGUCUGACGAAGAAUAGGCGCUAUAUUUCUGCUCUGAACCAUCAAAUCAAUUCAGUACGAAAUUGUCCAGGGCAAAACAUGACUAUAUCAAAUUGUCCAAUGCAAAACAUGAUAGAUUCUAAGCGGAAGAGACAUGUUUAAACCAAAAAUACAAGGUGGGGUAUAUGUUUACUAGUUGCUUGAUAUUUGUGCGGACAGAGAUGUCUGCCCUUUGCUAUUUGGAAAACAAACAAAGUGACCGCAAUUUUGGUUGAACUGCACAAGAGAAUAGUAUAGUCACUGCAUGCAGUGCCAUUUGAAAAUAGACACAGAAAGAUUGGAUAGUCACUUCAUGGACUGCAGAAAAGUAGUAUUGUACUAUUUAUUGGCCAACACUAGGUGCUUCAUUGCUUUGGUCUGAUUAUACAAUAGCAUCAUUUUGCCUAAGUUAAAGUUUGUAUUCCAAAAAUAGUCUCGCCAUGUGAUCGAGAGAAGACCAAAUCAUAUUGCAGUGGAUGUUCCUCCAUCAUGUGUGGUUCAUUCUCAUGGUUCCAGCUGUUGGUGAAACCACUUACGUUUGCAAGAGGAAUUGUAGACUUUACAAAUAAAUUUGUCUUUUAGUCUGUACUGAAUGUUGGCCAAGAGAAGCAUCCUUGUUAUUAGGAAGAACAGAUGUUUUUUCUAGAUCUUUGCUUUUGGAGCUACAUAUUUCUAUAUGAUCUAUGAAUCAUUGAGAUGCAUUAACAUGUUGAUCUUAUGUAUGGGAAUUGUACUAGUUGGUUUUAGUUGCGACGCAAGAUCCGAAGUGACUGACCUUUGCUUUUGGAGCUACAUAUUUGUAUAUGAUCUGUGAAUCAUUGAGAUGCAUUAACAAUUCCUUAUUUCUGUACGCUCAGUGUUUACAAGUUACUAAUCGAACACUAGCUAGCCUACUAAUGCGCUCCUGGCACUUUUAGUUGCGACGCAAGAUCCGAAGUGUCAGUUUUUUGACUAAAAAUGCCUACCUCUGAAGAAACUGACAAGCUGCUCUAAAGAAAAUGCCAUGCGAAUCUGAAGAAACUGCCAGCAAAAACAUUCGCAAAUACCUUAUCUCCCAGCUAACGUUCAUCAGCUAAUGCGAUCGUACACGUACACCAUCCGACCUAUUCGAUCCUACACGUACACUAUCCGACCUACUUGAUCCUACACGGAUAAAUAGCGGAUCACGCACGUACUACCUCCUUUCUGGUUUGUAGGGCUCAAUUAUAGGAACGACCUACUCGAUCCUACACAAAUAAAUAGCGGAUAACGCAUGUACUAGUACCUCCUUUCUGGUUUGCAGGGCUUAAUUCAAAAAUAUCACCAACCAAGGUACUCCCUCCGUCUGGGUUUAAUAGUCCCGUGAGCCAAAGUAGCAAGACCAAGGCAUGACAAUAAUUAACUGCAUGCAGAAGUUUAAGCCUAAUUAAUUCCAGCGAUUUAAGUGGAUGCAUGCGUGCCCUCGGCUAUGACUCGUUGCAUGCUGCUCCGUGUACUAGCUGCGAGCGAUUUUGAGUGCCUGCAUGCAGCCGGCCGUAAUUAAGGUAGCUAACUGAUGCGAAAAAAGAUGCGCUUUAAUUGUUGCGGGCCUUUUAAAUCCAUGGAAUCAUUAUUGACAAGGAGGGAGUACCUCAUUUGGAUGAUUCGAGUUCCCUCGUUUGACCAUCAUGCCAACGUGCGACCCAACAUGGAUGGGACGGGACGGCACAGUCAUAAUUUUAGUUUCUCUAGUUUUCCACGGCAAGCUGGCGCACUAAGCCAUGCCUGCUUAUGCAUUGAAUUCCGAUGACCGUCAUACUACCUUCCACCUAUAAGUACUGUUUCCCGGCCUUCUCCGGUGGCACCGUGACCCAACUCACCCUAUCCUCAUAAGCCCCCACCGGCCUGAUGUCGCUCGCCACUUAUCCUCGCUCUUGCCAUGUCCACCAUGCCCCCGCCCGUCCGAGAUAGGCAAGGCCGGAGGCGGUCACCGCCGGAACUAGUGUUCUAUUUUUCACCAGAAGGCAGACAGAGGGAGGAGGCAUUCUAUCGGUCUUUAGACGGCAAUGCGGAGAUCGAGGACUUGUUGGAGCGCGACCGCCUGGCGGAGGAGCAGGAGUUGUUGGAGCGCGACCGCCUGGCGGAGGAGCAGCGUAUCACCGAUUUGCGCCACCAUCGGGACAUGGAGCAGCAGCGCACCGACGCUCUAAGCCGCGAGCAAAGCGCCCGCAACUGGGCCAACUACAUGGAGGCUGGCACCCGGCAAAUAGCCCUGGAGGCUGUCGGGCACGCACGCGUUCGCGACGCCGAUUUUUACUACCAGCUCGUCAAGUGGGUUUCCCGCUUAGAAGCCGAAGCUUCGGUGGACCACACCGGCAUGGAAAGGGCCAACGCGCGAGAGAAAUGCGCCCUAUCACACCUCUGGAAAGUCUGAGGUGAGGCGGAGGACGCCGGUGCCGGUGUUUAGCGUGUACCGCAGAUGGCGGCCGGCAUCGCCUAGUUAUCUAAGAGUAAGUUAGUACUUGUACGCUACUAGAGUAUUAGUGGGAGUAGAUAGUUAACUUGGCUAUGAUGGUUGUCAACGUGGAAGUUCAGUACUCUAUAUGUGGAUCAGACCUGUUACUUUGCUCUGAAUGUUGAACUUUUCGUUUGAACGUAUGGAAUGGGCUAUUAUUUUUUAAAUGGGUUGUAUUUGUCCUCCACGGGUUUAGAGGCUGACUUGUGGGCCUACCAAGUUGAUGCGUACACAAUCAGGAGAUGAUUGUACGUGGAGAGGAUGACAGCAGGGACGCGCCAAGGCCAUGGCAAUACGCAAGCAAGUGCCUCCUUAUUUCAAGCCAGUAAAAAAUGGCUCCUCCUAAUGGAUUUCUGACAUCUGGGUCCCAUGCCAUUGUCAACGUAGUCAAUAAACGAGAGAAUUGCACAACGAGCGGCUAACAUCAGGGACUCAGCAGCUCGCCCAGUUUUUUUUGUUUUGGGUUAAUUUGAUAAAUGUCACUCCAAAUCUGGUGUUUCCGAGAAAUGCCACUGCAAUUUCCAAACUUUGAAAAAUGUCAGUUCAUGCCAUUUCCAAUGGCAUUUUUCGAAGUCUGGAGUGGCGUUUUUCAAAGUUUGCAAAAGUUGCAGUGGCAUUUUUCAAAGUUUGAAAAUUGUAGUGGCAUUUUUAUGGAUCACCAUAAUUGGAGUGUCAUUUAUCUAAUUUGUUUUUGAGACGGAAGCAGGGUUUCAACUGGGCUGUGCGGGGCGCUCUGGCCUGUCUAGACAACCUUUUCUUUUAUGUUUACCAUAGACCAGCCCAGUAGUUUUUUUUUCUUUCUGAAAAUGGCUAGCCCAGUUUUUUGUGAUUUGUCAAGUCGCUUUGUCAGGAUUGUUGGGCUGCAAAUCUUUCAAGACGAGGAGAGCUUCAUUCGGCUGGCCGAGAAAAUGGUCUACCCGUAAUGAGAAAUGGGUUGUACAUUUUUAAAACAUAUCAAACUGGCAAUUAGUUUAAAAUUUCUUUUUUUCGAGACUUUAAAUUGCAUUGAUUUGUAUGCGUGGAAAAUUUGUUGGAUUUUAUAUUGAUAUACAUUUUAUUUUAAAAUCAGUUUGAAUGUGACUUGAAAUUUCGGGAUUAAAAAUAGUUCGGACCGCACUGAAAUAUGCAAAAUUUCAUAUAACUUUUUAACUGUGGCCACAAUAUGGGCUGUAAUGCUAACAACAAUAAUAUGGGCUCCAAAAAGAACCUUAAGAAUUAGCAAAUGGGCUGUAAAUUAUUAGAAAUAAUGGCAGAUGGGUUGUAUGCUGUUUUCCACAGAUUUGAGGAUUUCCUAAAAAAAGGUUGACGCACAAGCAGUGACUGUUGGAUGUCCAUCCAACGGCCGUUGUGCUUUGUUCAAUCUCUGCUCUUCCUGCUCCAGCCGCUCAAACAAGCGCCAGCGGGACUGCCUGCUCCUUCCUCCCCGCGGCCGGCUGUGCUGCCAUGCAGGCCUCACCGCCCCAUCGUACUCCCAUCGCUGGCCUAGCCAUCCCUCUACUCACCCACACCUGCUGUUAUUCUCCGGUGAUGGCAGACAAACCAAUAAACCCUCGUACACUCGUACUCCCCUCCGCGUGGGAAACGACUGCCAAGUCUUCCCUGGCUCCGUGUCGUUUCCUUCCUAGGCCUCGUCGUCGUCCACCGCCCUGGUGCUCUCGGCGCGGCGUGGUCAACGACCGACAUGCAUCUGAAGUGGAUUGUACGUGGAGAUGCUGACAGUUGGGUCCACGGCCACACGCAAGGAAAUUCCUCCUUAUUACGCGCAAAAUAAUGAUUCCUCCACCUGACAUCUGGGACCCACCGAAAGGGACUCUGUAUUUCGUGAAAAAAGGUUACCACCGCUGACAGCUCAGACCCACCAGCUAUAUCUUCGCACGCAAGGAGUGCCUCCUUAUUACGCACAAAAAAAAUGAAUACUCCCCCUGCUAGCUGGGACCUAGUAAGAGGGAGGCUGACUUGUGGGCCUACUAAGUUGACGGGGACGGAGGGCUUUGUCAACUUAGUCAAUAUGCACGAUUCUAGCUCCAGUGACCGUAUGAUGUCCAUCCAACGGCCGUAGUGCUUCUUCAACCUCUGGUCUUCUUGCUCCAGCCGCCUAAAGCAGCGCCGGUCGUGCCGCUUGCUCCUGCCUCCCGUGGCCGGUUGUGCUGCCGCGGAGGCCUCACCGCCCCCUACUACUCCCAACGCUGGCCAGGCCAUCCCUCCACUCACCCACACCCCCAGUUAUUCUGCAGCGACGGCAGCCUCACACAACAGCCGAACCAGUGAACCCUCGUACUCCUCUCCGCAUCGGCAUCCACUGCCGCGUCUUCCUCGGCUUCGUGUCGUCCCCUUCCUAGGCCUCGCCAUCGUCCACCACCGUGGUGCUCUCGGCGCGGCGUAGUCAAUGUGGUCAACGACCGACUUCCAUCGAAAGAGUACUGUACGUGGAGAGGCUGACAGCUGGGUCCACGGCAGCCACAAAGAAGUGCCUCCUUAUUAUGCGCAAAAUAAUUAUUCCUCCACCUGAUAGUGGGGACCAACCGAACAGGCCACCAUAUUUUGUGAAAAAAAAACAUUCCCCCCUGACUGCUGGGACCCACCAGCCACAACUUCGCACGCAAGGAAGUGCGUCCGGGCAAAAAAACACGAUUCACCCCCUGACUGCUGGGACCCACCAGCUACAUCUUCACAUGCAAGGAAGUGCCUAAUAGUUGGGACCCACCUGGUCGAAGCAUACGUAGUGUUGUCAUUCUGGUCGCGAACGUGUACGUACAUACUAGCCGAUGUAGAGGCGCACACGUGUUGUAGUAGAGGCACACAUGUAGCAUGUAAACAUACGUACAGCGGCCAGUGUGCAAGAAGAAAAUACGGCCACAUACGUACAUACGGGCGGGGUCUCGAAUGCCUACUCGCGCGUACGUACGGCCAGGGCUCAUGUACAUGGUUGAGUCGGAACGGAGAAACUGUGUCGUCAUCGUGUUUAUGGGAGGCAACGGAAUGCGUCAUGUUCAUCGGGAGGCAACGGAACACGUGGGAGCCAACCGGCUUAGACGGAACAGCCGAUGGAAACGAGGCCUGGCGUACCAUAGAACGGAGGAAAUGCCCUUGAGUUCGAUCGGGCAUGUUCGAAACGGGAUCAUGUUCAUCGGGAGGGGUCUAGCAUACCGCAAAAUGGAUGAAACGGACUUCUGUUGGACCUCCUACGGUCGAAACGGGGUCCUGUUGAUCGGGAGGGGCAUGGCGUACCGCAAAACGGAGGAAACAGACUUGUGUUGGAGAGCUACGGUUGAAACGAGGGUCAUGUUCAUCGGGAGGGGUGUGACGUACCGCAAAACGGGACUCCACGGGAUAUUGUUCAUCUCCACCGUCGACCUACUCCAGCCUCCACGGGCUACUGUUCAUCCACCGUCGACCUCCUCCAGCCUCCACCUACGACUGUUCAUCCACGGGCUCCUGUUCAUCCAGCCUCCACCGCGCGCUACUCCACCGGCUACUUUUCAACCAGCCCUCUCCACGGGCUCCUAUUCAACCACCCCUCCACGGGGCUACUGUUCAUCUAGCCCUCCACCGACUACUGUUCAACCAGCCCUCCACGGGGUCAUCCUAUUCAUCCAGCCCUCCACGGGGUCCUGUUCAUCCAACCCCAACCGGCUCGAUCGAUCGGGGUCCUGUUCAUCCAGAGGCAACCACAGGGUCUUGUUCAUCCACCCCCACCGGGAACUAUUCAUCCAAACCCCCCCAGCAACGCUCACUGUUCAUCAAGGGAAGGAGGCAGCAGGGUUCGAUCGGCUUCAGUUAGCAGGAGUAGCGAAGGAAUCACUCGAAUUCAGUAACGUAGCUAGUGCAAUCGCUCGGGUUCAGUUAGAGCCCAACGCCUCGCUCGGGUUCAGUUAGAGCCCAAUGCCUCGCACACACGCCCGUACGUGUACGAGAGAAACGCGCAUCGCUCGGCCCCCAACCACCCACCAUAACCGGGAACUCCCUGAAAUUUUCCUCUCCCUCGCUUCUACCAUGGUUUUUUCCGUCAUGGACGACCCAAAGAAUGUCAUGCAGUUGCGUCUCCGGCCCGCCCAGGACGAAAAGCCCAUUUUAUGUCAUGAUUUUCUGUCAUAGAAGUAGGAGCCCACCACAUCUAUGAUGAUACUGGGUUUUGUCACAGUUAUUUUCAUAGAAGUGUCAUAAGUAUCACAGAAGAAAAAAAUUGUUCAGCCCAAAAUGUCACGGAUGUGUCUUUUUUUUGUAGUGAGGGGUCACAUGACCCAACAUUCAGAGCAUACAAGUAACAAGCGAAAACAUAACAUGUCUGAGUACAGCCAACUACAAAUGAAAAAGGCUGAGGAGCCUGACUAUCUACAACAUCCGUAUAAGAUCGUAUCUAAGGUAAUAAGCUACUUGUCAAAGUCCACAUGGAAACUACUAAGACCGAAGUCUCUGCUGCAAAAACAUAAAUUAAGCAACGUGAGUACAAAGGUACUCAGCAAGACUUACACCAGAUCCUAUCAUACAUGCAUUUGAAUCAAGAAGGCAAUGUGGGGUUUAGUUGCAACAAGCCAGCUUUGACUGAGUGGCUAUCCUGUUCUACGACUACGAGUAACUUAUUUGAGGUGAGAUAGCGCACACGAGUCCACUAAUCACCACACAAUACACUACUAUGGAUUCAUCCCCGUCUCCCUACGAGUAGGCCAUCCAUAGCACCCACACUUGUCUUGAGCAUUUUAGAGUAUCCACUUCAAGUUGUCUAUGUACGACGUAAGCAUCCAAGAAGUCCAUAUCCGCGAACCCGGCUAUUCUAAUAGAUCAUGUUAACCCUGCAGGGGUGUACUUCUUCACACACGCUCUCGCCACUUACCGCCAUGUACACAUCAUGUAUCUCGGCAACCUUCAAGCGAAAGCCUGGUGAGGGUGUCGGCCAUGACCUGACUAACCACACAAGACCCUAGUCUAGGUUUAUCGCCUAUUCGGGUUCUAUCCGCAAGGGAGUCCGGCCGAGGUUUCCAUCAUGGACCCAAACGAUGUGAGCAGGGUUCCCAAGCCACCAUACAAUGCCACUUAGUACAUCGUGCCACGUGUGCCUAGUCUGUCCCAAGCCCACGCUGCCGGGUGCCACUUGGUAGAAGAAUAACACUGCCUACAAACACCAGAAACUAGUUGCGACUCGUGGACAGAGAUCAAGUUGGUUAAUAAGUUGAGAGGGGUCAAGUUACCGGAACCCAAUGUGUGGUAGUAUCUAGUCAUUGGACAUCAUACACAGAACUCAGUGCUUAAGGACGGUUCCAGUGAGACAACCCACCAUGUACUCCUACAUGGCCUCUCACCGCUACCUUUACCAAAUCGUGUUCACACACUUAACUCUUAGCAUCAGAACAUAGCGUUGCACUCCAAUUCAUUCCCAAUGAAUCAGACCUGACACACUCUAAGCAAUAGCAGGAAUGGCAUGGUAGGAACACAACAUGGCUUCAAUCAACUCCUACACAUGCUAGUGGGUUUCAACUAUUUACUGUGGCAAUGACAGGUCAUGCAGAGGAAUGGGUUCAACUACCGCAGCAUAAAGUAGCAAUUGAAUCGUUGUUGUCCUAAUGCAAUAACAGAGAGCAGGAGCGAGAGAGUAGGAUUGUAUCGGAAUGAAAAAGGGGGGGGGUUUGCUUGCCUGGUAGAUCAAUAGGGGGCACUGCUCCAUAGACAGGUACACUGGAACAAACUCUGGAGCAGGACCUAUCGAGAAGGAACGGUGUCUACAAUCAAUACACAAGCAUAUGUAACAAUAUGAUGCAUGAUCAUGGCAUGUAGAUGUGAUGUUGUUUGAGCUAAUGCAGCUAGCAUUCAUUUGCAUGAAGUCCAUUUGAACCAAAGAUUCAAAUGCAACUCCAAAAUAAGCCUUUAUAAAUGCCAUUUAUGUGUUUUCACCUAUACAGUAGGUAUAAGUUGUUUGGUCAUUCAUGAAACUAGUACAAAUGGAUAGAUUGAAUUUUUCUGAUAAUUUUUUAUAUAUAAAUUAUUUCAAUCUGAGCUACGGUUGAAUUUCUAUGAAUUUUUGAAGUUUGUAACAAUUUCUGGAAUUUCCUAAUAUAUUUUAAAACCAAAAAAGGAUUAACUGCGUCAGCACUGCGUCAUGCAUGUGUUAGUCGGUCAACGGAGCUGACCAGGUCAAACCUGACGUGUGGGGUCCACACGUCAGUGUCACAAUUUGUUAACAUGGGUUAAUUAACACUAAUAUUAACCCUAACUCUAAUUAGUUAGAACCGGGCCCCACCUGUCGUUAACUCACAGGGGUCAAAAUGGGUCAACUGGGGGUCAAACCCAGUCAACUCGCCGGUGUUUAGCUGGCAGCGAGGCCGAACACGGCGGAGGGGCACGGGAUCGUCGUUCCGGCGACCAUUUGGGCGCCGGAGACCACCUACGCGACGCCCAGACUCGCGCGCAUCCCACGAAACACGCGGGAGGUCAUUGUCGGUGUCCUGGACUUGGGGGUAUCUAGUCCUGCCUGCCUGUGGCCCACCACGUGGCUCCAUCGACGGCCUGGUACGGCCAGCUUCAGCAUCAGCACCACAAGACCCUCACGAGGGGCCAAGCCUCGCGAGGCGGACGACGCCAAGACCCCUGAAGGAAGCAGCCUCCUCAGGAGGUCUCCUGAGGGGCGAAGAAUUCUAUGCAGCUACCUCAUGAGGCUCAGCUGACAUGAGCCAUGACGACCAAGGCCAGGCGAGCGCCAGGCGGGCGCAGAGCGCAGGUUUCCUCUUCGGUGCAAGGGAGGCAAGCCGCAGGCGUAGGGUCCCGAGGAAUCAGCCAAAGGUUUCCAUUCUGGUGCAACAAGACCAAGACCGCCAGGGCGGCAGGACGGAGGUCAUCACCCAGCCCACCGCAGCGUCACGACCAGAGGCUUUUCGUAGGAGAAGACUACUUUUUUCAGGAUACUGUACUACUUGUCCCCUUUUAAAUCCCGCCGUUGUGGAAUCCCUUCCCGCUCAUAUUUGGGAUGAGGACCAAGGCCACUAUAUAUAAGACUUAGCCACAACCAUAGGAGAGGGAUCCAUUCCAUCUCGAGCACUACACCAGUUCUAGAACACCUCACCUCCUGAGGCCUGUUCAUCCUUCUACUAGUUCAUCCAUAGCCCCUCGAGGCAAUCCACCACACCACACUGGAUUAGGGUAUUACACCACAAUGGUGGUCCGAACCAGUAUAAAUCUCUGUGUCUUUGUGUCUCUGUGAGCUCGACGCGUUAGGCCUAGGGAGAUCAUGAGUAGGCAGGUUGGGCAGGCUGAGAUCUCCGCACGCACACCAGAGAUCGAACCUUUCACAGGUUGCCGGAUCCCGAAAUCCGACAUUUGGUGUGCCACGUAGGGGUGCAUCGAAAUCUUCUUCCUCGACCUAUAGACCGUGCCACCGACUCCUAUGGCGGCCGCUCCUUCAUCAGCCCGGUUGGCGCGCAUUUUUGAAGAGGCACCGAGGCUGCGCUGCUUCACCCUCUCCCUUCGGCAGGUGCAAUGGCCGCACAAGUUCCGAUCGGAGAUGCCGCCGCGCUACGACGGCGCGGCAGAUCCGGCCCCCUUUCUUCAAGCAUACGAGGAGGCUGUUUGGGCGGCCGACGGAGACGACAAGGUGAAGGCCACCUGGUUCCCCAUGGCCCUGGUAGGUGCGCCAUGCGCCUGAUUGCUCAACCUGCCAGCAUCUUCUGUGGCUUCCUCGGAGGAGCUAUGCGGCCUCUUCCUCGCCCGCUACGCAGCACCGGUGCCCCCGAUCGUUGCAGCUCUCCUAGGUGGCUCGCAAGCUCCACCGUACGACCGCCACAUCAAGCAGUUCUAUCGGUGCACUGGCGCCACUUAAGCGGUCUCGGGGGCUCACCGGGCUGGGCGGUGCCCCAAGCCGACCUCACCUUCAGCCCUGAAGAGCACCCCGACACCACGACGGGAGCGGGCGCGCUCCCAAUGCUCUGCACCCCCACCAUCUGCCAUGUGGCGAUCACCAGGACCCUCAUCAACGGCAGGGCCGGCCUCAACGUGCUCUCCUAGAGGCGUUCGGUGCUCCACGUGCCGCCCAGCCGACUCCGUCCCUCCAAGCCUUUCUCAGGGGUCGGCGGCGGCUCCACCAGGCCCCUGGGGCAGAUCCGUCUCCCUUUCACCUUUGGGACGCGCGACAACUACCGCACCGAGCUCGUCGACUUCGACAUCGCCUAGAUCGGCCUGCCAUACAAUGCUAUCCUGGGGUACCCGGCCUUGGCUCAGUUUAUGGCUGCGACUCACCCUACGUACAACCUCAUGAAGAUGCCGGGAAGCAACGGUGUCCUCACGGUGGCGGGGGACAUGAAAGUCGCGCUGCAGGCCCUCAGUCUCGCCUUUAAGGCAGCCGCGUCCGCGCUGCCCAGCGAGGAGAAGGGUCAAGAGGCUCCAGAAGUAGCACCGGCCAAGAACAAGCAGUUGUUCUCUCAGUACCGAGCCGAAACGAAGCAAGUGCCGACCUGCGUGGAUGGAACGGCCAGCGCCACCUUCACCAUAGGAGCUGGCCUCCCACAGGACCGGGAGGAAGCAUUGAUCAACUUCCUGCGAGCCAACAAGGACGUAUUUGCUUGGGAGCCCAAACACCUAGCUGGGGUCCCAAGGGGGAUAAUUGAGAAUCACCUGAGGGUGUGCCCAAAUGUGCGACCAGUAAACAGAAGGCUCGCCGCCAGUCCACAGAAAAGAAGGCCUUCAUCAUCCAGGAAACGCGUAAGUUGCAAGACGCAGGGGCCAUCAGAGAGGUGCGGUACCCAGAGUGGCUGGCGAAUCCCACCAUCGUCCCCAAGAAAGGAGGGAAGGAGCGCAUGUGUGUCGACUUCACCAACCUCAACAAUGCCUGCCGCAAGAUCCCUUCCUGCUCCCUCGCAUCGAUCAGAUCGUCGACUCCACCGCUGGGUGCGACCAGUUGUGUUUCCUAGAUGCCUUCUCCGGUUACCACCAGAUCAAGAUGGUCGUGGAGGAUGUGGAGAAGAUGGUGUUCCUCACUCCAUGUGGGGUGUACUGCUACACCUGCAUGCCCUUCGGACUGCGUAAUGCUGGAGCAACCUUCCAGCGGUUGAUGCACAUCUCCCUGGGUUCGCAGCUCGGGAGAAAUGUAGAGGCAUAUGUUGAUGACAUAGUGGUGAAGUCUCGGGAGGCCGGAACCCUGAUAGAAGAUCUGCCAGAAAUGUUCACCAGCCUGCGCAUGGUGGAUCUCCGGCUCAACCCCGAGAAGUGUGUCUUUGGGGUCCCAUCCGGCAAGUUGUUGGGUUUCUUAGUAUCGCACAGAGGGAUCGAGGACAACCCGGAAAAGGUCAAGGCGAUAGAAGACAUGAACCCCCCUCAGACCCUGAAGGAAAUGCAGAAGCUGGCCGGCUGCGUGACCCCACUUGGGCAAUUCAUCUCCAAGUUGGGAGAGCGCGCCCUCCCGUUUUUCAAGCUGAUGAACAGGAAGGAGCCAUUCGAGUGGACCCCAGUGGCAGACGCAGCUUUCCAGGACCUCAAGAGAUACUUGACCAGCCAUCCGAUCAUGGUGUCGCCACGCCCUCUCGAGCCUUUGGUUCUCUACCUAGAAGCAACCCCACACUCAGCUAGUGCCGCCCUGGUGGCGUUAAGGGAGGAACGACCAAUCAAGAAGACUCAGCAGGAUGGAAAACCGACCAGCAAGGCAUAGCAGCCCCAUGACGAAGCAUCCGUAGCCACGGUCAGUGCGGUGGCCGGCGUCCCUCAUAAGGCCACGGUUGAUCCUGCGGCUGUCAAGACUCCUAAGGAUGGGCCUCGUGAGGCCAUAGAGGGCCUGCGCCCUCGUGAAGAACAAGAUUCCGAUGAUGCCACACCCCUUGUUGAACACCCUGUGUACUUUGUCAGUACGGUAUUAAGGGAAGCUCGAGCGCGCUACCCCAUGCCACAAAAGCUCCAGCUCGCGCUCUUGGUUGCCUCCAUAAAACUGCGCCACUACUUUCAAGGCCACCCCAUCAAGGUUGUUUCUGCAUACCCACUGGAGAGGGUGCUACGGAGCCCGAACGCAGCCGGGCGAGUCACUGAAUGGAACAUUGAGCUCCAGGCCUUCAACCCUGAGUUCAGCACCACCAGGGUCAUCAAGGGUGCGGCUCUCACGGACUUCGUGGCCGAAUGGACUAAUGCUCCGGACCAUGAAGUAGGCGAGGACUGCUCCCUCCUGCCAGGAGACAAGGCGCCGGAUGGAUGGACCAUGUACUUCGACGGGGCAAUCGCACGGCAAGGCGCAGGAGCGGGGGCGAUCCUCAUCUCACCCACCAAGGACAAGCUUUGUUACGCAGUACAGCUCUGCUUCCAGCAGGGCAAAAAGGUCUCCAACAAUAUCGCAGAAUUCGAAGGCUUGCUCGCCGAGCUUAGGGCUGCGGCAGCGCUAGGAGUAAAGCGCCUCAUCAUCAAGGGCGACUCUCAGCUUCUCGUCAACUUCUCCAAAAAGGAAUACAUGCCCAAGGACGAGCACAUGGAGGCAUACCUAGAAGAAGUGCGCAAGAUGGAGAAGCGGUUCAUGGGCGUGGAGCUGCAGCAUGUACCGCGUGGGACAAACAAGGAGGCAGACGACAUCGCCAAAAGAGCCUCUUGCAGACUCCCUCAGGAGCCAGGGGUGUUUGAGGAGUGGCUCUUCAAGCCAUCUGCGACCCCCCACGUCACGACUCCAACACCGCCUCCGGAGGACCUACCACGGGCACCGGAGAUAGGUGCCCCAGCCUGCGGUUACCCCUCAGGAGCCCGCUUGCUGCUUGCGCUUGAGCCUCGGGAGGGGUGCUGGACAGAAGAGUUCAAGGCGUACUUGCUUAAAGGGACCCUUCCAGAGAAGGAAGAAGACGCUGAGUGCGUAGCCCGUCAGGACACCGCGUACUGCAUCAAUGAUGGUGAGUUAUACAUUUUGUUGCGGUGCAUCUCCAGGGAACAGGGGCUCGAGCUGCUGGCGGACAUCCAUUGUGGGGACUGCGGGCAUCACUCCUCGUCCCGCACCCUGGUGGGCAGGGUGUUCUGCAGCGGCUUCUACUGACCCACCGCGCUCAACGACCCUACCGAGCUGGUGCGCUCUUGUGAAGCAUGCCAGUUCCACGCCAAGCAGAUCCAUCAGCCCGCGCAAGGCCUCCAAACGAUCCCGGUCACAUGGCCAUUUGUGGUCUGGGGGCUGGACAUCUUGGGGCCCUUGGUACCAAUCUUUGUACUCAAACCUCAGAUUGGUACCUGUGGGUUGCUAGUAGUGUUGAUUACUCCUUGUAGUUGAUGCUAGUUGGUUUAUCCGGUGGAAGAUCAUAUGUUCUGAUCCUUAAUACAUAUUAAUACCCCUCUUAUUAUGAACAUGAAUAUGCUUUGUGAGUAGUUACGUUUGUUCCUGAGGACAUGGGUGAAGUCUUGCUAUUAGUAGUCAUGUGAAUUUGGUAUUCGUUCGAUAUUUUGAUGAGAUGUAUGUCGUCUCUCCUCUAGUGGUGUUAUGUGAACAUUGACUACAUGACACUUCACCAUUAUUUGGGCCUAUAGGAAGGCAUUGGGAAGUAUUAAGUAGAUGAUGGGUUGCUAGAGUGAUAGAAGCUUAAACCCUAGUUUAUGCGUUGCUUCGUAAGGGGAUGAUUUGGAUCCACUAGUUUCAUGCUAUGGUUAGGUUUACCGUAAUACUUCUUUUCUAGUUGCAGAUGCUUGCAAUAGGGGUUAAUCAUAAGUGGGAUGCUUGUCCGAGAAAGGGCAGUACCCAAGCACCGGUCCACCCACAUAUCAAAUUAUCAAAGUACCGAACGCGAAUCAUAUGAGCGUGGAGAAAACUAGCUUGACGAUAAUUCCCAUGUGUCCUCGGGAGUGCUUUUCUGAUUAUAAGAAUUUGUCCAGGCUUGUCCUUUGAUACAAAAAGGAUUGGGCCACCGCUGCAACUUAUUUACUUUCAUUGCUUGUUUACCCGUUACAAAUUAUCUUAUCACAAAACUAUCUGUUAGCUACAAUUUCAGUGCUUGCAAAGAAUACCUUACUGAAAACCGCUUGUCAUUUCCUUCUGCUCCUCGUUGGGUUCGACACUCUUACUUAUCGAAAGGACUAUGAUAGAUCCCCUAUACUUGUGGGUCAUCAAGACUCUUUUUUGGCGCCGCUGCCAGGGAGUGAAGCGCCUUUGGUGAGUGGAACUUGGUACGGAAACAUUUAUAUAGUGUGCUGAAAUUUACUGUCACCUAUUACUAUGGAAACUAAUCCUUUAAGGGGCUUGUUCGGGGUAUCUUCACCCCGACCAGUAGGGCAAAGAUUUUCUCCUCAACCUACUAAACCUACUUAAAAAUUUUACUUUGAGAUUCCUUCGGGUAUGAUAGAGAAACUGCUAGCUAAUCCCUUUGCAGGAGAUGGAACAUUGCAUCCCGCUUUACACCUUAUCUAUGUGGAUGAAGUUUGUGGAUUAUUUAAGCUUGCAGGUAUGCCCGAUGAUGUUGUAAAUAAGAAGGUUUUCCCUUUAUCUUUGAAGGGAGACGCAUUGACAUGGUAUAGGCUAUGUGAUGAUACGGAAUCCUGGGACUAUAAACGAUUGAAAUUGGAAUUUCACCAAAAGUUUUAUCCUAUGCAUCUUGUUCAUCGUGAUCGUAAUUAUAUAUAUAAUUUUUUGCCUCGCGAAGGAGAAAGUAUCGCUCAAGCUUGGGGGAGGCUUAAGUCGAUGUUAUAUUCAUGCCCCAACCAUGAGCUCUCAAGAGAAAUGAUUAUUCAAAUUUUUUAUGCUCGGCUUUCUCUCAAUGAUUGCACCAUGCUUGUCGGUGUACUAGAAUAGGGGUACCCUAGUACCCCAAACUUGUGCACGAGCAGUUGCAGCGCCCCGCGGAAAGGCUUGCCGGGCAACCGCCAAGGUCCUCCAUGGUUCCUUUGGAGCCAUUCAAGAACAAAGUGUUCAAGCUAAGGAGACAAGACCCCGGCAAGAGGAGCUUGCCGGGAAGGCCAACUAAUGAGACAAGACCCCGGCAAGAGGAGCUUGCCGGGAAGGCCAACCAAGGCACUUCAAGGAACUUGCCGCGACGCGCCCCACGUCCCGACAAGGCUCGGCGAGCGACAAGCUUCCGGGCGAGACAAGUCAACAAACACGACAAGAUAACAUCAGCGGCAAGGCACUUGCCGCGGCGUGCUACCACCCUGUACCUGCGCUCCAGCCCAUCCGCCAACGUGUCGCCACGAGACCUUUCCAGGCACGCGUGGCGGGAGGCUGUGCAGCCAGCGGUACACGGCGUUAAGCGGCGCUGACAAGAUUACCACCGUGGCGAGCGGUGGUGCCCCUGACGGUCGCUUUUUGCACUGUUUGGGCGACUUAGACGGGCAUUUAAUGCCCUUGUCCCCUGCCGUCAGGGUUAGGUAGAGUACACUGUACAAGUAGCUGUACCAACCACUACUCUUUUUCCAUUUUUGCCCUUGCCUACAUUGCCACCUGUCGGUGACCCCUUUCACAUAUAAAAGGAGGCCCGUGGGCAACGUAGAGGAGGUUCGAAUCCUUCGAAAGCCAGAACGCAUACUCGCUCGGUCUUGUAGCUCUCACGCUCCCGAGCAAGAACACAAUACAACCACAAAGCAGCAGUAGGAGUAUUAUCUCUCCGGAGAGCUCCGAAGCUGGGUAAACUGCUCGUGUGCUUCGCCUCGAUCUGCUCUUUGCGCGAUCCCCGCCCCCCGCCGAACCGAAAGGGGCUCCGGUCCCAUAGGUGUUCGUGGAUCAGUCUACCACGACAUCUUUGGUGCGCCAGGUAGGGGGCGUCGAGGUUGUGUGAACCUGAUCUGGCGUUCACACGAGCCGCAUCUUCAUCUCCUUCAUCAUCUUCAUCGACAUGCCACCGAAGAAGAAGGCUUCGGAGGUGGCCGCUCCGUCCACGUCGAACCCACCGCCACCAGAGCCAGUGGGUGGUGGAGUAGACGCCGGCGGAGGCACGGGCGUCGACGAGGGAGCCCAAGGUGCUGCCAAGUCCAAGGACAAGGCUGCACAAACCUCGACGACCGUACAAGCACCGCGUCCAUAUCAGGAGGCGCGGGGCCGGCCGUGUCAUGGCACCCACUGUGCCAUACGUUUGCUGAAUCAAGAUCAAGCUGGGGGAUCUCGAGACGCUCAAGACCAGCUUGAACGCCAACAUGCUGGCACGGGUGUGGUACGGUCGCCUGGACGGGAUACUGCUCCUCCUAACGUAGUUAGGAGUUCGAGCACGUCUCGCUCUUCGCACCGUUCGCCACUGCCACCCACCACUCCAGCAGAAGCUUUGGCGAGAGCUCAACUGCUCCUAGAUUUCCCUCCUACGCCAGACAAGAUCGACGAAUGGAGGGCCACCAUCCAAAGUCUCAUCGGCUUCGCCAACGGCGACACUCCGCAGCAGCCGAGCGCAUCGCAGCCGCGGCAAGACCGCCAAGCACAAGCCGAUGGCGACAGAACCGGUGGGGGUGCGACCACCGUGCACUCUCCGCCCCGAAGGCCAAGAUCGCCGACUCGUCGGGUCAACCUCGACAGCGACUCUACUGCAUCGUCAGACCCGCGAGCUCGUUGCGAUCAACACCAAGUUCUUCAAGAACGACAACAAGAAGACGCUCGUACCCACAUCGAGCGCCGAAGAGAAGCACGGCGUCAAUCUGACCAGCGUGCUGGGCCCACUGUCGAUAUGCAUGCGCCAGGGGAACCAGGUGACUUGCCAUACUCGGUAGGCUGCCCUGCGUUUACUCCUGAGCUGCGGCAAGUCCAGUGGCCCAGUACAAAGAAUUUCAAGCCAGAUGUACCAGAGAAGUACGACGGCAAGUCGCAUCCGCCAGAGUUCCUGAACAUCUACACCAUUGCGGUGCAAGCUACCGGGGGGCGAGACGACAAGAUCCUUGCCAACUACUUCCCGCUGGUGCUCAAGCCCAACGUCAGAUCCUGGCUCAUGCACUUGCCGGACAACUCCAUAUCCUCUUUGGCGGACUUGUGCCAUCAGUUUGUCGGUGCCUUCACAGGCGGCCACAAACCUCAUGGCCAAGAGAGUGACCUUCAUUUGCUCGUCCAGAAGGAAGGAGAGUCCCUACGCAAGUACAUUCAGAGAUUUAGCCGUGUGCAUUACAACAUCCCAGAUAUCCACCCCGCCGCGGUCAUCAGUGCGUUCCAUCAGAACGUGCGAAACCGUAGGAUGCGGGAAGAGAUGGCGAUGUGCAAGAUCAAGGACGUCAGCGAGCUAUAUGCCCUGGCCGACAAGUGUGCAUGGGCUGAGGAAGGGAGGCGACUCCCCGGAGAGACUGCAGGAGCAGGAGGAUCUGACAGCGAAGAUGCCGCCCCGGCAAGGAAAAACCGCCGGCGGAACAACAGAAAGAAGAAGGGCAAAGAUGUGCUAAUUGUCGAGUAGUCCGGUAACGGAGGUGGCGCCAAGGAAGCCAAAGUUGGUAGCUCCGGCAAGGAGACUACCGCAUGCACCAACUGCCAGGCUGUGGCGGCCGCCGACAAGCAGGACGACACCAACAAGCAGUAUUGCAAGAUCCACCGCACCAAGGGUCAUGAUCUCCAGAGCUGCAAGAAGGUCGAGCAGCUUGCCAAGCUGCAAAAAGCUGAGUACGAGCGACGCGACAAGGAGAAGGCCCAAGGAGGUGAUGGAGGAUCCGGCAAGAAGCGCCCCGGCUGGGAAGGACGCCGCGGCAAGGCCAUGCAGCGGCAAGGAGAUAGACCUCCCCACGGCCGCGACAAGGAUGAAGAAGAAGACGAAGAUGAGGAUAUGGAUGAGGAUGAGACCAGUGAGCAGGAGUUCCAGAAAGCCACAGAGGUCCUAUGCGUUGACGGAGGUUCUUAUCUGCAUACUUCACACCGCCAACUCAAGCAGUGGGCACGGGAAGUCAAUGCGGCAGAACCAUCCGUAGAGUCACGCAAGCCUCUGAAGUGGUCCAGCACGCCUAUCAUCUUUGACAUUGAGGACCACCCUGAUCGCACAACUGCGGUCGGGUGCUUGCCGAUGUUGGUUUCACCAACUAUCCACAACCUCAAGGUCACCAAGAUGCUAGUUGACGGUGGGGCCGGCUUGAAUCUGAUCUCCUCAGCUGUACUCCAGAAGCUCCAGAUCCCUGACAGCGAGCUCGAAGAGACCGGCACAUUCCAAGGAAUCAAUCCGGGAAGGAGCAAGCCAAAGGGAAAGAUCACGUUGCCGGUGACAUUUGGCAGCGAGAUGAACUACAGGACUGAGAGGGUCACGUUUGACAUAGCUGAUUUUCCAUUACCAUACAAUGGGAUACUCGGCCGUCCAGCACUCGCCAAGUUCAUGGCAGCCUCUCAUUACGCAUACAACAUGCUCAAGAUGCCCGGCCCGAUAAGCGUUAUCUCUGUCCCUGGUGACAAGAAAGAUGCUCUUAUCUGUGCCGACAAGAUUUACCGGGAUGCAGCAGCCGCAGCAGAGCGCAUUACACUUGCCGCUGAAGCUCCCGGGGGGAAGAAGAAGACCAAGUCCGGCAAGAGCUCUGAUGCCCACUCUGGCAAGCGCACCUCCUCGGAGUGCUGCGCUACCGUUGAGGACACACCAUCGAGCUCCACCGGCAAGCGUAACAAGACGAUGACAGCUCCACCACAGACCAAGAAGGUGUCCGCCAAGGAGGACGGCACUGGUGGUACCUUCACCAUCAGUGCCACCCUCGACCCUAAAUAGGAAAGCGCGCUCGUUUCUUUCCUACGGGCGAAUGUCGACGUGUUUGCAUGGCAACCGUCUGACAUCCCCGGUGUUCCCAGGAAAGUAAUUGAGCACCAUCUCGCUGUUUGUCAUCAUGCACGGCCCGUCAAGCAAAAAGUCAGGAAACAAGCAGUAGAGUGCCAAGAGUUAAUCGCAGAAGAAAUCAAGAAGUUGGAAGCAGCAGGCCUUGUCAGAGGAGUGCUCCAUCCUACGUGGUUGGCCAAUCCUGUUGUCGUGCGCAAAGCAAACGGGAAAUGGAGGCUUUGUAUAGACUUUACCGAUGUCAAUAAAGGUUGUCCCAAAGACCCAUUUCCCUUGCCGCGCAUUGACCAGAUUGUUGACUCCACGGCCGGAUGUGACCUGCUUUCAUUUCUUGAUGCAUAUUCAGGAUAUCAUCAGAUCUUCAUGGCAGAAGAGAUGAGGAGAAAACCGCAUUCAUUACUCCAUGUGGCACGUACUGUUUCAUACGGAUGCCUUUCGGUUUAAAGAAUGUUGGUUCAACAUUUGAAAGGGUAGUACAUGAAGCUUUUGAGCCACAGAUGCACAGAAAUGUGGAAGCCUAUAUGGAUGACAUAGUAGUCAAGAGCAAAGAUAGGGCAACUCUGAUUCAAGAUCUGGACGAAACCUUUGCAAAUCUGCGCAAGAUCAACCUCAAGCUUAACCCCGAGAAGUGUGUGUUUGGAGUUCCCUCCGGCAAGCUUCUCGGGUUCUUUGUGUCUCAGCGUGGGAUAGAAGCUAAUCCCGACAAGAUCAAGGCCAUUGAGCAGAUUGAAGCACCGAAGCACGUCAAGGAUGUAUGAAGACUUGCCAGUUGCGUGGCUGCUCUCAGCAGGUUUAUUUCUAAGUCUGCUGAGCGCGCCCUGCCAUUUUUCAAAAUCUUGAAAAAGGCAGGUCCAAUGAAAUGGACUCCGGAAGCGGAGGCUACGCUGCAGGACUUAAAAAGAUACCUGUCCUCCACUCCAAUACUUGUCGCACCUAAAUCGCAAGAGAAGUUGUUGCUGUACAUAGCGGCAACCAAUCAAGUGGUUAGUGCUGCAUUAGUAGCAGAGAGGGAGGCAGAUGAUGAACCAACAACCGCGGCAAGCACAUCCAGCGACAAGCAGGGGGCUUCACCGGCAAGCUCUGGUCCCGACAAGCAGGAGGUGCAGAAGAAAAUGGUGCAGUGCCCAGUUUACUUUGUCAGUUCCCUUCUGCAGGGGGCUAGGUCAAGGUACUCUGGUGUGCAUAAAUUGCUUUUCGGUCUUCUCAUGGCCUCGAGAAAGCUGCGCCAUUACUUCCAAGCACAUGAGAUUAUAGUUGUCACUCGCUUUCCGUUGAAGAGGAUACUGCAAAAUCCAGAAGCAAUAGGCAGGAUUGUUGAGUGGGCACUGGAACUUUCAAGCUUUGGCCUCAAGUUUGAAAGCACUUCAACUAUCCAGAGCAGAGCUUUGGCAGAAUUCAUAGCAGAGUGGACGCCAACACCAGAUGAAGAAAUUCCAGAAACGAGCAUCCCCGUCAAAGAAGCAAGCAAAGAGUGGCUGAUGUACUUUGAUGGUGCCUUCUCGCUGCAAGGCGCCGGUGUAGGCGUGCUACUUGUCACGCCCACCGGAGAGCACCUCAAGUAUGUAGUCCAGAUGCACUUUCCCAGGGAGCAAUCAACAAACAAUACUGCAGAGUAUGAGGGCUUGCUUGCCGGUCUCAGGAUCGCGGCAGACCUUGGGAUCAAGAAGCUCAUUGUUAGGGGUGACUCACAGCUUGUAGUCCGACAAGUAAACAAGAACUACCAGAGUCCGUUGAUGGAAGCUUAUGUUGAUGAAGUGAGAAAGCUAGAAGAACACUUUGACGGCCUACAGAUGGAACACGUUCCCAGAGCUGAGAACGACAUUGCAGAUGGCCUGUCAAAGUGUGCUGCACUUAAGCUACCUGUGGAACCAGGGAUCUUUGUGCUCAAGCUAACUCAGCCAACUGUAAUGCCAUCAACUGGACAGAGCAAGAAGAGAAAGUUGAUUUCUGGUGACUAUUUUCCGGCAGAGCUACCUGAAGCCGCCGCCAAGAAGAUCCCCAAGAUCAACGCCAAGAGUGCUGAGGAGCAGUCUGCUCUGGCGAACCCUAGGGUUCGUUCCAUUGAAGCAAACGCUCCCGACAAGUUUUGCUCCGGCAAGCUUGCCGGGGAACAUCAAGCUCCGGCUGAAUCUCAGGUUCUUGCCGUAGAAGCGGAUGUUCCCGCAGCAGCAGAUGUGCCUUUAGUCCUUGUUGUCGAGCCACAAGUUCCAGCAUGGGCACAGCAAAUUGCCCGUUUCCUUCAGCCAGGAAAACUUCCCGAAGAGCAAGAAGAAGCGGAAAGAGUAGCCCGGCAGUCAAGUAUGUACCAGUUUGUUGACAACACACUGUGCAGAAGAAGACUCAAUGGUGUGAAAUUGAAGUGUAUUCCUCGGGAAGACGGACAAAAGCUGUUGGCAGAGAUACAUGGAGGCAUAUGUGGUCACCACAUUGGCGCAAGAGCACUUACCGGCAAAGCUUUCCGGCAAGGUUUCUUUUGGCCGACAGCCCUCCAGGAUGCAACUGCACAAGUAACCAAGUGUGAAGCGUGCCAGUUCCAUUCCAAGCAGAUACACCAACCAGCUCAAGCUCUCCAGACGAUUCCUUUAUCCUGGCCAUUUUUGGUCUGGGGGCUCGACAUCCUCGGCCCCUUUCCCCGAGCAAUCGGGGGCUUUGAGUACUUGUACGUUGCGAUCGACAAGUUCACAAAGUGGCCAGAAGUGGAAGCAGUGAGGAAGGUGACAGCACAGUCAGCAGUCAAGUUCUUCAGGUCAAUUGUUUGCCGCUUCGGGAUCCCCAACAGGAUCAUCACCGACAAUGGCACGCAAUUCACGAGCCGCAUCUUCAUGCAGUACGUCCAGGACCUUGGCACCAAGGUCUGCUUCGCUUCUGUUGCUCACCCCAGAAGCAACGGUCAAGCAGAGAGGGAAAAUUCUGAAGUGCUGCGUGGACUCAAGACUAGAACUUUCGACAGGCUGCGCAAGUGCGGAAGAAACUGGAUCGAGGAGCUGCCGGUGGUUCUUUGGUCGAUCAGGACGAUGCUAAAUCGAGCCACUGGCCAGACACCUUUCGCUCUAGUCUAUGGAGCAGAGGCAGUUCUCCCCACGGAACUCGUAUACGGGUCACCUCGAGUGCUCGCUUAUGAUGAGCUUGAGCAAGAGCAGCUGCGACAAGAUGAUGCGCUGCUCCUUGAGGAGGAUCGUCUUCAGGCUGCUGUGCGAGCUGCUCGCUACCAGCAAGCUUUGCGUUGCUACCAUAGCCGCAAAGUUAAUGCCAGAAAUCUCGAGGAAGGCGACCUUGUUCUUCGGCGCGUUCAGUCCGCCAAGAAUUCAAACAAGUUGACGCCGAAGUGGGAAGGCCCUUAUCGGGUGAAACGAGUCACUAGGCCUGGCGUUGUCCGCCUUGAGACCGAAGAUGGUACUCCGGUGAGCAAUUCCUGGAAUAUUGAGCAUCUUCGUAAGUUUCACCCAUAAGGCGCGGUCGCCGGAACCUGUUCCGUCAACCACUUUUUGUACAAGUCUUGCCGCUGUUGCAUGUAAUCCUUUGUAUAAAGCCGGGCGCAGAUCCCGUGCAUAAAUAAAGUUCAUGUGCUCCACACAUUCUGUCGAUUUCAUGCCUUUCUAUAUUUUGCAUGUGUUAUCUGACACUUUGUGCAGCACCUACCCGCGGUAAGCAAUAACGAGCCAAAAGGCUCCAUAUCUUUAUUUUCUCUUCUUUCUUUUUCCCAAAAGGAAGGUUCCCUCGCCCACAAGUUUGCCGGGGGGGAAGGAGAAGAUAGAGGUGUGGACCAGGCGUUGUUCAAGAAAGUUCUGCCUUACCGGGAAGCAAACAACAGAAAAGCUAAGUUGCCAAAGUUUGAGCAUUUAGUUUUAAAUUUUUUAAAAGUUAUCUUCCUUGAACGACCGCACUUUGUAUGGAAAACCUGUGCGCGAAGGAACCUACUCGCAGCUAGUUGCACCCUUACUUUGUUUCGAGUCCGCUCAACAAUUUAAGUGAGCUGCGACUAGUUGCGACAAGGUUUCUUGCCGGCCGUGGCACCGCGCAGGCUGCUGACGUCCCGCACUCAACGCUCGCGGUUAAGGUGCCUGCGCCGGCAAGUUCCUUAAAAGCGUAGGGUAAAAACAUACAAAGGAAGGAAUCAAGUAAAGGAAGUAACAUAGCAAUAGAUACCUAAGAUAGAGUUAUAUUUAAAAAAUAACUUGUCGCGGCUCUAACAGAUUGUUUACGUAACAUGACCAGCAGCGGCAAGAAAAGAAGAAAAUGAGCGGCCUAAUCUACACGAUCGUCGUCGACCCUUUUGAUCCCAGCCACCUUGUCCACAAUGGGUGCGACAAGGGUCUUGAGCGCUUCCAGAUCGGCUUCGGGCGGCAAGCUCCUGAGGACAUUGCGGAGGUUGAGGCCUGGGUUGCGGAAAGCCACCUUCACCAACACCUUUUGAAGGGCUCCUGCACAGAUGUCGCGCGACUCGUCGGCCAGCUGCUUUGGGAUCCUCUCCUGGAGCUGCUGGAGAGCUGUCGCCACGCCUUUGAAGAACAUAGUGAGUUUGGCGCUGGGUUGGAGGUUCUCAUCGGAAGGAUACCCUAAAUCCUCCAUCCCCAGCUGCGCCAACUCCUCGUCGAUGGAUGCGGCAAUAUCCACGAGCCCUUCCGUCCAGUGCUGCACGUUCUCCCUGAAGGUGUUCUGAGUCUCAGCAGCCCUCGCCAGCAGUGCCUCGUUGUCUUUGAUCUCCUUCCUCAAGGUCGCCUCCCGCUCUUUAGCCUCAUCCAGCGUCUUGGUCAAAGUGGUCAGUUUCAGCUCCAGAUCUGCGUUGGAUUCCUUGGCGGCAUCCAGCUCCUUGCCCUUCUCGACGAAGCGACCCGGCAACUCACCAAGAGUGUAGGCGUCCUUUUCAUGCUCAUGCUUGAGCGCGGUAAUCUCUUCACCUCUCGCCUUGAGAUCAGCUUCCAGCUGCGCCACUCUUGUCUCCAGCUCCUUCUUGGCGGCCUCUGUAGAUGCGGCAGCAUCCUUUGCUUCCUUGAGGGCCCCGCCAAUUGAUUGCUCGCGUGCAGUGAGCUCCUCCUCAUAGCUGUCGAGGUUGACCUUCCGCUGCGUCAACUCUCCUUCUCGCGCAAACAGCUCCUCGCCGGCAAGCCUCUGUUGCUCUUCAGCUUCGGCCUUCUCGAGGAUGAAGGUUUUCCGCGCCUUGUUGAGCUGCGCCCGCUCCUCUGCAAUAGACCGGAGGGCUUCUUGAUUGCGGCUCCGGAGCUCCUCGGCAUGCUUCUCGAUAUCCACUCCCGCCUACGCGACAAGCGCUUCCUGGGAUUCCAGCUUGGCUUGUCGGGCGCGGUAGAGUGACAUCAGUUUCCGCAGCAAUUUCUCCUCCUCAAGCUCGUCGUUGCUACCGCUUGGCGCAUCAACCAGUGUCAGCCCAGCGGAGGCGAGCACUUCUCCGUCAAAAGUUUCUCCUUCCACCGGUGCCCUGGAGCUCGACGCCCAGGGGAGCUUGAUGAAGACGCCCUCGCCGGCCUUCAAGUAGGCGCCGGGCUAGGGCUCCUCAGAGCCCGGCGCUGCGGCAGCGGCGGAGGGAUCGGUGGUCGGUGUAGCGCCUGACGCUCCUGCGGCCUCAGGGCCGUCAAUGCGAUCGCCGGAUCCCUCGCCGGCUCCUGCGGCGGCAGCCUUGGCGGCCUCUUCAGCGGCAGGAUCUUCAGCGCCGGCUGCUUCCUUGGUAGCAGCGGCGUCAUCAAUGUUGCCGCGCGCGUCCUCCUCGUCGGCGACAUCAGUCUCCAUCGGCUCCACGACAGAGGGAUCUGACGGCCGAAAAAGGGAGAAGAGUCAAGCAAGAAUCCAAGAAGGAAAUCAUAAGAAGAAGAACCCAAGGGAAGUUUUCAAGCAAGGGAUUACCUCCAUUGGGCUCCACAGUUUCGGUCUCCUCCAUCAGGGGAUCGUUGGUGCUGUCCCUUGCCGGAGAACCGUCCCUUGCCGGAGAAUCGUCCCUUUCCGGAGACGACUCCCUUGCCGGAGAGUGCUCCCUUGCCGGGGAAGCAUCCCUUGGCGGAGUAGUUGCAGCAGAUGGCAUAUCAGGGGCUGCUUCCGAGGGCUCUUGGUGAGGCUGCUCUGCUCCUACACAAAUCAAGAAUCAAGAUAUCAGCAAAUAAAGAGCACCCGUGCACGCCUAACAGCGAAAGUAAACCAUAUACUUACGCUGGGGGCUGCGCUGGGGGCUGCUUUGGGGCAUGAUUGCCGGGUCCGGUAAGGCAGUCUCAAGCGCAUCUCCUGCUACCACGGUGGGAUCGUCCUCGAUGACAAUUACCGGGAUCUUGGCUCUCUUCACCGCUCUCUCGGCCAGAGUCCUGAAAGAGACAGGUUCAGAGUAAAGCAAGUCAGAAACAAGACAAAACAGCAAGAAUCGAAGAUUUACAAGAACAGCGAAGAAACUUACUCUCCCUCUUCUUCCUCCUCGUCGGAGCUGAGUGCAGAGAGGUCGAAGUCCGGCCCGGCGCGACGAGGCGGAGAAGGUUCCCUUGGCCGCUUGGCGGGGGCAGCGGUGGUGGCCUGGGACGGCCCAGCCCCGGUCGCCGCCACGACAUGAGAAGCGCCAGGAGCAGCAGCGAUGGUCCGGGAGGACCCCGCUCCAGUUGCCGCAGCGGCGUGGUGUGCUUCCGCGGCAACGGUGCUUGCCGUGGCGGAGCGUGCCGCACAGCGCGGCGGCUGUUGUCUCGUUUGCCGCUCCGCCACGUCCCCGGCCUUGCGGAGGCGUCUUCUUGGUGGUACUGGGGGCUGCGCUGAGGGCUCCACCUGCGGCAAGCUGCUUGAAGAUGGCUGGCCACUCGUACCCUCGGCGGGCUCGCUUGAUUCAGCUUCUGGCUCAGCAGGCUCUCCCUCGCGGGCAAGUUCUCCGGCAAGCUCGUCUCGAUCGGCAAGGCUUAAUGCUUCCGCUGCCUCUGCCUCCUCCACCGUGAACCCAAAUUUGCCCGCGGCGGCGGCUGCCACCGCCUCUUCUGCCCUGUGGCGAUAUACCGCACCUCAUCGUCGGUGGUGUCGCGGGUGAGGCUCUUCUGUUCAUCAGAGCGGACUGCCACUUCUACCAGCCUGUCGAAGAACUCCUGCACAACGUCGUCCGCAGGCUCUUGCCAAGUUGGAAUAAGUCCGUGCGAGUCACACAAGGGCAUCAUUGCACGGAUGCGAUCUAGCGAAGAAUUGUUGCACAGCGGAACGACGCCCUGCGGCAGCCUGAACCAUUCGGGAUGAUUGGGGUCGUGCUUGAAUAGCUCCCUGAGCAUUCCGUCCAGUUCCAAGACAGUAAAGUUAAAAUUGAGGCCCGGACGCAGCCUCAUGAUGUCCGCCGGGCCCCCGAAUUCCCAGGCGGGUCUGCCUCUCUCCUGCAGAGGGGCGAUGCGGCGGCGAAGAAAGUCUGUGCCGACAGCUCCUACAGUAAGCCCGGCAAGCCUGAGCCGCAAGAUCCGGGUGAUGGCAAUCUUCAACUUGGCGUCAUCUGGGGCCAGGUUGCUCCAAUCGUUGCCGCGCACUACUAGGGCUUGGCGCAGGGCGGUGAAUGGCUGUGGGUUCUCCUCUACAAUCCAACACCACUCUGCUCUCCACUCAUCCCAUUUGCUGCGGAGCUCCCCAUUAAGAUAGGCUUCCUUCUUGCCGGUCCUCGAGAUCCAGGCGAUUCCGCCGGAUAGAGGCUCUCCUCUCUCGACUCGGGGGAUGAAGAAAUGGCGGAAGAGAGCUACGUUUGGGUGGACUCCGACAAAAUUUUCGCAUAGAUGCGCGAAAACAGCCAUGGUCAGAACGGCGUUGGGGGUGAAGUCAAGGAGAUGAAACCCGUAGGUGUUCAUGAUGUCGCAAAAGAAUUCGGAAAAGGGCGGGCAGAGCCCGCAGUGGAAGAACAAAGCGAAGAAUGGAUAUCCGUACGGAGCUUUUUCCGAGGCGGCGGUGGAGAUUACCUUCGUGCGCGGAUGCGCUCGCGUCUCCGUCGACCAGAAAAGGUAGAACCACUCCCUCAGCUCCUUCACAGGGAGCUCGGGGGGGAAAGUGGCCCGCUCCUUUCGCAGUGCCUCGAGCCGCUGCGCCUCGGUCGACUUCACGCCUUUCCCCUUGUUGGCUUUCGGAGCCAUGGUGGAGGUGGUGGAGGAGAUCCAUGGCGUUGGUGCUGCCGGCGGCGAUUGGGGCGGAGCGCUGCUCUCUCUUGGCUUGGGAAGAAGGGGGAGCGGCGGAGAUUUCUGAGAUUGGAAGUAGCAACGGGCGAGGCGGAGGAACUGCCCCUGUUUCCCCUGCUUAUAAAGAGGGAGGGGGCGGACGUUCUGUUUUUCCGAAUAAACAACCACCCACGAUCUCUCCCACGAUGCCGCAUUCGACGCGUGCCGUUAGGGGAGGGCGCGGUGGAUGCGGAGUAAGAUACGGCAUGAACCUGGCUGCACAUGCCCGUGCACUGUUUUGGGCCUGGCCCAACAGCGCUCGGCACCGUGUAUGGCCCAGGCCCGGGGGCUCCUGUCGGUGUACUAGAAUAGGGGUACCCUAGUACCCCGAACUUGUGCACGGGCAGUUGCAGCGCCCCGCGGCAAGGAUCGCCAGGCGACCUCCAAGGUCCUCCAUGGUUCCUUUGGAGCCAUUCAAGAAGAAAGUGUUCAAGCUAAGGAGACAAGACCCCGGCUAGAGGAGCUUGCCGGGAAGGCCAACUAAGGAGACAAGACCCCGGCAAGAGGAGCUUGCUGGGAAGGCCAACCAAGGUACUUCAAGGAACUUGCCGCGGCGCGCCCCGCGUCCCGGCAAGGCUCAGCGAGCGACAAGCUUCCAGGCGAGACAAGUCAACAAACACGACAAGAUAACAUCAGCGGCAAGGCACUUGCCGCGGCGAGCUACCACCCUGUACCUGCGCUCCAGCCCAUCCGCCAACAUGUCGCCACGGGACCUUUCCAGGCACGCGUGGCGGGAGGCUGUGUAGCCAGCGGUACACGGUGUUAAGCGGCGCUGACAAGAUUACCACCGUGGCGAGCGGUGGUGCCCCUGACGGUCGCUUUUUGCACUGUUUGGGCGACUUAGACGGGCAUUUAAUGCCCUUGUCCCCUGCCGUCAGGGUUAGGUAGAGUACACUGUACAAGUAGCUGUACCAACCACUACUCUUUUUCCAUUUUUGCCCUUGCCUACAUUGCCACCUGUCGGUGACCCCUUUCACAUAUAAAAGGAGGCCCGUGGGCAUCGUAGAGGAGGUUCGAAUCCUUCUAAAGCCAGAACGCAUACUCGCUCGGUCUUGUAGCUCUCACGCUCCCGAGCAAGAACACAAUACAACCACAAAGCAGCAGUAGGAGUAUUAUCUCUCCGGAGAGCUCCGAAGCUGGGUAAACUGCUCGUGUGCUUCGCCUCGAUCUACUCUUUGCGCGAUCCCCGCCCCCCGCCGAACCGAAAGGGGCUCCGGUCCCAUAGGUGUCCGUGGAUCAGUCUACCACGACAAUGCUCGAUACUUCUUGUGCUGGUUCUUAUAUGCUGAAGACUAUUGAAUUCAAGUGGGAUUUAUUGGAAAGAAUUAAAAACAACUCUGAAGAUUGGGGUUCCGACGAUGGUAAGGAGUCAGGUAUGACACCUAAGUUUGAUUGUGUUAAAUCUUUUAUGGAUACCGAUGCUUUUCGUGGAUUUAGCACUAAAUAUGGACUUGACUCUGAGAUAGUAGCUUCUUUCUAUGAAUCAUUUGCUACUUAAGUUGAUCUCCCUAAGGAAAAGUGGUUUAAAUAUAACCCUCCCACUGAAGUAAAAGCAGUUGCACCUAUUACAGUUGAAGAAAAGACUAUUACUUAUAAUGAUCCUAUUGUUCCUACUACUUAUGUUGAGAAACCACCUUUCCCUGUUAGGAUAAAGGAUCAUGCUAAAGCUUCAACUGUUACUCGUAGGAGUAAUACUAGAACAUAUACACCUCCUGAGCAAAUUAAAGUUGAACCUAGUAUUGCUAUGGUUAAAGAUCUCUUGGCUGAUAAUAUUGAUGGGCAUGUUUUUUAUUUAUGUGAUGAAGCUGCUAAUAUUGCUAGACCCGAUGCUAAGAUACAUCGACCUGUUGUAGGCAUGCCUGUUAUUUCUAUUAAAAUAGGAGAUCAUUGUUAUCAUGGCUUAUGUAAUAUGGGUGCUAGUGCUAGUGCAAUACCUUUUUCCUUAUAUAAAGAAAUUAUGCAUGAUAUUGCACUGCUGAAAUAGAAGAUAUUGAUGUUACAAUUAAGCUUGCAAAUAGAGAUACCAUUUCACCAAUGGUGAUAUUUUAGAGAUGUCGAAGUCUUGUGUGGGAAAGUUAAAUAUCCAGCUGAUUUUCUUGUUCUUGGUUCCCCACAAGAUAACUUUUGUCCCAUUAUAUUUGGUAGACCCUUCUUGAAUAUUGUUAAUGCUAGGAUUGAUUGUGAAAAGGAUGUUGUUACAAUUGGCUUGGGAGAUAUGUCUCAUGGGUUUAAUUUUGCUAAAUUUCAUAGACAACCCCAUGAUAAAGAAUUACCUAGUAAAGAUGAAAUUAUUGGUCUUGCUUCUAUUGCCGUGCCUCCUACGGAUUCUUUAUAACAAUAUUUGCUAGACCAUGAAAAUGAUAUGUUUAUGAAUGAAAGAAAGGAAAUAGAUGAAGUAUUAUUUAAACAGGGUCCUAUUCUGAAACACAACUUACCUGUUGAAAUCCUAGGGGAUCCCCCUCCACCCAAGGGUGAUCCCGUGUUUGAGCUUAAACCGUUACCUGAUACUCUUAAAUAUGCUUAUCUUGAUGAAAAGAAGAUAUAUCCUGUUAUUAUUAGUGAUAACCUUUUAGAGCAGGAAGAAGAAAUAUUAUUGAAAACCCUGAAGAAGCACCGUGCUGCUAUUGGAUAUACUCUUGAUGAUCUUAAGGGCAUUAGUCCCACUCUAUGCCAACACAAAAUAAAAUUGGAAGAAGAUGCCAAACCAGUUAGGGAUCAUCAACGACACUUCAAUCCUAAAAUGAAAGAAGUGGUAAGAACAGAAAUAUUAAAUCUCCUCUAGGCAGGUAUAAUUUAUCCCAUUGCUGAUAGUCAGUGGGUAAGUCCUGUCCAUUGUGUCCCUAAGAAGGGAGGUAUUACUGUCGUUCCUAAUGAUAAAGAUGAAUUGAUCCCACAAAGAAUUAUUAUAGGUUAUAGGAUGGUAAUUGAUUUUCGUAAAUAAAAUAAGGCUACUAAAAAAGAUCAUCACCUUUACGUUUUAUUGAUCAAAUGCUAGAAAGGCUAUAAAAACAUACACAUUUCUGCUUUCUAGAUGGUUAUUCUAGUUUCUCUCAAAUACCUGUGUCAGCGGACGAUCAAACAAAUACUACUUUUACUUGCCCUUUCGGUACUUUUGCUUAUAGAUGUAUGCCUUUCGGUUUAUGCAAUGCACCUACUACCUUUCAAAGAUGCAUGAUGGCUAUAUUCUCUGAAUUUUGUGAAAAGAUUUGUGAGGUAUUCAUGGAUGAUUUCUCCGUUUAUGGAUCCUCUUUUGAUGAUUGCUUGAGCAACCUUGAUCGAGUUUUGCAGAGAUGCGAAGAUACUAGUCUUGUUUUGAAUUGGGAGAAGUGCCACUUUAUGGUUAAUGAAGGCAUUGUCUUGGGGCAUAAAAUUUCUGAAAGAGGUAUUGAAGUUGAUAAAGCUAAAGUUAAUGCUAUUGAAAAGACGUCGUGUCCCAAGGACAUUAAAGGUAUAAGAAGUUUCCUUGGUCAUGCCAGUUUUUAUAGGGGGUUCAUUAAGGACUUUUCUAAAAUCUCUAAGCCUCUGACUAAUUUAUUGCAAAAAGAUAUUCCUUUUGUCUUUGAUGAUGAUUGUGUAGAAGCAUUUUGAAAUAGCUAAGAAAGCUUUGACCACUGCACCUAUUGUUCAGCCACCUGAUUGGAAUUUACCCUUUGAAAUUAUGUGUGAUGCUAGUGAUUAUGAUGUAGGUGUUGUUCUAGGGAAAAGAGUUGAUAAGAAACUCAAUGUUAUUCAAUAUGCUAGUAAAACUCUAGACACUGCUCAGAGAAAUUAUGCUACCACUAAAAAAGAAUUCUUAGCAGUCGUAUUUGCUUGUGAUAAGUUCAGACCUUAUAUUGUUGAUUCUAAAGAAACUAUGCACACUGAUCAUGCUGCUAUUAAAUAUCUUAUGGAAAAGAAAGAUGCAAAACCUAGACUUAUUAGAUGGGUUCUCUUGCUCCAAGAAUUUGAUUUGCAUAUUAUUGAUAGAAAGGGAGCCGAGAACCCCGUUGCAGACAACUUGUCUAGGUUAGAGAAUGUUCUUGAUGAUCCACUACCUAUUGAUGAUAGCUUUUUUUAUGAACAAUUAGCGUUCAUUAAUGCUUCACGUACUGCUCCAUGGUAUCACUACAAAAAAAUACACUUCCGUGAUGAUACGUGUUUGUCACAGUAGGUCGCGUUUUUUGUCAUGCAUGUACAUCCAUGACGAUUUUAUGACAGAAUCAAGAUAGUCAUACCUGUGCUGUCGUAGAAGUGUUUGAUGACAUUACCAAAAUUAUCAUCAGGAAGUGUCCACUUCCAUGAUGAUAAAUCGCGCGUCACAGAAGUGCUUUCGUCAAGGGUGACCGACACGUGGCAUCCACCGUAACGGAACGCCGUUAAGCUAUCGGGUCGGGUUUUUGAUCCGAUAACCCGUUAACAGCCCCGACCAAUGGGGAUUUUCCACGUGUAAAAUCAUCAUUGGCUGGAGGAAACACGUGUCGGUUCAUCGUUGGGACAGAUGUCAUCCACUCAUUGGACAGAAGGCGCCUAUGAUACGUCGACACGUGGCACGGCCCAACAGAGGCCCAUUCCAGUGAAAAGGCCGGCCCGUUUGACUUGGUCAAAAGGUGGCGGGCUGGCCCAUGGAAAGCCUGUUAACGGCAUGUUCGCAUAUAGCCCAUUUACGGCCCGCUAACCCAAGGCCCGUUACGCCCUAUCCGAAUUAGGCCCAGUAGCGUCAUCUGGUCCAUCCAAUAUGAUUCCAGCCCGUUUUCACUUCUGGCCCAUGUAUGGCCCAUGACGUCUUUUCGGCCCAUAUGAGGCCCUUUGUAACUCUUGGCCCAUUAACAGCCCGUGGGGAAACUGGCCCGUAAUGAACAGUGUAUCACUUUACACCCAUUAACGGCCCGUGGUGAAACUGGCCCGUAAUGAACAGUGUAUCACUUUAUACCCAUUAACGGCCCGUUAUUCCGUUGGGCCAUUUCCAGCCCAUGUUAUCUUUCGGCCUUCUCAGAGCCCAUCAAUUCAUGGGCUCAUUUCCGGCAUUCGUUUACUUACGGCCCGUUACUCUCAUUUCUGCUUGUGGGCCAAAUUCAGCCCGUGGUUACAGUCGUCCCAUUUGUGGUCUGUUAAUUCGUUGGGCCAUUUUCAUGGUGUCAUCAAAUAGGGUCUAUUAACGAUGGCCCAUUAUGGUCGGCCCAUGAACAGACGAUUCCAACUCUAGCCCGUUUACGGCCAUAAUGCGUUCUGUUAUUGGCCCAUGUUUGGCCAAUCGAUCAUACGACCCGUAUAAGGCCCAUUGAUGAUACGGCCCGUAGAAGGCCCAUUGUUUCUACGGCCCGUAGAAAGCCCAUUGUUUCUACGGCCCGUAGGAGGCCCACUGUUUCUACGGCCCGUAGGAGGCCCAGUGUCACUAUAGUAAAUAUUAGCCCAUGGUUAUUGUGGCCUAGUUUUAAAAAAUAGGUUAUUGCAGCCACUAGCAAACCGCAGAAAAAGAACUGCACUGACUACAAGCAAACAAAUAAACAAGACAACAAGGAAAUAAAUAAGCAAGCAACUUAUGCUAGGCUAUCAUGGCUAUUACACAUAUUACAUCCACUGGGCAUCAAAGUUCGCCACUAGUGCAAAUAUAGGGAACAAUGCAGCAUAUAAACGCCGCAACAAAACAAGUCCAGAACUGAAACCACUUCAGAAGAGUUCAAACAAUAUCCUGGGUACCCAUAAUGCUGGCAAGAUGCUUAGCAAGCUUAUUAACUUUCUCUUGUUUGGCGCUUAAAUCCUCCAGCGCUUGCUGUUACACAAGAAAGUACGCAUCUAAAUUCUACAGGGACUUCCUUAGUCCUUCGGCUUCUUGCCGCAGCAUAGCUGACUGAUACCUUUCAGCUUGUAGCUGAUACUGAAGAAGCCGAAGUGAUUCACUACUAGGAAAAGGGCUACUAAUGGUGCACCAGUUUUGCCUACUAAUGGCGCAUCACUGGUGCGCCAUUAGUAUCUGGUAUACUAAUGGCGCACCUGGCAGUGCGCCAUUAGUUUUGCCAACGGUGCGCCACUAGUGCCUGCUAUACUAAUGGCGCACCACACUGUAAUGCGCCAUUAGUAACAAUUUUUUUAAUUUUCUUCUUCUUAAUCUCAGGUCACUAUUUCACCUAUGAGAUAUCCAACACAUAUAUAUACAACAAGCAUCCAUAUAACAAUCAUAGCCAACACACAAGUUCCAUCAUAUAUACAUACAUAGCCAACACACAAGUUCCAUCAUAUAUACAUACAUAGCCAACAUAUAUCCAUCAAUUCACAAAAGUUCGCAUUGAUACAAAAUAAAAACACAAAUGAAAAAUAAGCACUCCAUCCAUGCAAGCUUCCGUGAAUUAAAUCAAAUCUGCAAAAUGAUAAACAAGAAGUUAGAAGAAGAAAAAGAAGCUUAUUAUGUAAACUUGAUCAUUUUGUGCUAACAUAAGUUAUUUUGGAGCUAACCUAUAGGAAACUAAGCAUAUAAGCUCUAAGUUAGCAUAUUAGAGCCAACUUAGGUAAAAUGAAGCUAACCUAUGUCAUUUUGGAAAAGAAGAAGAAUAAGAAAAAGACUAUAAGCUUAAUAUGUAAACUUGAUCAUUUUGUGCUAACAUAAGUUAUUUUGGAGCUAACCUAUAGGAAACUAAGCAUAUAAGCUCUAAGUUAGCAUAUUAGAGCCAACUUAGGUAAAAAUAAAGCUAACCUAUAGGAAACUAAGCAUAUUAGAGAUAACAUAGGUAACUAAGUAUAUAUAUAUAUCAUUUUGGAGAUCUGACAUACCUGACAAAGUUCAGUUCUCAUGCAUUGUUCUUCUCCUUCUCCUUCCUCAGUCUGAUGCGCCAAGAGCGGCGAGGCGGUGGAGGCAGUGGGAUGUAGUCUUCCACCUCAAUUGGCGUGGUCAUGUCGCCCAGCUAUGGGAUCGCCGGCGCCUCCACUGGUGUGUGGUCAUUGUCAGGCACCACCACCAUCGCGAGGCCACCUUCAGGCACGACCAUCACUAGGUCAUCCUCAGCCACCUCCAUCUCUUGCCCAUGGUCAGCCACCACCAUCUCUUGCCAUGGUCAGCCACCACCACCAUCUCUUGCCCUUGGUCAGCCACCACCAGCGCUAGGUCAUCCUCAGCCUGAUGCCCAUCGUCAUCCUGCAGCUCCUCAUCCCGACUCUGCUCAUCUUCUCCCGCACUCCAGUCCGGAUCAUCCUUCUUGUUGUCUAUGCUGCUGCCAGAAUCGUUGCUUCUUUCGCUACAGCCAGAAUCGAUGUUGCUUUCGCUACAGCCAUGGUCGCUGCUGCUAUCGCUACAGCCAUGGUCGCUGCUGCUUUGGCUGUAGCCAUUGUCGCUGCUGCUGCUCCCAUUACCUGUCCAAAUGCAACAAUGACUGUUAACAAUCGAUGUGAGACAAAGCCAAAUGUAGAGGAAUAAGAAGAGGCAGAACGUACCAGCAUCAUAAUCUUCAGCGUAGCGCAUGCGACACAUACUCGCGUUGAACACCUUCACGAUGAGCAUGGUGGCGUCGUCGUCGUACGUGAAGAGAAGGAAGUACCCCAGCCGCAGGUCGUAGGCACGGUAGAACUUCUCCCACCCACGAGACAAGUACAUGUGGCCAUCCUUGAUCACCAACUCCACAUCCCACAGCCUGCGAAACCCGCUGCCGGCCUGUCGCACCUUCACAUUAUUUGGCGGAUCUUCAGCCAUCAGCAUGUUCUUAAAACUGUCAGGCAGCCUCUGCAGUUUGGGACAAUGAGUGAUGUAGGCAAACAACAGAUAUCAUAAUGAGAUGGGUGAAGCUAGGGGAGAUCUCUCAUUUUAUAUACCUGCAUCAUGGAUGAUACUGAAGUCCCAAGUAUGAUAGUGAAGAACUCGGAAGCAUCCAACUCGUACUAUGGUGUCACAGAGCGGCGGUGGCUGCUUCCCGCCAUCUCUGAUAAUUAAGCAGCAGAAGAGACCAAUUAGUACCCUUACAACCGAACAAGACAAGGCAAGGUAUUAAGACAGAUGUGAACACAUGAGAUAAAAUCUAGAGACGUGAACACAGAAGAUAAUAAGAACUACUCGUCAUCAUCACCAAUAUUGUGACCAGUGUGAUCUUCAUCAUCACUACCAUAUUGCAUCAUAGUUUCAUCGUGGUCAUCCUCCAAUAAUUCAAACUGAUUGUAUGAUAAGAUAGCAGAGAGAUACAUUCCAAACAGUGAAUGUGGUAUGGCAAUGGACUUGUAAUCAUAUCGUUGUUCAUAUCUAAAAUAACACCUUGUAUAUAAGAAGAAAUCAUGAUCUGGAAGACAUAUAGAUUUACCAGCAAACUUGUGUGCCUAACUAUCUAUAUCUAGGAAAUCAAAGUUAUUUCAACUUUGAUGUUUGGAAUAUACCUAGAGAAACAUGAUUUAUUUAUUUUACUUCACACUCACAACUAAACAGCUUGAGAAAAAAAGGACUCGAUAAAAGGUAUCACUAUGCAUAAUUAUUUGUAGCUACAAACAAUACAUGUAAUGAGCUAGAAAAGCCACCUUACCAUCAUUAACAGUACUCAUAAGUCAUAACCCACUUUCCAAAUUUAAUUGGGAACCCUUUCAUAACCAUCACCUUUUCUAAAAAUCCUAGUUAAUUUUGUCCUUUCUUAAAAUCAAGCUUGAAAUUAACAGUUAGCACUAGCAUCCCAAUGCGUGUGUUUACCAAAAACCAAUAAUGCCAUUUCAGGUGGCAUGAUUGGCACUUUAACAGCAGUGAAAACAACUAGAUUGCGACCGGAUUUUUCUGCUUUCGCCUUUUCUCUUUUCUUUCAAGAAAGGAGACCAAAGUGUCCCUUGUUUAAUCUGAUGCAGUGGCAUUAGUAAGGCAAGUUUUUACCGUCGCUCGGUGCGCAUUCCAAACUUAGUUGUAUACCUAAAUUAGUUGUCUCAAAAUGAAAUGCAUUCCAAACUUUGUAUAACUAACUUAGUUGUAUCAAAAUGAGAUGCUCUCUAAGAAACCAGAAAUACCUGGGGCGGCCUGGUAGCGGACGUCGGGNNNNNNNNNNNNNNNNNNNNNNNNNNNNNNNNNNNNNNNNNNNNNNNNNNNNNNNNNNNNNNNNNNNNNNNNNNNNNNNNNNNNNNNNNNNNNNNNNNNNNNNNNNNNNNNNNNNNNNNNNNNNNNNNNNNNNNNNNNNNNNNNNNNNNNNNNNNNNNNNNNNNNNNNNNNNNNNNNNNNNNNNNNNNNNNNNNNNNNNNNNNNNNNNNNNNNNNNNNNNNNNNNNNNNNNNNNNNNNNNNNNNNNNNNNNNNNNNNNNNNNNNNNNNNNNNNNNNNNNNNNNNNNNNNNNNNNNNNNNNNNNNNNNNNNNNNNNNNNNNNNNNNNNNNNNNNNNNNNNNNNNNNNNNNNNNNNNNNNNNNNNNNNNNNNNNNNNNNNNNNNNNNNNNNNNNNNNNNNNNNNNNNNNNNNNNNNNNNNNNNNNNNNNNNNNNNNNNNNNNNNNNNNNNNNNNNNNNNNNNGCAGGGGUCGGGGGUCGGGGCGGCGGCGGCAGGGGACGGAGGGGACGGAGGGGGCGUGGGGGCGCGGCAGCGGCGUACGGUUGGGGCGGAGGGGGCAUACUGAGUGGGGAGGACGAAGGGAUGGAGGGGAAUAGGUGGAGUGGGGGGGAAGCGUACUAAUGGCGCACCGAGCGGCAGUGCGCCAUUAGAAAGUUUUUUUGCCAAAAAGUAAAAAAAAUAAAAAUUUACUGGCGCACUCUGUCUCCAGUGCGCCAUUAGUAGUUCUAAUUGCUAAUGGCGCACUUUUCCAGGAUGCGCCAUUAGAAUGUUUGAAAAAAUGAAAAAAAAAUUGUUUUACUAGUGGCGCACCUUCUGCCUGGUGCGCCAUUAGUGUAUUCCACACUAAUGGCGUAUCUCCACCAGGUGCGCCAUUAGUAUAUAGUAGUGGCGCAUCUCUUCUCUGGUGCGCCAUUAGUGUCAAUCCUAUCUUUAGCCCUUUUCCUAGUAGUGAUUCAGGCAGCGAGUUCGAAGAGCUUGUGCCAGCGGUACUGGCCAGUAACUUGAACACUACAUCAACGUAGGACUGUGGGGUUUUCUCACUGUCUACAAGAUCGUUUUUAUCACCUUUCUUAGAGACCAACAGGGUUAUCUCACUAUCUUGAACCUUAUCUGUAUUACUUUCUCUACCAUUGCGUAGUGGGGUGCUCCUAUCCAAUAUUCUGUUCGCAUACUACAAGAGAAACAAGCAGACACAUCACAGGUUUAGCUUGUAGUAUACGAAACUCAUUUUGGUAAACCGAUUCAAUAGUAAGGUGGACAGGAUAACAGCAUGAAACAAACAUAUAUCUAUGUACUAUGGUCACUGUAUUGUCCAUAAUAUUCUAGUUUAUGUUCCCUAAUCAAGAUAGUGUUGGGGAACGUAGCAGAAAUUCAAAAUUUUCUACGCAUCACCAAGAUCAAUCUAUGGAGUAAUCUAGCAAUGAGGGAAGGGGGAGUGCAUCUACAUACCCUUGUAGAUUGCUAAGCGGAAGCGUUCAAGUGAACGGGGUUGAUGGAGUCGUACUCGCAGCGAUUCAGAUCGCGGUUGAUUCCGAUCUAAGCACCGAACAACGGUGCCUCCGCGUUCAACACACGUACAGCCCGGGGACGUCUCCUCCUUCUUGAUCCAGCAAGGGGAGAGGAGAAGUUGAGGGAGAACUCCGACAGCACGACGACAAGGUGGUGAUGGAGCUUGCGGUUCUCCGGCAGGGCUUCGCCAAGCACUACGGAGGAGGAGGAGGUGUUGGAGGAGGGAGAGGGCUGCGCAAGGGGAAGGGUGCGGCUGCCCUCUCUCUCCCUCACUAUAUAUAGGGGUAAGGGGGGUGGAGGAGGCACCCUAGGGUUCCCUAGGGGAGGGGCAGCGGCCACAGGGGAAACCCUAGAUGGGUUUGGGCGCCCCCACCCCCUAGGAAACUUGCCCCCCAAGCCGGGAGGGGGGGCUGCCCUAGGGGAGGCGCCCCCAUCUCUCCUGGUUACGUGAGAGGGGCUGGGACGGGCGCACUACCCCUUAGUGGGCUGGUUUGCCCCUUCCCCUUUGGCCCAUGAGGCCCUCCAACACUUGCCGGGGCUCCCGAAACACCUUUCGGUCAUGCUGGCCAUAGCCUGGUACCCCCGGAACACUUCCGGACUCCAAUACCCUUAGUCCAAUAUAUCGAUCUUCACCGCCGGACCAAUCCGGAACUCCUCGUGACGUUCGGGAUCACAUCCGGGACUCCGAACAACCUUCGGUAACCACAUACUAUUUCCCAUAACAACUCUAGCAUCACCGAACCUUAAGUGUGUAGACCCUACGGGUUCGGGAACCAUGCAGACAUGACCGAGACGUUCUCCGGUCAAUAACCAACAGCGGGAUCUGGAUACCCAUGUUGGCUCCCACAUGUUCCACGAUGAUCUCAUCGGAUGAACCACGAUGUCGAGGAUUCCAAUCAAUCUCGUAUUCAAUUCCCUUUGUCUAGCGGUAUAGUACUUGCCCGAGAUUCGAUCGUCGGUAUCCCGAUACCUUGUUCAAUCUCGUUACCGGCAAGUCUCUUUACUCGUUCCGUAACACAUCAUCCCGUGAUCAACCCCUUGUUCACAUUGUGCACAUUAUGAUGAUGUCCUACCGAGUGGGCCCAGAGAUACCUCUCCGUCACACGGAGUGACAAAUCCCAGUCUCGAUUCGUGCCAACCCAACAGACACUUUCGGAGAUACCCGUAGUGCACCUUUAUAGCCACCCAGUUACGUUGUGACGUUUCGUACACCCAAAGCAUUCCUACGGUAUCCGGGAGUUGCACAAUCUCAUGGUCUAAGGAAAUGAUACUUGACAUUAGUAAAGCUUUAGCAUACGAACUACAUGAUCUUUGUGCUAGGCUUAGGAUUGGGUCUUGUCCAUCACAUCAUUCUCCUAAUGAUGUGAUCCUGUUAUCAACGACAUCCAAUGUCCAGGGUCAGGAAACCGUAACCAUCUAUUGAUCAACGAGCUAGUCAACUAGAGGCUUACUAGGGACAUGGUGUUGUCUAUGUAUCCACACAUGUAUCUGAGUUUCCUAUCAAUACAAUUAUAUCAUGGAUAAUAAACGAUUAUCAUGAACACAGAAAUAUAAUAAUAAUAACUAAUUUAUUAUUGCCUCUAGGGCAUAUUUCCAACAGUCUCCCACUUGCACUAGAGUCAAUAAUCUAGUUCACAUCGCCAUGUGAUUAACACUCACAGGUCACAUCGCCAUGUGACCAACAUCCAAAGAGUUUACUAGUGUCACUAAACUAGUUCACAUCAUCAUGUGAUUAAGACUCAAUGAGUUCUGGGGUUUGAUCAUGUUUUGCUUGUGAGAGAGGUUUUAGUCAACGGGUCUGCAACAUUCAGAUCCGUAUGUACUUCGCAAAUCUCUAGGUCAUAUUGUAAAUACUGCUUCCACGCUCCACUUGGAGCUAUUCCAAAUGGUUGCUCCACUAUAUGUAUCUGGUUUGCUACUCAGAGUCAUUCGGAUAUGUGUUAAAGCUUGCAUCGACGUAACCCUUUACGCCGAACUCUUUAUCACCUCCAUAAUCGAGAAACAUUUCCUUAUUCCUCUAAGGAUAAUUUUGACCGCUAUCUAGUGAUCCACUCCUUGAUCACCUUUGUACCCGCUUGCCAGACAUGUGGCAAGGCACACAUCACGUGCAGUACACAGCAUAGCAUACUAUGGAGCCUACGUCUAAGCAUAGGGGACGACCUUCGUCCUUUCUCUCUAUUCUGUCGUGGUCGAGCUUUAAGUCUUAACUUCAUACCUUACAACUCAGGCAAUAACUCCUUCUUUGACUGAUCCAUCUUGAACACCUUCAAGAUCAUGUCAAGGUAUGUGCUCAUUUGAAAGUACUAUUAAGCGUUUUGAUCUAUCCUUAUAGAUCUUGAUGCUCAAUGUUCAAGCAGCUUAAUCCAGGUUUUCUAUUGAAAAACACUUUUCAAAUAACCCUAUAUGCUUUCCAGAAAUUCUACAUCAUUUCUGAUCAACAAUAUGUCAACAACAUAUACUCACCAGAAAUUCUAUAGUGCUCCCACUCACUUCUUUGGAAAUACAAGUUUCUCAUAAACUUUGCAUAAACCCAAAAUCUUUGAUCAUCUCAUCAAAGCGUACAUUCCAACUCCGAGAUGCUUACUCCAGUCCUUAGAAGGAUUGCUAGAGAUUUGCAUACUUGUUAGCAUAUUUUAGGAUCGACAAAACCUUUCUGAUUGUAUCACAUACAACCUUUCCUUACGAAAACUGGUAAGGAAACUCGUUUUGACAUCCAUCUCCCAGAUUUCAUAAAUGCAGCUAAUGCUAACAUGAUUCCGACAGACUUAAGCAUCGCUACGGAUGAGAAAAUCUCAUCGUAGUCAACUCCUUGAACUUGUGAAAAACUCUUCGCCACAAGUCAAGCUUCAUAGACGGUGACAUUACUGUCCACGUCUGUCCUCUUCUUAAAGAUCCAUUUAUCUCAAUGGCUUGCCGAUCAUCGGGAAAGUCCACCAAAGUCCAUGCUUUGUUCUGAUACAUGGAUCCUAUCUCGGAUUUCAUGGUUUCUAACCACUUGUCGGAAUAUGGGCCCACCAUCGCUUCUCCAUAGCUCGUAGGUUCAUUGUUGUCUAGCAACAUGACCUUCAAGACAGGAUUACUGUACCACUCUGAAGUAGUACGCAUCCUUGUCACCCUACGAGGUACGGUAGUGACUUGAUCCGAAUCUUCAUGAUCACUAUCACAAGCUUCUACUUCAAUUGGUGUAGGCGCCACAGGAACAACUUCCUGUGCCCUGCUACACACUAGUUGAAGUGACGCUUCGAUAACCUCAUCAAGUCUCCACCAUCCUCCCACUCAACUUUCCGAGACAAACUUUUCCUCGAGAAAGGACCCGAUUCUAGAAACAAUCCCUUUUGCUUCCGGAUCUGAGACAGGAGGGAUACCCAACUGUUUUGGGUGUCCUAUGAAGAUCUAUUUAUCCGCUUUGGGUUCGAGCUUAUCAGCCUGAAACCUUUUCGCAUAAGCGUCGCAUCCCCAAACUUUUAAGAAACGACAACUUAGGUUUCUCCAAACCAUAGUUCAAACGGUGUCAUCUCAACGGAAUUACUUGGUGCCCUAUUUGAAGUGAGUGCGGUUGUCUCUAAUGCCUAACCCAUGAACGAUAGUGGUAAUUCGAUAAGAGACAUCAUGGUACGCACCAUAUCCAAUAGGGUGCAACUAUGAUGUUCGGACACACCAUCACACUAUGGUGUUCCAGGCGGUAUUAAUUGUGAAACAAUUUCCACAAUGUCUUAAUUGCGUGCCAAAACUCGUAACUCAGAUACUCAUCUCUAUGAUCAUAUCAUAGACAUUUUAUCCUCUUGUCACAAUGAUCUUCAACUUCACUCUGAAAUUACUUGAACCAUUCAAUAACUCAGACUUGUGUUUCAUCAAGUAAAUAUACUCAGUAUCUACUCAAAUCAUCCGUGAAGUAAGAACAUAACGAUAUCCACUGCGUGCCUCAGCACUCAUUGGACUGCACACAUCAAAAUGUAUUACUUCCAACAAGUUGCUUUCUUGUUCCAUUUUACUGAAAACGAGGCUUUCAGUCAUCUUGCCCAUGUGGUAUGAUUUGCAUGUCUCAAGUGAUUCAAAAUCAAGUGAGUCCAAACGGUCCAUUUGCAUGGAGUUUCUUCAUGCAUGUACACCAAUAGACAUGGUUCACAUAUCUCAAACCUUUUCAACAUGAGUGAGUCCAAAGAUCCAUCAACAUGGAGCUUCUUCAUGCGUUUUAUACCAAUAUGACUUACAUGGCAGUGCCAUAAGUAGAUGGUACUAUCAUUACUCUCUUAUAUCUUUUGGCAUGAAAAUGUGUAUUACUAUGAUUGAGAUUCAAUAAACCAUUCCUUUAGGUGCAAGACCAUUGAAGGUAUUAUAUUCAAAUAAAUAGAGUAACUAUUAUUCUCCUUAAAUGAAUAACCGUAUUGCGAUAGACAUAAUCCAAUCAUGUCUAUGCUCAACGCAAACACCAAAUGGCAAUUAUUCUGGUUUAAUACUAAUCUUGAUGGUAGAGGGAGCGUGCGAUGUUUGAUCACAUCAAACUUGGAAACACUUCCAACACAUAUCGUCAGCUCACCUUUAGCUAGUCUCCAUUUAUUCCGUAGCCUUUUAUUUCGAGUUACUAACACUUAGCAACCGAACCGGUAUCUAAUAACCUGGUGCUACUAGGAGUACUAGUAAAGUACACAAUAACUUAAUGUAUAUCCAAUAUACUUCUAUCGACCUUGCCAGCCUUCUCAUCUACCAAGUAUCUAGGGUAAUUCUGCUCCAGUGGUUGUUCCCCUUAUUACAGAAGCACUUAGUCUCGGGUUUGGGUUCAACCUUGGGUUUCUCCACUAGAGCAGCAGCUGAUUUGCCGUUUCAUGAAGUAUCCCUUCUUGCCCUUGCCCUUCCUGAAACUAGUGGUUUCACUAACCAUCAACAAUUGAUGCUCCUUCUUGAUUUAUACUUUCGCGGUGUCAAACAUCGCGAAUAUUUCAAGGAUCAUCAUAUCUAUCCCUGAUAUGUUAUAGUUCAUCACGAAGCUCCAGCAGCUUGGUGGCAAUGACUUUGGAAAAACAUCACUAUCUCAUCUGGAAGAUUAACUCCCAAUCGAUUCAAGUGAUUUUGGUACUCAGACAAUCUGAGCACAAGCUCAACGAUUGAGCUUUUCUCCCUUAGUUCGUAGGCUAAGAAACUCGUCGGAGGUCUUAUACCUCUUGACGUGGGAAGGAGCCUGAAAUCCCAAUUUCAGCCCUCAAAACAUCUCAUAUGUUCCGCGACAUUUCGAAAUCGUCUUUGGUGCCUCAACUCUAAACCGUUUAACUGAACUAUCACGUAGUUAUCAAAACGUGUAUGUUAGAUGUUCGCAACACCCACAGACGACGUUCGAGGUUCAGUACACUGAGCGGUGCAUUAAGGACAUAAGCCUUCUACGAAGCAACGAGGAUAAUCCUCAGUUUACGGACCUAGUCUGCAUAAUUGCUACUAUCAACUUUCAACUGAAUUUUUCUCUAGGAACAUAUCUAAACAGUAGAACUAAAACGUGAGUGUACGACAUAAUUUGCGAAGAUCUUUUGACUAUGUUCAGGAUAAUUAAGUUCAUCUUAUGAACUCCCACUCAGAUAGACAUCCCUCUAGUCAUCUAAGUGAUUACAUGAUCCGAGUCAACUAGGCCGUGUCCGAUCAUCACGUGAGACGGACUAGUCAACGUCGGUGAACAUCUUCAUGUUGAUCGUAUCUUCUAUACGACUCAUUCUCGACCUUUCGGUCUUCCGUGUUCCGAGGCCAUGUCUAUACAUCCUAGGCUCGUCAAGUCAACCUAAGUGUAUUGCGAGUGUAAAUCUGGCAUACACCCGUUGUAUUCGAAUGUUAGAAUCUAUCACACCCGAUCAUCACGUGGUGCUUCGAAACUACGAACCUUCGCAACGGUGCACAGUUAGGGGGAACACUUUUCUUGAAAUUAUUGUGAGGGAUCAUCUUAUUUAAGCUACUGUCGUUCUAAGCAAAUAAGAUGCAUAAACAUGAUAAACAUCACAUGCAAUCAAAAAGUGACAUGAUAUGGCCAGUAUCAUUUUGCUCCUUUUGAUCUCCAUCUUCGGGGCUCCAUGAUCAUCAUCGUCACCGGCAUGACACCAUGAUCUCCAUCAUCGUGUCUCCAUGAAGUUGUCUCACCAACAAUUACUUCUACUACUAUGGCUAACGGUUUAGCAAUAAAGUAAGUAAUUACAUGGCGCUAUCAUUGACACGCAGGUCAUACAAUAAAUAAGACAACUCCUAUGGCUCCUGCCGGUUGUCAUACUCAUCGACAUGCAAGUCGUGAUUCCUAUUACAAGAACAUGAUCAAUCUCAUACAUCACAUAUCAUUCAUCACAUUCUUUUGGCCAUAUCACAUCACAUAACAUACCCUGCAAAAACAAGUUAGACGUCCUCUAAUUGUUGUUUGCAUGUUUUACGUGGCUGCUAUGGGUUUCUAGCAAGAACGUUUCUUACCUACGCAAAACCACAACGUGAUAUGUCAAUUGCUAUUUACCCUUCAUAAGGACCCUUUUCAUCGAAUCCGAUCCGACUUAAGUGGGAGAGACUGGCACCCGCUAGCCACCUUAUGCAACAAGUGCAUGUCAGUCGGUGGAACCUGUCUCACGUAAGUGCACGUGUAAGGUCGGUCCGGGCCGCUUCAUCCCACAAUACCGUCGAAACAAGAUUGGACUAGUAACGGUAAGCAUAUUGAACAAAAUCAACGCCCACAACAACUUGUGUUCUACUCGUGCAUAGAAACUACGCAUAGACCUAGCUCAUGAUGCCACUGUUGGGGAACGUAGCAGAAAUUCAAAAUUUUCUAUGCAUCACCAAGAUCAAUCUAUGGAGUAAUCUAGCAAUGAGGGAAAGGGGAGUGCAUCUACAUACCCUUGUAGAUCGCUAAGCGGAAGCGUUCAAGUGAACGGGGUUGAUGGAGUCGUACUCGCAGCGAUUCAGAUCGCGGUUGAUUCCGAUCUAAGCACCGAACAACGGUGCCUCCGCCUUCAACACACGUACAGCCCGGGGACGUCUCCUCCUUCUUGAUCCAGCAAGGGGAGAGGAGAAGUUGAGGGAGAACUCCGACAGCACGACGGCAUGGUGGUGAUGGAGCUUGUGGUUCUCCGGCAGGGGAAGGGUGCGGCUGCCCUCUCUCUCCCUCACUAUAUAUAGGGGUAAGGGGGUGGAGGAGGCGCCCUAGGGUUCCCUAGGGGAGGGGCGGCGUCCACAGGGGAAACCCUAGAUGGGUUUGGGCGCCCCCACCCCCUAGGAAACUUGCCCCCCAAGCCGGGAGGGGGGCUGCCCUAGGGGAGGCGCCCCCAUCUCUCCUGGUUACGUGAGAGGGGCUGGGAGGGGUGCACCACCCCUUAGUGGGCUGGUUUUCCCCUUCCCCUUUGGCCCAUGAGGCCCUCCAACACUUGUCGGGGCUCCCGAAACACCUUUCGGUCAUGCUGGCCAUAGCCUGGUACCCCCGGAACACUUCCGGACUCCAAUACCCUUCGUCCAAUAUAUCGAUCUUCACCGCCAGACCAAUCCGGAACUCCUCGUGACGUCCGGGAUCACAUCCGGGACUCCGAACAACCUUCGGUAACCACAUACUAUUUCCCAUAACAACUCUAGCGUCACCGAACCUUAAGUGUGUAGAUCCUACGGGUUCGGGAACCAUGCAGACAUGACCGAGACGUUCUCCGGUCAAUAACCAACAGCGGGAUCUGGAUACCCAUGUUGGCUCCCACAUGUUCCAUGAUGAUCUCAUCGGAUGAACCACGAUGUCGAGGAUUUCAAUUAAUCCCGUAUUCAAUUCCCUUUGUCUAGCGGUAUAGUACUUGCCCGAGAUUCGAUCGUCGGUAUCCCGAUACCUUGUUCAAUCUCGUUAUCGGCAAGUCGCUUUACUCUUUCCGUAACACAUCAUCCCGUGAUCAACCCCUUGGUCACAUUGGGCACAUUAUGAUGAUGUCCUACCGAGUGGGCCCAGAGAUACCUCUCCAUCACACGGAGUGACAAAUCCCAGUCUUGAUUCGUGCCAACCCAACAGACACUUUCGGAGAUACCUGUAGUGCACCUUUACAGCCACCCAGUUAUGUUGUGACGUCUGGUACACCCAAAGCAUUCCUACGGUAUCCGGGAGUUGCACAAUCUCAUGGUCUAAGGAAAUGAUACGUGACAUUAGAAAAGCUUUAGCAUAUGAACUACACGAUCUUUGUGCUAGGCUUAGGAUUGGGUCUUGUCCAUCACAUCAUUCUCCUAAUGAUGUGAUCCCGUUAUCAACGACAUCCAAUGUCCAUGGUCUGGAAACCGUAACCAUCUAUUGUGUCGGAUCUCGGUUUCCGGCGGACCCUUAAGGUUUGAACUCUGGGGUGCGCGUGGAGAUCGUGCCCUCUACCUCUCCGUCUCGAAAGGAUCUAAACUACCCAAAGAACAGCACAAGAGACUCAAGGGUUUAUACUGGUUCAGGCCACCAUUGUGGUGUAAUACCCUACUCUUGGGCUAAUGGUGAUGAACAAUACACGGAAGAACAGCCUCGCGAGGGUCUGCUCUUUGCUGGUGCGACGAACUGCUAAGAGGGGUUCGGUCGCCCUAACUACUGGUGUCUUGAUGAUGGAUCGCUUCUCGAUGCCUCUCCCUGUGGGUGGCUAGUCCUACUUAUAGGCAAAGGCCCUGGGCCUCUUCCCAAAUAUUGAGCGGGAAGGGCGCCAGCAAUUGGCCAAUUUAAAGGGGAACAUCUGGUACACUUAUCCUGACUAAAGUCGGUCUUCGCCUGCCAAAGGCUCGGUGGUGACGACGUCCUGGGCUCCACGGUGACCUCCUUCCCACCGUUGGACUGGUCUUGGUCUCGUUGCACCGAAAUGGAUGCCUUUGCUUGAUCCUCUCGCCUGCGCUUGCCCCCUUUGCACCAAAGAGGAAAGGGGUGGUACAUUGUGCGCCUGGUGCCCGCCCGGCACCCUUGGUCGUCAUGGCUUGCAUCACGGGUACCUCGUGAGGUACCCCGCCUUGAUCUCUCCGCCUCCUCGCAAGCCAGCCUGAGGAGGCCGGGCUUGAGAAGGUGACGUGUCGUCCGCCUCGCGAGGCUUGGCCCCUCGCGAAGGUCUUGAGUCUUGCGCUGAUGAAGAUGGGCCACGCUGGGCCCCCGUUGAGGCACGCCGCAGGCCGCAAGCAGGCAAGUCUGGGGACCCCCGUUCCCAGAACGCCGACAGUAGCCCCCGGGCCCAAGGCGCGCGCGGACUUGGCCGUGCCGAGAGGCGAAAGGGCAAGGGCGAAGCACCGCGGGCCCUAACAGCCCGCGGCCUUGGGCGCUGCGUGGCGGUUGAUUGGACGUGGGCGGUACCGUCCACCCAUGCUCCCUUAUUCGGCGUCGUGCUAGGUUGCCCCAUCAUUGUACACAGCCGUCCCCUUCCUUGUUGCUCGACCGCCUCCUGCUCUUUCCCUCUUCGACUCUGACCCUUGCUUCCAAUCUCAUCUCGCAUUCUUCCACCCGCCGCCAUGGCUCCAAAGAAAGGAAAGGGGAAGAAGCCCGCGGCUCCAUCUUGCCCGCCGCCUCCGGUAGCGCCUGCUGUUGGCCGCUCAAUCAUACUCAAUCUGGAAUGCCUGGGCAAGCUCAGCCCGGCUCUGGCCAACGCCUUCAAUGAGUGUGGGAGGACGACGGCUUGGCCUACCUAUCACUUCCCCACCGAUAGGAUAAUCACUGAGGUCCAUUACUUCGCCGACGCCCUGUGGGCGGGUUUGGUUUCUCCUUUCUCCGAUUUCUUCAACGAAGUUCUUGAUCAUUAUCAGAUCCACAUGAUGCACCUGGGUCCUGAGUCCAUUGCCCUCCUAUCAGUCUUCGCUUUUGUUUGUGAGGCGAUGGUGGGUAUCCCUCUUUCUGUUGCUCUGCUGCGCCAUUUCUUCUCCUUGCAUCUUGCCGACCCCUCGCAAUGCUUGGCAUGCGUGAGCUUCGCUGCUUCGCCUGAGACUGCUGCCUUCGGUAUUGAUUUCAACCUCCCUCCGCCUUCUGCCGAGUUUCGCGAGCGGUGGUUAUAUGUCGAUGUCGGGGUGCCCAGCCCCCGGCUGAUGAAGCCGACAUCGCCUGCUGUGCCGAAUUUGGGCUGGGGUCAAGAGACGCUCGUGAGCCCCCGGCUCGCCUUCAUCUGGCGCCGCUUCCUAUCCUUGAACCAGCUGGGCGUAACAGCGCCCAAGGUGGUGAAAGAGUUCCUAUAGCACCGCAUUGCCCCUCUCCAGCGCCACUCUCGCCGAAUGUGGGCCUACAGCGGAUGCGGUUACCGCAUGAGGCUUCAGGAAGAAGACUUGACGCUGGUGGCGCUGAGGAAGGUGCUCUUGGUCCUGAUGAGCGAUCCCAACCCCGGCAGCAUCCAACAAGGGGGAGCCCUGUUGUACCUCUGCCAGUAGAGGGAUGACUUCGUGAGGCAGAUGCCCCCCUUUGAUGAAUGGGGGUUGUGCCCCGUGGGCUUCCAAGGGCCCCGCGAGAACUCUGUGGCGGUGACUAUCCUUCCGGUCGGCAUGGGUGAAUCCUCCUCGAGUGGUGGUGCAGGGAGGCAGGAGACCGCAAGGGGUAAGAGAGCUACUGGUGGUGUGGCCGCCCUUGGCGAUGCUCUUGAGGAGGCAGCUCGAGAGGCCCGUGCUGCCGGGGCCUCGGGUGAGGCGUCGCCGCCUCCGACGCGCAAGGAGGAGGCUGCCGAGCCCCCGGCCGCGGCUCUCGGCAAAGCAACUGACGGCGCGCAUCAAGCGGGUGUCCUUGAUGCAAGUGGCCUUGGUGCCCCGUCUUCCUCGCAGGUUGACUCCUGUGCGGCCAUCCUGGGCCGCUUCCGCGUGGACUUUGAGGCCCUCCGAAGAAAAAUGGAAGCCCUGGGUGAUGACUUCCCUUGCCGCUUGCUGAAGCGCCAGAAAUACUUCGCGAUCGAUGAGUGAGUUUCCUCCUUCCCUGUUUCAUGCUCCACUUGCCGCUUUCGCUGAUCUUUACUCCACAGGCCUCUCCCCACUGAGCUUGAUGAGGUCGCCGAAUUGCCGCCUUCCUUGGCUACGCCACCCCCGCCGCCCCCGACCGACCCGGGCAACACCGCCCUUGUGGUUUGGGCGAGCGACGGGGUGGAUCGCCGCGUGGUGCGCGACGACUCUUCUGCUCCCGCAAUCUCCUUCCGCGGGCCCUCCCUUGGCAUAGGCAGCCUGCCAUGGGCUUCCCGUCUGGCCGCAGGCUGCGACUGGCGGAGGCACCCCUUGGGCCCUCCUCCCGAGGUCAGGUUGAGCUCGGGGCGAGCUUCCGAUGCGGCGCGACCGGCCGCCGUGAGGGCGCCAGCCCCCAGCCCCCUGCCCGGGGCCGGGGCGAUGGUCCGAGGUCCUCGACGCCUGCUUGGGGCGGAUGAUGGCGCGGCAGAUGUGCUUGAGCGUGCUCGGGAGCGCCGUGCCCGUCACCGUGAAUUCCUUCGAAGGGCGAGCGGCGCCGUAGACCUGCUUGGGCAGGAGCUUGCUGAGGAGGACGCGCGUCUGGAAGCCGAGGGCCUGCGCCUGGCUGCCGAGUGGCAUGAGCUGGAGACCGCAGCCGCCCGCGCGCGUCGUCAGCGUGACCUUGAGGACGAUGAGGCGAAGGCCUUGCUGGAGGCUUCCCUGGCUGCGCCGUCCCAAGCCGCUGAGGAGGCCCGGGGAGCGGACCGCCAGCGAGAAGCAGCGGAAGAGCGGGCUCGGGAGCUCUUGGCCCGGUGUCACUUGCUGGAAGAGCAGGCGGAGCUGCGCGAGGCAGCCCUCGCGUCGAUGAAGGUGGCAUCUGGUGACCCGGCGGAACUCCAAAAGCGCGAGGAGGCAUUGAUGCUGGAGGCCGCCGAGCGCACCCGCGAGUGCGAGCAGUUGGAGACGAGGGAGCGCCUAGUGACGCGGGCGGAAGACGACGUUGCCGCGUGAGAAGCGCGAGUCCUGGAGGAGGUUUGCUGCCGGUUGGCAACGGCGCGCCAAGGCCUCGAGCGCGAGUUUGAGGGGAAGCUGGGGAUGAUCCGGGUCGAAGCCGAGGGCAGGACCGCCGCCUUGAGGGCCCAACGGGAUGAGGCGGUGCAGCGAGCCGACGCCUCCCGGUCCGCCCUUGAGGCAGUGCAGAAGGAGCUGGCCAAAUCCCAGGCCGAGGUGCUCCGUCUUCGCCAACGCGUGGAAGAAGUUGUGGCCGUCGAGCGUCAGAAUGCCGACGAGAUACGUCAGCGGCGUCUCCUGGAGCAUGAGCACGGCCCAUGCUCACCUCACUCCGGGAAAGAGCCAAUACCGCCCUGGGUAACAUUUGUGAGGCGGCCGUUGGCGAGCCGCACACAAUCAACUACGCCAGCAACCAUCAAUUCUUCACCGACGUGGUGACGCAGCUAGAGGCGCGGGCGGCUAGGGCCGACAGGUUGGCGGAGGAGAGGGGUCGCGUGCUGCUCUCGCGAGCCUUCUCCCGCGUCUUCAGUCAUCUCCGGAACAUGGACCCCCACUUCGAUUUUGACGCGGCCAUCGCCCUAGUUCCCCAGGCCGUCCGAGGCGACCUGGCGUACUGGGUGGAAGACAAUGUGGAUGCUCUUGUCAGAGCCUUCACAUCAGGCGACGACGGGGUGGUCGUGGCCGCUGAUGAGGGCGGCGUGGUGAAUGGCCCGGACGCCGCUGAUGGCCACGCAGGCAGCGACGGCGAGGCCAGCGACGGUAGCAACGGCUCGGGGGGUGCUCCGGAGGGUGCAUUGGGGGAUUUGUCCGACUGAUCAUGUGCUAUCCUUGUUUCCUUUUCCUGCAUGAAUAGAACUCAGGCUUGGGCCCGAUGGUGGUGAGAGCAUUUUGGGGAGGGGGAGCCCCUCGUGUAAAAUCUGUGUUAAUCAUAAUAGUAGCAGCUAUACUGCGUGCAUGCCUGCGCCUGAUGUUUGGUUUGUUUACCUUCCUUCCGCGCGAGCCCCGAGGUGGCCUGCGGGAGGUCGUGAUGGCCCUGGUGCUCCCUAGUUGAGUCUUUAGGAUGUGCGAGUGUCGCCGGCGGGGAACUUCACAGGCGUUCGCCUUCUUCACAGGCUCCGGGCCUUUUCCUUAACGUGACAGCUUCACAGGCAUUCGCCUUCUUCACAGGCUCUGGGCCUUUUCCUUAACGCGAGAGCUUCACAGGCAUUCGCCUUCUUCACAGGCUCUGGGCCUUUUCCUUAACGCGAGAGCUUCACAGGCAUUCGCCUUCUUCACAGGCUCUGGGCCUUUUCCUUAACGCGACAGCUUCACAGGCAUUCGCCUUCUUCACAGGCUCUGGGCCUUUUCCUUAACGUGAGAGCUUCACAGGCAUUCGCCUUCUUCACAGGCUCCGGGCCUUUUCCUUAACGCGACAGCUUCACAGGCAUUCGCCUUCUUCACAGGCUCUGGGCCUUUUCCUUAACGCGAGAGCUUCACAGGCAUUCGCCUUCUUCACAGGCUCUAGUCCUUUUCCUUAACGCGAGAACUUCACAUGCAUUCGCCUUCUUCACAGGCUCUGGGCCUUUUCCUCAACACGAGAGCUUCACAGGCAUUCGCCUUCUUCACAGGCUCUGGGCCUUUUCCUUAACGCAAGAGCUUCACAGGCAUUCGCCUUCUUCACAGGCUCCGGGCCUUUUUACGAGGAGACAAGCUCCGCAAGCACCAGAGGUCACCUCGCGAGGGAGCGAAAAAGGCAGUCUGGGCCGUGCUCGAGCUUGGCCUGGCCCGGCUCGCGAGGGGCUCGUGAGGGGCUCGCAAGGGGAGGCAGCCAUGGUGAGGCGGUGACCAGAACGCGAGAGACGAUUCAAAUAAGACCGAGCAGCCCUCCCCGAACACACGCAAAGCUCAAAUUUAAAUCCAACUUAAAUCCAGCGGGGGAAAAGGUUACAACCAGGGAAAAGAGGCAAGGAAGGCAAAUGAAAAGGCCGCGUCCGGCACCUAGUCUAGUCUUCGACGUCUUCUCACCAUCGCGGAGCUAAGUGCUGUCCACUGGGCGUGGGAGGGAGCCCCAGGGCCUGAGGCCGGCACCCCUGAGACUCCGGGGCGUGUACAGCCCCACUCAUUAUUACAUGAGAGUGUCACGGGGCGGCGAGCUUCACAGGCACUGGGCCUUCUUCACAGGGACCGGCCUUGCUUCAUAUCGCCAUACGAGGGCCCCGCCUUGCGCCACACUCUAGUGCCACCAACGACGACCGGAAACCAGGACGCCGCCGGUGGGGUAGAGUGGUCGCCAACGGUUCCCCCGACGACCACGGGUCCUCCGCCAGGGGUAGGCCCUCGGGCUCCUCCCCAGCAGAGGGCCUACCUUCUAAAUACGCCUUGCUCCGAACUCCGCGGUGGUGAUGUAGGAUCCCUGCCCCUCUCCUGCUGCCCCCUGCGCCCUCCUCCCGAGGGGUGGGGGGCCACGGGAGCAAGGCAGUUGCUCGCUGCGGCGACCUGCACCUCCUGUGACCCAUGAUUAGCGUAUAUCUGCUCUUGAGGAAUUAACGGUACCCGAUAGCCGCUGCGCCUUGUGUAGCCGAUGGAGCCGUCCUGGGGCUCCUGGAAGGGCUCGACCUCUGGUGUUUCGUCUCCCCAGCUGGGGAUGAAGAGUGAACCUUGCUCGCCCUCGUGAGCGUGUCCUUGAUCCAUCGUGUGGGGUACGUAUUCUUCUGGCGCCGCCACCCCGAAUGUCGUGCUGUAGCGCUCUAGGCGCCACGUGAUGUUGCUUGUCGUGCUCACCGCGGGGUGGUGGCGCGGUUGCCCGCUAGUGCCACGGGUCGCUCCGGGCCCCUCUUCUUCGCGCGCCGGGGGCGGGGGUAGCACCGCCGCCAAUCUGGCGCCGGUGGAUUUGCCGGGGCUGGGGUAGUCUUGAGGCCCGCGGGGGUGCGUGAGGUCCCCUCGUGCGCCGCCCUGAGCUUGAGGCGGAAGCUGGACGCAGAAGGGAUGAGCCCCCGAGGCGGCAAAGCCCAGGAGUUCGGCGACCCGCUCCAGUAGCACAUCGCGGCCGCUCUCCAGUAGCCUGCACUACAGCAGGUCCCGCGCUACUGUGAGCGCGGCCCUUGAGUUCGCCUGCUCUCGGCGGGUGUACGGUGUCGUGGUUGCGGCGUGAUUGGAGGCCCUCGCCGCCGACCGCGCCUGCCACUGUGUGAGGGUCGCAGGAGCUUGCCCGCAUCGCCCGCGGCCCGCAGCACCCUGCGGACCGCGAGCUGCCUGUGGCACAGAGUCGCCCGGAGCGGAAGGUUCCGCGCAGAUGGGCCAUGCCGCCCAUGGGCCUUGGUUGCCCGUCUGGUCGCCGGACAUGGUGACGAGGACGCGACGGGAGGCGAGACGAUAGGUGGGAGCAGAUUCCGGCACACCCCUACCUGGCGCGCCAAAUGUCGGAUCUCGGGUUCCGGCAGACCCUUAAGGUUCGAACUCUGGGGUGCGCGCGGAGAUCGUGCCCUCUACCUCUCCGUCUCGAAAGGAUCUAAACUACCCAAAGAACAGCACACGAGACUCAAGGGUUUAUACUGGUUUAGGCCACCAUUGUGGUGUAAUACCCUACUCUAGUUUGUGGUGUGGUGGAUUGCCUCUUGGGCUAAUGGUGAUGAACAAUACACGGAAGAACAGCCUCUCGUGAGGGUCUGCUCUUGGCUGGUGCGACAAACUGCUAAGAGGGGUUCGGUCGCCCUAACUACUGGUGUCUUGAUGAUGGAUCGCUUCUCGAUGCCUCUCCCUGUGGGUGGCUAGUCCUACUUAUAGGCAAAGGCCCUGGGCCUCUUCCCAAAUAUUGAGCGGGAAGGGUGCCAACAAUUGGCCAAUUUAAAGGGGAACAUCUGGUACACUUAUCCUGACUAAAGUUGGUCUUCGCCUGCCAAAGGCUCGGUGGUGACGACGUCCUGGGCUCCACGGUGACCUCCUUCCCACCGUUGGACUGGUCUUGGUCUCGUUGCACCGAAAUGGAUGCCUUUGCUUGAUCCUCUCGCCUGCGCUUGCCCCCUUUGCACCAAAGAGGAAAGGGGUGGUACACUGUGCGCCUGGUGCCCGCCCGGCACCCUUGGUCGUCAUGGCUUGCGUCACGGGUACCUCGUGAGGUACCCCGCCUUGAUCUCUCCGCCUCCUCGCGAGCCAGCCUGAGGAGGCUGGGCUUGAGAAGGUGCCGUGUCGUCCGCCUCGCGACCCCUCACGAAGGUCUUGAGUCUUGCGCUGAUGAAGAUGGGCCACGCUGGGCCCCCGUUGAGCCACGCCGCAGGCCGCAGGCAGGCAAGUCUGGGGACCCCCGUUCCCAGAACGCCGACAUAUUGACCGACGAUCUAGUCAACUUGAGGCUUACUAGGGACAUGGUGUUGUCUAUGUAUCCACACAUGUAUCUGAGUUUCCUAUCAAUACAAUUAUAGCAUGGAUAAUGAAUGAUUAUCAUGAACACGGAAAUAUAAUAAUAAUAACUAAUUUAUUAUUGCCUCUAGGGCAUAUUUCCAACAGAUAGAGACACAGUUCAACUCAUAUAUUUUUAAGACACAGCAGCAUAGACAGAAUAUAAGUGUGAGAAACUACAUAGCAUUGGCAACACUUGUAAUGUGCAUCACAUGAGAACAUAACUGUUUAUACAACUUAAAAUGAAAUCAACAUAGAGCAAGAAGUUAGAACAACAAUCCAGUUGGAGAAAUAGGUUUAAAACAUACCUGUUGCGCCAUUGGAGUUUCAAUUGGAUCCUUCAAAUUCGAAAGUAGUUAGUAUGAGUAAAUAUAGUGAUGCAACAGCAAAGGAGUAUGGACCAUAGCUACGGAGUCUGACCUGAGAACAGUUGCUCUUCUGCUUUAAACGUGGAGUUUGGGUUAGCUGUAGUGGUCUUCGUGCUUUGGGCACUGCAGUAGCUUUACAAACUGCUCGUGUGGGGGUACUCUAUGGUGGACAUGGUGCUUUGUCAACUAGAAGUGGGUUACUAUCCGCUAGGGUUGCGGUUAGAUGGGUUGUAGCUGGUUCUCUGACCAACGGUGUAAGUGUGCAAUCUGGAAGAGUCUUGAUUAUGUGUUGUGGGUCUAGUUUGUGGGCCAGUACAACCAUGGUUCUAUCUGCAUCGACGGGUAGCACUGUCUUUUGUGAAGAACGGGUUUUUGCUCCCUUAGAUACUGCCAUCACCCCCUCCAAUUCAAAUGGCUGAUAAACAAGAAAAGAAAUUGAACGUACAGACAUUGUAUGAUAGACAGAUGUGGUAAUUCACAUAUAUGUUGUCUAACCAAACAGGACAGCAUGACACAAUUUCACAUAUAUGAUGCCUAACUAAACAGGAUAGCAUGACACAGUUUCAGAUAUAUGAUGGAUAACUUAAUAGGAUAUAAUGGCAUAAUUCGACAUAUGAUGAGUACCUAAACAGGAUGACAUGACAAAACUAUAUGAUGUCUUUCUAAAAUAGGUUGGGAUGAAAUAAUCCACAUACAUGUUGUCUAAGUAUACAGGAUGGCAUGAUAUAAUUGACAUAAUUGAUUCAUAUACUAAGCAGCUGGCACUCGCAUGUAUGAUCUCGAAACUAAGAAGAUGGAAUUCAAUAUUGUGCAUAUGAUGUCUAAACUAAGCAAUGCAAGACACCAUAUGCAUCAUAUGAGAAAUAUAAACAUUGCAACUUAGAUCAUACACCUCAGGUGGGAUAUAGGACUGGUCAUCUAUCUCUGAAUCCUCCUCUGAGGAGCUCCCUAUAACCAUCAAUAUAUAUGCUUCAAUAGGUACCAUUGCCUGCUCUGAGGACCUUGUUUUCACUCCAGAUUUUUUCCAUAACCGGCUCAAAUGGCUGAUACACAUGAAGAGUAGUUCAAUAUACAGAUUGUCGACAAAUGGAAUAUGUAAUGAAAAAAAGAUGGCAUGAGAUAAUUCACAUAUAUGAUGCCUGGCUCCAUGGCGGUGCAUAAUUCACAUAUAUGAUAACUGGAUGAAAAACAUGGCAUUGCAUAAUUCACAUAUCUAAUAUAGAAAGCAAACAGGAGGCAUUCACACAAAGCAUGUCUAAUCUAAGCAGAUGGCAUGGCAAUGCAAGACACCAUAUGCAUGAUAUGAGAAAUAUAACCCAGCCAAGUUAGAGCAUGCACCUCGGGGGGGGGGAUAUGACUGUUCAUCUGUCUCUGAAUUCUCCUUUGAGGAGCUAUCUGUAACCAACAAGAAAUCUGCAUCCAUAGGUAGCACUGACUGCUCAGAAGACCUUGUUUUCACUCCAGAUUUUCCCAUGACCGACUCAAAUGGCUGAUGCACAGGAAGAGUAGAUGAAUGUAUAAACAUUGUUGACAAAUGGAAUACAUUAUGGAAAAAAAUAUGGCACGAUACAAUUCACAUAUACGAUGACUGGCUAAACAGGAUGGCAUUGCAUGAUUCACGUAUAUGAUGCCUGGCUAAAGAAGAUGGCAUUGCAUAAUUCCCAUAUACUCCCUCUGUUCCUAAAUAUUUGUCUUUUUAGAGAUUUCAAAUGGACUACCACAUACGGACGUAUAUAGACAUAUUUUAGAGUGUAGAUUCACUCAUUUUUCUCCGUAUGUAGUCACUUGUUGAAAUCUCUAAAAAGACAAAUAUUUAGGAAUGGUGGGAGUAUGAUAUAGAAACCAAACAGGUGGCAUUCACACAAAGCAAAUCUAAACUAAGCUGAUGACAUAUAAGAUGUAUAAUGUAAGCAAUGCAAGGCGCCAUAUGCAUGAUAUGACCAACAUCAGCAUGCCAGGUUAGAGCAAACACCUCAGGUGGUAAACAGGCGUGGUCGGCUCCUUCUGAAUCCCCAUCUGAACAGUUAUCUUCCUCUGGAAUACAAUCUGUAAAUGCAGGAGGGGGCCCAUUUCGCCCACCAUGGAGCGACGUCUGCAUGACAUUAUAUUCCCACGCAACGGUCUUCUCUUUUUCUCUACAUGUUCAGUACGAUUGUGUACAAUAUCUGACAUGCAUAAUAAAAAAAUAGCUAGAUUUUGUAAGGCCUAAGGGGUGCAUGCAAAAAAUCAAGACUGAUGGUAGCAAACGAGUGGAUGGAUCCAAAACUAAUGAUAGCAGGUAGAUUAUAGCUUCAGUUUAAAAAGAUAGACAGGGUAUCAUCUAUUGUUUGUUGCCCACCCAACAUGAACCACAUAGAAGACCCUAGAUGAACCAGAUAGUAGACAGAUACUAUUCGUUGCUGGCUCGAUAUGAGACCCAUGGGCAUUUCAAAACUCAAGUUUGAACAAUAAAGUAGCAGGUAAUAAUAACCGAUGUAUAACGUAAGCAAACACGAAAGACUGUGACCUCUCUUCCGGAACUGUGUAGUCCUCAGGUUCAUCUGCUCAGUUGAUGAUGGUAAUGCAGUUGGUGUGGCUGCCGGCAACGGGGAAAAUGAUCUGAGGCGGCAAAAGAAAGUCUGCAGGGGGGAUCUCUGCUGCAGUGAACGCUUCUGCUGAUGGUGCACCUCAGGUGGGGUGGAUGACGGCACGGCAGGAGCAGGACAUAACACACAGAGUUUUCUUUGACGCCUAUCUGAAAAUGAAGUAAAUUUGUAAGGGCUCCUUAGAAUUGGAGGAUUCAAUAAACGCAGGGACAGGAAAAACACAGGAAUAGGAUAGGAAUGCACGUGCAAAACAGAGCAUUUGGAAACAUAGGAUUUCAGUCAACCUGGGUGUUUGGUUCACAUGAAUUGGAAGAACACAGGAAUGGAGAAACAAGGUCAAAUUAAAGUCAAACCACGUGAAAAUGAAGAAAUAAGAAUCUUAUUAUGCCAGUAAUGCAAUUAGUUCUGUUCUUCAUGCAUAUUAAUUUGAAAAGGACGUCCAAGUGAAUAAAAUUCCUAUGGUUUUUCUUCGAAAGAGACACCAAAGGAAAAAAAUCCUCCAGUUUUUCUUUGCCCCACUCCUUCUAACAAAUUUGCACGAAUAGUAGUUCCAUAGCAAAGGAUCCCUAAGGGAUCAACAUGAAUGCAGAGUAACAAAGUGAUGCGACGAGUGUACAACCUCUUUGACAUAGACUUGUGGACCUCAGCAUCAUUGGGUUGGACGUGGAGGAUGGUGAUGAUGCUGGUGUGACUGUCGGAGGCGGGGAAGAAGAUCCGAGGCCACUGGAAAUGGCGUCGAGGGUACUGCUCCGCUGUGAUGGACGGUUCCGUCGUUGGAGCAGCUCCGGUAAGGUGUACGGCGAUGAGGCUGAAGCAGGACAAGACAGACAACGUUAAUCUGAAGUGGGACCCUAAUAUCAUCUGCAAUAGAUGAUGUAAAAUACAUCACCAAAUAGUGCUAGAUGUAAAACGCAUCAGCCGCGCCACGGACGCUCCGACAGAUGUUGUAAGUACUGUUCACUCUGAACUUAACUGAAGAAAAUGAACUUUACAGUCUAAACUGAAUUUUACUGUCGAAACUGAUUGAACUAGUAGCAGACCAUCGCAAUAGAUGUUUAGGGCAUUCGAGCACUAGUAGCAGAGAAGCGGUGAUCUAAAUCAGCAGACGCUCGAGUAGGGAAUGCACUAGCAGAGAGCAAGUCAUGCAGUAGCACCGCGAGCGAGUGCUAAAGAAGCAACUCAUGUAGCUGCCGGAGGUCAUGCAGCAGCAGCAGCGCAAGCGAGAGCAAGAGCAGAGCAGCAGCACGAACGAAAGCAAGAGCAGUGCAGCAGCAGGACCGACAGCAAGAACAGAGCCGCGGUGCAAGCGAGAGCCGGAGCAGCUGCAGCUAGUGCCGUUGUGGAAGUCGCCGCCGAGGAAGCAACAACAUGGGGGAGAGACGCUGUGGAUGAUGUGGCCGGCGACGGCGCCGUCGAUGGAGACCUGCCAUGUCUGCUCGGUAUCGAGCACCGGCAGCCCCGUGAGAUCGAAUAAAAUAUAAAAUGCAGCGGUGAGUGCAGAACCUCCUUGGUGGCGCCGAGUUGGCCUCGGCUUCAUCGGAGAAUUGGUGAGGGUGCUGCGGUUCCGGUGGGGCAGCUUAAGACGGCGUUGUGGGGAUUGAGGUGGUGUGAUAGACGAAGCGAACAUCAGGGCAGCUCCUUGGAGGUGGAGGACGGGCCGGCUGAUCUGGAGGGACGAUGAGAUUGACAACGGAUCCUCAUCCGGUGCAAUGGAUGAGGGACGGUAAGCUGUUGCGGUGGACGACGUAGUCGGGGAAGAGUCUCCGGCUGGGCGGCGGUCGGGAGGCCGACGGAGGAGCGUGGGGUUUUGCAGGUUUUGGUGGCCUCAGUGUACGAAUGGGGGUGCGAAUGGGGAGGGGGAGCCAAGCUUAGGGACGCGCUUGUCCGAAAUGUAGGGUAUGUUACCAGCGUACCCCCAUCGGUUUUGACACCGCAACGUGGAGCUUCAUUUCCAGAUGAGGGGUACAAGGGGGAUUUCGCGUGUCUGGGCUGCAGGACCGAUUUCGGAUGAGGAGGGAGUUCUAGCGCGUCGAAAUUUUGAGAUAACAAGGCGCGGCGUGGGUUGAAGAGGCGGGAGUUUCAAAGCAGGUGAGACAAAAGAUACUCGAACUUGAAAAUUUCGGGAUAACAAGGUGCGGAUUCCUUGUUCGGCAGAACAAACUUAACAUGUAAAAAAAACAAUUCAUACAAGACAUAAGAGAGUCAUGUCCCCUUUUACUGUAUUGCUAUAGAUGCCAUUGAAAAAACUACAAAAAAAUAUUAAAAAAUCGGGAGAACAACAUUACCCUGCACAGUACCAAAUCAAUUCGCACUUCCUUCAACAACAACAAAAAACAAAUCAAUUCCCACCAAAAGAAAGAGUAAUGUCCCUUUUUAUAUAAUCACAAAUGCCAGGAUCUCGAAUUUCAAUUUUUGAAUCCACGUUAUGUUGAAUUCGAAUAUAUCAUUAGGUGACCUUGCGGUUUAUAAUUGAUGUAGUUGUACAUUUGAUCUUCCAUCAUAUAUGAACAUUUUACUCCACCAUGUGAACAUAUAUAUUGUCGUCUACCAUAUGGACUAAAUUUGAAUCAAUUUUCCUUAUUUGAAUACGAUUUUUGUCAAGUUAUACAAUAAUUUAAAUAUUAUCUUGAUAACAAAAAACAUGCAUAUAGCAUAAUCCUAUUUCACUAUGAACUACAUGUACCAUACGCUCUCCAAUUCAAAUAUUUGUAUCCAUUUUAUGUUGAAUUCAAAUCAUAGUACAUUAUUGGUCUAGGUAGCGAGAUGUUCGGGAUAAUCUAAACCCUGUUUUCAUAUGUAUAAUUUUUGGCUGAAUUGGGACGAGUUUUGGUAUAAGCUUCUUGCAAAACCGGAGAUUCUCUCAACAAGCCUCGUGGUUCCGAGAGGGAACGUGUCACCUUUGUGUGUGAAACGAUAUACGUUGCCUCCCCCUGAUUUUCUUUACAGAGGCAACAUAGAACUAUAUGAGUGCCCUGUUAAAUUUUGGAAUUAUUUCGGGUUCGUUUGGCCUUUUAUACACUAAUUGAGUUUCUGGACUUUUAAUGUGCAUAAUCUAAAUAUGAACUGCAUGCACAUGCUCCGGUGCACCAAAGUUGGUUGAAAAAUCACAUGUGUGUCCUUGGUUGAACUUCUAGAUCCCAUGGAAGAAAUGAGAAUGAAAAUCAAACAUCUGGGUGUCGUGACUCGGCCGAGAACAUUGAGAAACUUAGAUUUUAAAUUCAUGUAAAUCCAAAACUCGCCUGGAAAUCAUGAAACUUGGCAUGGUGUCAUGUCAUGGCACUAACAUGUUGUGGUAAAAAAAUUGGGCCGAAUUGGAAGCUCAUGGUUCUAAGAGGGAACAUGCCACCUUGAGUGUGAAACGAUAUAUGAUGCCCCCCCUUGAGUUUCUUAACAAAGGCAACAUAGAACUACAUGAGUGCCCUGUUAAAUUUUGGAAUUAUUCUGGGUUCGUUUGUCGGUUUUAUACAUUAAUUGAGUUUAUGGUAACUUAAUGUGCAUAAGUCAAAUUUGAACUACAAGCAAAUGCUCUCGUGCACCAAAGUUGGUUGAAAAAUCACAUUUGUGUCCUCGGGUGACUUUCUAGGUCCCAUGCAAGAAAUGAGAAUAAAAUUCAAACAUCUGGGCAUCGUGGCUCGGCCGAGAACAUUGAGAAACUUGGUUUUAAAAUUCUUGUAAAUACAAAACACGUCUGAAAAUCAUUAAACUUGGCAUGGGGUGUCAUGUCAUGGUACUACCAUGCUGUGGUAAAAAAAUUGGCUAAAUAGGAACAGAUUUUGGUAUAAGCUUCUUGCAAAUCGAAGCUUCUCUCAAGAAGGCUCGUGGUUCUGAGAGGGAACAUGCCACCUUUGAGUGCGAAACGAUAUACGUUGUCCCCCUUGAGUUUAUUUACAAAGGCAACAUAGAACUACAUGAGUGCCCUGUUAAAUUUUGGAAUUAUUCCGGCUUCGUUUGGCCUUAUUUACACAUAAAUUGAGUUUUUGGUCAUUUAAUGUGCAUAAUUCAAAUUUGAACUACAAGCACAGGCUCCCGUGCACUAAAGUUGGUUGAAAAAUCACAUUUGUGUCCUCGGGUAAAUUUCUAGGUCCCAUGUAAAAAAUGAGAAUAAAAUUCAAACAUCUGGGCAUCGUGGCUAGGUCGAGAACAUUGAGAAACUUGGUUUUAAAAUCAUGAAACUUGGCAUGGUGUCAUGUCAUGGUAGUACCAUGCCGUGGUAAAAAAAAUUGGCCGAAUAGGAACAAAUUUUGGUAUAAGCACAUGUUCUUGCAAAUCGGAGCUUCUCUCAAGAAGGCUCGUGGUUUUGGGAGGGAACGUGUCACCUUUGUGUGCAUAAUUCAAAUUUGAAAUACAAGCACAUGUUCCAGUGCACCAAAGUUGGUUGAAAAAUCACAUGUGUGUCCUCGAGUAAAUUUCUAGGUUCCAUGCAAGAAAUGGGAAUGAAAUUCAAAAUUCUGGGCGUCGUGGCUAGGCUGGAAACAAUGAGAAACUUAGUUUUUUAAUUCCUGUAAAUCCAAAACACGCAUGAAAAUAAUGAAACUUGGCUUGGUGCCAUUGUCGGUGUCAAAACCGGCGGAUCUCGAGUAGGGGGUCCCGAACUGUGUGUCUAAGGCUAAUGGUAAUAGGAGGCUGGGGACACGAUGUUUAACCAGGUUCGGGCCCUCUCGAUUGAGGUAAUACCCUACUUCCUUCUUGCUUGAUCUUGAUGAUAUGAGUAUUACAAGAGUUGAUCUACCACGAGAUCAGAGAGGCUCAACCCUAGAAGCUAGCCUAUGGUAUGAUUGUUGUUGUGUCCUACGGACUAAACCCUCCGGUUUAUAUAGACACCGGAGGGGGCUAGGGUUACACAGAGUCAGUUUACAGAGGAGGAGAUCUACAUCCGAAUCUCCAAGCUUGCCUUCCACGCCAAGGAGAGUCUCAUCCGGACACGGGACGAAGUCUUGAAUCUUGUAUCUUCAUAGUCCAACAGUCCGGCCAAAGUAUAUAGUCCGGCUGUCCAGAUACCCCCUUAUCCAGGACUCCCUCAGUAGCCCCUGAACCAGGCUUCAAUGAUGAUGAGUCCGGCGCGUAGAUUGUCUUCGGCAUUGCGAGGCGGGUUCCAUCUCUGAAUACUCCAAGGUAAAUUCCGAACACAAGGACCGUGUCCGGCUCUGCAAGAUAAAUUCCAUAUACCACCAUAGAGAGAAUAAUAAUCCACGAAUCUAAUCUUCUGACAACUCUUCGAAAAGUGACAUCACGCCACGGUCCGGUUUUUAUUCAAACCGUUUUUACAACUUGCUAUCGCACACAUUACGAGGCGGUUUUCUUGGCACGUCUUGUCAAAGCGGAGAUCGUGUCCCCCUUACUACGGGAUCCUCAUCAAUACGGGUAUGGGUAAUCCAACCGUGCCCGUUGGCAUGAUUCUGUGUUUUUAGGAAAGUCCCGAACGACCACGUUUGGGGACGCUUGAUAUUCUUCCCCCCUUAUAAAGGAGUCGAGGCCUAUCCCUCUAUCUCCACGCUCGCGCAUCCCGCCCCCUGAGUUCCAACACCCAAAGCUCGAGUUGAAGCACCCUGGUUCUUUGAUCAUGUCUGGAUCCGACCAUCAAGGCCAGUGGAUGGCUUCCUCUGUUACAGAGGAGGAUAUUGUGAAGCUCAGGGAGGCCGGGUAUUUGACCGCCGAUGUCAAGCACAUGCUUCCUCCUCCCGAACAGGUUAUCCCCACUCCCGAGCCCAAUAAGAGUGUCGUAUUUGUCUCCCACUUCCUCCGGGGCUUGGGUCUUACUCUUGACCCCUUCGUGAGGGGGAUCAUGUUCUACUACCGGCUAGAUUUCCAUGAUCUAGCUCCGGAUUCCAACCUCCACAUCUCGUCGUUUAUCAUCGUGUGUGAAGCCUUCCUCCACAUUACCCCCCACUUCGGCUUAUGGCUCAAGACUUUCAAUGUGAAGCCAAAGAUGAUCGUGGGGCGACAUGCAGAGUGCGGAGGCGCCAUAAUAAGCAGGAACAUUGAUGCCCCGUGGCCCGAAGGCUCCUUCCCGGAGGUAUCUGAUUUAUGGCAACGGAGGUGGUUCUAUGUCACAGCUCCUCGAGCCUCAAAGUGGGCGGUCGCGCCCGCCUUCCUCCCGGGCCCUCCACCUCAACUGGCAUCGUGGGCCAACGUGGGACUUAACUGGGGGCCUGCGAACGAUGUACCAAUACUACAAAGCUACAUUCGGGAGCUGCUCGAGAGGGACAUUAGUCUUGUUAAGAUAAUCCAGGUAAUGCUAGUUCAGCGGGCCCUACCGUGCAAACAUUGGCCUCUCCGGGUGUGGGAGUUCAAUCAAGAAGGCCCGCGAACCAUUCAGCACUUCUUCGGCAUGACGCCCGAAGGGAUGUAUAAGUUGUUCUUCAGACCACGAAUGAAGUGUCCGGACACCACUGAGGAUGCGGUCCUGAGCUGCAAUCACCUAGAUACCCAAGUAAGUAACCCUAUAACCGAACACUUUGCUUAUAUUCAUAGCAUUGUUCUGAAUAUUGUCCGCAACCAGGAUUGGCUUAGUAAGGCGGAGAGGAUCAGGUGUCCGGCCCCGCUUCCCGAAGGCUGGCCCGGUCCGGCAAUGGCUAGGAUUCUUAAACGGACGCUAAGUAAAGUGCCACCGGAGAAGGAUGAAGGGAAGAGUGGGGAGGCCAAGAGUGGGCCUCACACAUUGUGCAUCCAAACCGGGGGAAUUAAUGUCUCCACAGAGGAGGAGAACUGGGGAGGCAAAUCUAAGGUUUCCUCCCCCCACAGGAAGAAUAGGACCGCUUCCGAAGACUUGGAAAUGGGGCCGCCCAAACAAGGGAAGAAAACUUCACCAAAGAGCCCUACCCCGAAGGGCGUUCUUACCGCCCCGUGCCCGAUAACGGGCCAUCCCUCCACCGAGCUGUAAGUUUAAUAAACAAAAAUCUUAUUGCUUUUUCCUCAGAGAGUAAUAAUCAGGACCUGUUUUUUUGUAGUCCGGCUAGCAGUUCAUCUCAACAGGAUUCGUCCUCGGGGGAUCUUCUUCCGGAGAUGAUGGAGAGUGAAACCCCACCUACCUCUCCGCCCCGUGAGGCGGGCGACCCUGAGGUAUCGUCACGGAGGAGUCCAGAUCCAAUGGGGCCGGAAGCUAACACUUCGGCUGCCCCGAGCCCAGCGUGUUCGGCUCCUGUGGCGGACAAUGAAAAGGGUCCGGAAGAGUCUGGUGCCCGGCCGAACAUACUGAUGGGCCUCCUAGAGUCAGCCGCUCUCUCGGAGGAUCACCUUACACUAAUGGGUACGGUGUUGGAGAAAAUUUCCUCCUCCACAAGCGGGUUAAAUGAAGCUUUUAGGAGCUUGCUCAAAGGUUUUGAGGUAAGCAGCAAAAUACGCCGUUUUUGGUUGCACAGCAUGCGAUAGAUGUGCUCUGUAUAGAUAAUAGCCCCUGAGACUUUGGUUGCCAGUCGAUGGCGGCGAACGGAGGAUCACAAUACCAGGUAAUCAUCGCACUUGUGUUGAUGUGCAGGUUGCUGAGGGUACGGCGACAGACCGGAAUGCUGAGCUGGUCGAACUAAGGCGACAAAUUGAUGUUGUGGAUCCUGACGUCACGCUUAUAAAUAAGCGGAUUGACGAGUCACAAAGUAUGUGCUCAUUUUCCUUAUUUGCUUUAAGAGAUUGUAAGGAGUUUGUAAUAGAAAUAUGAUACGAUGUGGCUGCUGCUACGUCUUGAGCUUGCGUUGGUUUUCCCUGAAGAGGAGAGGAUGAUGCAGCAUAGUAGCGUAAGUAUUUCCCUCAAUUUUUGAGAACCAAGGUAUCAAUCCAGUAGGAGGCCACGCACAAGUCCCUCGUACCUGCAUAAAACGAUAUCUACUCGCAACCAACGCGAUUAGGGGUUGUCAAUCCCUUCACGGUCACUUACGAGAGUGAGAUCUGAUAGAGAUAAUAUUUUUGGUAUUUUGGUAUAUAGAUGCAAAGUGAAAAGUAAAAAAGCAAAGUAAAAACAAAGCAAGUAUGAAAGUGAUGGAGAUUGAUAUGAUGAGAAUAGACCCGGGGGCCAUAGGUUUCACUAGUGGCUUCUCUCAAGAGCAUAAAUAUUCUACGGUGGGUGAACAAAUUACUGUUGAGCAAUUGACAGAAUCGAGCAUAGUUAUGAGUAUAUCUAGGUAUGAUCAUGUAUAUAGGCAUCACGUCCGAGACAAGUGGACCGAAACGAUUCUGCAUUUACUACUAUUACUCCACUCAUCGACCGCUAUCCAGCAUGCAUCUAGAGUAUUAAGUUAAAAACAGAGUAACGCCUUAAGCAAGAUGACAUGAUGUAGAGGAAUAAAUUCAUGCAAUAUGAUAAAUACCCCAUCUUAUUAUCCUCGAUGGCAAAAAUACAAUACGUGCCUUGCAACCCUUUCUCUCACUGGGUAAGAACACCGCAAGAUUGAACCCAAAGCCAUGCACUUCUCCCAUUGCAAGAACUACCAAUCUAGUUGGCCAAACCAAACGGAUAAUUCAAAGAGAAUUGCAAAGAUAACUCAAGCAUACAUAAAAGAAUUCAGAGAAGAUUCAAAUAUUGUUCAUAGAUAAGCUGGAUCAUAAACCCACAAUUCAUCGGUCUCAACAAACACACCACAAAAAUAAGAUUACAUCGAAUAGAUCUCCACGAGAGAGGGGGGGAACAUUGUAUUGAGAUCCAAAAAGAGAGAAGAAGCCAUCUAGCUACUAGCUAUGGACCCGAAGGUCUGAAGUAAACUACUCACACUUCAUCGGAGAGGCUAUGGUGUUGAUGUAGAAGCCCUCCGUGGUGGAUGCCCCCUCUGGCGGAGCUCCGGAACAGGCCCCAAGAUGGGAUCUCGUGGAUACAGGAAGUUGCGGCGGUGGAAUUAGGUUUUUGGCUCCUGUUCUAAUCGUUUGGGGGUACGUAGGUAUAUAUAGGAGGAAGGAGUACAUCGGUGGAGCAACAGGAGUAGGCAUUGCCAUGCAAUGGAUGCACUAGAGCUAUGAAUGCUCAACAAAAAGAAAACUAGUGGGUGUGCAUCCAACUUGCUUGCUCAUGAAGACCUAGGGCAUUUGAGGAAGCCCAUCGUAGGAAUAUACAAGCCAAGUUCUAUAAUGAAAAAUUCCCACUAGUAUGAAAAAGACAACUUAUGAGACUCACUAUAUAAAAAACAAGGUGCUACUUUGAAGCACAAAAUAUGAGACUUACUACAUGAAGAACAAGGUGCUACUUUGAAGCACAAGUGUGGAAAAAGAUAUAGUAGCAUUGCCCUUUUUAUUUAUUUUCUUUUUUUUGGGCCAUUCUUUUUUCUUUUUGUCCUUUCUCUUUUUUUGGGCAAUGCUCUAAUAAUGAUGAUCAUCACACUUCUAUUGAUUACAACAUAAGGAUUACAAAUCGAAACUAGAACAAGAUAUGACUCUAUAUGAAUGCCUCCGGCGGUGUACCGGGAUGGUGCAAUGAAUCAAGAGUGACAUGUAUGAAAAAUAAUGCAUGGUGGCUUUGCCACAAAUACGAUGUCAACUACAUGAUCAUGCAAUGGCAAUAUGACAAAAGUAAAGUAUGUCAUGAUGAUGAUGGACGGAACGGUGGAGAGUUGCAUGGCAAUAUAUCUCGGAAUGGCUAUGGAAAUGCCAUAAUAGGUAGGUAUGGUGGCUAUUUUGAGGAAGAUAUAAGGAGGUUUAUGUGUGAUAGAGCGUAUCAUAUCACGGGGUUUGGAUGCACCGGCGAAGUUUGCACCAACUCUCAAGGUGAGAAAGGGAAAUGCACGGUACUGAAGAGGCUAGCAAAGGCGGAAAGGUAAAAGUGCGUAUAAUCCAUGGACUCAACAUUAGUCAAAAGAACUCAUAUACUUAUUGCAAAAUUUUAGAAUUCAUCAAAAAUCAAGUACUACAUGCAUGCUCCUAGGGGGAUAGAUUGGUAGGAAAAGACCAUCGCUCGUCCCCGACCGCCACUCAUAAGAAUGCACAAGCCAGGUACAAUUCAUGUUUCAAAAUUGUUACAUAACUUUAACCAUACGUGCAUGCUACGGGAUUUUCUAACUUCAACACAAGCAUUUCUCAAAUUCACAACUACUCAACUAGCACGACUUUGAUAUUAUCACCUCCAUAUCUCAAAACAAUUAUCAAGCAUCAAACUUAUCUUAGUAUUCAACGCACUCAAAAGAAAGUUUCACAUAUCUUGAAUACCAAGUAUAUUAUCAUUAAGCAAAUUACCAUGCUAUUAACGACUCUCAAAAUAAUCUAAGUGAAGCAUGAGAGAUCAAUAGUUUCUUUUAAACAAAUCCACCACAGUGCUCUAAAAGAUCUAAGUGAAGUACUAGAGCAAAAAUUAUCACGCUCAAAAGAUAUAAGUGAAGCACUAUGAGCAAAACUAUCAAGCUCAAAAGAUAUAAGUGAAGCACAUAGAGUAUUCUAGCAAAUUCCAAUUUCUGUAUGGCUCUCUCAAAAUGUGUGUACAGAAAGGAUGACUGUGGUAAACUAACAAGCAAAGACACAAAUAAUACAAGACGCUCCAAGCAAAACACAUAUCAUGUGGUGGAUGAAUAAAAAUAUAGCUCCAAGUAAAUUACCGAUGGAAGUGGACAAAAGAGGGGAUGCCUUCCGGGGCAUCCCCAAGCUUUAACUUUUUGGUGUCCUUGGAUUAUCUCGGGGGUGCCAUGGGCAUCCCCAAGCUUAGGCUCUUGCCACUCCUUGUUCCAUAAUCCAUCAAAAGAAUUCACCCAAAACAACUUCACAACACAAAACUCAAUAGAAAUCUCGUGAGCUCCGUUAGAGAAAGAAAACAAAAUACUACUUUAAGGUACUGUAAUGAAAUCAUUCUUUAUUUAUAUUGGUGUUAAACCUACUUUAUUACAACUUCUCUAUGGAUCAUAAACUAUUUUACUAGCCAUAGAUUCAUCAAAAUAAGCAAACAACACACGCAAAACAGAAUCUGUCAAAAACAGAACAGUCUGUAGUAAUCUGUAACUAACGCAAACUUCUGGAACUCAAAAAAUUCUACCAAAAUUAGACGACCUGGAAAAUUUGUUUAUUGAUCAUCAUCAAAUGGAAUCAGUAUUUUAUCACGUUCUGGUGAUUUUUAACAAUUCGGGCACUGAGCGCAAAGUUUCUGGAAAUUACAGCAAGAUCAAAUAACUAUCAUCCAAGAAGAUCCAAUAGGUUUAACUUGGCACAAACACUAAUUAAAAGAUAAAACCACAUAUAAACAGAGGCUAGAUGGAUUACUUAUUCCUAAACAGAAGCAAAAACUAAAAACUAAAAAUAAAAUUGGGUUGCCUCCCAACAAGCGCUAUCGUUUAACGCCCCUAGCUAGGCAUAAAAACAAGGAUAGAUCUAGGUAUUGCCAUCUUUGGUAGGCAAUUCUUCAAUGAGGCAUCUAUCUUUUUCAUAUAUUUCUUUAUCUCUGGUAAUUAUCAAACUUUUAGGCAUAAGAUCGAAAAAUUCAUUUGUAGCAAAUGGUUCCUUAAUGAUAGUAAAAAGAUCGGGAUGAAUACUUAUAGAUUUAAGAUCCGCAGUUUCCUUACUAGAUGAUUCACCCUUAUUUUUAGGAACAUACAUAAGCUUGGCAAUUUUAGUGGGAGGACUAGGAGUAUUCUUUACGGAAGAAAAAGCGGUUCCCAUGGUAAUGAUACCCUCAAGUUUAUCGAUUCGAGAGGAAUCUAGAUUUAUUUUCUCAUUAACCAUAGGUUCCUUCUCCUUAAUAUUUUUCAAAGUCAUUCCUGCCUUUGAUCCAUAUUGAGUAAUUUGGAUAUGGAUCUUUUUAUCUAGAUUUUCAAUGGAUUCAAUGGUAGCAACUUUGUUUUCAAUAAUUUCAAGCCUUUCCAUAACAUGCUCAAAAGUUAACAUAGUUCCAUUAACCAAAAGAGGUGGUGAGCCAAAUAAAUCUAUUAAAGCAUUAUAAGAAUCAAAAGUAUGGCUACCCAAGAAAUUCCCUCCGGUAAUGGUAUCAAGGAUAUAUAUAUACGAAGGAUUAGCACCUACGUAAAAAUUACGAAGAAGAAUUGAAGUAGAUUGCUUCCUGGUAGAUCUAUUUUGAGCAUUGCAAAUUCUAUACCAAGCGUCUUUUAGAUUUUCUCCCUCCCUUUGCUUAAAAUUUAGAACUUCAUUCUCGGGAGAUAACGGAGAAGAUAUGAGACUAGUCAUGACGGCAAGCAAGCAAAUUAACACACGAGCAAACAAAAGGCAACAGGAAAAAGAGGAGGAGAUUGGGAAAGGGAGGGCGAAAUAAAACGGCAAGGGUGAAGUGGGGGAGAGGAAAACGAGAGGCAAAUGGCAAAUAAUGUAAUGCGAGAGAUAGGGAUUGUGAUGGGUACUUGGUAUGUUGACUUUUGCGUUGACUCCCCGGCAACGGCGCCAGAAAUCCUUCUUGCUACGUCUUGAGCUUGCGUUGGUUUUCCCUGAAGAGGAGAGGAUGAUGCAGCACAGUAGCGUAAGUAUUUCCCUCAGUUUUUGAGAACCAAGGUAUCAAUCCAGUAGGAGGCCACGCACAAGUCCCUCGUACCUGCAGAAAACGAUAGCUACUCGCAACCAACACGAUUAGGGGGUGUCAAUCCCUUCACGGUCACUUACGAGAGUGAGAUCUAGAGAUAAUAUUUUUGGUAUUUUUGGUAUAUAGAUGCAAAGUGAAAAGUAAAAAGCAAAGUAAAAACAAAGAAAGUAUGAAAGUGAUGGAGAUUGAUAUGAUGAGAAUAGACCCGGGGGCCAUAGGUUUCACUAGUGCCUUCUCUCAAGAGCAUAAAUAUUCUAUGUUGGGUGAACAAAUUACUGUUGAGAAAUUGACAGAAUUGAGCAUAGUUAUGAGUAUAUCUAGGUAUGAUAAUGUAUAUAGGCAUCACGUCCGAGACAAGUAGACCGAAACGAUUCUGCAUCUACUACUAUUACUCCACUCAUCGACCGCUAUCCAGCAUGCAUCUAGAGUAUUAAGUUAAAAACAGAGUAACACCUUAAGCAAGAUGACAUGACGUAGAGGAAUAAAUUCAUGAAAUAUGAUAAAUACCCCAUCUUGUUAUCCUCAAUGGCAAUAAUACAAUACGUGCCUUGCAACCCUUUCUGUCAGUGGGUAAGGACACCGCAAGAUUGAACCCAAAGCCAUACACUUCUCGUGUUGCAAGAACUACCAAUCUAGUUGGCCAAACCAAACGGAUAAUUCAAAGAGACUUGCAAAGAUAACUCAAUCAUACAUAAAAUAAUUCAGAGAAGAUUCAAAUAUUGUUCAUAGAUAAGUUGGAUCAUAAACCCACAAUUCAUCGAUCUCAACAAACACACAGCAAAAAGAAGAUUACAUCGAAUAUAUCUCCACGAGAGAGGGGGAGAACAUUGUAUUGAGAUCCAAAAAGAGAGAAGAAGCCAUCUAGCUACUAGCUAUGGACCCAAAGGUCUGAAGUAAACUACUCACACUUCAUCGGAGAGGCUAUGGUGUUGAUGUAGAGGCCCUCUAUGGUGGAUGCCCCCUCCCGCGGAGCUCCGGAACAGGCCCCAAGAUGGGAUCUCGUGGAUACAGGAAGUUGCGGCAGUGGAAUUAGGUUUUUGGCUCCUGUUCUUAUCGUUUGGGGGUACGUAGGUAUAUAUAUAGGAGGAAGGAGUACGUCGGUGGAGCAACACGUGCCCACGAGGCAGGGGGCGUGCCCCCCACCCUCGUGACCGCCUCUCUGGUGCCUUGGCGUAGGGUCCAAGUCUCAUGGAUCACGUUCGGUGAGAAAAUCACGUUUCCGAAGGUUUCAUUCCGUUUGGACUCCGUUUGAUAUUCUGUUUCUUCGAAACACUAAAAAAAGGCAAAAAAAUAGCAAUUCUGGGAUGGGCCUCUAGUUAAUAGGUUAGUCCCAAAAAUAAUAUAAAAGUGGAAAAUAAAUCCCAUUAUAGUCCAAAACAAUAGAUAAAGUAGCAUGGAGCAAUACAAAAUUAUAGAUACGUUGGAGACGUAUCAGCUGCAGGCGGAGCUGCUGCCAUUAAGGCCCUGAGGGCGGAGCUUGCUCUAGCCAAGGAACAAGCUCGGGUCAGCAAUGCGGCUGCUCUACAGCCGGCCGGUAUGAGCUUCUCGAGAAGGAGAAUCAGGAAAAGGCGGCCGACCUAAAGAAGGCACUGGAUUCGGCUAAGGAGACGCGUUCUCAGAAUAAGACGCGCGGGAGGAACUUCGACAAGCCAGAGAAAUCACGGCUGGAAAUCCGUAUUUGUUGCGGAUGAAGUUUUUAGAUCCAAAGUAUGCUCCGUUGGAUAAGCUGUGGAGCGCCGCAGAUGAGUAUGCGGACUUGGCGAAGAGUGCGGCUGAUGCGACCAAGUUAUUCAAGGAUCAUGAAGAUAACAAAAUGGAAAGGCUGUUCUGGUCGCAAUUUAAUGCCCCAGCGCUCCUUACCCUUGAGUGAGAAGAUGGCCGCUAUAGCCGAGCUCCAUAGGCUGCCCGGCCUUGCAAUGAGGUCUGUAAUAGACCAUCUGUGGCCGAAGGGGCAAAAGCCAGGCAGUUACUUUGGUUUGGUGCAACAAUUAUUUGGCACCAGAGCGCGAAUAGAUGCCGAGAAGAGGUCGGCAUGCAUAGAGGGUGCACGGAUGGCCCUUGCCCGUGUGAAGACAUACUGGGCAGACAUGGAGGCCACCAGCAUUGCAACCCAGGGUCCGGCAAGAAGCCAAGACCCAGCCGAGCACUAUUUCGAGCAGGUCAUAGAAGGUGCCCGUAGAAUAGAGGCUCAGUGCUCAAAGAAUGUCUUGUUUGAGUGACGAUUCUAUUAAUUGUGAACAAUUAUGUGUUUAAUUAUAGAGGCUGUUUUUUUAUACUUUUGCCUGAAAGUAUUAUAAUGUCUCGUGUGCGACUGUUUAUGUAUGCAUAUAACAUGAAAGUUAGUAGUCGUUGGCUUCAGCCCCCACGCACAUAAUGCGGGGGUGUUCGAGAAAAUAUGCGUGAACACACUUGAUCCAACGUCUUGGUCCGUUAGGAAGGUGAUCGCAUGUCGAACCAGGCAACCGGACUAUAUAGUUGUAACACUUUUCACUUAGCUGUGGGAGUUUGAAAUGUGGGGCUACUAUAUAGCCCCUGGUACUUCCGCGAGCGUCCGGAUAUGGUGCACAUACUUGACCGAGAGACCGGUCCUUCUUUAAUGCAGAGGAAUCCUAUAGAUUCCGAUGAGUCCUCGAGUGGUUGACCAGUCUCUCGCUGUAUCAUGACAGUCAGUUUUCGGCUUUCUCUACUGAGGUGCUCAUCCAGAAUAACCAGGGCACAAUCAUAGUAGUUCUCCUUUGGUCGCCUUAGCCGAUAGAACGGAACGUAAGGCAGCAAACCCAGGAGCCAGGCUAACCAAACAUUUGACCAAAGACAUGAUUCAGAGCUGAUGCAUAUAAGGCCAAACUCGUGAUGCCGAACACUCCCGAAGGUAUUCGGACUUUAUAACAUAUAUUGGGAUGAAUAACGCCCUUGACCCUGUGAUUCCAGGUACAUGCAUUGAUUUUUCAUGGAAAAAAGCCUAUAACGCCAGUAUCCCUUAUAGGUUUAUGAAAUACCCAUGGGAUGUCGAGCAACAAGAUAUAGUAAAGAAGGUUUACGCAGGGGCUUAAUCUGAAGAGAAACCUGUGGGCGGGGCCCUGCUGCAUGUCUGCGCCUGUGUCUCCGUUGUGCAGUAUCCUGGAAGGGUGUCGCACUGGUAGUGUCUGUAGGAACGAAAAAAAAGCGUGCAAAAAGUUAGUUAUGCUCGAUGAAUGUUUGAGAUCCGGCCUAUUAAUGAGGCAAGCCGAAUUGCUAGCUUUGUUACAUGUUUGCAGCCCCUCGUAUUAUUUAUGGGGACAUAUGUAGAGCACCUAGCUCAGGUUUAUCCAAGCAAUUGUGAAAAAUGGUGUCCUGGACUCGUCUAACCGUGUCCGUGGUCUUGACGACCGGUCAUGCGUUUCGGUGGGAGAGGCCGCCUAGAGUCCGGCAGCGGGAGCUGCCGCAUACUACUCUUUCUUUCCGCUAACAGUUAUGACGCCGUGUGGACUGGGCAUCUUGUGUUUAAGGCGGGCGUAGUUCGGUAUUGCGUUGAAGCAGGUGAAGGCCGUUCUUCCAAGCAAUGCAUGAUAAUCGCUGCUGAAGGGAGCGAUGUUGAAGAGUAAGUUCUCGCUUCUGAAGUUGUCGGGAGAACCGAAUGUCACUUCUAAUACGAGGGAGCCCCCGCAGUGGGCCACGACGCCUGGAAUCACUCCAUUGAAGGCGGCGUUAUUUUGACUUAUUCUGGAUGGGUCUACCCCCAUCUUGUGGAUGGUGUCUUGAUAUAUAAAAUUAAGACUACUGCCGCCGUCCAUUAGGGCAUGAGUAAGAUGGUACCCAUCAAUUAUUCGGUCGAGCACCAAGGCAACCGAUCCUCCGUGCUGGAUACUGGCCGGGUAGUCCCUGUGAUCAAAAGUGAUCUGGCAAGUCGCCCAGGGAUUGAAUUGGGGGGCUACGAACUCUACGUGGGUUACGUGUACCAUGUUUACCGUUUUGACUUCCGGUGGGAAUUUUUUCUGGCCCCCAGUGUUCGGCUGGCGAGGUUCGCCCUCUUCUUCACUUGGUGUUUGGCUUCCCUUGUGUUCGGCAUUUAACUUGUCGGCCUGCUUGAAGACUGUCGGUGUCAAAACCGGCGGAUCUCGGGUAGGGGGUCCCAAACUGUGCGUCUAGGCGGAUGGUAACAUGAGACAAGGGACACGAUGUUUUUACCCAGGUUCGGUCCCUCUCGAUGGAGGUAAAACCCUACUCCUGCUUGAUUAAUAUUGACGAUAUGGGUAGUACAAGAGUGGAUCUACCACGAGAUCAAGGAGGCUAAACCCUAGAAGCUAGCCUAUGGUAUGAUUGUUGUCAUGGUUGUCUUGUCCUACGGACUAAAACCCUCCGGUUUAUAUAGACACUGGAGAGGGCUAGGGUUACACAGAGUCGGUUACAAUGGUAGGAGAUCUACAUAUCCGUAUCGCCAAGCUUGCCUUCCACGCCAAGGAAAGUCCCAUCCGGACACGGGACGGAGUCUUCAAUCUUGUAUCUUCAUAAUCUUGGAGUCCGGCUAACGAUGAUAGUCCGGCUGUCCGGACACCCCCUAGUCCAGGACUCCCUUAGUAGCCCCUGAACCAAGCUUCAAUGACGAUGAGUCCGGCGCACAUAUUGUUCGGCAUUGCAAGGCGGGUUCCUCCUCCGAAUAAUUCAUAGAAGAUUGUGAACACCAGGAUAGUGUCCGGCUCUGCAAAAUAAAUUCCACAUUCCACCGUAGAGAGAAUAAUAUGUACACAAGUUCAAUCUGCUGACGUGUUUUGUGGCACGACGUCAUACCACCACCAAGCCUUUACUUCAACUGUUUUUUAUUAUACCACCUCAGCGCGUUUAGCGAAGCGGUUUCCUUGGCACGUCUUGUCGAAGCAGAGAUUGUGUUCCCCUUAUUCUGGGAUUCCCAUCAAUACGGACGUGGGUAACCCAACCGCGCCAUUGAUGGUGGCGCUUGGGAGAUAAGCGAGUUUUACCAGGCUGGUGGGGACGCAUAGUCUUCGUCUGCCCAUAUAUAAGGGGAUAAGGAUCCGCCUUUUUACCUACGCCUUCUUCCUCCUUUGCUUAUCCAUCUCUGCGCACCCGAGCUCCAGCGCCCAAGUUCGCACAUCUCGCCUCAACCUUCUCCAACCAUGGCCGGAGCAGGAGGCAAGUGGUUGGCCUCCUCCGUCACGGAGGGGCACAUCAAAAAACUGCGCGGCGCCGGAUACCUUUCCAACGACAUCGCGCACCGGCUGCCCGACGAGGGGCAGCUCAUCCCCACCCCCGAGCCCCACGAGAGGGUCGUAUUCCUUCCCCACUUCCUCCGCGGACUGGGCUUCCCACUUCAUCUCUUUGUCCGGGGGCUCAUGUUCUACUACGGCCUGGACUUCCACGAUCUUGCGCCAAACUUCAUCCUCAACAUCUCGGCGUUUAUCGUCGUGUGCGAGGCCUUCCUCUGCAUCCAGCCCCACUUCGGCUUGUGGCUCAAGACCUUCAAUGUCAAGCUGAAGGUAAUGAAGGGCGUCCAAGCGGAGUGCGGAGGCUCCAUGGUGGGCAAGGUGCCCAACGUCACCUGGCUCGAGGGGGUCUUUGUGGAGUCCAUCAAGGGAUGGCAAUCGGGGUGGUUCUACAUCACCGAGCCGCGUGACCCUAAAUGGGCAGCAGCCCCCGAAUUCAGAUCUGGCAUCCCUAUGCAGCUCACCUCCUGGAAAGAGAAGGGCUUGCUUUGGGGUAGUUCGGAGGAGCUAACCGGACUUCAGUCCUGUCUCCGGACCCUGGUGAACAAGAAGCUCAAGCUUGUCAAUGUGGUCCAGGUUAUGCUUGUCCGCCGGAUUCUCCCCUGCCAGCAACGGGGCUUCAAUUUGUGGGAGUUUGAUCCGGCGCAGCACCAGACCUUGAGCGGGCUCUUUGACACUACGUACAAAGAGGCCUGGAGGGUGCUGUUCAAGGGCGGAGAAGCCCCCGCGUCCGCUACCGAAGAUCGCGGAUUCAGCUCACAGCGUCCAGCUGACGAAGUAAGUCAUGUUAUCCUCUAUGGUACACUUAUUUUCUUUCAUAGUUUGACUAUUGUGGGAUCUAAAAACUCCCGAUGCCUUUAACAGGACUGGCAGAGGAAGGCCGGACAGGUAAACUGUCCGGCUCCCCUUCCCGAAGACCCAGCAGAUGCUCGUUUAACGAGGCUGCUGGUCCCGGCACUUUAUGUGGUGCCGGAGAAGAAGGCCAAGAGGAAGGCCACGGGAACUCGAAAAAGUUCCCGGCGCCAGGAGAUAUCGGACUCAUCGUCCGAUGGCUCCGAGGCGGACUCCUCCCCUGAAGAUGAGGUGGAGAAAGAGGACUCUCUCCCAGAGGAGGGAGAGAGGAAGAGGAAGGCUUCCCCAACAGGGGAGGCCGAAGGGUCCAAGAGGGGAAGGACUCAUCCCCCGGACAGUUCCGCCAAUGCCAACGUUGGCGACGAAGAGUGGCCCUCAAGGGCCAGGCCUCCAGCAAGAUCGUAAGUGUCCGGAUUCCUGAAUGAUUUGUAAUUUCUUUUUGCAUCACACAGUGUCCUUCUAAUGCCGCACACUUCCUGUAGUCCGGCCGAUGAUGAUCUUCCCGCUUCAUCGAGCGGGUCGUUGGCUCCGUCGGAUGUAGAUUCCAUUCCGACCGCCUCCACCCCCCGCACCGCUGAGGACGCCGAGGUGGGAUCCCAGAAAGGGACCCAUCAGGAGGAGGCUAUGGAGGUGCCACAUGGCAGCCUCCCGGACUUUGCGCCGGACUCCAUGCCGGAACCCGCAGUGGUUCCGGAGUCCGUCAGGUGGCCCCUUCGUAAGAAGGGCAAGACCGUGACGCCGGCCGCCCCCGUCCAACCGGAGGCGCCGGAUAGCUUGUUGGAGGUGCUCAACGGCGCUUCCAUCAAGGAAGAACACCGCACUAUCAUGAGUGCGGUGAUUCAAAAGGUUCAGCUUGUCAAGAGCGGGCUGACCGAAGCCUGCAGUAGCCUUCUAACAUGCUUUGAGGUAAGAAGUUUUAAAAUAUGCAAUGUAAUACCGCAUAGAAAGUAGCCCCUGAUGCUCGGUUCGGUGUUCGGAAAUAAAAACCGGAUUGAGGAUCUAAAAAGAUAUACGCAGGAGUGCUAAAAAUUAUGUCAACAUGGGUUUGCAGGCUGCGCUGCUGACCUCUGCCGCACUGACUGCGGAGGUCGGUGCUUUAAAGCAGAACCUCGAGCGGUCCGAGCGAGAGCUCGGCCUGGCCAAGAAGCAGCUCGAGGAUAAAUAAGUUGAGUAACACCUCUUUGAAAUUUGUACCUUACAGAAAAGGAUUUUGGUUGCAAUAGAAAUAACAAGGAUAACGUUGGUACUGCAGGGGCCACGAACGAGGUGGCAUUCCUGAAGGAGGCCGUGUCCGCGGCCGAACGUAAUGCGGCCGCGGAACGAGCGGAGCGAGAGAAGCAGGAGGCGCGGGUGGCGGAGGUACGGCAAGAGCUCCAGGCUCUCAUGGAAAAGCAUGAGAGUUUGGAGCGCGACUCAAAGACUCGAGAGUCCGAGCUUUCCUCGGCUCUUGAAAGUGCCAAAACCGCUAAGGCCGAGGCCCAUAAGGCCCUCCAGGAGAUUGAGGCGGUGAAGAAAAUAGCGGCGGGUAAGGCAUUUUUCAUGCAGAGCAAGCACGUGAAUGUAAAUUACCUGUUACUUACCCGAAUUCGGAGCUCUCCAGGGGCGUUUGUAGAUCUGCCUCGCAGCGUGUCCAAUGCCGCCACAUUUUACCGGGCCGAGGAGGGGAGCUCAAUGGAGAAGGUCUUCUGGUCUCAGUACGCUGAGGCCGGACAUCCGGUGCCCCCUAGCGACCAGCUGAAGCAGCUGGUCGAGCUCCACAAGGCAGCCGAGCAGGCCAUGAAGGGCCUCAUAGUCCGGCUGUGGCCUGGAGAGGCCAUGCCUGGGAGCUACUUCGGCCUCGUGCGGCGGAUGGUGGAUGCGUGCCCCUGGGUGGAAGUGAUCAAGCGCUCCGCCUGUAUUGAAGGUGCCCGUCGGGCCCUUGCCCGUGCAAAGGUGCAUUGGGGAAAGCUGGAUUCUGAAAAGCUUAUCACGGACGCGCCGCCCGCGGGCAAGGAGUAUCGUACGCCCGAAAUGUACUAUAAGAGUGUCCUGAAGGGUGCCCGCAAGAUUGCGGAUGAGUGCCCCAAAGAUGUAAUUUUUUAGUAGACUCGCAAUGUGUUAUCCUGUGUGCUGAAAACUUUGUUCAUAUGCGCUAAGCAACGCUUGUUAAUUUAAAAUAUUACCUUCUGUGCGGCCGUUUAUCCAAUCUGAGAGAUGGCAAGUCGUUGGCUUCAGCCCCCAUGCCACUAGUGCUGGGGUGUUCGGGAUAAACUUGAUCACUCUUGUUCCCAUGUUUGGGUCCAUCUAGGGAGGCGCUCAACACAACGAACAAGGCAACCGGACUUAUAAUGCUUGAACACUCUCACUUAGCCAUAGAAUUCUAUAAUUUUAAAUUUCGGCGAAGCCCCUAGUAUUCGGAAGACCGAGUUCGGGGCGCUAUCCACGCCUGGGCCGGACACCAUCCGGUUCUUCGCUCGAAGCGGCAUAAGUCUUUAGGGACUCGAAAGGACCUCUCGAACAGCGACCAGUCUCUCGCCUUAUCAUGACAGUCAAUUUUAGCUUUCUCCAUUGAGGCGCUCGCCCAGCUCAACCGGGGCCCAAUCGCAGUGGUUCUCCUAGUGCUACCUUAGCCGACGGAACGGAAUGUAAGGUACCAAAACAUGGGAGCCGGGCAAACCCAACUAUUGACCCAAGACAUGAUUCAGAGCCGAUGCAUAUAAUGCUAUAAGUUCGGGGUGCCGCACUUGUGAAAUUGUUCGGACUUAUCACACCAUAAUGCGGGGAACGUAAGCCCCUGGUGUGUUCGGCCGUACCAAAAUAUACGGGUGCGAGAUGUCAUUAAUGAACAUAUAUGUAAGAAAGAGUAAUGCAAUUAUAGGCAAAAAGUGCUGCAUUGUUUAUUCAAUGAAUUCUGCUAUGAGUGCGGAACGAUACAAAUAGUGCGGUAAGCAAGGGGUUGGACUAUUUAAAUAUGUCCCCCUCCAGGGGUAGGCUGCUGACUGGUGUAUUUAACAAAUUUAAUGCUCAUAAUGGAGACCACCUAAGUGUUCGUCGCAGCCUUUGUCCUUCCCUGGCUGUUGCAUCGUGGGUUUGGCAGGUUCGCCGCCGGACAAGGCCUCUGGUGAACGGAGUCCUAUGUAUAAAAAGAAGAAAAAAUAAAAAUAAAAAUAAAAAGAGCAACACACUUGGGAGCCCCUGGUGUGGUUGAGCCCCACUCUGGGCCUGUUGUGGUCGUGCCCCCCCCCUAUGCCCAUGGUAUCUUCAGAGCGUAAUGAUAUACGCGGAGAGCUGGUUUUGCAAUCAUGCAAGGUCUGGGGUUGGGGCCGCAUUGCUACGCGUGCUCGGAACGUGCCAGGUGGUCUUGAUUGAUGUUGCCCCGGGCGCGUUUAGCCGUGUCCGGUCGUUUAACGGCCGGACUCGAAAAUUGCCUUAAGAGGCUGCUCUGUACUUCUGCCGCGAGAGCCACUGUGUGUUCCUCCGUUCGGAGGGAGCGUUCCGUAUUUCCGUUGAUCGUGAUGACUCCACAAGGGCCUGGCAUCUUGAGCUUAAGGUAUGCAUAAUGCAACACCGUGUUGAACUUUGCAAACGCGGUUCGUCUGAGCAGAGCGUGAUAGCCACUGCGAAACGGGACUAUGUCGAAGAUUAACUCCUCGCUUCGGAAAUUAUCCGGGGAUCCGAAGACCACUUCCAGUGUGAUUGAGCCUGUACAGUUGGCCUCGACACCUGGUAUGACGCCUUUGAAGGUCGUCUUUGUAGGUUUAAUCCUUGAGGGGUCUAUGCCCAUCUUGCACACUGUAUCCUGAUAAAGCAGGUUCAGGCUGCUGCCGCCAUCCAUAAGGACUUUGGUGAGGUGAAAUCCAUCGGCGAUUGGGUCUAGAACCAAUGCGGCGAAUCCGCCAUGGCGGAUACUGGUCGGAUGGUCUCUUCGAUCGAAGGUGAUCGGGUGAGAGGACCAUGGGUUGAACUUCGGGGCGACUGGCUCCAUCGCAUAUACGUCCCUAAGUGCACACUUCCGCUCCCUCUUGGGUAUAUGGGUUGCGUAUAUCAUGUUUACCGUCCGCACUUGUGGGGGGAAACCCUCCUGUCCUCUAUUGUUCGGUGGCCGAGUCUCUUCCUCGUCAUCGCUGCGCAGCCCCUUGUCAUUGUUUUCGGCAAUUAACUUGCCUGCCUGCUUGAAUACCCAACAAUCUCUAUUGGUGUGAUUAGCUGGCUUUUUGGGGGUGCCAUGUAUCUAGCAAGAGUGGUCGAGUAUUCGGUCCAAAUUGGACGGACCUGGAGUGGUUCUUUUGAAUGGCUUUUUCCGCUGACCGGGUUUAGAGCCUCGGAAUCCGGCGUUGACUGCCGUAUCCUCGUUGUUAUCGCCGUUGACGCGGCGUUUGUUUUUGUUUCGACGUGACCUGCCAUUGUGGUCCUUAGUAUCCGGACUGCCAGCAUUUUUGCUGAGGUUGUUGCUGCGAGCUAGCCAGCUGUCCUCUCCCGCGCAAAAGAGGGUCAUGAGUGAUGUGAGGGCUGCCAUGGAUUUCGGCUUUUCCUGUCCUAGGUGCCGGGCCAGCCACUCGUCGCGGAUGUUGUGUUUAAAGGCUGCAAGGGCCUCUGCAUCCGGACAGUCAACGAUUUGAUUUUUCUUUGUUGGGAACUGUGUCCAGAACUGUCUGGCCGAUUCAUCUGGCUGCUGAAUUAUGUGGCUUAGGUCAUCAGCGUCUGGUGGUCGCACGUAUGCGCCCUGGAAGUUGUCGAGGAAUGCGGCUUCCAGGUCCUCCCAGCACCCAAUCAACUCUGCGGGCAAGCUGUUGAGCCAAUGCCGAGCUGGUCCUUUAAGCUUGAGCGGGAGAUAUUUGAUGGCGUGGAGAUCGUCGCCACGGGCCAUAUGGAUAUGAAGGAGAUAAUCCUCGAUCCAAACCGCGGGGUCUGUUGUGCCAUCGUAGGAUUCGAUGUUGACGGGUUUAAACCCUUCAGGGAUUUGAUGAUCCAUUACUUCGUCUGUGAAGCAUAGUGGGUGUGCGGCGCCUCUAUAUUGAGCUAUAUCGUGACGUAGCUCAAGAGAGUGUUGUCUGCUGUGUUCGGCCCGGCCGGAGUUGCUGUAUCCGGCGCGACGGUAAUCAUCGUGGGUCGUGGGGCGCCCCCGUGAUCCAUAGAUAGAUCUGAAUUGUCUUGCCUUGUCCUCCAAUAUAUCUCGCAAGUCCGGCGCAUUCCCCUGUGGCUUCGUACUUUUCGAGCGGUGCCGGGGUACGGUCCUGGUGGAGGUCCUAGAUCCCUCUCUGUCGCGGCCACGAGGUGGUCGGUCUGCCAUAUUGUGCGCUGGUGAUGAAGGUUCAUAUGCCUCCUCCUCUGAUCGGGGGAGCGACUUGCGUUUUGGGUAGCUCUUGGAGGGGCGUUCGAGUUCAUACUCUUCGGCCGCGAGGACCUCGGUCCAUCUGUCGGCCAGCAGGUCUUGAUCAGCUUGAAGCUGUUGCUGCUUUUUCUUUAGGCUAUUUGCCGUGGCGAUAAGCCUGCAUUUGAAACGCUCUUGUUCGACGGGAUCCUCAGGCACGACGAAUUCGUCGUCGUCGAGGCUUGCCUUGUCUUCGGAGGGAGGUAUGUAAUUAUCAUCCUCGACCUCUUUGCAUGCCGCUCUCUUGUGAGGGCUAUCUUCUGCAUCCUCCUGCGCUGAAUCUUGCUGGAGGGGGUUGUCUUCGGAAAUUUCUGGGGUGUUGUUGUCUCCUGUGCUGGAAUCUCCAUUCUUGCUGUGGCGGGAUUUAGAGCGGCGCCGCUGCCGACGACGCUUGGGCUGUUUCAUAGAAGAAUCUGCCUCCGCUGCUUCUUCGCCGUCCCCAUCCUUUCAGGUGUCCACCAUGUAUAUAUCAUAUGACGAGGUGGUCUUCCAGUGCCCUGUAGGCGUUGGUUUUUGAUCGUCUCCGGCAUCGUCGUCCAUACCGUCGAUGUCUUCGAAGUCGUAGUCUAGCAUGUCGGUUAGAUCGUCGACAGUGGCUACAAAGUGGGUGGUGGGUGGGCUUUGAAUUUCUUCGUCGUCCGCAUCCCAACCAUCCUCACCGCAGUCCGGCCAGGGCUCUCCUGAUAACGAGAGAUGCUUUAGCGAAUUUAAGAUAUCGCCAAAGGGCGAGUGCUGAAAGAUAUCCGUGGCGGUGAACUCCAUGACCGGCGCCCAAUCGGAUUCGAUUGGCAGGGGCGCGGGAGGUUCGGAGUCCGGCACCUCGGAGUCACGAGCUUUAUAAGGGACAAGGUCAGUAUUCGGCUCCAUCGCCGUAGUAGUUGUAGCUCCCGAGGCGGUGUCCAACCACUUGUCCUCGAUCUGCGCGGUCUGCUCCGAACUACGAGUCGGAGCAGACUCGUGUGCGGCCUCGAAGGCACUGUCCGGCGGCAGAGCUAAAUCAUGCCCUUCGAGACAGCGUGGCACGCUCGGCUGUGGCUCGGAUCCGUCGAAGAUCAAGUCUCCGCGGAUAUCGGCCGUGAAGUUUAGGCUUCCGAACCUGACCUGAUGGCCAGGGGCAUAGCUUUCGAUCUGCUCCAGAUGGCCAAGCGAAUUGGCCCGCAGUGCGGAGCCUCCGAAUACGAAGAUCUGUCUGGGGAGAAAAGUCUCACCCUGGACGGCAUUGUUGUUGAUUGAAGAAACCAUCAAGCCUAUCGGUGACGACACAGAGGAACUCUCAAUGAAAGCACCAAUGUCGGUGUCAAAACCGGCGGAUCUCGGGUAGGGGGUCCCGAACUGUGCGUCUAGGCGGAUGGUUAUAGGAGACAAGGGACACGAUGUUUUUACCCAGGUUCGGGCCCUCUCGAUGGAGGUAAAACCCUACUCCUGCUUGAUUAAUAUUGAUGAUAUGGGUAGUACAAGAGUGGAUCUACCACGAGAUCAAGGAGGCUAAACCCUAGAAGCUAGACUAUGGUAUGAUUGUUGUCAUGGUUGUCUUGUCCUACGGACUAAAACCCUCCGGUUUAUAUAGACACCGGAGAGGGCUAGGGUUACACAGAGUCGGUUACAAUGGUAGGAGAUCUACAUAUCUGUAUCGCCAAGCUUGCCUUCCACGACACGGGACGGAGUCUUCAAUCUUGUAUCUUCAUAAUCUUGGAGUCUGGCUGACGAUGAUAGUCCGGCUGUCCGGACACCCCCUAGUCCAGGACUCCCUCAAAGACCCAACAUUCUCGGUGGGUAUGAUUUGCAGGAUUGUCGGAAGUGCCAUGGAUUUGGCACAAUUUGUCCAGGACUUUAUUCAGGCCGGAUGGUCCCUCUUUACUGUCCUUAAAUGGCUUCUUUCCUUGACCAGGUCGAGAGCCCCUGAAGCCGGCGUUGACCGCCGUGUUGUCCGAACUAUCGUUAUUCCAACGUUUGUGCUUAGUGCGCCGUGGCUUCCUGUUGCCAUCUCGAAUUUUGAAUGUGCCUGGGUCGCUGGUGCCUCUAUGGGCCAACCAGCUGUCCUCGCCCGCACAAAAUCGGGUCAUAAGGCUUGUUAAGGCUGCCAUCGUUCUCGGCUUUUCUUGGCCGAGGUGUCUGGCAAGCCACUCGUCUCGGAUACUGUGUUUGAAGGCCGCUAAGGCUUCAGCAUUCGGACAGUCGACAAUUUGAUUCUUCUUAGUGAGGAAUCUGUUCCAAAGUUUGCGGGCUGACUCUCCGGGCUGCUGUAUUAUGUGACUUAAAUCGUCAGCAUCUGGAGGCCGGACAUUGGUUCCUUGAAAGUUGGCCCUGAAAGCAUCCUCAAGUUCCUCCCAACUUCCAAUUGAGUUUUCGGGGAGGCUUUUCAGCCAAUGACGAGUUGGUCCUUUUAACUUGAGGGGGAGGUAUUUGAUGGCGUGGAGGUCAUCCCCACGAGCCAUGUGUAUGUGAAGGAUAAAAUCUUCAAUCCAGACCCCAGGGUCCGUCGUUCCAUCGUAUGACUCUAUAUUCACGAGUUCGAAUCCCUCUGGAAAUUCAUGAUCCAGCACCUCAUCCGUGAAGCAUAGGGGGUGCACAGCCCCUCUGUAUCUGGCCGUGUCGCGGCAUGCUACCGGUUGUUGUUGCUCCCGGUGUUGAUUCCGGACUGGUAUUCGAUCAGUAUGAUUGUUGUGGUGACCAUAAUCCCGCGUUGGAGCAUGUCCUCUGGACCCAUAGAUGGAUCUGGCCGCACUGGCCUUUUUGUCCAGGAGCUCUCGUAAAUCGUGUGUGGUAUCGGUGGCUGCUCUAUCGCGUCCAUGAGGUGGUUGGUCCGGCUGAGUAGCCGUAUUGUUUUUUGGCCGAACGGGUGCUGCGGCUUCAUCUCGAAUUUGGGUAGCAGUUUGCGCUUUGGGUAUCUCUUUGUGUGGCGAUUGUCGCCACAUUUCCCUUCGGUGUCCAGCACCUUAUUCCAUCUUCAGUUGAGCGUAUCUUGCACGGCCUUAAGCCUUUGCUUCUGCUUCUUCAGGCUCCGCGUUGUGGCUAGGAGUUUUUUGCGGAGGUUAUCUUGUUCCGAAUGUUCUUCCGGGAUGAUGAACGCAUUGUCAACAGGAUUGUUCUCUUCUUUGGAGGUAGUAUGGUGAGUUCGGCCCUCUGGAUUUCUGUGAUCGGGCGUCUGCUCCGGGCUGUGUUUGGCAUGACCUGGUUUAUCCUGCUCCAUCGCUGGGUCCCUAUGGUCGUUGUUGCCUUCGGAAUCAACCGGAGUGUCAUCCUGUUUUGGGUUGUUAUCGCUAUUUUUACAAUGACUGGACUUAAGGCGGCACCUACGCCGUCGUUUUUGCUUUUGUCCGGGGGGUUUAUCCUCUGUUGUGUCCUUUUUGGGCGUGUCCACCAUGUAGACGUUGUAUGAUGAAGUGGCUGUCCAGCACCCCGUGGGCGGUGGUUCCAGAUCGUCCCCUGCAUCAACGUCCAUGCCGUCAAUGUUAUUGGGGUCGAAGUCAAGCAUGUCUGUUAGGUCAUCGACAGUGGCUACAAAGUGGGUGGUGGGUGGGUUGCGAUUUUCUUCGUCCUCCGUAUCCCACACGGGCCGGACAUAGUUUGGCCAGGAGUCUCCUGACAGAGAGAGAGAGACUUUAAUGAAUUUAGCAUGUCUCCGAAGGGUGAGUGCUGAAAGAUAUCCGCGGCGGCAAACUCCAUAACCGGAGCCCCGUUAGAUUCGAUGGGCAUGGAUGCGCGCGGUCCGGAAUAUACGGCCGGAGACAAGUCUAGGGGUCCGGAGAUACAGAUUUCCUUAGGAGAGGAGUCUGUGUUCGGCUCCAAAGCCGAUGAGUGUGCGGCCUUCGAGGCGGGGUCCAUCCACCCAUCCUCGGAAGGCACGACCUGCUUUGGAACAAAGUCCAGAGCCAUGGCAGGUGCGAUGUCCCGGAUACUGUCCGACGGCAGAUCUAGGUCAUGCCUGUCAUGAUCGCUUGGCGCUCCUGACAUGGGCCCGAAUCCGUCGAAGAUCAAGUCUCCGCGGAUGUCGGAAGUGUAGUUUAGGUUUCCGAACCUGACCUGAUGGCCAGGGGCGUAGCUGUCGAUCUGCUCCUGAUGGCCAAGCGAGUUGGCCCGUAGUGCGAAGCCGCCGAAUACGAAGAUCUGUCCGGGGAGAAAAGUCUCACCCAGGACGGCGUUGUUGAAGGUUGGAGAAGCCAUCUAGCCUUUACAGCGACGACACACAGGAACUCUCAAUGAAAGCACCAAUGUCGGUGUCAAAACCGGCGGAUCUCGGGUAGGGGGUCCCGAACUGUGCGUCUAAGGCUAAUGGUAACAGGAGGCUGGGGACACGAUGUUUACCCAGGUUCGGGCCCUCUCGAUGGAGGUAAUACCCUACUUCCUGCUUGAUUGAUCUUGAUGACAUGAGUAUUACAAGAGUUGAUCUACCACGAGAUCAGAGAGGCUAAAGCCUAGAAGCUAGCCUAUGGUAUGAUUGUUAUUGUGUCCUACGGACUAAACCCUCCGGUUUAUAUAGACACCGGAGGGGGCUAGUGUUACACAGAGUCAGUUUACAGAGGAGGAGAUCUACAUCCAAAUCGCCAAGCUUGCCUUCCACGCCAAGGGCAAAAGAAGAAGGAAGACAAGGAUUUGGCUCGCUGAUCUCUACUUUCUUGAUGCGUUGCUGCAGGCCGCGGGAACUAAUCUCCGCGGCGAGCGGCGAUGAGAUCUUUCGUGUCCUCAAGAUGCUGCUUGAGAACAUCCACGGAUUCCUCCACUAGCCUUUGGCGCUCGUUGUGGAGAAUGUCACUCUCGUCCAUAAGUUUCUUGACGAUGACGCCGGUCCUCUUCAACAAGGCACUGGUCUCCUCCUGCUGGUCUGCACUUUUGACGAUCUUCGCCCUCAGCAGGUCGUGCUAGGCCCAGAGCCUCUCAUUGCCCUCCCUUAGUUGCCGGAUGACACCUGUAGCCUGUUCAAACAAGGCUUUCAUGUCAUCCUGCAACCUCGCCAAGCCGAAGAUCUGAUCCAUCUGGCUAUGGACGAUCGAAUGCAUGCGCCUGUAACAGUCGUUGCCUGCCCGCGAGAAAUUUUCCCAGGCCGCCACGGCGCGGCGGGACAUCUCUACUGCAUUUGCGGCGCGGCGGGACAUCUCUGCUGCUUCCGCGGCGCGGCCGGACCAGUCUGCUACAUCAAUGGUGCGGCGGGACCUCCGUGCUGCUUCAGCGGCGCGGUGGGACCUCUGUGCUGCUACUUCCGUGUGGCGGGACAUGUCGGCUGCUUUCACAGCGAGGCGGGACAUCUCUCGUGCUUCCGCUUCCAUGCUCGCCUCUCCCUGGUGGCAAUCUCUCGACCCAAAACUCACGCUGGCCAUGGCAGACGCAAGGGAAGGAUGUUGAAUGACUUGUUUGUUUUUGUGGAUGAGGAGUUGAGGAGGAAUGUGCAGUCAUCUUGGCAUACUAGUAUUUAUAACCGAGUACUAAUACGCUCCUAAGUGGGAAACCGUUUAGGUUGUGAUCGGUGUGAACAGGUUUGCAAUUCAAUAUAGCAUGGUACUAAUACGCUCCUAAGUGGGAAACCGUUUAGGUUGUGAUCAGUGUGAACAGGUUUGCAAUUCAAUAUAGCGUGGAGUAAUUUGGAAUGUGACGAGACGCAAGAUCAAAAUUUAUUGACGGUUCUAGUUUCGAAGUGCGACACUAUUCCUGGAUGCAGUAGUUCUUUUUCUACUGUUGUGUACGUGUAAUAACUGGCACCGUCGUAUACAUAUCUUACGGUUAAUGGGGCGUUCGACAGGAAUAGCCACGUGGCGAGCUCUAGGCUAGUCUAUUUUUCAGAUGCAUUAAACCUAUCUCUCGGGACUUCUUGCAUGCACCAUUGUGCCACCCACAAAAACUUGUACUCUGAGUUUAGUACGUUAUACAGGAAGAGAACAGGUGCACGCACGCACUCAUCCUCUCACACACACGUCUGUUUUUUCUUGAAAAGGAGGAUGAUGACCCCCGGCCUCUGCAUCUGGGAGUCACACAUGCAUCUGUAGCUACGAAUUGUAGUGUUCUCAACCGUCCGAUUGGCUCUAUCAUGGAUGUACCUCUAUACUAAAACAUGUCUAGAUACAUCUAUAUUUUGACAAAUGGAAGGCAUGUAUUGUGGAACGGAGGGAGUGCUUGUCAUCAAAAUGGAUAAAAAGGGACGUAUCUAGAACUAAAAUACGUCUACAUACAUCUCCUUUUAUCCAUUUUGAUGACAAGUAGUACUUCUUACCCAAAGGAACUUUAUAUCCAACAGACACAAAAUAUCUAUUCGACUGUUGGAAAUUACUGAUCUGAUGUCGAAGUAAUUGUUGCAUCGCCACCUAAACCCACCAUUUCUUAAGCUAAAGUAGACUGAGUUAAUCCCUAUAUUAGCAUAUUACUAAGAUAAACAGAAAACACUAAAUAAACAUUUAGGACAUGAGCUUGUCAAUCUGAAUGUGGAGGGACACCAGCUUAGCCUCGGCCAGCAGCUUGGGCGGAACUGUGAAGAAGGUCAGCUCCUGCACGUCGACGUCGCCGGGAUCCUUGCUGCUUGUCACCUCCAUUUCCACCUUGAUGGCGUCGGUCGUGCCUUUGGGCUCCCCCGGCGGGCUGUUCGCCCACAGCUUGGCCACGUAGUGCGGCAGUGGGGACACCCCCGCUCUGAUGCAGACGACCAACAUGGUGAUAGGCACGCCGAUGUCGAGCACGCCGCCGACCAAGAAAAAUGUGCGGCCAUCCUCCUCCACGAACAGCAAGAGCCGUGGCUCCGACAGUGGCACUUGCAGCUGGAGCACCUUGUCGUACUGGAUCUUGUGCACGGGCACGGGAUGCGUGGUGCUGAUGUGGUGGUAGAGCGUCGGCGGCGGGCCUUCGUAGCCGUAGACGGGCACGGGGCAUUUGCAGGGCGCGAGCGGACAAAGACUCUGGUGAUCGGCGAGCUUGUGGUAAGUGACGUAGAGCCCACAGCCUUCGUGCGGGCACUCCACCCUCACCGACGAAAGGACGGAUUCCACUGUCGUGUUCCGCACGUCGAAUCCACCGCCGCGCUCGCACUUCUGGCACUGCCGCUGGUUCUCGGGGCGCUCAAUGCGGCAGUCUGCGCAGGCCAGGUGCCCUCCCUUGCACUGCAGAAAUCAAUCGAACAGCACAUCAAUCAAGAAACCUGCACCUUGCUUAAUCAGCCAAACGGACAAGGUGUAUUCAAACCUCAUACACUAGAGGCGUCAAGGGGCAGAGGCACAAGGGGCGGUGUCGAGCAGGGUGAGGUCCAUCGAGACCUUAGAGAGCUCCAUCGUCAGGUCCUGUUCGGUCUGCAUGAUCUCGCCCUCCUCGUGCACAACCAUCUCUCGACUUGGGCCGGGGCAUUACAAAGCUUUACCGUCACAUAUUUUAUACUACUUCAAGGUGCAUUAAAUCAACACAUGCAAGUAUCAAAAGGAGAGUCACGGCACGCAUGCAUGCGUUGUAAUUAAUGCAUCGAUAAACACAAAUUAUUGAAAUAUAUCGAGUGCAGUGCUUUGAUGUGUCGCGUCAACUCGUACAUCAAUGAGAAGUUUGAUUAUCCUCUCCCUCGCAGACUUAACUGCACCUGCCUUUGGCUGUAUGACGGGUUGGCCACCCACCUGUCGGGCCCACCUGUCAUACACGCAAAGGCAGGAGCGUCCCUCCCUCGCCCAUGAGGUGGUGGCUGGCAAGACUAGGAGAAGCUUUUGCUACACGCUCUCCCACCUGCACGCGGUGGACAUGCAGCAGUUCAAUCGGUGUCAGAUGGCCAGAAGCGUACUGUAGUACUCCUCCAGUGCAGUAGUACUCCAUCAUUGUUCGACUCCCCGAAGAGGCGAAGAGCCAAGCGCAGCCCAGACGCUCGUGUGGCAGUUUCAUGUGUAGAGUAGUCUAGGAUAGCAUGUACCGUGCCUGUAAGCUUAAAAUCGUUAGGGUCGGCUCCAUCCUAUGUGGCCGUCUCGAAGUUUAAAAAAAAUUAAAAUAGUCUUCUAGCCCUACCUAUCACCCUGGUGAUUGUAGUUUGCACGCUCAUCUGGUCAAGACAGGAAUAUAUAUUUUAAUUUGUUUUUUUCGAAAAGGGGGGACUCCCCAGCCUCUGCAUCAGAACGAUGCAUACGACCACAUAUAUUUUAAUUUGUGGUGGGUAAAUGUUAGAGGUUGCAGAAAAUAUAUUGUACACUGCGGGUCUUUCAGUCAAGUUUAGAGGCAAGCAUGUGGGGCUAGUGCUGUGUCGUGACAACUCGUACAGUGAGGAGAAGCUUGAUUUUACUACUACACGCCUUCUCCCUCGCCCAUGCGCGCGGUUGCUCGCAAACGAGGACAGGCUUUUGCUUAGUAGUACUUCUACAACAAGCUAUCCCUCCCGCUCGUGGUGGACGGACAUGCAGCAGUGGAUUCGACACUGUAGAAGCAGUAGUAGUAACAUCAUUGUUCGUCUUCUUGAAGAGGCGAAGAGCCAAGCGCAAACCGAACGUGGAAGUUGCGAACAUCGAAGCAAGCAUAUAGCCAGGCUCUUGCGUCAGACAAAAUUGCUAUGUGAGCCCACUAUUGUACUAGUACAUAUAACUACUUGCUAGUAUAGCCCUGUAAACCAGAAAGGAGUAUUUGCCCUUCUAGAGAUUUCAACAAGUGACUAGACUACACCGAGACGGAGUAUAUAUGGAGCAAAAUGAGUGAAUCUGCACCGUAAAUAAAUAUGUACUCCCUUCUUCUCAUAAUGUAAGACAUUUUUUAACACUGCACUAGUGUGAAAAAACGUCUUACAUUAUGGGACGGAGGGAGUAGUUCUAUCGUUUUCCUCUCCGAGGUGCACAAUAUUGAGUAUACUGACUAGUCUCUUUUUGACACGCAUUUACGUUUUUUUGACACAGUACAGACACAAGCGCUCAUAUACAUGCGCAUACGCUCACCCCUAUGAACGCACACACGCAUGGCACUAUCAUCUUGAAAUUUACGAAGUCACCAUAGGCACCUCGUCGUCGACGGGUCCAUAGGUGCUUGAAUGCCAAGGAGCGAGAGGGUAGCGGUUCCCGAGACAUUGAACGGUCAAUGAUGCAUCCUCAAUUAUAGGCAGAGGGAAUUAAUUGGAGAAGCAGAAUAGAGCCAGCACGAUGUGAUUGCAACCAAGUUUGGACUCUCAUAUAAUAAAGGCGCCCCACCACUCCAAUCCAUCUACUCCCAAGUCUCUGCGCAACACUGCUCACUCCAAUCCAAGACCAAGUGACCAGAAGCCACAAGCACCUAUGGAGGCGAUGGACGCGAGCGGCUGUGGGCUGUGCCAAAUCAUCCAAGGCACCGGCCUGCGGCCCCGCACCGCGCAGCAUUUCCAGACGGUGCUGGUGACCGCCGGCAUCGUAGCCCUCGCCGAUGCUGGCUUCGCCUCUCGCAUGGACGACAUGAUGGUCAACUCCAUCCGCAAGUUCACCGCCAUCAAGAAGCGUGCGGACGACCUUGCCGUACUGCUCUAGCGCGCGGACGACCUUGCUGUACUGCUUCAGCCCGCGCACCCAGGCUCCUCAUUGCUUGCCACCCUCAUAGGCCUCCAUGGUGAUGAACUCUUUCAAGCCCUGGUGGCCCUACAGGUGCCGGAGGUCGCGACGAAGAAUGUGCACCUCGAGGCCGCACUCGCCGCGCAGCGCCUCGCCAUGCAAGAAACUGUCGACCUCCACAUCCAUGUCUAUGAGGAAAUCGUCUACAUAGGCCACUACAAGACAAGCGAGGACAGAAAGACGUUGGCCUUCUUCCAGCGGCUGGAAUCUUUGGACGCCAUUGUUCAGAAGCACGUCGACCUGGCCAUGAAAGCCGCUGCUACUUAGGCGUCGUUCGGUGGGCCGGCGCCCUGAGUCGAGUUGGUGGACGUCGGCGAUGGAUGCAUCUCUUCUUCUUGCGUCAUGUAACCAGCACUACAUCGCCUCGUGGCCUUAAUGUUUUAUUAGUAUAGUAAUCCCUCUGUUCCCAAAUAUAAGUCUUUCUAAAGAUUCCGGCAAGUGACUACUACAUACGGAGCAAAAUGAGUGAAUCUACACUCUAAACUAUGUCUACAUACAUCUGUAUGUUGUAUUCCAUUUGAAAUAGUAUCUAAAAAGGCUUAUAUUUAGGAACGGAGGGAGUAUGUGGCAUUUUUAUUCCAGUCGUAACGUUUUCACUGUGAGGUGAGGCCGCAGUUGAGCAAACCCACCCCGCCCACCGGGCGUCGGACGAGUUUAGAAUUAGAAGAGAGAAACGAGGGAGAAGAGCUAGCUGUAGCACGGACGCUGUUGUCAGAUGGGACUCGUGUUUAUAGAAUAGGAGUACUGAGCACACGUGCCUCUUUUUUUAGGGAAAAAUUAGUUGUAUGUCUAGUACCACUAGUUGGGUGCGUGCGACCUAUAGCUGUCAUCACUUUAGAUCUCCUUUUCGAACCGCAGCUACGCUUCACAGUACAUAUUUUUCCAUGCAUUUAUCCUCCUAUAUGUACUCCUAGGCUAUUUCCACGUGCUCCCAUUCACUGACAUGUGGGACAUAGAGCAUCAGGGUCAUAGUGCAUGCACGACUCGGAGCAUAUGCCGGGGUACUUUACAUUUCAGACCUCACGAAUUACAUGCAAACCCCCUGCAGAAGAAUAAAUAAAUGAAUGAAUUACUACAUGAAACCGGUUUAUUUUCAUAGAAACCGGAGCACAUUCAUUAAAUUUAGGACAUAACACGUUUAUAAAAAAUGACCGGACCUAAACUAGUCUAAGGGCCUCUUUGAUUUUUCCCACAAAAAAAGGGCCUCUUUGAUUCGCAGGAUACUGAAAACAUGGGAAUGGGGAAAGUAUGAUGGCGAUGAACCGAGAUGAGGAGAACUCUACCUCAGUUAUAGGUUAGAGUUAGAUUCUAACCCUGAACUAACUCUAAACCGAAGAGGUGUAUGGAUGGCAGGGUUAGAUUGACAAUAAAUACUCAUUCUCAAUCAUUUGACUACUUUGGACCCUAUUUCCUGCCGGAUUUGGUGUGGACGGCUGUUCUGUGGCCUCCUCCCGCUCACAAUUGACAUAAACGAACCAUAUUUACAAAUCAAGCAUGCAAAACAUGAUAAUUUUUACUUUUUCCAUACAAAUGAGAUAUCCCACUUAAACAUACAAGUCGCCAAUCAAGCUUCAAGAAAACACUCCAUGAAACAAAGCAUGAGCUAACUCAUCACGGAAGUCAUUCACGAUAGGGAGGGAGCCCGGAGCCCCUCGCGCACUGAGGGAGGAGCUCGCCAUCGUCGCUCUAGAGGAAGGAUCUAUAGAGCCCAAGCCCCGGGAACCCCUCCGACGCCGGCCCUUGCGAGUUGAGGUUGACACCGGCAUGGGUAGAAGGGCCGCUUGCCGCUGACUGGGAACUUAAUCUUUGGGCUUCUAGAAAUAAUGCGAGCCUGUAACUAAAAUACCUAGAAAGGUGAACUGAAUCUUUGGGUCUCUAGAAAUAAUGCAAGCCUGAAACUGAAAUAUAUAGAAAGGUGAACUGAAUCUUUGGGCCUCUAGAAAUAAUGCAAGCCUGAAACUGAAAUACCUAGAAAGGUGAACUGAAUCUUUGGGCCUCUAGAAAGAUUUAUUACCUCCUCAAGCAGCAUCAAACAAUUCCAUGCCUGCACCACAAAUCUAUACCAAGUUUGAUCAGGAUCUAUUUUUCCAAAUCAGAAUUAGCGCUAGAGCGAGCAAGAUCAAUGAUAUGACCGUGAGACAGAGAAGGAAUGAACAAACUCACCCCUCUCGCGACCUCCCUGGUAGAUGUGCCGCCGCCGCGCACGAUAGAGGGAGAAAAACAACCAGUGAAGGGGGAGCUGGGCGACCUUCGAAGGUCAGAGGGAGAGGGCGGCCAGAGUAGGGCGGCGGAGGCCGGAAGGAGAGGGCGGCCGGAGGAGAGAGAGGGUGAGCGGCGCUUGGGCGGGCGGCCCUAUGGGGAACAGAGAGGAGUCGUGCGAGAGGGGGGGAGCGAUCUGGUGCGGGCAGGGGAGAUUUUUUUAGUUCUCUUUUACUGGGCCCGAGGAUAACUAACCCAAUUAGAACCUCUCCACCGGGCUAGUUUUUUUAGCUGGGUUAGAGCAAACUAGCUCAAACUAACCCCUCUUGUUUCGAAAAUUUGAGGCUAUUUCAACCCAAACUAGCUCUAACCCAGGGAUCCAAACAAAGAGGAGCGUUACUGUACAUGCUACAGUGUGGACCGUAGCACAUUGUUUUUUAUGGCCAUAUCACCACAUUGUUUUCUAUUGCUGGUUCACUGGGCUAUUGUGGUUCGCAUUGCUGGUUCACUGGGCUGUCGUGGUUCACACUGCUGGUUCACUGGGCUGCCGUGGUUCGCACUCCUCCGACCUGAGUAGUAGUAGUACUAGUAUAUACCGCAUCAUUCUUUGCUCCUUCUUACUACUCCCACAUGUGGGAGAGCCAGCAUCCGGGUCGACGUGUCAUGCACCAGAUUAGAGCGCGGAACGAAAGGGGGGCAUCACCCCGGUCGGAGCGCCAGUAAUUCAUGACUAUAGUGAGUGGUCAUAUCACAAGUCUUUCCACCAGUAACGCGCCGUCAAAAUGCACAGCCCGACCUUUCCAGCAGUAUGUUUGAGAAUCCGCCACUCGCUCACCCUCCUUGCCUCUCUGUCAAACCGCCUACCCGAAAACGGCCGCGCGUACUGCCCGGGAAAAGCCCCGCCCUCAACUUUUAACUACGUGAAAAUAGUUCAAGCUUGUUCGUUCUAUAUAAAUACAGUACUUACUGUAUGUUUAUUCACCUGUGGGGUUGUUCAAUGAAUGGAGGGGCGGGGAUCACAAGUGAACAAUACUAGUACUACUAGUAGUAAGUAGGAGUCAUACAGUAGUCACCUUAAAUAGAGAGUUUCUUUUUUUUAAUGCCACGUACACAAAUUGAAACACUUGUUGUGGAGAGAAAAAAGAUAAUCACUCCACUAUAUAUGUACACAGGGGCCUGAGCGCUUGCUUUACUAGGGUUGCUCCCUUCAUUCUCUCUUCGUCUCCAGAUAUAAACAAGACAGCGGUAGCGACAUUUUCUCUCUGCUCACCGCUGGUCACAGAUCCGUCUGGAUCCCUUCCGCCGGUGUGUGUAGAGGACUAAAAGGUGCAUCGUUCACGCGGUCAUCACCGCCGAGGGAGGAAACCCAUAGCUGCUGGAGGGGCCUGAUCCUCUGCCCGUGCCGUUCUCUUCGACACAGCGCCGGCUCGGGAGGUCCUCCGACCCUCUUCCUCCCUGCCGUAUUGUCCGCAGAUCCGACCUGCCGCUGCCGACAUCCCGGCGACCCUCAGGUAUAAGUUCUUCGAAAGCGGCCUUGCUCUACUACCCCCAGCUCCCCACGUGUCUGCAUGUGCAUCUUUUUCUACUCCCAUCAGCUCUUCCAAAGCCACCAAAAAUUUUAGUAUUAUUAGAGGUAAAGCUACUUCAUGCAUUCAAAUCUAGGGCUUUGUUCAAACAACGAAGAAAGGGGGGAAAGUUGUAGCAUGAAUCUAGGACUUGAUUCAAAGAGGAAAUAAUAUGGUGAAAGUAAUAGAGACCGGAUACCCAACCGGUCUCUUGGUUGAAAAGGGAAAUAAUGGAAAAACGCAGUACAAACUGGAUAAGGAACAGAUCUAUUAUUGGUUGAAAAAAGGAUAGAAAGUGGCGGCUGGUGGACAAGUCAACAGAGUAUGUCUAGGAUUAGAUUUGCUGCCCUCACAUAGUAAAAGGUCACCAGGAUUAGAUUUGCUGCCCUCACAUAGUAAAAGGUCUCAGGAUUAGAUAUGCCGCCCUCACAUAGUAAAAGGUCUCCAGGAUUACAUUUGCUGCCCUCACAUAGUAAAAGGUCUCCAGGAUUAGAUUUGCUGCCCGCACAUAGUAAAAGGUCUCCAGGAUUAGAUUUGUUGCCCUCACAUAGUACAAGGUCUCCAGGAUUAGGUUUGCUGCCCUCACAUAGCAUGAACAAACUCGGCAUCACCACUUUAUGCCUCCUUGUAGGUACAUUGUGCUGAUGCGUCCACUGUCGCAUGUCCUUAUACAAACCUUUUGCUAUUGUUAAUGUAAGGGCGCAUGUAAAAUGAAGCGAUCACACUGUUACCUUAGCGACAUGUCUAACCAGUGUUAUUUUUAAUCUAAUGCCUCCAGUGGUAAGAUGCAAUUAAACUGUGUUACAAAUGGCACUCCUGCUGUUUUCCCCAGUAUGAUAAGUAAGUUUCUCCUUUACAUUGCUGAGUGUCCUCAUGUCCCCACGGUCCCAUGCCCUUAAACCAACUCUUUAGCUGUUGUUGAUUUAUUGUGUCUGGUAAACAAGCAAUGCGACCAUUAAAGUAAUCCCAUAUUUGAGGAAUCUCAUUGUUGAUCGUAAUGCUUCUGGUAACAUGAAGCAUUGCUGACAUUUUAAAAUUUCUACUGUCCUUGCGUGAUUUCCAUGAACAUAAUUAAGAUGCUUCUUUUCAUUUUGUAUAUGUUUUGUAUAUUCUUAUUGACCAGCAACUGUUUACUUUCUAUCUUUUUUGGCAGAUAGGGAUAUCCAUUUCACCUUGUUGCUAUUGUGACCUUUUGGUGAACUGCACAAAACACUUUUUUCGGAAUGAGUGUCUUGUGCAGUUCAACUAAAAUGUCACGUGGGCAACAUCUCUCAAUUUUGGUGGAACUGCACAGAAUGGUGAUUGGAGUUUCCAAAAUCUCCGUCAAGUUCUGCUAGUAAUCUCGUGCAACAUUUUAUUAGCCUUUGCAAGAUGGAGCCGUCACUGUCACCACAAUGGCACUUUAUUUUAGUGGAACUGCACAAAAGGAUAAGAAAAUUAUAGUUGCACCUUACAUGAGCCGGACAGCCAACCCUAAUGUUCCUCAAUUUUAGUGCAACUACUAAAGAAGAACCUGCCAGCUCACGAGAGCAAGUACUUCUUGCUAGCUGAAUGAUGCAAUCUUUGCUUCAUUUCAGGUGAACUGCAGAAAAAGGCGCAUGAAUUGAAUCAUGGAGCUGGAGGUUGACCUCAUCCUAGUGGAGCUGUAGGUUGAGUUCAAGGAGGCCCCUAUUAAAGUGAAAUCAUGCUCUUCUUGUUUGUGCUAUGCAAACAGGAAUACUCAACUGCAGAUGUUGUGACGGUCAAGAGCAUUCGCCAAGUUCUUCGAUUGUAUGACAUGGCUAGCCAAGAUUUAAUCCCGAUAUUCACUUUAUCAAAAGGCUCUAAUGGGUUGGUUCUGAAUCUUGCAAGCUGGGAAUCAAUGAGAUGUGUAGGCAUCUUUGUUGUACUUAUUAUUUGAAUCUUAUUUGUUGGUUCUGAAUCUUGCAAGCUGGGAAUCAAUGAGAUGUGUAGGCAUCUUUGUUGUACUUAUUAUUUGGAUCUUAUUUGUUGGUUCUGAAUCUUGCAAGCUAGGAAUCAAUGAGUUGUGUAGGCAUCUUUGUUGUACUUAUUAUUUGGAUCUUAUUUAUUGGUUCUGAAUCUUGCAAGCUGGGAAACACGGCAUGAUGAUGCAGAGGAUAACAACCAUAACAAACAGUUCAAACUUGGUAGUAUUAUCUUUGUGAAAGUGCGACAAAUGUGUUGAUCGUGUGCGUCCUGAGAAUAAUAAUUCUAAUUGUUGUGCAUGUUGAUCCUGUGGCACUGAUAGAGCGAGCCAAUGCAUUGCUUGUUUUAAGUAUAAAUUUCUAUCAAAGCUAAUUAAAUUUAAGUAACGUGACACCUAACUCCUGUUAUUACAGUACCAAUACAGACCCGCUCGUGAACCAACGUGUGGCCGGAGUAAGUUUCUUAAUGGACGCGUUUGAAUGCGCCGAGGGUGCAUCUUCUGCCGGGCGUGCAGCGAACGAGGGAGGGGUAGUAACUAUUGCCGCCUGUACACACUCAGUUUACUGUUGAAUCUAGUUCCCCAAGAGCUGAAAAAUGAACUGCUGCCGCCGCCUACACACUCGUUCACUCGAAGAGACUCCAAUGGCGAUCUGAGGGGUGAGCCUGCUGGAUAUGGACUUCAGCAAGGAGUUCCCCUUUGAGUUCGCCGUUCAGUCCUAUGGCUGCACCAAGUUGAAUGUCAUGUACACCAACGAUCCGGACUCGGUGAAGCUCUGCCUCGCCGAGUUCAAGCAGUACCUACAGGACGAGAAAGCACAAGGUUGCAGGACUAGACCUUGUGCCCAUCCAUUUGUCUCCUGACAGGGACCAGCCGAUCGCUGUCGCCCAGGUAUGUGUGCGGGACGAGGUUCUCAUCUACCACUUCUGUAGGGCCAUCAGAGGUUCUGGAGCAUUCGCCCGUUUCAUCGGCAGCGCCGACUGCACCUUCGCUACGGUGGAGAGAAGGAAGAACGCGACGAUUCGGCCAUCUGGUGCAACAAGCUUGUCGACAUCCAGAAGCAAUACAAGAUCAUCAGCAACGGGCAGGAGAAGGACUCCAUGAUUGACCUCGCCGAGACCAUCAUCGACCCCUGAUACGCCAACAUGAAAGAAGACAACGAUACCAAGGACCUGAACACGUGGGAGGUACCUCUGAAUCUAGACUACAUAACCUACGCGGCCAAGGACGCAUACGCAUGCUACGACAUGUACAGGUAGAUCUUGGACAUGAGGGCGUGUCUGCUUCCCGUAACUGACGAGUACACGGACAGCCGCAGUGUCAUGAUCAAGCGUGCCAGGAAGGUCUAGAUGUUGUACUUUAUCUGUUUAUAAGCACCUUUAUCAUCUGAGUGUUUCAUGCAUUAGCCUAUGUGUCGUAAUUAUCUGUUUUGUCCGAAAUAUUUCUUUUAAGAACCCAUUAACCUGAUUGCUUUUUUAGUGGCUAUUUGCUUAUGUAUGUAACUAGUUCACUUGUCCAUUAAAAAAACUAGUUCACUCGACUGUCGUGCUUCGAAUCUCCUUCCUCCCAACAUAUUCCCCUCCUCAGGUGGACCCAGCAGGUCUCUGAAUUUUCUCCCACUUUCUUUUUCGAUGUAAACUGAGUUUUCUCCCAGUACUUUUCCCUAGAACCAACUCAAUUGUCCCACGUCUAGCCUAAAAAAUAAUAAUGCCCCAUGUACUAUUAACUCAUCAAAUUUAAAUGAUAUUUUAUUUCGUAAGUUGAAAGUUCUUACAAAAUAAUAAUAAUAAUUGUUUAUAUAUAACUUGGCAAGUUAACUCCUAGUGAUUGCGUACAUAAGCUUGCAAAGAUUUUACUGUUCAAUGCAGUAAUAGACGUGCAAUCAUGUGUUUAUGUUUUUAUAACAUUUUCACCCAGCCCAGCAAGUCCACGGAUUUCGAGAAAAAUGCAAAUGGGAUUUAAAUGGGCUGCAUAGAUGCUACAUCAUUGUUUCACCCAGCCCACCAAAUGGACUAAAAAAACAAAUGGACUGGCUGACAUGUGGGCCAGUAGGUCGAAGCCUAAGAAGGCGUUGGAUUUAUAUCCAAUGGCCGGAAUUCUUCUUCAAUCUCUCGUCUUCUUCCUCCAGCGCUGCCGGGACCGCCUGCACCAGCCUUCGGCGUCCAGCAGCGUUGUUUUGCACUCCUCAGCGAAACGCUACCCCGCCGACGGCCAGGCCAUCCCUCCACUCCGCACCUCCUGUUAUUCUCUGCCGAGUGUAGGCCCACCCCGCACCCGAACCAGUCAAAUUUCCCACUCCUCUCCGUCUGCGACUCCACUACCGCGUCUUCCCCAUCUCUGGGUCAUUCCAGUCUGGGGCCUCGCCAUUGUCCACCGCCUCGGUGCGCUCGGCGUGGCGUGGUCAACAUACGAGACUCAUCAGAAGAGGACUGUAUGUGGAGAGCCUGAUGGCUGGGACCCACGAGGUCCAUGGUCGCACGCAAGGAAAGUUCGUCCUUAUUACGCACUGUAUGUGGACUGUACGUGGGAAGGGCUUCUGUAUUUCACGAAAAAAACGUUCCCCCCACUGACAGGUGGGACCCACCAGCUAUAUCUUCACACGCAAGGAAGUGCCUCCUUAUUACGCACAAAAAAUGAAUACCCCCUGCUAGCUGGGACCCACCAUAGUGGGUGGCUGACUUGUGGGCCUACUAAGUUGACGGGGACGGAGGGCUUUGUCAACUUAGUCAAUAUGAAUGAUUCUAGCUCCAGUGACCGUACGAUGUCCAUCCAACGGCCAUAGUGCUUCUUCAACCUUCGGUCUUCUUGCUCCAGCCCCCCAAAGCAGCGCUGGUCGUGCCGCGUGCUCCUGCCUUUCAUGGCCGGCUGUGAUGCCGCGGAGGCCUCACCGCCCCCUAAUACUCCCACCCUUGGCCCAGGGCAUCCCUCUACUCACCCACACCCCCUAUUAUUCUGCGGCGACGGCAGCCUCACACCGCAGCCGAACUAGUGAACCCUCGUACUCCUCUUCGCGUGGGCAUCCACUACCGCGUUUUCCCUGAUUCCGUGUCGUCCCCUUCCUAGGCCUCGCCGUCGUCCACCGCCUUGGUGCUCUCGGCGCGGCGUAUUUAAUGUGGUCAAUGACCGACUUCCAUCGGAAGAGUACUGUACGUGGAGAGGUUGACAGCUGGGUCCACGGCUGCAGCUGGGUCCAUGGCCACAGCCUUGUUUUUUUGUGAUUUGCCAAGUAAGUCGCUUUGUCAGGCCUGUUGGGCUGCUAAUCUUUCAAGACAAGGAGAGCUUCAUUCGGUUGGCCGAGAAAAUGGCCUAUCAGUAAUGAGAAAUGGGUUGUACAUUUUUAAAACACAUCAAACCGGCAAUUAGUUUCAACUUUCUUUUUUUCAUUUUGAGACUUUAAAUUGCAUUUAUUUUUAUGCAUGGACAAUUUGUUGGAUUUUAUAUUGAUAUACAUUUAUUUUUAAAAUCAUUUUGAAUUUGACUCAAAAUUUCGGGAUUAAUAACAGUUCGGACCGCACCGAAAUAUGUAAAAUUUCGUAUAAUUUUUUAACCAUGGCCACAAUAUGGGUUGUAAUGCUAACAAAAAGAAUAUGGGCUCCAAAAAAACCUUAAGAAUUAGCAAAUGGGCUGUAAAUUAUUAGAAAUAAUGGCAGAUGGGUUGUAUGUUGUUUUCCACAGAUUUGAGGCUUUCCUAAAAGAAGGUUGACGCACAAGCAGUGACUGUUGGAUUUCCAUCCAACGGUCGUGGUGCUUCUUCAAUCUCUGCUCUUCCUGCUCCACCCGCUCAAACAAGCGUCAGUAGGACUGCCUGCUCCCUCCUCCCCACGGUCGGCUGUGCUACCGCGCAGGCGUCAUCGCCCCACCAUACUCCCAUCGCUGGCCAGGACAUCCCUCUACUCACCCACACCUGCUGUUAUUCUCCGGCGACAGCAGACGAAUCAGUAAACCCUCGUACAGUCGUACUCCCCUCCGCGUGGGAAACAACUGCCGAGUCUUCCCUGCCUCUGUGUUGUUCCCUUCCUAGGCCUCGCCGUCGUCCACUACCCUAGUGCUCUCGUCGCGGCCUGGUCAACAUGGUCAACGACCGACAUGCAUCUGAAGUGGACUGUACGUCGAGAGGCUGACAGCUGGGUCCAUGGCUACACGCAAGGAAAUGCCUCCUUAUUACACGCAAAAUAAUGAUUCCUCCACCUGACAUCUGGGACCCACCGAAAGGGCCUCUGUAUUUCGUGAAAAAAAACGUUACCGCCGCUGAUAGCUUGGACGCACCAGCUCUAUCUUCGCACGCAAGGAAGUGCCUCCUUAUUACGCACAAAAAAAUGAAUACUCCCCCGGCUAGCUGGGACCCACCUUGGUGGGAGGCUGACUUGUGGGCCUACUAAGUUGAUGGGGACGGAGGGCUUUGUCAACUUAGUCAAUAUGCACGAUUCUAGCCCCAAUGACCGUACGAUGUCCAUCCAACACACGUAGUGCUUCUUCAACCUCUGGUCUUCUUGCUCCAGCCGCCCAAACCAGCACAGGUCGUGCCUCGUGCUCCUGCCUCCCGUGGCUGGCUGCAAUGUGGCGGAGGCCUCACCGCCCCCUACUACUCCCACCGCUGGCCAGGUCAUCCCUCUACUCACCCACACCCCCUGUUAUUCUGCAGCGACGGCAGCCUCACACCGCAGCGAACCAGUGAACCCUCAUACUCCUCUAUGCGUGGGCAUCCACUACCGCGUCUUCCCCGGCUCCGCGUCAUCCCCUUCCUAGGCCUCGCUGUCGUCCACCGCCCUGGUGCUCUCGGUGCGGUGGGGUCAACAUGGUCAAGGAACGGCUUCCAUUAGACGUGGACUGUACGUGGAGAGGCUGACAGCUGGCUCCACGGCCGCAGCAAGGAAGUGCCUCCUUAUUACGCGCAAAAUAAUUAUUCCUCCACCUGACAGCGGGGACCCACCGGACGGGCCACCGUAUUUCAUGAAAAAACAUUUCCCCCUGACUGCUGGGAUGCACCAGCUACAUCUUCGCAAGCAAGGAAGUGCGUCUGGGCAAAAAACGAUUUGCCCCCUGACUGCUGGGACCCACCAGCUACAUUUUCGUAUGCAAGGAAGUGCCUGACAGUCGGGACCCACCUGGUCGAAUCGUAUGUAGCAUUGUCAUUCUGGUCGCGAACGUGUAUGUACAUACUGGUGGAUGUAUAGGCGCGCACGUGUCGUAGUAGAGGCGCGCACGUAGCAUGUACACAUACAUACAGCGGCCAGUGUGCAAGAAAGAAAAUACGGCCACAUAUGUGUACAUACGGGCGGGGUCUUGAAUGCCUACUCGCACAUACGUACGGCCAGGGUCGUGUACAUGGCUGGGUCGAAAUGGAGAAACAGCGUCGUCUUCGUGUUCAUGGGGAGCCAACCGGCUGGGUCGGAACGGAAUGCAUCGUCGUGUUCAUCGGGAGGGCUUGGACGGAACAGGCGAUGGAAACGAGGCCUGGCAUACCGCAGAACGGAGGAAACCUUAUGUUCGACCGGCCAUGUUCGAAACGGGAUCCUGCUCAUCGGGAGGGGUCUGGUGUACCGCAAAACGGAGGAAACGGACCUCCUACGGUCGAAACGAGGGUCCUGUUGAUCGGGAGGGGUGUGGCGUACCGCAAAACGGACGAAACGUACUUGUGUUGGAGCGCUACGAUCGAAACGGGGGUCCUGUUCAUCGGGAGGGGUGUGGCGUACCGCAAAACGGGACUCCACAGGAUACUGUUCAUCUCCACCGUCGACCUCCUCCAGCCUCCACGGGCUACUGUUCAUCCACCNNNNNNNNNNNNNNNNNNNNNNNNNNNNNNNNNNNNNNNNNNNNNNNNNNNNNNNNNNNNNNNNNNNNNNNNNNNNNNNNNNNNNNNNNNNNNNNNNNNNNNNNNNNNNNNNNNNNNNNNNNNNNNNNNNNNNNNNNNNNNNNNNNNNNNNNNNNNNNNNNNNNNNNNNNNNNNNNNNNNNNNNNNNNNNNNNNNNNNNNNNNNNNNNNNNNNNNNNNNNNNNNNNNNNNNNNNNNNNNNNNNNNNNNNNNNNNNNNNNNNNNNNNNNNNNNNNNNNNNNNNNNNNNNNNNNNNNNNNNNNNNNNNNNNNNNNNNNNNNNNNNNNNNNNNNNNNNNNNNNNNNNNNNNNNNNNNNNNNNNNNNNNNNNNNNCACUGUUCAUCCAGAGGCAGCAUUGAUCGGCUUCAGUUAGCAGCAGUAGUGAAGGAAUCGCUCGAUCGGGUUCAGUUAACAGCCAUCGAUCAAUCGCUCGGGUUCAGUAACGCGUAGCCUACAGUGCAAUCGCUCGGGUUCAGUUAGAGCCCAACGCCUCGCUCGGGUUCAGUUAGAGCCAACGCCUCGCACAUACGCGUGUAUGUGUACGAGAGAAACGCGCAUCGCUCGGCCCCUGACCACCCACCGUAACAGGGAACUCCCCGAAAUUUUCCUCGCCCUCGCUUCUACCAUGGUUUUUUCCGUCAAAAGAUUGUCAUGCAGCUGCGUCUCCGGCCCGCCCAGGACAAAAAGCCCAUUUUCUGUCAUGAUUUUUUUUCAUAGAAGUAGGAGCCCACCACAUCUAUGAUGAUACCGGGUUUUGUCACAAUUAUCGUCAUAGAAGUGUCAUAAGUAUGACAGAAAAAAAUUUCGUUCGGCCCAAAAUGUCACGGAUGUGUCUUUUUGAAGUGUCAUAAGUAUGACAGAAAAAAAUUUCGUUCGGCCCAAAAUGUCACGGAUGUGUCUUUUUUUUGUAGUGUAUGCUGAUUAUGCUAAUUAUAUUGUUGCUAAAUUUAUACCACCUAGUUUCACAUACCAGCAAAAGAAAAAGUUCUUUUAUGAUUUAAGAAAUUACUUCUGGGAUGACCCACACCUUUAUAAAGAAGGAGUAGAUGGUGUUAUUAGACGUUGUGUACCUAAGCAUGAGCGGGAACAGAUCCUACGCAAGUGUGAUACGUCUCCAACGUAUCUAUAAUUUUUGAUUGCUCCAUGCUAUAUUAUCUACUGUUUUAGGCAAUAUUGGGCUUUAUUUUCCACUUUUAUAUUACUUUUGGGACUAACCUAUUAACCGGAGGCCCAACCCAGAUUUGUUGUUUUAUGCCUAUUUCAGUGUUUUGAGGAAAAGGAAUAUCAGACGGAGUCAAAACGGAACGAAAUCAACUGGAGAAGUUAUUUUUGGAAGGAAACCCACCUGAUGGACUUGGACCCCACGUCAGAAGAUACGGGAGGUGCUCACGAGGGUGGGGGGCGUGCCCACCCCCCUGGGCGCGCCCCCUGCCUCGUGGGGCUCCCGUAGCUCCACCGACGUACUCCUUUCACCCAUAUAUACCAACGUACCCUAAAACUUCCAGAACAGAAGAUAGAUCAGGAGUUCUGCCGCCGCAAGCCUCCAGAACCACCAAAAACCAAUCGAGACCCCUUUCCAGUACCCUGCCGGAGGGGGGAUCCAUCUCCGGUGGCCAUCUUCAUCAUCCCGACGCUCUCCAUGACGAGGAGGGAGUAGUUCACCCUCGGGGCUGAGGGUAUGUACCAGUAGCUAUGUGUUUGAUCUCUCUCUCUCGUGUUCUCUCUCGUGUUCCCUCUAUGGCACGAUCUUGAUGUAUCCCGAGCUUUGCUAUUGUAGUUGGAUCUUAUGAUGUUUCUCCCCCUCUACUCUCUUGUGAUGAAUUGAGUUUUCCCCUUGAAGUAAUCUUAUUGGAUUGAGUCUUUAAAGAUUUGAGAACACUUGAUGUAUGUCUUGCCGUACGUAUCUGUGGUGACAAUGGGAUAUCACGUGCCACUUGAUGUAUGUUUUGGUGACCAACUUGCGGGUUCCGCCCAUGAACCUAUGCAUAGGGGUUGGCACACGUUUUCGUCAUGAUUCUACGGUAGAAACUUUGGGGCACUCUUUGAAGUACUUUUAUGUUGGUUGGAUGAAUCUGAGAUUGUGUGAUGCAUAUCAUAUAAUCAUGCCCACAGAUACUUGAGGUGACAAUGCAGUAUCUAGGUGACAUUAGGGUUUUGAUUGAUUUGUGUCUUAAGGUGUUAUUCUAGUACGAACUCUUUUAUAGAUUGAUCCGAAAGAAUAACUUUGAGGUGGUUUCGUACCCUACCAUAAUAUCUACGUUUGUUCUCCUUUAUUAGUGGCUUUGGAGUGACUCUUUGUUGCAUGUUGAGGUAUUGUUAUAUGAUCUAUCUAUGUUAUUAUUGUUGAGAGAACUUGCACUAGUGAAAGUAUGAACCCUAGGCCUUGUUUCCUAGCAUUGCAAUACCAUUUACGCUCACUUUUACCAUUAGUUACCUUGCUAUUUUUAUAUUUUCAGUUUACAAAAACUUAUAUCUACCAUCCAUAUUGCACUUGUAUCACCAUCUCUUCGCCGAACUAGUGCACUUAUACACUUUACCAUUGUAUUGGGUGUGUUGGGGACACAAGAGACACUUUGUUAUUUGGUUGCAGGGUUGCUUGAGAGAGACCAUCUUCAUCCUACGCCUCCCGCGGAUUGAUAAACCUUAGGUCAUCCACUUGAGGGAAAUUUGCUACUGUCCUACAAACCUAUGCACUUGCAGGCCCAACAACGUCUACAAGAAGAAGGUUGUGUAGUAGACAUCAAGCUCUUUUCUGGCGCCGUUGCCGGGGAGACUAGGUAAGUGAAGGUAUAUAUUUAGAUCUUGCAAUUGAAUCUUUUUGUUUCUUGUUUUAGCACUAGUCUAGUUUAUAAAAGAAAAUUACAAAAAAAUGGAAUUGAGUUUAUCUCAUACGCUUCACCUUUUUAAUAUCUUUCGUGAGUAUGAUGGAAAAGAAAAUUGUGCCAAAGUGUUAGAAGAAGAAUGCAUUAGAAUGUUUGGCACUAAAUAUUUAUAUGAUGAGAAUGAUUGCAAUGUUGUUAGUAUGAAUUCCUUGAAUAUCCAUGAUGCUAAUGAUAUGCAAAGCCACAAGCUUGGGGAAGCUAUGUUUGAUGAAGAUGAUAUUUUUUGUCCCCCAAGCUUUGAUGAGCAAAUUUACUAUGAUGAAAGCAUGCCUCCUAUCUAUGAUGAUUAUUGUGAUGACACGUAUGCUAUAAAGAAUAAUGAUGACCAUGAAACUUGUCAUCUUGAUCUUAAUUUUCAAUCACAUGAUAGCUAUUUUGUUGAGUUUGCUCCCACUAUUAUUCCGAAUGAGAAGAAUGUUGCUUAUGUGGAGAGUAAUAAAAUUUCUAUGCUUGUAGAUCAUGAAAAGAAUGUUUUAGGUGCUGGUUAUAUUGUUUAAUUCAUGAUGCUACUGAAAAUUAUUAUGAGGGAGGAAUAUAUGCUUGUAGGAAUUGCAAUAAUAUCAAGUUUCCUCUCUAUGUGCUCAAAGUUUUGAAGUUAUGCUUGUUUUACCUUCCUAUGCAAGUUGAUUCUUGUUCCCAUAAGUUUUUUGCUCACAAAAUCCCUAUGCAUAGGAAGUGGGUUAGACAUAAAUGUCCUAGUCAUAUUCUUCAUGAUGCUCUCUUUAUGUUUCAAUUCUUAUCUCUUAUGUGAGCAUCAUUGAAAUCACCAUGCCUAGCUAGGGGCAUUAAACGUUAGCGCUUGUUGGGAGGCAACCCAAUUUUAUUUUAGUUUCUUGAUUUUUGUUUUGUUUAGGAAUAAAUAAUGCAUAUAGCCUCUAUUAGAUGUGGUUUUAUGUUUUAAUUAGUGUUUGUGCCAAGUAGAACCUUUGGGAAGACUUGGGUGAAGUCUUUAUGAUCAUGCUGUAAAAAACAGAAACUUUAGCGCUCACGAGAUUAGCUUCAACUUUUUACUGGAGAGUGCUAUUUAGUUGAUUCUUUUUGCAGAUGAUUACUAGACAAAUUCCUCAGGUCCACCAAUUUAUUUUAGAAUUUUUGGAGUUCUAUAAGUUUGCGUUAGUUACAGAUUACUACAAACUGUUCUGUUUUUGACAGAUUCUGUUUUCAUUGUGUUGUUUGCUUAUUUUGAUGACUCUAUGGCUAGUAAAAUAGUUUACAAACCAUAGAUAAGUUGGAAUAAAUUAGGUUUAACACCAAUAUAAAUAAAGAAUGAGUUCAUUACAGUACCUUGAAGUGGUAUUUUGUUUUCUUUCGCUAACGGAGCUAACGAGUUUUCUGUUAAGUUUUGUGUUGUGAAGUUUUCAAGUUUUGGGUAAAGAUUCGAUGGACUAUGGAAUAAGGAGUGGCAAGAGCCUAAUAUUGGGGAUGCCCAAGGCACCCCAAGGUAAUAUUCAAGGAUAACCAAGAGCCUAAGCUUGGGGAUGCCCCGGAUGGCAUCCCCUCUUUUGUCUUCGUUCAUCGGUAACUUUACUUGGAGCUAUAUUUUUAUUCACCACAUGAUAUGUGUUUUGCUUGGAGCGUCACUUUAUUUUCUUUAGGUUUGCUUUCUUUUAGUUAUAAUAAUGUUUUGUAUCUUUAGUUUCAAUAAAAAAAGUCAAGGAUAGCCUUUGCCAUGCUUAUUUUGCUAGUAUGCAUGUUGCUGUUUGAAAACAGAAAGUUUACCGCUGCUGAAAAAAUUCCCUAGAAAAGUCAGAGAGUGGUAUAAUGUUGAAUAUUUUUGCAUAUUGAGCUCUGAUAAAUUUACUACAGUGGGAAUUUUAUUUCAUAAUUUUUGGAGUUAGGGAAGUAUGAUGAAUCUUGCAUUCUUUACAGACUAUACUAUUUUGACAGAUUGCUGUUAUGUUUGCAUUGUUUGCAUAUGUUUGCUUGUUUAAUGAUUCUAUUUGAGGAUAGGAGUAUUAAAUAUGCAGAGGAAUUUAGUAUGCAAUGUUGAAUAAUAAUUUUAGUGAUUUUUUACAGUAGGAAAUGAUAAGGUUUUGCAUUGGUUUAUACUAACCUAUCUCGUGAGUUCUUGUUGUGUUUGUUGUGAAUGAAGCUUUUGAUAAAAAGAGAAACCAUGAUAUGAGAGGAAUUAAGGAGACACAAAAGCUCAAGCUUGGGGAUGCCCAAGGCACCCCAAGAUAAUAUUUCAAGAAGUCUCAAUCAUCUAAGCUUGGGGAUGCCCCGGUAGGCAUCCCACCUUUCUUCUUCAACAACUAUCGGUUAGUAUCGGUUGAGCCUAAGUUUUUGCUUCUUCACAUGAGUUGUGCUAUCCUUGCAUUUUAAUUUUAUUUUGUUUUGCUUGCUGUUUGGAUACAAUACCAAGAUCUGAAAUUAUUAAAUGGGAGAGUCUUCACAUAGUUGUAUAAUAAUUUGACUACUCAUUGAUCUUCACUUAUAUCAUUCGGAGUAGUUUGUUGUUUGCUCUAGUGCUUCACUUAUAUCUUUUAGAGCAUGGUGGUAGUUUUAUUUUGAAGAAAUAGAUGAACUAUCAUGCUUCACUUAUAUCAUUUUGAGAGUCUUAAAUAGCAUGGUAAUUUGCUUAAAUAAUCCUAAUAUGCUAAGCAUACAAGAUUUGUAAGAAUUCUUAUGAGUGUGUUGAAUACUAAGAGAAGUUUGAUGCUUGAUAAUUGUUUUGAGAUAUGGAGGUAGUGAUAUUAAAGUCAUGCUAGUUGGGUGAUUAUGAAUUCAAAGAAUGCUUGUGUUGAAGCUAGCAAGUCCCAUAGCAUGCACGUAUGGUUAAAGUUGUGUAACAAAUUUGAAACAUGAAGUGUACCUGGCUUGUGCAUCCUUAUGAGUGGCGGUCGGGGACGAGCGAUGGUCUUUUCCUACCAAUCUAUCCCCCUAGGAGCAUGCGUGUAGUGCUUGAUUUUUGAUGACUUUUAAUUUUUGCAAUAAGUAUAUGAGUUCUUUUGACUAAUGUUGAGUCCAUGGAUUAUACACACUUUUACCUUUCCGCCUUUGCUAGCCUCUUCGGUACCGUGCAUUGCCCUUUCUCACCUUGAGAGUUGGUGCAAACUUCACCAGUGCAUCCAAACCCCAUGAUAUGAUACGCUCUAUCACACAUAAACCUCCUUAUAUCUUCCUCAAAACAGCCACCAUACCUACCUAUUAUGGCAUUUCCAUAGCCAUUCCGAGAUAUAUUGCCAUGCAACUUUCCACCGUUCCGUUCAUCAUCAUCAUGACAUACUUUACUUUUGUCAUAUUGCCAUUGCAUGAUCAUGUAGUUGACAUCGUAUUUGUGGCAAAGCCACCAUGCAUUAUUUUUCAUACAUGUCACUCUUGAUUCAUUGCACCAUCCCGGUACACUGCCGGAGGCAUUCAUAUAGAGUCAUACCUUGUUCUAGUUUCGAGUUGUAAUCCUUAUGUUGUAAUAAAUAGAAGUGUGAUGAUCAUCAUUAUUAGAGCAUUGCCCAAAAAAAGAGAAAGGCCAAAACAAAGAAGGCCCAAAAAAAUAAAAAUAAAAAAGGGGCAAUGCUACUAUCUCUUUUUCCACACUUGUGCUUCAAAGUAGCACCUUGUUCUUCAUGUACUGAGUCUCAUAUAUUGUGCUUCAAAGUAGCACCAUGUUUUUCAUAUAGUGAGUCUCAUAAGUUGUCUUUUUCAUACUAGUGGGAAUUUUUCAUUAUAGAAAUUGGCUUGUAUAUUCCAACGAUGGGCCUCCUCAAGUGCCCUAGGUCUUCGUGAGCAAGCAAGUUGGAUGCACACCCACUAGUUUUCUUUUGUUGAGCAUUCAUAGCUCUAGUGCAUCCGUUGCAUGGCAAUCCCUACUCCUCAUGUUGACAUCAAUUGAUGGGCAUCUCCGUAGCCCGUUGAUUAUCCUCGACAAUGUGAGACUUUCUCCUUUUUUGUCUUCUCCACACAAUCCCCAUCAUCAUAUUCUAUUCCACCCAUAGUGCUAUAUCCAUGGCUCACGCUCAUGUAUUGCGUGAAGGUUGAAAAAGUUUGAGAUUAUUUAAGUAUGAAACAAUUGCUUGGCUUGUCAUUGGGGGUAUAGAAGUUGGGAACAUCUUUGUGUGACGAAAAUGAAGCAUAGCCUAACUAUAUGAUUUUGUAGGGAUGAACUUUCUUUUGCCAUGCUAUUUUGAGAAGACAUGAUUACUUUGAUUAGUAUGCUUGAAGUAUUAUUAUUUUUAUGUCAAUAUGAAAUUUUUUCUUGAAUCUUUCGUAUCUGAAUAUUCAUACCACAAUUAAGAAGAUUUACAUUGAAAUUAUGCUAAGUAGCACUCCACAUCAAAAAUUAUCUUUUUUUAUCAUUUACCUACUCGAGGACGAGUAGGAAUUAAGCUUGGGGAUGCUUGAUACGUCUCCGACGUAUCUAUAAUUUUUGAUUGCUCCAUGCUAUAUUAUCUACUGUUUUAGGCAAUAUUGGGCUUUAUUUUUCACUUUUAUAUUACUUUUGGGACUAACCUAUUAAUCGGAGGCCCAGCCCAGAUUUGCUGUUUUAUGCCUAUUUCAGUGUUUCGAGAAAAAGGAAUAUCAAACGGAGUCAAAACGGAACGAAAUCAACUGGAGAAGUUAUUUUUGGAAGGAAACCCACCUGAUGGACUUGGACCCCACGUCAGAAGAUACGGGAGGUGCUCAUGAGGGUGGGGGGUGCGCCCACCCCCUUGGGCGCGCCCCCCUGCCUCGUGGGGCUCCCGUAGCUCCACCGACAUACUCCUUUCACCCAUAUAUACCUACGUACCCUAAAACUUCCAGAAUAGAAGAUAGAUCGGGAGUUCCGCCGCCGCAAGCCUCCAGAACCACCAAAAACCAAUCGGGACCCCUUUCCGGUACCCUGCCGGAUGGGGGAUCCAUCUCCGGUGGCCAUCUUCAUCAUCCCGGCGCUCUCCAUGACGAGGAGGGAGUAGUUCACCCUCGGGGCUGAGGGUAUGUACCAGUAGCUAUGUGUUUGAUCUCUCUCUCUCUCGUGUUCUCUCUCGUGUUCCCUCUAUGGCACGAUCUUGAUGUAUCCCGAGCUUUGCAAUUGUAGUUGGAUCUUAUGAUGUUUCUCCCCCUCUACUCUCUUGUGAUGAAUUGAGUUUUCACCUUGAAGUAAUCUUAUCGGAAUGAGUCUUUAAAGAUUUGAGAACACUUGAUGUAUGUCUUGCCGUGCGUAUCUGUGGUGACAAUGGGAUAUCACGUGCCACUUGAUGUAUGUUUUGGUGACCAACUUGCGGGUUCAGCCCAUGAACCUAUGCAUAGGGGUUGGCACAUGUUUUCGUCAUGAUUCUACGGUAGAAACUUUGGGGCACUCUUUGAAGUACUUUUAUGUUGGUUGGAUGAAUCUGAGAUUGUGUGAUGCAUAUCGUAUAAUCAUGCCCACGGAUACUUGAGGUGACAAUGGAGUAUCUAGGUGACAUUAGGGUUUUUAUUGAUUUGUGUCUUAAGGUGUUAUUCUAGUAUGAACUCUUUUAUAGAUUGAUCCGAAAGAAUAACUUUGAGGUGGUUUCGUACCCUACCAUAAUCUCUAUGUUUGUUCUCCGUUAUUAGUGGCUUUGGAGUGACUCUUUGUUGCAUGUUGAGCUAUUGUUAUAUGAUCUAUCUAUGUUAUUAUUGUUGAGAGAACUUGCACUAGUGAAAGUAGGAACCCUAGGCCUUGUUUCGUAGCAUUGCAAUACCGUUUACGCUCACUUUUACCAUUAGUUACCUUGUUGUUUUUAUAUUUUCAGUUUACAAAAACUUAUAUCUACCAUCCAUAUUGCACUUGUAUCACCAUCUCUUCGCCGAACUAGUGCACCUAUACAAUUUACCAUUGUAUUGGGUGUGUUGGGGACACAAGAGACUCUUUGUUAUUUGGUUGCAGGGUUGCUUGAGAGAGACCAUCUUCAUCCUACGCCUCCCGCGGAUUGAUAAACCUUAGGUCAUCCACUUGAGGGAAAUUUGCUACUGUCCUACAAACCUGUGCACUUGCAUUCCCAACAACGUCUACAAGAAGAAGGUUGUGCAGUAGACAUCAAAGUGUCACUCCGAAGCAUAUGGAGGACACCACGCUGGAUAUAGAACUGCACAUAAGGUAUUGAAAUCCGGUUUUUAUUGGCCUACUCUCUUCAAAGAUGCCCAUAUGUUUUUCUUGUCUUGUGAUGAAUGUCAAAGAAUUGGUAAUAUUAGUAGACGUCAAGAAAUGCCUGUGAAUUAUUCUCUUGUUGUUGAACCAUUUGAUGUUUGGGGCUUUGAUUAUAUGGGACCUUUUUCCUGCCUCUAAUGGAUAUACACAUAUUUUAGUUGUUGUUGAUUACGUUACUAAGUGGGUAGAAGCUAUUCCAACUAGUAGUGUUGAUCAUAACACCUCUAUUAAGAUGCUUAAAGAAGUUAUUUUCUCGAGGUUUGGAGUCCAUAGAUAUUUAAUGACCGAUGGUGGUUCAUGAUACGUCCAUUUUGCAUCAUGCUUUUAUAUUGAUAUUUAUUGCAUUAUGGGCUGUUAUUACACGUUAUGUCACGAUACUUAUGGCUAUUCUCUCUUAUUUUACUAGCUUUAUCAUGAAGAGGGAGAAUGCCGGCAGCUGGGAUUCUGGCUGGAAAAGGAGAAAAUAUUGGAAACCUAUUCUGCACAGCUCCAAAAGUCCUGAAACUCCACGAAAAUCAUUUUUGGAAUUAAUAAGAAUUAUUGAGCAAAGAAAGUACCAGAGGGGGCCCACACCCUGGCCACGAGGGUGGGGAGCUCCCCCCCCUUACUUGGCGCGCCCCCCUGUCUCGUGGGCCCCCUGUUGGCCCUUCGGUGCCCAUCUUCUACUAUAUGGAGUCUCUUACCCUGGAAAAAAUCAUAAGCAAGCUUACGGGAUGAAACUCCGCCGCCACGAGGCGGAACCUUGGAGGAACCAAUCUAGGGCUCCGGCGGAGCUGUUCUGCCAGGGAAACUUCCCUCCGGGAGGGGGAAAUCAUCACCAUCAAUAUCACCAACGAUCCUCUCAUCGGGAGGGGGUCAAUCUCCAUCAACAUGUUCACCAGCACCAUCUCCUCUCAAAACCCUAGUUCAUCUCUUUUAUCCAAUCUUGUAUCAAAACCACAAAUUGGUACCUGUGGGUUGCUAGUAGUGUUGAUUACUCCUUGUAGUUGAUGCUAAUUGGUUUAUUUGUUGGAAGAUCAUAUGUUCAGAUCCUUAUUGCAUGUUAAUACUCCUCCGAUCAUGAACAUGAAUAUGCUUUGUGAGUAGUUACGUUUGUUCCUGAGGACAUGGGUGAAGUCUUGCUAUUAGUAGUCAUGUGAAUUUGGUAUUCGUUCGAUAUUAUGAUGAGAUGUAUGUCGUCUCUCCUCUAGUGGUGUUAUGUGAACAUCGACUACAUGACACUUCACCAUUAUUUGGGCCUAUAGGAAGGCAUUGGGAAGUAUUAAGUAGAUGAUGGGUUGCUAGAGUGAUAGAAGCUUAAACCCUAGUUUAUGCGUUGCUUCGUAAGGGGAUGAUUUGGAUCCACUAGUUUCAUGCUAUGGUUAGGUUUACCGUAAUACUUCUUUUCUAGUUGCGGAUGCUUGCAAUAGGGGUUAAUCAUAAGUGGGAUGCUUGUCCGAGAAAGGGCAGUACCCAAGCACCGGUCCACCCACAUAUCAAAUUAUCAAAGUACCGAACGCGAAUCAUAUGAGCAUGAUGAAAACUAGCUUGACGAUAAUUCCCAUGUGUCCUCGGGAGCGCUUUUCUCAUUAUAAGAAAUUGUCCAAGCUUUUCCUUUGCUACAAAAAGGAUUGAGCCACCUUGCUGCAUCUUAUUUACUUUCAUUGCUUGUUACCCGUUACAAACUAUCUUAUCACAAAACUAUCUGUUACCCACAAUUUCAGUGCUUGCAGAGAAUACCUUACUGAAAACCGCUUGUCAUUUCCUUCUGCUCCUAGUUGGGUUCGACACUCUUACUUAUAGAAAGGACUACGAUAGAUCCCCUAUACUUGUGUGUCAUCAAGACACUUUUCUGGCGCCGUUGCCGGGGAGUGAAGCGCCUUUGGUGAGUGGAACUUGGUAAGGAAACAUUUAUAUAGUGUGCUGAAAUUUUCUUUCACCUGCUACUAUGGAAACUAAUCCUUUGAGGGGCUUGUUCGGGGCAUCUUCGCCCCGACCAGUAAAGCAAAGAAUUGCUCCUCAACCUACUGAACCUACUGAAAAUGUUUACUUUGAGAUUCCUUCGGUAUGAUAGAGACACUGCUAGCUAAUCCUUUUGCAUGAGAUGGAACAUUGCAUCCCGAUUUACACCUUAUCUUUGUGGAUGAAGUUUGUGGAUUAUUUAAGCUUGCAGGUAUACCCGAUGAUGUUGUCAAGAGGAAGGUCUUCCCUUUAUCUUUGAAGGGAGACACAUUGACAUGGUAUAGGUUAUGUGAUGAUACGGGAUUUUGGAAUUAUAAACGAUUGAAGUUGGAAUUUCACCAGAAGUUCUAUCCUAUGCAUCUUGUUCAUCGUGAUCGUAAUUACAUAUAUAAUUUUUGGCAUCGCGAAGGAGAAAGCAUCGCUAAGCUUGGGGGAGCCUUAAGUCAAUGUUAUAUUCCUGCCCUAAUCAUGAGCUCUCAAGAGAAAUGAUUAUUCAAAAAAUUUAUGCUCGGCUUUCUCUCAAUGAUUGCACCAUGCUUGAUACUUCCUGUGCUGGUUCUUAUAUGUUGAAGACUACUGAAUUCAAGUGGGACUUAUUGGAAAGAAUUAAACACAACUCUGAAGAUUGGGGUUCCGACGAUGGUAAGGAGUUAGGUAUGACACCUAAGUUUUAUUGUGUAAAUCUUUUAUGGAUAUCGAUGCCUUUCGUGGAUUUAGCACUAAAUAUGAACUUGACUCUGAGAUAGUAGCUUCUUUAUGUGAAUCUUUUGCUACUCACGUUGAUCUCCCUAAGGAGAAGUGGUUUAAAUAUAAUCCUCCCAUUGAAGUAAAAGUAGUUGCACCUAUUACAGUUGAAGAAAAGACUAUUACUUAUAAUGAUCCUAUUGUUCCUACUACUUAUGUUGAGAAACCACCUUUUCCUGUUAGGAUAAAAGAUCAUGCUAAAGCUUCAACUAUGGUUCGUAAGAGUAAUACUAGAACAUAUACACCUCCUGAGAAAAUUAAGUUGAACCCGGUAUUGCUAUGGUUAAAGAUCUCUUAGAUGAUAAUAUAGAUGGGCAUGUUAUUUACUUCUGUGGUGAAACUGCUAAUAUUGCUAGACCAGAUGCUAAGAUACAUAAACCUGUUGUAGGUAUGCCUGUUAUUUUUGUUAAAAUAGGAGAUCAUUGUUAUCAUGGCUUAUGUGAUAUGGGUGCUAGUGCUAGUGCAAUACCUUUUUCCUUAUAUGAAAAAAUUAUGCCUAGGGUAACUAAUGGUAAAAGUGAGCGUAAACGGUAUUGCAAUGAUAGGAAACAAGGCCUAGGGUUCAUACUUUCACUAGUGCAAGUUCUCUCAAUAAUAAUAACAUAGAUAGAUCAUAUAACAAUCCCUCAACAUGCAACAAAGAGUCACUCCAAAGCCACUAAUAGCGGAGAACAAACAUAGAGAUUAUGGUAGGGUACGAAACCACCUCAAAGCUAUUCUUUCGGAUCAAUCUAUAAAAGAGUUCGUACUAGAAUAACACCUUAAGACACAAAUCAACCAAAACCCUAAUGUCACCUAGAUACUCCAUUGUUACCUCAAGUAUCCGUGGGCAUGAUUAUACUAUAAGCAUCACACAAUCUCAGAUUCAUCCAACCAACACAAAGUACUUCAAAGAGUGCCCCAAAGUUUCUACCAGAGAGUCAAGAACGUGUGCCAACCCCUAUGCAUAGGUUCAUGGGCGGAAACCGCAAGUUGGUCACCAAAACAUACAUCAAGUGGCACAUGAUAUCCCAUUGUCACCACAGAUAAACACGGCAAGACAUACAUCAAGUGUUCUCAUAAAAGACUCAAUCCAAUAAGAUAACUUCAAAGGGGAAACUCAAUUCAUCACAAGAGAGUAGAGGGGGAUAAACAUCAUAAGAUCCAACUACAAUAGCAAAGCUCGGGAUACAUCAAGAUCGUGCCAUAGAGGGAACACGAGAGAGAACACGAGAGAGAGAGAGAGAUCAAACACAUAGCUACUGGUACAUACGCUCAGCCCCGACGGUGAACUACUCCCUCCUCGUCAUGCAGAGCGCCGGGAUGAUGAAGAUGGACACCGGUGAUGGGUUCCCCCUCCGGCAGGGUGCCGGAACAGGCUCCCGAGAGGUUUUUGGUGGCUACAGAGGCUUGCGGCGGUGGAACUCCCGAUCUAUCUUCUGUUCUGGAAGUUUUACGAUACGUAGGUAUAUAUGGGUGCAAGGGUUACGUCGGUGGAGCUUUGGGGGCCCCACGAGGCAGGGGGGCGCACCCUAGGGGGGUGGGCGUGCCCCCACCCUCGUGGCCAACUCCCGUAUCUUCUGACGUAGAGUCCAAGUCUAUCUGGUGGCUUUCCUUCCAAAAAUAACUUCUCCAGUUGAUUUCGUUCCGUUUCAACUCCGUCUGAUAUUCCUUUUUCUCGAAACACUGAAAUAGGCAUAAAACAGCAAAUCUGGGCUGGGCCUCCGGUUAAUAGGUUAGUCCCAAAAGUAAUAUAAAAGUGGAAAAUAAAGCCCAAUAUUGCCCAAAACAGUAGAUAAUAUAGCAUGGAGCAAUCAAAAAUUAUAGAUACGUUGGAGACGUAUCAAUGGUAUGCUGAUUAUGCUAAUUACAUUGUUGCUAAAUUUAUACCACCUAGUUUCACAUACCAGCAAAAGAAAAAGUUCUUUUAUGAUUUAAGACAUUACUUCUGGGAUGACCCACACCUUUAUAAAGAAGGAGUAGAUGGUGUUAUUAGACGUUGUGUACCUGAGCAUGAACAGGAACAGAUCCUACGCAAGUGUCACUCGGAACCAUACGGGGGACACCACGCUGGAGAUAGAACUGCACAUAAGGUAUUGCAAUCCGGUUUUUAUUGGCCUACUCUCUUCAAAGAUGCUCGUAAGUUUGUCUUGUCUUGUGAUGAAUGUUAGAGAAUUGGUAAUAUUAGUAGACGUCAAGAAAUGCCUAUGAAUUAUUCUGUUGUUAUUGAACCAUUUGAUGUUUGGGGCUUUCAUUAUAUGGGACCUUUUCAUGCCUCUAAUGGAUAUACACAUAUUUUAGUUGCUGUUGAUUACGUUACUAAGUGGGUAGAAGCUAUUCCAACUAGUAGUGUUGAUCAUAACACCUCUGUUAAAAUGCUUAAGGAAGUUAUUUUUCCGAGGUUUGGAGUCCCUAGAUAUCUCAUGACUGAUGGUGGUUCACAUUUUAUUCAUGGUGCUUUUCAUAAAAUGCUUGCUAAGUAUGAUGUUAAUCAUAGAAUUGCAUCUCCUUAUCACCCACAGUCUAGCGGUCAAGUAGAGUUGAGUAAUAGAGAGCUCAAAUUAAUUUUGCAAAAGACUGUCAAUAGAUCUAGAAAGAAUUGGUCCAAGAAACUUGAUGAUGCAUUAUGGGCCUAUAGAACUGCAUAUAAAAAUCCUAUGGGUAUGUCUCCGUAUUAGAUGGUUUAUGGAAAAGCAUGUCACUUACCUCUCGAACUCGAACAUAAGGCAUAUUGGGCUAUUAAAGAGCUCAACUAUGAUUUCAAACUUGCCGGUGAGAAGAGGUUAUUUGAUAUUAGCUCACUUGAUGAAUGGAGAACCCAAGCAUAUGAGAAUGCCAAGCUGUUUAAAGAAAAAGUUAAAAGAUGGCAUGAAAAAAGUAUACAAAAGCGUGAAUUUAACGUAGGUGAUUAUGUGUUGCUAUUCAACUCUCGUUUAAGAUUUUUUGCAGGAAAACUUCUCUCUAAGUGGGAAGGUCCUUACGUUAUCGUGGAGGUCUAUCGUUCUGGUGCCAUAAAAAUCAACAACUUCGAAGGCACUAAUCUGAAGGUGGUGAAUGGUCAAAGAAUCAAACACUAUAUCUCAGGUAAUCCUAUAAAUUUUGAAAAUAAUAUUAUUGAAACCAUAACCCCGGAGGAAUACAUAAGGGACACUUUCCAGAACAUUUCAGACUCCGAAAAGGAAUAGGUAUGUGGUACGGUAAGUAAACCGACUCCAAAAUAGUUCAAAUGGCAUUUUUUCUCCGUUUUGGAAUAUUUAAGAAUUUUGGAAAGCAAGAAGUAAACUGGGAAGGACACGAGGCCUCCACGAGGGUGGAGGACGCGCCCACCCUUACUGGAUGCGCCCCCUGCCUCGUGGCACCUCGUGUGCCUCCCGGACUCCAUUUUCUUGCAUGUUACUUCUUUUGAUCGGUAAAAAUUCAUUACAUAAUCUCCUGAAUGUUUUGACCACCAUAUCAUGCAAUUAUCUCCUGUUUUCGUUUCGAGCUGUUUUUCUGACAGAUCUAGAGCUAGCACCAUCACGUCUCCAAGCGCUCCCAAGGACAAGUUUUUUGAGAGGGUUAUCAAGCCCUAUCUCACGGAGGUGCUGCAACACCCUCAAACCAUUGAGAUGUGUGAGAGGGUGCUGCACAUCUGCGAUGUGGAGAGACCAAGGCGUACUGGAAGCGUGGAGACAAAGCUCGAAGCUAUGGAUCAACAAGUCUUCAAGUUCCAAGGGAUGGUGGAGCGUGGACUCAACGCCAACCAGAUGAUGAUCGCGGAAUUCACCAACAACAACAAGCUAGAUGCCAAGAACAUUGGGGAUACCAUCUUCAAGCUUCAUGAGAAAAUCGAGCACCUCCAAGCCCGGAUCUAUGACCUGCAAAACCAAAACUGUGAGUAUGAAUAUAGAUUCAAGAGGAUGAGUUUGGCUGCAGAUUUGAGGAUCCCGGAGACUCGAUCAUCCUUCUAUGAUGGUGAUCCUAUGCCUUGGAAGAUGGACGACUAGCCCACAUCAUCAAAAACUCCUUCUUCACCACCUCCAAGGACAUAAUCACAUGGGUAUGGCACUCCCCUUGGCAACUGCUAAGCUUGGGGGAGGUGCCCCGGUAUCGUAUCACCAUCACACUCCUAUCUUUACCGUUUUACUUAGUUCGAUCCUUUUAGUAAUAUCUAGAUCUAGUAGAAUAAAGUUUUGGUAUGAAUUAGUUUUGAGUUUUGCUUUGUGAUCUCUCUAUGUAAUCGAGUCCGUGAGCUAUCUAUAAUAAAGAUUAGUGUUGAGUCAAGGGCUUUACUAUCUUGCUAUGAUCUUGAGAAAAUAGAAAGAAUAAAAAGAAAACAAGAGUUCAUAUUGAUCUUAUGGAUAGUAAUGACUUCACAUAUAAAGAGUAUGAGGCAUAAAAGUUGUUGAGAGUUGACAAACAUAGUUUUGGUCAUCAUUGCAAUUAAUAGGAAGUAAUAAAAAAGAGAGGUUUUCACAUAUAAAUAUACUAUCUUGGACAUCUUUUAUAAUUGUGAGCACUCAUUAAAGUUGGACAAGGAAGACAACGUAAUGGGUUAUGUUUUCUCACAUCUCAGUUAAAGUAUAUUGUCAUGGAUCUUCCGAACAUGUUGAGCUUUCCUUUCCCCCUCAUGCUAGCCAAAAAUUGCUUGCACCAAGUAGAGAUACUACUUGUGCUUCCAAACAUCCUUAAACCCAUUUUUUCCAUGAGAGUCCACCAUACCUACCUAUGGAUUGAGUAAGAUCCUUCAAGUAAGUUGUCAUGUUGCAAGCAAUAAAAAUUGCUCUCUAAAUAUGUAUGACUUAUUAGUGCAGAGAAAAUAAGCUUUAUACGAUCGUGUAAUAUGGAAGUAAUAAAAGCGAUGGACUGCAUAAUAAAGGUUCAUUGUCGGUGUCAAAACCGGCGGAUCUCGGGUAGGGGGUCCCGAACUAUGCGUCUAGGCGGAUGGUAACAGGAGACGAGGGACACGAUGUUUUACCCAGGUUCGGGCCCUCUCGAUGGAGGUAAAACCCUACGUCCUGCUUGAUUAAUAUUGAUGAUAUAGGUAGUACAAGAGUAGAUCUACCACGAGAUCAGAGAGGCUAAACCCUAGAAGCUAGCCUAUGGUAUGAUUGUUGUGUAUAUCUUUAUCGACUAGCCUGGCCUCGGUUUAUAUAAUGCACCAGAGGCCUAGGAUAACAAGAGUCCUAGCCGAAUACGCCGGUGGGGGAGGAGUCCUUGUCUUGAUCGCCAAGUCUUGUAGAAUCUUCCUUGUAUGCGGCGCCUGUCCAGACUGGCCCAUGAGUAUACAGCCGUGGGGGUCCUCGGCCCAAUCUAAUAGAUCGGGAGAUGACGUGGUGAGUACCCCCUAGUCCAGGACACCGUCAGUAGCCCCCUGAACCGGUCUUCAAGUUAGGGAUGCUCCUCGAUUCUUCUGAACUGUUCUUCAUCUUCGGUCAUCGGACUUGAAAACUGGUUCAACAAAUCUGCUCAUCUUCGAUCUUGAGGAUCGCCGAAAUGCAUUCGACGAGCUUACACGUCGGGUAUCCGAGGAGCCCCUUUAAGUUACCGGCCUUUAUCAAUGCCUUGUUAUUUUUAUGCCACACCUCGGGUUUGAAGUUGUUCCCGGGUGGCAACGUCCUCUUGCGUCCGAGCUCCAACGCCGGACUGCAUUCGAGGUAUCUUUUGCAGCCGAGCACCAAUGCCGGACUGCUUCCCAGCUCUAACGCCGGACUAUGUAUCCGAGCUCCAACGCCGGACUAUGUAUCCGAGGUGUCGUAAAUCACCUUGGUUCAAAGAAGUUUGAAGGAGUUUAGCCGAGCUUAAUGCCGGAAAUGCCCUCUAUGGAGCCAGCCACUGGCGCCCGAGCUUUAUGCCGGACUGCUUCUGAGGUGGUGCACCACCCUGAAUAUGGGCCGAUUUUUGGUCAAUAUUUUUUAUUGAUGCAAUUUAUUCUCUAACGAGAUAUAUAGCCAGUAGCCCUCAAGGUGUGUAUCGGUCUAAAACCCGAGAUGCACCUGAAGGAUGACAUAAGACCGCUGAUCCCAGUAACCGCUGAGACUCAGGUUGAUUUGCAAAAUCGGCCUGAGGAUCAAGUCCUAGCUCGGCAGAAUACUUCGGAACACAAAAAGCGGCGUGCUCAGUCCUCGAGACUCGGGUUGGGUGCGGCCGACCAACCUGAGGAUCAAAAUCUCCUCGGAAACUGUAUUGCACUUAAAAUUUUCUGCAUAGAACAAGCAAUGCAGUAGCCCCCGAGACACUGGUCGGGUGGCAACACCAGAUCAGGGGAUCAAUGUGCCCCUUUAAUAUGUUUAAAUAAUAAGCCCGAAGCCCAGUAGCCCCCGAGCCUUAAUGCGGGCACGGGUGGCCAAAUUAAGGAUCGAUAUCCAUAGUAAAAUCACAAAUUGUGUGUAAUGACUCUAUGUAUCCAAGUACUUUACGUCAUUUAAUGCUCGGAUCCGCAUUGUACAAAACUUUGUUGACCGACCAUCGGCUUCCACCUCCUCGGUAAAUAGCCGAGGAGUGUUUGUCCUACUUUAUAAAGCCUUUAUGAGGGCAAAGAUUUACAACAAACAAGGCAAUCUGGCCAUACUAUUUUAUAAACAAAGGUACACAGAGAGAUAUGUUAUAUUACUGUUUAGCAGAUGAAAUGUCUUCCAAAGAAAAUAGUCCCGCUAUCGGUUCUUUUCUUUGGGUUGUCAUGCUAAGCAAGAUCAUGAAACCUCAGCUCCAAUGUAAGAGCAAAAUAUCAAGGAUUUAGUUUGGGAGGCCAGUUAAUAGCCCCCGGUAAUGUUCGGCGACAGUCGAGGCCAAGCCGGAAACACUUCGGCCAUUGUUAUGAAUGGCCCGUCGUUUAACACCGUCAUCGGAUCGCUGACCAGUUUACGCUUAUUGUGACAGUCAGUUUUCGGCUUUCUCCACUGAGGUGCUUAACCAUGUGAGCUGGAAGCACAAUCGCAGUGGUUCUCCCUUUGCACACCUAGUCGAACAAAGCGGAACGUAGUAGGCAAGCGCAGGAGCCGGGCAACCCAACUAUUGACCGAAGACACAAUUCGAAACCGAUGCAUAUAUAGCAAUAUCUGAGAAUGUUUUUGCCGAAUCUCUAAAGGAGUCCGGCGCUGCACUACGAGACUUGUGCUGAAAACACACAAAUAGUUUAAAAGUGCCAAAAGCUUGGAAAACCAAAAAACGUCAGUAAAAACAUGACGUCCGAACAAGAUCAAGUGUUCGGUGCCAAUUCGAAAAUUGGACUUUAGAGAAAAAAAGUGCUUCUGCCGUGCUUUAACAUGACACAUCCUAUCUCAAGACUUCAAGCGGGUCAGCCUACGGCUUCAGUCUCCCAUCCCGAAGGCGGAGUACUUCUCAUUAGGCCAGUUUAGAAAACUAAACUCUAGCGGUUUUGAGAGAGAAAUUAGGCUCCCCGGCUAGUGACCGCACACUCGUGUCGAAAAAAGAAGUGAUAAAUAAUAAAAACUUUGCAACGACUAAGAAGAAAAACACUUAGUACAAAACGACUCCAAUAAACAUAAGAGCCCCCAAGUGACUUGGGUAAAAGUUGACUAUAUAAUGUAAGGUGACAUGUAAAAUGCCUUCUAGCCGGAUUGUAGAUCGUUUGUCAUAGCGGACCUUUUCGCUUCAACCUCUGGACCCAAUAGUCCGGAGUGUGUCCGAAUACCCUCGCGGUUAUAAAAACCGGGGCAUGCGUGGAGACCAGGCGUAGGGGUCAUUAGUGCUUUAUCAGACAAGUGCCCGACUAGUUAUGUUAUAUUACAUGGUUAGUAAGAAACAUCUUCCAGGGAGAAUAGUUCCGUUAGGGGUUCCUUUCCCUGGGAGGCAUGCCCUAAAGUGCAUGUCCGGACUGCGAAAAGAACAGAAAAACAUCUGGGGGCAGGUAAAUGAAUAUGUAAGAAAUCAUCUUUUAGUUCACCGACCGAGUAUUCCCUUAAGAACGCUAGCUUUCGGCUUCACCCAGUCUGAGGUACACAUCCGGCUGACCCGGCAGUAACAAUCGCAGAGGUGCUCCCUUUACCACCUAGCCGAACAAUCGGGAACGUAGGGGUAAGCACAGGAGCCAGGCAACCCAGCUUGGCCAAAACUUAAGUCAUAUCGAUGCAUAUAAUGGUGAAUAAAAGGUACAUGCGGAAGUGUGACACAUGUGUUGGGCAUAAAGCCCGCAUUAAUAAGCUUCUGUUAAAGAAGCCCCCAGGUAUAAUGAACGCGGGUAACGCGUCAAGUGUGUGCGCAUAAAGUUUGGACAAGGGAAAUUUUUACAAGCAACUUUUUUCCAAAAAAGUAUAAUGCUUGGUCGAGCCGAACACAAGUAAAAAAUUAAAACUUUGAGCAUGAAGGCAACUUAGCUGGUUAAUGUGUUCAGUAUUGAUGACGUGGUCCGAGCUUGAUGCAGGACGAGGUUCCAUCCCCCAAGCUGGUCCCGAGGUGGCCGAGCAAAGAGCUUGGCACUCCAAAGUGGUGACAUAGCACGGGCAAUACAGGCCGGCAGAGUGAUGCGAAGUCCCCGACAUGGGGUAAUGAAGUGUUGACGAAGCCCCCCGUCCAGCCGAGGUGACGCCAAAGGAUAUAGUCCGGCUGGAUCAUUUUCCUGUGCAUAAAAAAUAGUGCAAACCGAAGAUAAUAGCAAUAACAAUAAAAAAAUCAUUGCAUAAUAAAUAAUUUAUGCAAAAUAAGUAAUAAAAGAAACAAGGCCUGGCGCCGAGGUCGAUGUCGAUGCAGGGCGUCGGCGUGAUGCGGUAAAGGCAUGGCAAAGCCUGAAUUCACAGGUCGGUCCGUGCUCCGGAUGCGGCGUUCGCCGAACUAUGUACGGAGACUGACCGAACCAUCAUGCGACCGUCGUUAAUGCGGCCACCAUUUGAUAGACCUGUGAACAUAUGAUGGACAAACCAGAGUAAUAAUUCCUUGGAAAAAAUGAACCCAAACAAGCAAAAAAUAUUAGGAUUAAUAGCACCUGAUUUAUUUGUUGUAGCAAUCCAAAGGAGGAGGAUGCUGGCAAAGGUUGGCUUGCCGAGGCAAAGCCCUCGGUCCAGCUAAUCGUGACGAAGCUGGUCGGCUAGUGACGCCGAAGUGUCCGGAGUAGGUUGAUGAAGAGAUGAUGAAUCCUCCGGUCCAGCCGAGAUGUCGAAGUAGUUCGGCGUGAUGGACACCGGCUUGAAAGAGCAACAGUGCGGCCCUGCCGAUGCAGGUCAUGACGUGGUCGAUGCCGGCUUGAUGAAGCGACCGUGCGGCGAUGCCGAUAUUCCCGCUCCGUGUAAUCCGUGGGGCGGCGAUGUUGAUGAUGAUUUGUUCUUCGCGAUGCCGGACUCUUGUUCGGCUUGCCGAGAUAAUGAUCCAAAGAAGUUGAGCUCGGCUCAACAAAGUGACGACGUGUCUAGCGCAGGUCGGCAGCCGUGGAGCAAUAUUGCCGGACUGGUUUGACACCAGCAAUGAUGUUGUAGAUCAUGUUCAAAAGAUCUUAAGGUUAGUGGGAUGUGUUUGGGAACAACACACAAUAUCCCAUACAAAACUUCCUUCAAAAAGGAUGUCCGAAAUCCCGUUCAUAAAAAAGAUGAAUUCGGGUCGGAUUCGUUCUCGCGCAGAAAACAAAUCCGAAAAGUGAUGCACUAAUCGGAAGGUUCUUGGAGUUCUGACGGUCGGAUCGAGCUGAAAUUUGGAGGGGUGGUAGAUGUUGGAAUUCCGCAGCAGAUCAACGGUUGGAUCUUCCAAAGGACGUCCGAGCUAGAAGCUGGACACCACGCCCUAAACUCAUCCAGGUUCCCGUCCAUAUUUGACAGGGCUCCGGUAUAUCAUGGAUUGCGAGAGAUUCCUCCAUCGGAACUCGACGAAAUUUUCCAGGGUCGUUGUAGACUCAAUUCCGCACAAUUUCACCAAAGCGAUCGUCAAAGCGAUACUCGAGGAGGUGGUGGCAGCAGAUACGAGUUCGCUGUCCAGAAAAACAGCACGGUCGCUUGAGGGCAAUGUUGACGUUGAGCCCCCGAGCUCCAUGGAUGAUUCCUCCGUGAUCUUUAUAGAGAUCGGAGUUGAUGUUUGAUGAAGGCCCUCGUCUGAAUAUGGUGAUCAGAACACGGGGCGCGAUUCUUGGUCGAACCAAGGUGACCAGUCGAGCUGGUGACGAAGAUGUCGAAGUCGCAGUUGAUCUGCAGGCGAGCCAUCGAUCCUUUUGUCGAUCACACAGCGGAACUCUCAAUGAAAGCACCAAUGUCGGUGUCAAAACCGGCGGAUCUCGGGUAGGGGGUCCCGAACUGUGCGUCUAGGCGGAUGGUAACAGGAGACGAGGGACAUGAUGUUUUACCCAGGUUCGGGCCCUCUCGAUGGAGGUAAAACCCUACGUCCUGCUUGAUUAAUAUUGAUGAUAUGGGUAGUACAAGAGUAGAUCUACCACGAGAUCAGAGAGGCUAAACCCUAGAAGCUAGCCUAUGGUAUGAUUGGUGUGUAUAUCUUUAUCGACUAGCCUGGCCUCGAUUUAUAUAAUGCACCAGAGGCCUAGGAUAACAAGAGUCCUAGCCGAAUACGCCGGUGGGGGAGGAGUCCUUGUCUUGAUCGCCAAGUCUUGUAGAAUCUUCCUUGUAUGCGGCGCCUAUCCGGACUGGCCCAUGAGUAUACGGCCGUGGGGGUCCUCGGCCCAAUCUAAUAGAUCGGGAGAUGACGUGGUGAGUACCCCCUAGUCCAGGACACCGUCAUUCAUAUCACAAGUGAAUGUAAAGUUAUGUUCUUUUGCAUUAAGAUUUUGUGCAUCCAACCCUAAAAGCACAUGACAACCUCUGCUUCCCUCUGUGAAGGUUCUAUCUUUUACUUUAUGUCUUUACAUUAUGCAAGAGUCAAGGUGAUCUUCACCUUUCCCUUUUCCAUUUUAUCCUUUGGCAAGCACCUCUUGUUGGAAAGAUCCUGAUAUAUAUAUAUAUCCAAUUGGAUGUAAGUUAGACAGAACUAUUAUUGUUGACAUCACCCAAAGGUGAAUACGUUGGGAGGCGAAAUUAUAAGCCCCUAUCUUUCUCAGUGUCCAAUUAAGACUCCAUAACCAUAAGUAUUGCGUGAGUGUUAGAAAUUGUAGAAGACUAUAUGAUAGUUGAGUAUGUGGACUUGCUGAAAAGCUCUAUUCUUGACUCUUUCUGAUGUUAUGAUAAAUUGCAAUUGCUUCAAUGACUGAGAUUAUAGUUCGUUAGUUCUCAAUGAAAUUUUUGAACCAUACUUGACAUUGUGAAUAGAUUGUUACUUGAGCAUAAGAAAUCAUAUGACAAAAUCUAUAUAUGUUGCUGUUAUAAGAAUGAUCAUGAUGCCCUCAUGUCCGUAUUUUAUUUUUAUCGACACCUCUAUCUCUAAACAUGUGGACAUAUUUUUCGAUUUCGGCUUCCGCUUGAGGACAAGCGAGGUCUAAGCUUGGGGGAGUUGAUACGUCCAUUGCGCAUCAUGCUUUUAUAUCGAUAUUUAUUGCAUUAUGGGCUGUUAUUAACAUUAUGUCAUGAUACUUAUGGCUAUUCUCUCUUAUUUUUACAAGGUUUAUCAUGAAAAGGGAGAAUGUCGGCAGCUGGGAUUUUGGCUGGAAAAGGAGCAAAUACUGGAAACCUAUUCUGCACAGCUCCAAAAGUCCUGAAACUCCACGAAAGUCAUUUUUGGAAUUAAUAAGAAUUAUUGAGCAAAGAAAGUACCGGAGGGGGCCCACACCCUGGCCACGAGGGUGGGGGCGCCCCCCCCCUACUGGGCGCGUCCCCCUGUCUCAUGCGCCCCCUGUUGGCCCUCCAGUGCCCAUCUUCUUCUAUAUGAAGUCUCUUACCCUGAAAAAAAUCAUAAGCAAGCUUACGGGAUGAAACUCCGCUGCCACGAGGCGGAACCUUGGCGGAACCAAUCUAGGGCUCCGGCGGAGCUGUUCUGCCGGGGAAACUUCCCUCCGGGAGGGGGAAAUCAUCACCAUCGUCAUCACCAACGAUCAUCUCAUCGGGAGGGGGUCAAUCUCCAUCAACAUCUUCACCAGCACCAUCUCCUCUCAAAACCCUAGUUCAUCUCUUGUAUCCAAUCUUGUAUCAAAACCACAAAUUGGUACCUGUGGGUUGCUAGUAGUGUUGAUUACUCCUUGUAGUUGAUGCUAAUUGGUUUAUUUGGUGUAAGAUCAUAUGUUCAAAUCCUUAAUGCAUAUUAAUACUCCUCUGAUCAUGAACAUGAAUAUGCUUUGUGAGUAGUUACGUUUGUUCCUGAGGACAUGGGUGAAGUCUUGCUAUUAGUAGUCAUGUAAAUUUGGUAUUCGUUCGAUAUUUUGAUGAGAUGUAUGUUGUCUCUCCUCUAGUGGUGUAAUGUGAAUGUUGAUUACAUGACACUUCACCAUUAUUUGGGCCUAGAGGAAGGCAUUGGGAAGUAAUAAGUAGAUGAUGGGUUGCUAGAGUGACAGAAGCGUAAACCCUAGUUUAUGCGUUGCUUCGUAAGGGGCUGAUUUGGAUCCACUAGUUUCAUGCUAUGGUUAGGUUUACCUUAAUACUUCUUUUGUAGUUGCGGAUGCUUGCAAUAGGGGUUAAUCAUAAGUGGGAUGCUUGUCCAAGAAAGCGCAGUACCCAAGCACCGGUCCACCCACAUAUCAAAUUAUCAAAGUACCAUAUGCGAAUCAUAUGAGCGUGAUGAAAACUAGCUUGACGAUAAUUCCCAUGUGUCCUCGGGAGCACUUUUCUCAUUAUAAGAAAUUUUCCAGGCUUUUCCUUUGCUACAAAAAGGAUAGGGCCACCUUGCUGCACCUUAUUUACUUUCAUUGCUUGUUACCCAUGACAAACUAUCUUAUCACAAAACUAUCUGUUACCCACAAUUUCAGUGCUUGCAGAGAAUACCUUACUGACAAUCGCUUGUCAUUUCCUUCUGCUCCUCAUUGGGUUUGACACUCUUACUUAUCAAAAGGACUACCAUAGAUCCCCUAUACUUGUGGGUCAUCAGUUCACAUUUUAUUCAUGGUGCUUUCUGUAAAAUGCUUGCUAAGUAUUAUGUUAAUCAUAGAAUUGCAUCUCCAUAUCACUCACGAUCUAGUGGUCAAGUAUAACUUAGCAAUAGAGAGCUCAAAUUAAUUUUGCAAAAGACUGUUAAUAGAUCUAGAAAAAAUUGGUCCAAGAAACUUGAAGAUGCAUUAUGGGCCUAUAGAACUGCAUACAUAAAUCCUAUGGGUAUGUCUCAAUAUAAAAUGGUUUAUGGAAAAGCAUGUCACUUACCUCUCGAACUUGAACAUAAGGCAUAUUGGGCCAUUAAAGAGCUCAAUUAUGAUUUCAAACUUGUCGGUGAGAAGAGGUUAUUUGAUAUUAGCUCACUUGAUGAAUGGAGGACCCAAUCCUAUGAGAAUGCCAAGUUGUUUAAAGAAAAAGUUAAAAAAUGGCUGUAACACCCCAAAAAUUUAACCAUGAUUUAUUGAUUAAAAUUUUGCCUUGGUAAAUUAAAUUUUUAUUUUCUGGAUUUUGUUUAAUUCAGAACCACUCUUUUCUUCUGAGUUGUGGAGUUUCCACCCCAAGUAAAAACUUUUCAAAUGAUGUUGGACUUGUAUACCCUCUCUAGAAACAUUUCUUUCAUCAGAGAAUUAUUUAUACAAGUAUUUUCCCUGAGUCUAUAGCCCCACCUUGCUACACCUCAUGUGGAUUAGAGCCCCCUGGCAAGCAGUGGCAUUUUGCCGAGCACCUCGUGUGCGUGCUCUAGGCGCACCCAGAGUGCACGUUUUGCACGCGCGCGCACCGAGCCGCCGCGUCUCGCUGCCGCCCUCCUCCGCGCCCGUUCUUGUCCCUUGGCCACUCGCAGCCAGCGCGCCCGACCCCUCCCUCGUUGCAGAGCCGCCCUGGCCCCCUCCUGGCACUCUACAGAGCCACCACCGCAAGCCGCCACCAUCGCUCCAACAGCCCCUGCCAUGGACGGCGCCGCCCGAGCCACAGCCGCGCGCCAGCUGCCCCUGGAACAGCUCGAGCUCAUCCCCUCGCCCUGCCAGACCCCGCCAGCCAUCGCCACGCGCACCCUGGCUACAGAACGGCGGUCGCCGACAAUCUUAUCCCCGGCCGCCGCGGAACCGACCUCGACCGCUAUAAAUAGGGACCCCCGAGCUCCUCCAAACCCCCAGGCAACCUCAGGCCAUUCCUUUGAUGCUCCCAUAGCCAACAAUCGACGGGGGAAGGCCUUCUUCCUCGUCUCCGGCCAACUCGGCCGCCGCCACGCUCCGGUGCCAUGCGUCGCAAGCAGAGCCUCCCCGGUCCAUCCAGCGCCGCCAUUCAACUCUCCUAGACCUUGGGGAGCCACCAUUCGCCGACGUUGAUCACCGGAGCCCCGCCUCUGUUCGGCCAGAGGAAGAGGGAGGCGCGGCGACUGGUCAAACCUGACCAGUGGGCCCAAGGGACCCACUGUCAGUGAUCAACGAGCCGAUCCACGCUGGCAUAAGUGGAGGUGUAAACCCAGAGUACGUCUCCUACGUGUUUUUAUUCGAAACGUUUUUAUUUUUCUAUUUUAUUUAAAAACAGAAUUUUGACUAAACUUUGACUAGCUAUAACUUUUUAAAUAUAAGUCCAAAUGAUAUGAUUCUUUUUCUGUUGUUUCUCAAAUUUUGUCUAGUUUAUUUUCAUAUUUAUUUGAAAAUUUUCCAAACAAAUUUUUUGUACUGUUUUGAAACUAUGUGUUAAUUUGAAUUUUCUCAAAAUAGGAUUGUUGGAGAGAGAAGAAAACUUUCAAAAAGUUUUGGAAUGCACCCUGCCUCUCCACAACUUGAAGGCAAGCAUUCUGAACCCUGGCAUAAUAUUUUUGUGUGUUGUUUGAUACGGUUACAACACCACCUUGACAUGGAGCAUUCGUUAUUUUAUGUGAUGAUACGAUCAUACGCAUGUGUGCAUAAUGAAGAUUCUUUGCUGUUGGAAAUGGAUAUGCUUGUGAUAGUAAUCAUCCUCGUAUGCCUUCCAUGCCUACUAGAAGGAAGCCGGGAAAGUCUCUAUGUUGGGUAGACACGAGCUUGUCUCUAGUUCCUCGUUGAGACGGUUGUGUCCGGUAUGGCAUGAUGAGGUAUGAUGAGUGGUGAUUCUGUCUGUUGGUUGAAAUAUAUUUGUUAUGCUAAUCAUGCAGGAAAUACUUAAACCUCCUGAGUCGACCAUAGAUCGAGCCUUGUUCCAGUAACCCCCAUACUUGUUUCAUACUACCACUUAUCCCUGCCGCAGGUAGGGUACAGUUCAGUAAGUUGUCAACCCCUUUCUUGGCACACAUCGUACAGAGAGGCCAUGGUGGAAGAUACCGGCUGCAUCCGGUAGGCAUGCCACUUGGUCCAGGGGCAUGGGUGUUUCCGGUUGGGACCGAGAGGGGGGCACCCCUUAGUAGCACGCGGUAUAAAUUUGAUCCCAUGCUAAUCGAGGUUGCAGCCUCCCCACUUAGAGUUUUGCUUAAUAGGUGUCGUGGGUGAUUCCAGACACCGGUAAGUUAAGCUGGUGUGUGCGGGUCAGGUGUGUUUUCAAUUAAAAGACCGUGGACGGAAUUAGUCCUGAUGGACUAAAGGAAUCCGUUACUCGUGGGUAAAGAUUAAACCCUCUGCAGAGGUUAUAUCUAUUCGAAUAGCCGUGUCCAUGGUUAAGGACUACAGUCUGGGAUGGGUCAAGUGUCGGUCUUCGGAGGAGAAACUGCUAAACCAGAAACAUGGAUCAUGACUUGUGACUUAUGAUGAUUAUGAUUAUUAUUAUUACGGACUAAUCAUUUAUAUUUAUUGAAUUAUUGAGUAUCCCUGGGACGGUUCUACCUCCCGGAUAUUCACUGCGACUACCCUCUUAUAAGCCCUUUAUGUGGUGUCGCUCAGACGCCCGACUGUGGCAUGCUUGUUAAUUAUUUACUUUAUAAGCCCUUUAUGUGGUGUCGCACAGACGCCCGACUGUGGCAUGUUUGUUAUUUAUUUACUUUAUAAGCCCUUUAUGUGGUGUCGCUCAGACGCCCGACUAUGGCAUGCUUGUUAUUUAUUUACUUUAUAAGCCCUUUAUGUGGUGUCUCAUAGACGCCCGACUGUGGCAUGUUUGUUAUUUAUUUACUUUAUAAGCCCUUUAUGUGGUGUCGCACAGACGCUCGACUGUGGCAUGUUUGUUAUUUAUUUACUUUAUAAGCCCUUUAUGUGGUGUCGCUCAGACGCUAAACUGAGGCAUGCUUUAUAUUAUUAUCCUUUCGAGGCGUCGCUUCAGACACCCAAUCGGUGCAUUCUAUUUCCACUCUCUGAUUGCACACUCAUGUUUUAUAUAAACAACCUGCUUGCGUGUAUCAUGGAUUUUUAUUUCGUGACUGAAGUUGUGAUCAUAGAAUAUUUCGGAGCAUGAUUAUCAUUUGUUAUAUUAUACCAAUGUUCAUAAUGUUUGUGAGUACAUUCAAAGUACUCACUGGCUUGUCCCUGGCUAUUGUCUUGGCCAGAUUUCUUGCUUGGAGAGGAGCAUUGCGAUGACAGCCCCGGAACCUAAUCAACGGAGAUAGCAGCCUCGCGAAGAUAGGAGUUAUCCUGGUCAGCUGUUCGUGUGGGAAAUGGAGUCCCAUAGACGCUGAAAGACCACAAACCGCUUCCGCCAUCAGCCACCAGAAAUCGUUUGUUGUACUCAUAGGCCAGAAUGGUCUUGUACUACAUAUUUUGUAUUUUGCUUGGAAUUUCUGUAUCAAGUUGGUGCCUCAUCAGCUAACAGUAAUCCUGGGGCUGGUGAGCACAAGGACCAUUUUCUGGGAAAUUGAUAUCCCGAAAACCCGGCCCUUACAACCUUUGUAUCAGAGCCAGGCUGACCAUUGGCUAAUCCUAUCUUAGCCAAGUCGAAAAACCUAGGUUAACCAACCCACCAGACCUUAACCUUACCCCAGGCAAGCUUCUCAUGUAAGAUAGCCACACAGUGACCCGACACCUUUUGGCAAUCGGUGCCCAACCUAUCAGCCUAGCUUGUCGAUCACGCGCUAGUGACCGACACCUAAAGUGUCUCAUUUGCAAGCGUGCGAAGGAAGACUCCGUCCCCUUUUUCUAUAAAAAGGGCACGCUAGCCUCAACUCAGCACAGCACAGCCUCUACCCCAAAUCAAGAUAAAAUGCCCGGACCCAUUGUUCACAAUGAGACCACAGCAACCAACCUUGGAGGUUUUGUGACCGUGCUAGAAAACCUCACCCGCCGUGCCUUUGCAUUAGAAGAGCCCCCAGAAUAUGUUGUGUACCAAGGGCCCAUAAGCGGUGAGAGCCGUCAAUUCUUUGCCACAGUGCACAUCUAUGGUAGGGGUCUAUUGCCAGAACGCCCCUACAGGUUCACAGAAGGACAACAUCCUUUGAGCCACAAGCCAUCCAACUAGCUGCUCGAGAGGCUAUAGUACAACUCCGGCACUUGUCGCCCAGAGUCAACUGUCGCUCGUUCCACUACUACCCCAGCCGUAACGGGUAUGGUAGGCCACCCCAGGUUGCCAACGGAGAUCACGAGAGGGAUCCUGCAUUGUUGCAUCUGGUGCGCUAUGUAAGUGCACUAGAGGAACUGUUCGAUCAAAUCACCCUUGAUCUGAUCGCAGAUCGUGGAGAACUGAUUCGCCGAGCCCCAGCAAGAGGAGAAGAUGAGCCCGACGCCGACAACCCAGUCGUGCUGUUCGGACAACUGAUCGAGUCCUUGAGGUCUGUCCCAGCCAUCGACCAAAAUGCCUUGGUGUCCCCAGAAGUGCUUCGUCGCCUUUUGGGAACACGCUUCAACGGGAUUGUGGCCAACAACCCCCGCGAUGGUCAUCAUCGCUACCCCGACCCUGCAGCCCCUCAACCCCCUCCAGCUAACCCCGACGGUGAAACCCGUGGAGAAGCCUCGACGUCCACAAGGCAUGCCCACCUAGAUAUAAACGAGGUAGACUAAGUCACUCGAAUAGUACCGAGUCUUGGUAUGUCCACGCCCUGUAAUUGUGUGAUCUUGUAUCGCCAUAUUUCAAUGUUGUCUGCUUGUGCGCCCCUAUUUCAAAUUGUAGCCAUCCAUAAGUGUGUUGGUGUACGGCUGCAUUUUUUAUUCCGGGCGUAGCUACCAAAAACCAACCCCGACGACACCCACAGUAAUAUGUCACUUUUGUGAGAUAUGUGUAUCUAUAGCAUUGACCCCGACCCCAUAGAGCAGAACCGACAAACUAGUUACCCUUCACCGCGAUAAAUGACCCCGCCCAGAUGCUAUAUAAAAGGCCACCUCGUGACCUUGCCAAGUAUCCCUCACCUGGUGCACAACUUUCACAGCCAUUUCUUUGCCAUGCCGAGCCCUAGUAUUUAUCUGAGAACUGCAGAUGCAACCCCAGGUAGCUUUAUUAAAAUAUUGUGGGACUUUACUUGCAGUACCAUGAGUGCCAUCCAUCCACCCCAGUACGAGUUGCUCAAAUGGAGGAUCACACCAUCCACCUCGAAAUAUUGGGCAGUGGUGCACAUCCCUCCCACAAACCCAAACCAAGACCCAACGGAAGUCUCCUUCGUGUGAAAAUCUAUGCCGACUCUGCAAAUGGCCAUAGAAGUUGUUGCGUACGAAGCACUGGCUCGCCUUCCAUUCGCGGUACCCUAUGCCAGUGAACGAGGGUAUUAUUACUUCCCGGGUCGUGCAGCACCCGGAGAAGUAGCAUCUUUUCCCGGUGGACGAAUUGAGAGAGACCCAGUACUGGCCAACCUUGCCCAGUAUGUCAUUGCACAAGAGCAUUUGACCCAGCGAGUAAUGGGAUAUCUCCAGAGCCUCGCUGAUUUAAAUCCUCAGAUCGCCAUCAGCAGACCACUGAGACCCGACCGGGAGAGACGCAUUCAUCAGCUAGUCAACCCGCUUCCCCCGAUAGAAGAGGAGUGUGCCUCGAUACCAGAGAUGUUUUCGCAGGACCCUGUCCAUUUACCGUUUUCAUUGUAGACGUCACUUCUAUGUUUAUUGUCCCAACAUUUAUUUAUGUGUUGCAGCUCAUGCGUUGUACCCAAAGUUUGUGCUAUAAGUAAACUGUUUGGUUUCAGCUAAUAGGAGUAAUAUUUUCAAAACGACCCUUAGCAAAUCUCGAGGACGACAUUUUUCUUAGGGAUAAUUGCAUCUUUGCCCCUAGUUGGUUCACACCCCCGGGUUUUGCCCUUACUUUUCGGGCAUGCUCAGUUUUGCCCUUAGUUUUUCCUCUCCGUCAGCUCGAAUGCCCUUCUGUCACAGCUCCGCUUGGUCAGCGCCGUUUGACCGUGACGGCUCGACGUUUUGGACACUGGUUGCCCCUGGGCCUUCCUUACAAGUGGGUCCACAUAGAUUAGACAGUGUAGUUGCCAUUUCCCCUCCCUCUGUCUUAUCCCAGCCCCGAACCCUAGAUCGGCGACGACAAAGGCGACCCAAACCCUAGCACUCGGUGGCGACGCGGGCUCCCACAGAAACCAUGGCCUCGAUGUCGUGAAGUCCACAUCGCCGGAUCUACAUCACGCGGCGGUGAUGGUGGAGACACGCUCUUCGCACAGCGGUGGUGGUGGCGGUGACGAUGCCAUGAGGAGUGACUGCACGACAGAUUCAAGGCAGGAGAUCCCAGUAGGGUAAGUUUCCAGAUCCAGUACUUACUCAUCUGUUUCCAUGAUUAGAAAGGUGCAUUCCAUGACUUCGGUUGUGUUCACAAUCGUAGGAUGGAUCCAUCGCGUGUGUUCUUUCUGACAAUUAGAAUGGAGACCACUCUUUUAGCAAAGGGUGGUACUAAGGGACAUGAUGCAAGCUUCAGUUUCCCUCUAGUGGUGGACUGCACAAGUUCUUUCAAUGAUUUUAGGUCUACAAUCUAUAGGAAAUAUCCUUGGGGUAUGCAUGAUGCAGCUGAGUUCAGAUUCUGGAAUGUAGAGAAAGCUACUUGGAAUCCUCUACAGUGUGAUGAUGAGUUAGGUGUAAUGUUUGCUACAUAUGCUGAUUCGAAAACUGCAAAUGUUGAAAUUACUGUAAUUCAGAGAUGUAGAGCAGAAGCAGCAACUACAGCAGCAAAGCCCCCUGCCUCUAAAGCAACAUCUAAAACAUAUGUUGCAGGAAGUACUUCUAGGAGCAGGUCAACACCCCCUAGUAGUACUUUCAAUCCACCUGCAACUCCUACUGCAAAUGUACCAAGGCAACCUGGCUGCAAAGACACUAAAAUUCCUUUAGAGCCUAUGAUUGAGGAGGCUGAGCCUGAUGAUGUGCUAGGCUCAGAUGAGGAGGAUGAGAGGAUGUUUCCAGAUCUUGUGCAGAAGACAAAUGAAGAGAUAGAUGAGGAUUUUAUUCCUGCUGAGUUUUCAGAUACAGAUUCAGAGGAGGAACAAGAGAACAUUGACAUGGGACAUUUUGAGAAUGAUGAUGAGGACAGGCCUGAGAUGAUGUAUGACAGGGAAAAUCCUAGUUUAGCUGAAGGAGUUGUUUUUCCUUCUGCUGUUGACUGCAGGAAUGCAGUUGCCACAUUCUCAAUUCAGCAUGAAGUAGAGUUCAAAAUAGAGAAGAGUGAUCCAUCAAGGUUCACUGUUCACUGUGCAUUUUCAAGGUGUAGAUGGAGGCUACAUGCCUCUUUAAUGAGAAACAGUACUUUGUUUCAGGUAGUAACAGUACUAACUAACUAAUCUCAUUGACAGUAUCUUGCAUAUUUAGUUUGCAUAUUCAGUUUCAUUCAGCCACACUGUUUGCCUUACUGUUUUGCUUUGUUUCAAUUUACAGAUUAAAGUAAAUCCCUAUGAGCACCACUGCCCAAGUGUGAACAGAACUGAGAGGCUCAGAGCAGCCAAGAGGAGGUGGAUAGCUCAUGCUGUGCAAAAUUGGGUCAGAGAAAACUCCAACAUUGGUCCUGGUGAGUUGGUAACUAAUUUGAAGAAAAAAUAUGGUAUAGAAUUGUCAUACAUGAGAGUGUUUUAUGGUAAACAAAUGGCAAUUGACAACUUGUAUGGUAAAUAUGAGGAUAGUUUCCAGCUUUUGUACACAUUCAAAGCUGAGGUUGAGAGGGCUUCUCCAGGUAGUGUAGUAGAAAUUGACACACACACAGUUCCUUUCCAGCUAAGAGGAAAGAGGUAUGAGAAGCAGUGUUUUAGGAGAGUUUUUGUCAGUUUCAAAGCUUGCUGGCAGGGAUUUUUAGCUGGUUGUAGGCCCUACCUUGCUGUUGAUGCUACUGCACUAAAUGGUAGGUUCAGAGGUCAGUUGGUUGCUGCAUGUGCAAUUGAUGCACAUAACUGGAUUUUUCCAGUUGCAUAUGGUGUUUUGGAGACUGAGUCUAAAGAGAGUUGGGGUUGGUUUUUCCAAAAUUUAAAGAAGGUGAUAGGUCAUCCUGAAGGACUAGUAAUUCAUACUGAUGCAUGCAAGGGUCUUGAGACAGCUGUAGAUGAAAUUUACCCUGGGGUAGAGCACAGGGAGUGCAUGAGACAUCUGGCUCAGAAUUUUUCUAAGAAAUUCAGGGGGAAGUUCUAUGACCAGCAUUUGUGGCCUUGUUCAUUGACUUAUAGCAUUAAGAAGCACAACUAUCACCUGAGACAGUUAUGCACAAAACCCAAGGUGCAGGCUUAUCUGGAAGAGCACCACACAAAAAUCUGGGCCAGGGCACAAUUCAAUGAUAUCUACAAGGUUGACUAUGUCAAUAACAACCUUGCAGAAUCAUUCAAUUCCAAAAUUAAAAAGUUCAAGGGUCUCCACAUUGUGGACUUGUUGGAUAAGAUCAGGCAGUACUUAAUGCAAAAAUUUGGCCUUAGGAAUAGCAUAGAACUACAAAAAUUCAAUGGGCAUAUCAUAAUUCCCAGAGUUAUGAAGAUUUUGAUGGCAAAAUCCAAAGGCUUGGACAUGACUUUAGUUAGGAGAAGUCCAACUGAAGCAGAGGUGACUGCCAUAGACAAGGAGAAGAGGGAGUGGAGAUACCCUGUGGAUGUAGAGAAAAGAACAUGCAGUUGCAGAAAGUGGCAAGCUGCAGGCCAGCCAUGCAUACAUGGUCUAUUCUUCAUAACAUCAUUAAGAGGGGAAGCUAAAGAAAUAGACCAGUAUGUGCACAAGUACUUCUCAGUUGAAAUGUUUAAAAAAACAUAUGCUGAGAACUUGCCUGCACUUGAAGGAAAACAGCAGUGGGAUAUUGUAGACCCUGGUUUCAAACUAAGUCCACCUGUAUAGAACAAAGCUGCACCUGGCAGGCCAAGGAAGACAAGAAUUAAGCCAGCAAGUGAAGGAAAAGGACUUGGUCCUAGGAAGAGAAAAUGCAAGAGGUGUGGUGGCUUGGGUCACUUACUGAAAACCUGCAAAAAAGCCAUUGAUCCAGCAUUUGGUGAAGAAGAUGCACACUGGGGAGCUGACAAUGCUGAAGAAGACCCUCCUAACCAAAAUGCAGACCUACAUGAUAAACAACAAGAAGAAGAGGAGCCAUACAAUGAAGAUGAAGCUCCAGUGCAGCCUGCAGGUGAAGAUGAAGCUCUAGUGCAGCCUGCAGGUGAAGAUGAAGCUCUAGUGCAGCCUGCAGGUGCAGAUGAUGCUCCAGUGCAGCCUGCAGGUGCAGAUGAUGCUCCAGUGCAGCCUGCAGGUGCACAGGAUGCUCCAGUAGAGCCCCACAGUGAAACAAAUGAGACAGCAACACAAGCUUCCACAGUUCAAAGGUAAUAUUCCUCUUUGAUUUAUUUAUGUGCCUUAUUUAUGUGCUUUUACCUGCAAAUAUCUCUUGUACUGUUACUAACCAACUAUUUCUUCCCUAUUUGUUAGCACACCAAGGAAGAACUAUAAGAAGGCAGCAGAGAGAGGAGCAUCUCCAAUGGCUAUCAGCAAGAAGAGGAAGCUUAACACUUCUACAAGUCCAGAAGAAGAACCUUGCUCAGUUACUGGCAGCAAUGUAGAUGCAAGAGUUGCUGCAUGUGAAGAGCAAGUUCUCCCUCCAGUUGUUCCCCAAAUCCCUGUGAAACUGACUAGGAGCAGGGCUAGGGAGAUGACAAUCCCAGCUAGCAACACAAGGAGCAAGAAGGCAAAAUAUGGAAAAUGAGUACUAAUGUGCUGUGCAAGUUUGAAACUGUUAGAUUUGUUGUAAUGUGUUCUUUUGGUUGCAACAAGAUUGGUUGUGAACUAUGUUCUUUUGGUUGUUGAAGAAUAUCAAAUGCUACUUGUGAACUAUGUCUAGUUGCAGCAAGAUUGGUUGUGAAUUAUGUUCUGUUUGAUCUUUCUUUUCACAAUACAUGCAUUUGGCAAAUUGUUGCGUCCAUAAAGCUUCAUAACAUAACAUAACAACUGCUAGGUUCAUACAACUUCAUAUGUUCAUUACAGCUUCAUAACAUAACAAGUGCAUUUGAGCUACAUAGAUCAUAAACUAAUGUGCAUUCUGUGCACAGACAGCCAUUGAGAUUGCUAGAAAACAAAUGAAAAUGCUAGCAAACAACAUUGUCCCUAUGCACAUAAUUUCUUUCAUUUUCUUCAACUCCUUGUUCAAUGCACGAUUCUUCUUCGCAAGAUCAAUUGAUCUCUUCUCCAGGUGGUGACUUCUGAUCCAGCUAUGUUCGAUCACUUCGUGUAGUUCUUCAAAGGCAAGACCAACACGUUCUGGAGGUGGUGGGUCAACCCAAACUGCCCAUUCACAUUCAUCUGGCAACUGAAUCAAUAAAUUUGAUUAAAAUUCUCCUUGAAAGUUAAAUAAGAAAAUGGAAACAAAAAUGCAGUGCAAAUGAAAUCAUACAUCCAGAGGGCAACCCAAAAAACGACGUCCAGUGCUUGCGCCUCCCCAGGCGACACGACAAGCCGGGAUUAGCUGGUGCCUCGGGCAACGAUGCUUCGAGCGCGGCUCCAAGCCACAGUAUGUCGAGUCUGCCAAGUAGAACUCGGAGCUGUGCUGAACAAUGCCUACCCCAUCCACCUAAAUCAGGCCAAGAUCCAGAAAUUAACCCCCAAAUCUAGCAAACCCUAGAAAAGCAGGGGACCAGAUGAGCUAUCAAACAUGUUCGGCUGCCGGCGGCGAGUUCUCCGACGAGAUGGCCGACAUCGACAUGGUCCUUCCCACCUCUCCCCACACCACGAUGUCACACCUCUCUUCCCAGCCGCUUCUCUGUUUUCUUGUGAAGCGGGAGCUAGAAGACGACUAAACAGGUGGGGGGUAUCAAACCCAGGGGCAAAUGUGUCCAAAACGUCGAGCCGUCACGGUCAAACGGUGCUGACCAAGCGGAGCUGUGACAGAAGGGCAUUCGAGCUGACGGAGGGGAAAAGCUAAGGGCAAAACUGAGUAUGCCCGAAAAGUAAGGGCAAAACCCGGGGGUGGGAACCAACUAGGGGCAAGAAUGGAAUUGUCCCUUUUUCUUAAGGGGGGUAGUGUUGUAACACCCCAAAAAUUUAACCAUGAUUUAUUGAUUAAAAUUUUGCCUUGGUAAAUUAAAUUUUUAUUUUCUGGAUUUUCUUUAAUUCAGAACCACUCUUUUCUUCUGAGUUGUGGAGUUUCCACCCCAAGUAAAAACUUUUCAAAUGAUGCUGGACUUGUAUACCCUCUCUAGAAACAUUUCUUUUAUCUGAGAAUUAUUUAUACAAGUAUUUUCCCUGAGCUUUAUUUCUCUUGAAAAAUGGUUUCUCAUAAGCCUUAGAGCCUCUUUUGCACUACAACCCUUUGAUAAAUUUAUUUAAAAAUCCCACCAAAAAUUUGGGGAUGACAUGUGAUGUUCCUAAAUCACUUCUAUGCAAAAAUAUCUUUUGGUCAUUUGGAGAUUUUGAGCUCUACCCCAAGUUUUCAAAUCUGGUCCAAUUUGCGCUUUUGCACUACAACCUAUUUAAAUAUUCCUUUAAAACUUCCACCAAAAUUAGGGGAUGUCAGUAGGAGGAUUUAAUUCAAUUUUAUUCAAAAACCCACUGGUGUUCUUUGAAAAAUUGAGCAAAUCAUCCUCUUUUGCUCUCUGGCCCAGUUUGGUAUUUUCUACUGCAACCAUAUUUUAACUUGCCCUUUUACCCAUGAUUCUUUUUCCUGCUUAUAGACCACUCUACCAAACCCUUAAGUCCAGGAGAGUGCACCCAUUGGAGUAUCUUUGGUCCAUGCAAUGAUAGCCUUUAGUCUCUGCCCAGAUUUGUUUUUCUCAAAAACUUGCACUAACAAGUUUCUGGUUUUGCCCAAAUGACCUUGCCAUCAUCACUUGUACCUAAAGAGACUAGGAUCUGGAGCUUUUGGCCACCCCAAGAGAUGCCUAGAUGACCAUAGCAUUCUGUCAAACACCUUGAGUGCAUGAACAGAAUUGGCAUGAACCCUAGUUUGCAUUUUUAACCUGCUUGCUUUGCCUAACCAGCAUGUCUCAUGACUCUACUUUAGUCUAUAGCCCCACCUUGCUACACCUCAUGUGGAUUAGAGCUCCCUGGCAAGCAGUGGCAUUUUGCCGAGCACCUCGCGUGCGUUCUCUGGGCGCGCCCAGAGCGCAUGUUUUGCACGCGCGCGCACCGAGCCGCCGCGUCUCGCUGCCGCCAUCCCCCGCGCAUGUUCUGGUCCCUUGGCCACUCGCAGCCAGUGCGCCCGACCCCUCCCUCGUCGCAGAGCCGCCCUAGACCCCUCCUGGUGCCCUACAGCGCCACCACCGCAAGCCGCCACCGCCGCUCCGACAACCCCUGCCAUGGACGGCGCCGCCCGAGCCACAGGCGCGCGCCAGCUGCCCCUGGAACAGCUCGAGCUCAUCCCCUCGCCCUGCCAGACCCCGCCAGCCAUCGCCACGCACCCCCUGGCUACAGAACGGCGGUCGCCGACGAUCUUAUCCCCGGCCGCCGCGGAACCGACCUCGACCGCUAUAAAUAGGGACCCCCGAGCUCCCCCAAACCCCCAGGCAACCUCAGGACAUUCCUCUGAUGCUCCCAUAGCCAGCAAUCGACGGGGGAAGGCCUUCUUCCUCGUCUCCGGCCAGCUCGGCCACCGCCACGCUCCGGUGCCGUGCGUCGCAAGCAGAGCCUCCCCGGUCCAUCCAGCGCCGCCAUUCGACUCUCCUAGACCUUGGGGAGCCAUCGUUCGCCGGCGUUGAUCGCCGGAGCCCCGCCUUUGUUCGGCCAGAGGAGGAGGGAGGCGCGGCGACGGGUCAAACCUGACCAAUGGUCCCAAGGGACCCACUGUCAGUGACCCACGAGCCGACCCAGAGUACGUCUCCUACGUGUUUUUAUUUGAAACGGUUUUCUUUUUCUGUUUUAUUUAAAAACGGAAUUUUGACUAAACUUUGACUAGCUAUAACUUUUUAAAUAUAAGUCCAAAUGAUUUGAUUCUUUUCCUGUUGUUUCUCAAAUUUUGUCUAGUUUAUAUUCAUAUUUAUUUGAAAAUUUUCCAAACAACUCUUUUGUACUGUUUUGAAACUAUGUGUUAAUUUGAAUUUUCUCAAAAUAGGAUUGUUGGAGAGAGAAGAAAACUUUCAAAAAGUUUUGGAAUGCACCCUGCCUCUCCACAACUUGAAGGCAAGCAUUCUGAACCCUGGCAUAAUAUUUUUGUGUGUUGUUUGAUAUGGUUACAACACCACCUUGACAUGGAGCAUUCAUUAUUUUAUGUGAUGAUACGAUCAUGCGCAUGUGUGCAUAAUGAAGAUUCUUUGCUGUUGGAAAUGGAUAUGCUUGUGAUAGUAAUCAUCCUCGUAUGCCUUCCAUGCCUACCGGAAGGAAGCCGGGAAAGUCUCUGUCUUGGGUAGACACGAUCUUGUCUCUAGUUCCUCGUCGAGACGGUUGUGUCCGGUAUGGCAUGAUGAGGUAUGAUGAGUGGUGAUUCUGUCUGUUGGUUGAAAUAUAUUUGUUAUGCUAAUCAUGCAGGAAAUACUUAAACCUCCUAAGUCGACCAUAGAUCGAGCCUUGUUCCAGUAACCCCCAUACUUGUUUCAUACUACCACUUAUCCCUGCCGCAGGUAGGGUACAGUUCAGUAAGUUGUCAACCCCUUUCUUGGCACACACCGUACAGAGAGGCCAUGGUGGAAGAUACCGGGGGCAUGGGUGUUUCCAGUUGGGACAGAGAGGGGGGCACCCCUUAGUAGCGCGCAGUAUAAAUUUGAUCCCAUGCUAAUCGAGGUUGUAGCCUCCCCGCUUAGAGUUUUGCUUAACAGGUGUCGUGGGUGAUUCCAGACACCGGUAAGUUAAGCUAGUGUGUGCGGGUCAGGUGUGUUUUCAAUUAAAAGACCGUGGACAGAAUUAGUCCCGAUGGACUAAAGGAAUCCGUUACUCAUGGGUAAAGAUUACACCCUCUACAGAGGUUAUAUCUAUUCGAAUAGCCGUGUCCAUGGUUAAGGACUAUAGUCUGGGAUGGGUCAAGUGUCGGUCUUAGUGUCGGUCUUCGAAGGAGAAACUGCUAAACUAGAACAUGGAUCAUGACUUGUGACUUAUGAUGAUUAUGAUUAUUAUUAUUACGGACUAAUCAUUUAUAUUAAUUUAAUUAUUGAGUAUCCCUGGGACGGUUCUACCUCCCGGAUAUUCACUGCGACUACCCUCUUAUAAGCCCUUUAUGUGGUGUCGCUCAGACGCCGGACUGUGGCAUGCUUGUUAUUUAUUUACUUUAUAAGCCCUUUAUGUGGUGUCGCAUAGACGCCCGACUGUGGCAUGUUUGUUAUUUAUUUACUUUAUAAGCCCUUUAUGUGGUGUCGCUCAGACGCCCGACUGUGGCAUGCUUGUUAUUUAUUUACUUUAUAAGCCUUUUAUGUGGUGUCGCACAGACGCCUGACUGUGGCAUGUUUGUUAUUUAUUUACUUUAUAAGCCCUUUAUGUGGUGUCGCACAGAUGCCCGACUGUGGCUUGUUUGUUAUUUAUUUACUUUAUAAGCCCUUUAUGUGGUGUCGCACAGACGCCCGACUGUGGCAUGUUUGUUAUUUAUUUACUUUAUAAGCCCUUUAUGUGGUGUCGCUCAGACUCCUGACUGAGGCAUGCUUUAUAUUAUUAUCCUUUCAAGGCGUUGCUUCAGACACCCGAUCGGUGCAUUCUAUUUCUACUCUCUGAUUGCAUACUCAUGUUUUAUAUAAACAACCUGCUUGCGUGCAUCAUCGAUUUUUAUUUCGUGACUGACAUUGUGAUCAUAGAAUAUUUUGGAGCAUGAUUAUCAUUUGUUAUAUUAUACCAGUGUUCAUAAUGUUUGCGAGUACAUUCAAAGUACUCACUGGCUUGUCCCUGGCUAUUGUCUUGGCCAGAUUUCUUCCUUGGAGAGGAGAGUUGCGAUGACAGCCCUGGAACCUAAUCAACGGAGAUAGCAGCCUCGCGAAGAUAGGAGUUAUCCUGGUCAGUUGUUCCUGUGGGAAAUGGAGUCCCAUAGACGCUGAAAGACCACAAACCGCUUCCGCCAUCAGCCACCAGAAAUCAUUUGUUGUACUCACAGGCCAGAAUGGUCUUGUACUACAUAUUUUGUAUUUUGCUUGGAAUUUCUGUAUCAAGUUGGUGCCUCAUCAGCUAACAGUAAUCCUGGGGCUGGUGAGCACAAGGAACAUUUUCUGGGAAAUUGAUAUCCCAAAAACCCGGCCCUGACAAUGGCAUGACAAAAGCAUACAAAAGCGUGAGUUUAACGUAGGUGAUUAUGUUUUGCUUUUCAACUCUCAUUUAAGAUUUUUUGCAGGAAAACUUAUCUCUAAAUGGGAAGGCCCUUACGUUAUCAAGGAGGUCUAUCGUUCCGGUGCCAUAAAAAUCAACAACUUCGAAGGCACAAAUCCGAAGGUGGUGAACGGUCAAAGAAUCAAACAUUAUAUCUCAGGUAAUCCUAUAAAUGUUGAAACUAAUAUUAUUGAAACCGCAACCCCGAAGGAAUACAUAAGAGACACUUUCCAGAACAUUUCAGACUCCGAAAAGGAAUAGGUAUGUGGUACGGUAAGUAAACUGACUCCAAAAUAGUUCUAAUAGCAAUUUUUCUCCGUUUUGGAAUAUUUAAGAAAAUAGGAAAAUAAGAAGUAGUCCGGGAAGGACACGAGGUGUCCACGAGGGUGGAGGGAGCGCCCUACCUUACUGGGCGGGCUCCCCUGCCUCGUGGGCACCUCGUGUGCUCUCCGGACUCAGUUUUCUUGCACGAUACUUCUUUUGGUCGGUAAAAAUUCAUUAUAUAAUCUCCCGGAGGUUUUGACCACCGUAUCACGCAAAAAUCUUCUAUCUUUGUUUCGAGCUGUUUAUCUAACAGAUCUCGAGCAUCAUGAUGGCACCCUCCUCCAACAAUGAAGACAAGGAUGCUUGGCUAUUGAAGAUAGAGCUGAAGAAAGAAGAACCUGAGGAGAUCAACAAGGAUGCAGGGAUCAAGAAGGCCAUGGAGGAUCAAGCUCUAGCGGCAGAAGAAGAAAACAUCCCUCAACCUCUUCCUAACCUCUUUACCCCAACUGAGAUUGAAGCUUUCAAGAUGAUUGAGUUAGCUCGCAUACAAAACAAGUAUCUCACACAGGAAAAUCUUUUGUUGAAGGAUCAUAUCGUCGCACUUAAGGGCAUUAUCCGCAAAUUGGAAGAGCUUCUACGCUCGAUGUGUGACUAUCCAUCAUCAUAACCACCUUUCUUCACUAGCAAAGGAUACAUAAUCACAUGGGUAUGGGCACUCCCCUUGGCAACUGCCAAGCUUAGGGGAGGUGCCCCGGUAUCGUAUCACCAUCACACUCCUAUCUUUACUAUUUUACUUAGUUCGAUCCUUUUGGUAAUAUCUUGAUCUAGUAGAAUAAAGCUUUGGUAUGAUUUAGUUUUGAGUUUUGCUUUGAGAUCCCUUUAUGUAAUCGAGUCCGUGAGCUAUAUAUAAUAAAGAUUAGUCUUGAGUCAAGGGCUUUGCUAACUUGCUAUGGUCUUGAGAAAAUAGAAACAAUAAAAAGAAAUAAAAGAGUUCAAAUUGAUCUUAUGGAUAGUAAUGACUUCACACAUAAAGAGUAUGAGGCCUAAAAGUUGUUGAGAGUUGGCAAACAUAGUUUUGGUCAUCGUUGCAAUUAAUAGGAAGUAAUAAAGAAAGACAGGUUUUCACAUACAAAUAUACUAUCUUGGACAUCUUUUAUGAAUGUGAGCACUCAUUAAAGUAUGACAUGCUAAAGAGUUGAUGUUGGACAAGGAAGACAACGUAAUGGGUUAUGUUUUCUCACAUCUUAGUUAAAGUAUAUUGUCAUGGAUCAUUCAAACAUGUUGAGCUUGCCUUUCCCCCUCAUGCUAGCCAAAUUCCUUGCACCAAGUAGAUAUACUACUUGUGCUUCCAAAUAUCCUUAAGCCUAGUUUUUCCAUGAGAGUCCACCAUACCUACCUAUGGAUUGAGUAAGAUCCUUCAAGUAAGUUGUCAUGUUGCAUGUAAUAAAAAUUGCUCUUUAAAUAUGUAUGACUUAUUAAUGUGGAGAAAAUAAGCUUUAUACAAUCGUGUGAUAUGAAAGUAAUAAAAGCGACGGACUGCAUAAUAAAGGUUCAUAUCACAAGUGGCAAUAUAAAGUGACGUUCUUUUGCAUUAAGAUUUCGUGCAUCCAACCAAAAAGAACAUGACAACCUCUGCUUCCCUCUGCAAAGGGCCUGUCCUUUACUUUAUGUCUUUUACUUUAUGCAAGAGUCAAGGUGAUCUUCACCUUUCCCUUUUUAUUUUAUCAUUUGGCAAGCACCUCGUGUUAGAAAGAUCCUGAUAUAUAUAUCCAAUUGGAUGUAAGUUAGCAUGAACUAUUAUUGUUGACAUUACCCUUGGGGUAAAACGUUGGGAGGCAACACUAUAAGCCCCUAUCUUUCUCUGUGUCUGAUUAAAACUCCAGAACCAUAAGUAUUGCAUGAGUGUUAGCAAUUGUGGAAGACUAAAUGAUAGUUGAGUAUGUGGACUUGCUGAAAAGCUCUAUUCUUGACUCUUUCCGAUGUUAUGAUAAAUUGCAAUUGCUUCAAUGACUAAGAUUAUAGUUUGUUAGUUCUCAAUGAAGUUUCUGAAUCAUACUUAACAUUGUGAAUAGAUUGUUACUUGAGCAUAAGAAAUCAUAUGACAAAAUCUAUAUAUGUUGCUGUUAUGAGAAUGAUCAUGAUGCCCUCAUGUCCAUAUUUUAUUUUUAUCGACACCUCUAUCUCUAAAUAUGCGGACAUAUUUUUCGAUAUCGGCUUCCGCUUGAGGAAAAGCGAGGUCUAAGCUUGGGGGAGUUGAUACGUCCAUUUUGCAUCAUUCCUUUAUAUCGAUAUUUAUUGCAUUAUGGGAUGUUAUUACACGUUAUGUCACAAUACUUAUGGCUAUUCUCUCUUAUUUUACAAGGUUUGACAUGAAGAGGGAGAAUGCCUGCAGCUGGGAUUCUAAGCUGGAAAAGGAGCAAAUAUUGGAAACCUAUUCUCCACAGCUCCAAAAGUCCUGAAACUCCACGAAAGUCAUUUUCGGAAUUAAUGAUAAUUAUUGAGCCGAAGAGGUACCAAAGGGGGCCCACACCCUGGCCACGAGGGUGGGGGGCGCGCCCCCUUGCCUCGUGGGCCCCCUGGUGGCCCUCCGGUGCCCAUCUUCUGCUAUAUGAAGUCUUUUACCCUGAAAAAAUCAUAAGCAAGCUUACGGGACAAAACUCCGCUGCCACGAGGCGGAACCAAUCUAGGUCUCCAGCAGAGCUUUUCUGCCAGGGAAACUUCCCUCCGGGAGGGGGAAAUCAUCACCAUCGUCAUCACCAACGGUCCUCUCAUCGGUAGGGGGUCAAUAUCCAUCAACAUCUUCACCAGCACCAUCUCCUCUCAAACACUAGUUCAUCUCUUGUAUCCAAUCUUUGUACCCAAACCUCAGAUUGGUACCUCUGGGUUGCUAGUAGUGUUGAUUACCUUGUAGUUGAUGCUAGUUGGUUUAUCCGGUGGAAGAUCAUAUGUUCAGAUCCUUAAUGCAUAUUAAUACCCCUCUGAUUAUGAACAUGAAUAUGCUUUGUGAGUAGUUACGUUUGUUCCUGAGGACAUGGGUGAAGUCUUGCUAUUAGUAGUCAUGUGAAUUUGGUAUUCGUUCGAUAUUUUGAUGAGAUGUAUGUUGUCUUUCCUCUAGUGGUGUUAUGUGAACGUCAACUACAUGACACUUCACCAUUAUUUGGGCCUACAAUAAGGCAUUGGGAAGUCAUAAGUAGAUGAUGGGUUGCUAGAGUGACAUAAGCUUAAACCCUAGUUUAUGCGUUGCUUCGUAAGGGGGCUGAUUUGGAUCCAUAUGUUUCAUGAUGUGGUUAGGUUUACCUUAAUACUUCUUUUGUAGUCGCGGAUGCUUGCAAUAGGGGUUAAUCAUGAGUGGGAUGCUUGUCCAAGAAAGGACAGCACCCAAGCACCUGUCCACCCACAUAUCAAAUUAUCAAAGUAACAAACGCGAAUCAUAUGAGCGUGAUGAAAACUAGCUUGAUGAUAAUUCCCAUGUGUCCUCGGGAGUGCUUUUCUCAUUAUAAGAAUUUGUCCAGGCUUGUCCUUUGCUACAAAAAGGAUUGGGCCACCUUGCUGCACCUUAUUUACUUUCAUUGCUUGUUACCCGUUACAAACUAUCUUAUCACAAAACUAUCUGUUACCUACAAUUUCAGUGCUUGCAGAGAAUACCUUACUGAAAACCGCUUGUUAUUUCCUUCUACUCCUCGUUGGGUUCGACACUCUUACUUAUCGAAAGGACUAUGAUAGAUCCCCUAUAUUUUUGGGUCAUCAAUAGGCUGAGAGGGCCAAUGCGGAAGUCCUAUGGGGCCUCAAAACCCGCACCUUCAAGAAGAAGCUCGAGGCCUGCGGCAGGACUGGCUCGACGCGCUGCAGUCCGUGUUGUGGUACAUCCGCACCACCGUGACCAAGCCAACAGGAGAAACGCCCUUCUUCCUCGUCUAUGGAGCAGAAGCGGUUCGCCCUCACGAGGUCAAGCAUCGCUCCACACGGGUCCUGGCAUUCGACGAAACACAGCAGGACGCCAUGCGGAGGAUGGAUCUCGUGCUGGGGGAGGAAUGUCGCCAUCAAGCCUCGCUCCGAGCAGCGAGGUACCAGCAGGCGCUGCGGCGGUACCACUGUCGCAGCAUCCGCUCAAGGACAUUAGAGGUGGGUGAUCUCGUCUUGAGGCGGGUUCUCUCCAGGGAGGGGCUAAAUAAGCUCUCUCCCAUGUGGGAGGGCCCGUUUAGGGUUGCUAGUGUCUCUAGGCCUGGCGCCGCGCGCCUGGAGACACAGGAUGGGGUCCCCAUCCAGAAUGCCUGGAACAUCCAGCACCUCCGGAAGUUCUACCCUUGAAGAAAGGCUCCGGCCUGUGAAGCAAGGCUCCGGCCUGUGAAGGUCUCCGCUCGUGACACUCUAACAUAAUAAUGAGUGGGGUUGUACACGCCCCGGAGUCUCCUGAGAGCCACCCUGGGGCCUCACGGGGGCUCCCUCCCACGUCCGAGUGGCAGCACUUAGCUCCGCACUAGUGAGAAGACUAGAUUAGGUGCCGGACGUGGCCGUUCAUUUGCUUUCUGGAGUUGCUUGCAGUUUUAUAGUAAGUGUUUCAAUGGAUUUGGUAUUAUCGAACGCUGGUUCCUCGGAGUUUCCCCUUUCUCUAAGGUUAUUUUUUGGUCUGAGGACGCAGAAGAGGCGGCAGUUGCCCGCUGCUUCUCUCGCGCUCCUCGCGCGUGGGGCUAGGUAGGUGUGUGCACCCUUGGGCUUUCCCUUGGGCGCACGCACCAGGCCGAACCCCAGUGUUUCGGCUUCAUCCUCGCGAGGAGCCCUUGAUCAAACCCGCGGGCACCAGCACCCCUUAUGUCCAUGCCCCCCGGGCAGCGCGACGCGGCACGGCAAGUCUGAGCUAAUCUACAAUAGGGGGCUCGUGUAAAGAGGAUGUGAGCCGUUCGACAGUGUCUUUUCCUUUUUUUUCCAGGAGCAGCCUUGUAGCAGCUUCCUCGCGCAGUCCUCGAGGCAUCACGACCCUACGGCUGGGGGCUCUGUCGAGCACCUGAGGCCAAGCCUCACGAGGUGGCUAACUACCACGUACAUACCAAGCUAAGUCAUCCUAUCCAGAGCACAAACAUUGUAACAUAGCAUUGAGACCGCAAGCAUAAACAUAAGGGCAUAACUGCCACGGUUCAUUACACACCCCAGCAGGGUACACCAUCUUCUUAUUUUUCAAGUUAUAGGGGAAAAGAAAAGCUAAACAAAGAGGGCCCGAAGGCGUACAAGCUUGGCGCCAGCGCCGCAUCCUCAAGCAGCGCCUCAAGGGGGCCCGGCGCACCACCAGUUCUCCCGGGGGUGAUCUGGGGCCACCAGCCUUGAGUCCAAGUUUGCCAGCCCCCAGCUUCAUGCCGGGCUCCUCUCCAGCUUCAUUGGAGCACUACGACAGGACGAGCCACCAGCGUCCUCGACACGAGCACGAUGACACGGAGGCCGGUCGUGGCCACCGCAACUCGAGCCCUCAUCCGAGGAAGAGCCACCGUCGCGGGAGGACGAGCGUGCAUCGCCAAGGCCAAGCUCAUCAUUGCCACCAUCGUCGUCGCUGCUGUCCUCCGGGCAGCACCCCACGCGGCGGCCAUCCCCCUGAACACCCUCACAUAGAGGGUCGCUAGGCCAUCAUACUUGAAGUAGAGGGUACACCUUCCGCCUAGGCCACGCGUGCGGGCAAAGGUCUGCCAGCCGUGGGUCAGCACCACACUACAAGAGGUGGAGAUCUCGGUGCCAACCUACGAAGCUCUGCUGCAGCACCCAUCAGCCUGCAGCCAGAGGCCAGCAAGCCCUGAAGAAGGAAGCUUACCGAAGAAGAAGCAUGGGAGCCAGAGCGAGGUGCCGGCUGGGCUCUCCGACCCCACCACGAACUCAUGGAGCACGUCCAACGAGGAAAAGCGUGGCCGAGGAGGGUGCACGAUCACGGUGUGUCUCCCUUCGUCAUGGGGGCUGCUCCGAAGCCAGUGGCCCUUGCCACGGGAGGAGGUGCCAUGGCGGGCGUCUAGAGCAACACCGCUUCUGGGGCGCGCGCCCGCGCCCCUGGAUGCUGCCGGAGGGACCGCAGGGUGCUUGCGGGGACGGCCACGGCCCCUCUUCGGAGGAGGAGAGGCUGGCCCCUCCUUAGAGGCCUUCCCCUUCUUGGCCACGGAGAACCUCUUCGGUGAUGCCAUGGGAGCAAGGCGGAGAGGAAAGAAGCAGGCGGGAGCAAGACGAAGGAAAGAUGGACGGGGGGCUCUGCCCCUCUCUCACAUUUAUAGUCAAGGGAGGCCAACCACCGGCCUCCAUGACCCCGCGCCAUCAUGGCCUUCUGCAUGCCGCGUCGACUGGUCAAGUCGAGCAGUUGCCGAGGCAGCAUGGGGAGAGUCACCCACAUCCAAUCAAUCGCCAUGCAUCAUCAAGGCCGCAGGCGGUUAGGGCCCACGACGCUCUGCACUUGCCCUUUGGCUUCGCCUGGAAGCCAAGCCCGAGCGCGCCUUCGGCCCGGGGGCUACUGUCGGCGUCCUAGACUUGGGGGUAUCCAGUCCUCCCUGCCUGUGGCCCACCACGUGGCUCCAUCGAUGGCCUGGUACGGCCCAGCUUCAGCAUCAGCACCACAAGACCCUCGCGAGGGGCCAAGCCUCGCGAGGCAGAUGACGCCAAGACCCCCGAAGGAAGCAGCCUCCUCAGGAGGUCUCCUAAGGGGCGGAGAAUUCUAUACAGCUACCUCAUGAGGCUCAGCUGACGUGAGCUGUGACAACCAAGGCCAGGCGGGCGCCAGGCGGGCGCAGUGUGCAGGUUUCCUCUUCGGUGCAAGGGAGGCAAGCCACAGGCGCAGGGUCCCGAGGAAUCAGCCAAAGGUUUCCAUUCUAGUGCAACAAGACCAAGACCGCCAGGACGGCAGGACGGAGGUCAUCACCGAGCCCACCGCAGCGUCACGACCAGAGGCUUUUUGCAGGCGAAGACUACUUUUGUCAGGAUAGACUGUACUACUUGUCCCCUUUCAAAUCCCGCCAUUGUGGAAUCCCUGCCCGCUCAUAUUUGGGAUGAGGACCAAGGCCACUAUAUAUAGGACUUAGCCACCACCACAAGAGAGGGAUCCAUUCCAUCUCGAGCACUACACCAGCUCAAGAACACCUCACCUCCUAAGGCCUAUUCAUCCUUGUACUAGUUCAUCCAUAGCCCCUCGAGGCAAUCCACCACACCACACUCGAUUAGGGUAUUACACCACAACGGUGGCCCGAACCAGUAUAAAUCUCUGUGUCUUUGUGUCUCUGUGAGCUCGACACGUUAGGCCUAGGGAGAUCACGAGUAGGCAGGCUGGGCGGGUUGAGAUCUCUGCACGCACCCCUAGAGUUUGAACCUUUCACGGGUUACCAGAUCCCGAAAUCCAACAGUCAUGGGGUGGUCGGAGCUCGCCGGAGAAAAGCUCGCGGCUGCAGCCGGAGCAUGGCCAGGUGCGAGCGGGGUGCUGCGAUGUACGGCAGGAGCUGCGGAGGGGCUCUACGGCCUCCUGGCGUCACCAGGAGCAGGGUGACGCGCGCGGUUGCGAGCCGCGGUGGCUCUAGCCACGACGGAGAGGAACCACGGCGGCGCAGCCACUCGGGUCCAGUGGUUAGUGCGGCUAUGAUGCGCGAAUGACGGAACGAAGAGGAGGAUCGACUACGGGGCUCACACCGGAUCCGGCGGAGGUGUCGGCGAGCUCAGGGACGCGCUGAGGUCGACGGGGCAGCGAAGGCGAUCUCCAACAGCCGGAGACGAAGAUGACGGCGAUGGCGACGCUCCAGGACCUCCCGCGGAGCGUGGCUCGACAGAGAGGUAGCAGGCGACGUGGUGGAGCUUGCAGACACGAAGAGAGGGCGAGGGGGAGGCAGUAGCUACGACGGUGUUGAACUGCGGUGACGGCAGCGCUCGGUCGCGGUGAGGUGGAGAGAUCCAGGGGAGGAGGGAGAGCGAGAGAGAGUGAGAGAGGUUCGGGGUGGCGCGUGGCGACGUCCAGGACGUCCAGGCGUCGAGGGGGAGGGGCAGCCAGGCAGGAGGUGGCGCAGCGCGUGUGUGCACGCGGCGACCACGCGCCCCUGGCCUCCUGGAGGGAGGUUGUGGGUGACUAGCAGGGCCAGCUGGCUGGGUCGGCCUGCUGGGCGCUGGGCUGCAUUGUGCCAGGCCCGAGGUGAGCUCUUUUUUUCUAUUUCUUUCUGUUUUCUUUUUCUGACAUUUGUUUCUGAUUUAGUAAUUAUACUAAAUCAAUUUAUUUUCUUUUGUAAAUUUUUGUAGGGACUAGUUGGAUUGCUCCAAAACCCCUCACCAAAAUUCAGAAUUUUUGGACAAUAUUUUAUAUAUAGGGUCGCGCUAUAUAGGGUCGCGCUAUUCGUCAUCCUGGGUGAGGAAUAGUUAUUCUUCACCCCCCCUCUAUUUUAACAUGAAUGCACCAUAAUUUUAUGUUCCAUAAAUUUUGUCUUAUUUCAGACAUAAAAGGAGAACGUAAGAAAAUAUAUAAUCGCCGUAAAAAAUAUUUUAUGUUACACAAAUUUCAAACGUAAAAAUAUAGUGUAAAAUGUACAUAAAAUGUAAUUUUUCUGGUCUUCUGACAUAUUUUUAUGCCAAAUUUUACGCAGUGAAUUAAUAUGACUGUAACUAUUUGUAUUUAAAACAUAAUUUGUUUAUGAAAUGAUCGUAAGAUUACCUCGGGUGAAGAAUAACGUAUUCGUCACCCUGGGUGAGGAAUAGUUAUUCUUCACCCCCCCCCCCCUUNNNNNNNNNNNNNNNNNNNNNNNNNNNNNNNNNNNNNNNNNNNNNNNNNNNNNNNNNNNNNNNNNNNNNNNNNNNNNNNNNNNNNNNNNNNNNNNNNNNNNNNNNNNNNNNNNNNNNNNNNNNNNNNNNNNNNNNNNNNNNNNNNNNNNNNNNNNNNNNNNNNNNNNNNNNNNNNNNNNNNNNNNNNNNNNNNNNNNNNNNNNNNNNNNNNNNNNNNNNNNNNNNNNNNNNNNNNNNNNNNNNNNNNNNNNNNNNNNNNNNNNNNNNNNNNNNNNNNNNNNNNNNNNNNNNNNNNNNNNNNNNNNNNNNNNNNNNNNNNNNNNNNNNNNNNNNNNNNNNNNNNNNNNNNNNNNNNNNNNNNNNNNNNNNNNNNNNNNNNNNNNNNNNNNNNNNNNNNNNNNNNNNNNNNNNNNNNNNNNAUCCAACGCAACAAUUACUUCAUUAAUUCCAAAUGCCAAAAUAAAUAUUUAUGAGCUCCUAAAAAUAUUGGUUUGAAUUUUACCUCUGACCAAUAUUUUCAAAGAGAAACAUGAACAUUUUCUUGGACCUUUUUGGAGAAAUUUUUAUCGGGGUCAUUUCCAGAAAUGAUUUCUGAGGGUUUCACAAAUCCCCGAUUCAAAUUUAAAUGGAAUUUAAACAUGAUGCACACAUGACUAGCUAGUCUUGACCAUACCAAAACUAGGGAUGUAACAAUAUUACCAUGUCUUCUCCUUUGAAUAAAUGUUUGCAGAUUCCAGCUUAGUCCAAUGCACGUGCAUUAUUAUUGUCCACACUAUUCGGUUGUGCAAGUGAAAGGUAAUAAUGAUGAUAGUUGAUGAAAUGAUUGAGAUGAGGAAAAGCUGGUAUGAAGUCAACCUAUUUUGUUUUUGUAAAUAUGGUUAGUUCAUCGUUCUUGAUUCAUCCCAUUAUGAAUGAAACAUGUUUGCAAUGACAAUUAGAGAUUAUAGUUACUCAUGCCAUGCUUAAUUAGCUAGGAUUUUGUAAUGGUUUACCUUGUGUGCCAACAUGCUUUUAAAAUGGGUGUGAUGUAGUAUGAUAGGAUGGUAUCCUCCUUUGAAGGAUUCAAGUGGCUUGACUUGGCACAUGUUCACACAUGUAGUUGAAACAAAAUCAACAUAGGCUUCACGAUAUUUAUGUUCAUGGUGAUUUAUAUCCUACUCAUGCUUGCACUCAAUGUUGGUUAAUCUCAAUGCAUGUUUAUGACUGUUGUCGCUCUCUAGUUGGUCGCUCCUCAAUCUUCUGCUAGCCUUCUCUUGUACUAAGUGGGAAUACUGCUUGUGCAUCCACUUCCAUAAACCCAAAGUUGUUCCAUAUGAGUCCACCAUACCUACCUAUAUGCGGUAUUUACCUGCCGUUCCAAGUAAAUUUGCAUGUUCCAAACUCUAAACCUUCAAAUAAUAAUCUGUUUUGUAUGCCCGAAUCGCUCAUGUAGCGACUGGAGGCUAUCAGUAUCUUCCAUGCUUGGUGGGUUAUUCUCACGAUGAGUGUUGAUUCACUUGUCAUUCAUGAGAAGUGGCUGGUGUUCGAGAUGCCCAGUUCCAUGCUCAGAUCAAAUCAAAAUAUAAUUUCAAACAAAACUCCCCAGGACUGUUGUUGGUAUGGACGGUACCCGUUGUUUCGGACCACCUGUGGAAUGUGCUUGUUGGUGGAGGAGGGUAAAAACUUUACCAUUCUGUUUGGGAACCGCCUAUAAUGUAUCUAGCAUGGAAGAUACUGAGAUCUCUUGGUUGUUAUGUUGACAAUGAAAGCAUACUGCUCAAAAUAAUAUUCAUCUCUGUUUUAAAAAGCUCGAGCUCUGGCACCUCUGCAAAUCCCUGCUUCCCUCUGAGAAGGGCCUAUCUAUUUACUUUUAUUGUUGAGUCAUCAUCCUCUUAUAAAAAGCACCAGUUAGAGAGCACCACUGUCAUCUGUAUGCGUUGUUAUUAAUUGAUAUUAAGUAUGACUAUGACCGGAUCUCUUUUACCAUGAAUUACAAUGUCUAGUCAGUCCUUGAUCUUUAAGGGUGAUGUGCAUUUAUGUUUUGCGGUCUCAGAAAGGGCUAGCGAGAUACCAUUUUGUUAUAUCAUAUCAUGAUUAUUUUGAAAACGUGUUGUGACCCGAGAUUUAUUAUUAUUGCUCACUAGUUGAUUAUGCCAUUGAUAUGAGUAAAUGUGAGACCAAAAUGUUAUUAUGAAUAUGGUUAGUUUAUAAUCUUUGCUGAAAACCUAAAUGCUGGCUAUACAUAUUUGCAACAACAAGAUCAAACAGAGUUUAUAAAAGUUUUUCUUUAUCACUUUCAGUUUGUCAACUGAAUUGCUUAAGGACAAGCAAUGGUUUAAGCUUGGGAGAGUUGAUAUGUCUCCAUCGUAUCUACUUUUCCAAACUCUUUUCCCUUGUUUUGGACUCUAAUUUGCAUGAUUUGAAUGGAACUAACCCGGACUGACGCUGUUUUCAGCAGAAUUGCCAUGGUAUUAUUUUUGUGUAGAAAUAAAAGUUCUCGGAUUGACCUGAAAAUUUACGGAGAAUAUUUUUGGAAUAAAUAAAAAAUAUUGGCGAAAGAAUCAACCAGAGGGGACCCACCAGCUGACCACAAGGGUGGAGGGCGUGCCCUACCCCCUGGGCGCGCCCCUGGCUUGUGGGUCCCCUGGACCUCCUCCGACCCUAACUCCAACUAUAUAUAUUCACGUUCGGGGAGAGAAAAAUCAGAAAAAAGGAUUCAUCGUGUCGCCUUUACCUCUUGUUCUUCAUCGGGAGGGCAGAUCUAGAGUCUGUUCGAGGCUCCAGAGAGGGGGACUCGUCGCCAUCAUCAUCACCAACCUUCCUCCAUCACUAAUUUCAUGAUGCUCACCGCCAUGCGUGAGUAAUUCCAUCAACGCUUGCUGGAGUGAUGGGUUGUAUGAGAUUUAUCAUGUAAUCGGGUUAGUUUUGUUAGGGUUUGAUCCAUAGUAUCCACUAUGUUUUGAUUUUGAUGUUGCUAUGACUUUGCUAUGCUUAAUGGUUGUCACUAGGGCCCGAGUGCCAUGAUUUCAGAUCUGAACCUAUUAUGUUUUCAUGAAUAUAUUUGUGUUCUUGAUCCUAUCUUGCAAGUUGUAGAUAUCUAUUACGAGUUAUGAUAUGCAUACCCCAAGGUGACAAUAAUUGGGAUUCUUUCCGGUGAUUAACGUAGUUUGAGGAGUUCAUGUAUUCACUAAGUGCUAAUGCUUUGGUCCGGUUCUUUAUUAAAAGGAGGCCUUAAUAUCCCUUAGUUUCCAUUAGGACCCCACUGCCACGGGAGGGUAGGACAAAAGAUGGCAUCCAAGUUCUUUUCCAUAAGCACGUAUGACUAUAUUUUGAAUACAUGCCUACACUAUAUUGAUAAAUUGGAGCUAAUUCUGUGUCACCCUAGGUUAUAACUGUUGUAUGAUGAAUGCCAUCCGACAUAAUUAUCCAUCAUUGAUGCAUUGCCUAUGAGCUUUUCACAUAUUGAUCUUUGCUAUGUUACUUUGCAGUUGCCACUAUUACAAUUGCUACAAAACUACUACUACUACUACUUUUGCCACUAUUACUAUUACUUCCAUACUAAAUUUGCUACUAAAUACUUUGUUGCAGAUAUUAAGUCUUUCAGGUGUGGUUGAAUUGACAACUCAGCUGCUAAUACUUGCGAAUAUUCUUUGGCUCCCCUUGUGUUGAACUAAUAAAUUUGGGUUGAAUACUCUACCCCUGAAAACUGUUGAUAUCUCGUAUACUUAUGGGUUAUCAGAUAGCACCACCUAUCAGAACCACGCCAAAAAUCUAUGUGUCAUCAUUGCGUUUGCACUCUCCAAACCCUUCCCUUUACCUUCAAAUGCAAUGGUUACUUUCCGCUGCUACACUCUUAGAAUUGCAUGUGUAGGUUGAUUGAUUGACUUGUGUUAAUUGCUAAAAUCUGCCCACAACUAAAAUUGGGAAAAUGUUAGAUUUUUAUUGGGUCAAGUAGUCUAAUCACCCCCCUCUAGACCUACUUUCGAUCCUACAAGGUGCGAUGCGAACACGACAUGUGUGCUUUAGGUGUGCCGUCUUUUCCUUUUAAACUUGCAAAGUGUAACAUUUUCUACUCUUUCCUUUCGCUUGUUCCUGCGAUCGAUCGAUAGAAAUCCAGAACAAAAUGACGAGGGCAGGGCUUUCCCGCGUGUUAGGCGGACUAGUUUGGCCUAGUGGGUUUGAGUGAUAUGACGUGUUACAGUGCCCUCUAGUCUUCACGCGUGGUAGCAGUAUUGCUGGUAUAGUAAGUUUUCUUGAAGAAGCGGAUUCAACGAAGUCAUGAUGAUUCCUUCAUCCGAGCAACUUACGAUGGAAAAGUCGGGCCUGUGAUUUGAUGGCUCAAUAGUCAUUAUUACUGCGGCGCUACGAUCCAGCUGAGUCUCUCCUCCAGUUCUAUGAAGCACUCUAAUUUUGGUGCAUGGCAAGUGGACCAGGAUGGUCGACGUCCCACAUGUCGCUGAAUGAAAGUAGUCUUUCCGAUAUUGAGGACGAGUAAGGAAAUCAGGCGAUAUAAUGUCAGUGCUUUUUUAUACUAUUCAUUUUUUUAUUUUUGAUGAAAGCUAUUGUCUCCACUCUUACGACGGAGGAGUGUGAAACAAGGUAACCUAGUAAAUUUGGCAUGUGCACUACUCCCCCUGUCCAUGAAAGACUAUCAUAUAGAGAUUUACACAUUGACCAAGAGGAACCAGACCUUCAUGGCAUAAUUAAUGCCCAAAAGUAGCACACUUAUGUGUGCAUGCGAGCAUUGAGAGAAGAAGAUUAAAUGAAGGUUGUUGCAUGCUGUAAUUAAGGAUAAAGAUGCAACAUAUACUACCUCUGACUUGGUUUAUUGGUCCCCUUCGCAUUUGAUGCCAAAUUUUGACCAUAGAUUUAACUAACAAAAUGUUAGUGCAUGCCACAAAAAAUUAUAUCAUCGAAUUCUUAUUUGAACAUAGUUUUCAAUGAUAUUACUUUUUGGGACAUGCAUUAACAUUUUAUUAGUUAAAUCUAAAGUCAAAGUUUAACACAAAAUAUAAAGAGGACCAAUAAACAAGGACGAAUGUAAUAGCUAGAGCACAAGUUGCUGCAUUAGUCAAUCAAUACCGAUUAGAUUAAAGGCUAGGUACAUUUAAAGUGUAGAUGCACAUUCUUUGUUAGAAAAAUUUCUAAGGCUAGAUAUACAGUUUUUCACGUGUGGGUGUGCUUCUUGUACCAUUAACACUAUUGGAGCCGCUGCAGAGCAUCAACCCUACUGUACUGCACAAUUGGGCUGGUCCAAUUAGGCUGUGCGCCAGGAAGGAAAAACUGGUGCUACAGGCGCCCAUUAGGAGGUCACUGAUACGUCUCUGUCGUAUCUAUAAUUUUUGAUUGUUUCAUGCCAAUAUUAUUCAACUUUCAUAUACUUUUGGCAAAUUUUUAUACUAUUUUUGGGACUAACAUAUUGAUCCAGUGCCCAGUGUCAGUUCCUGUUUGUUGCAUGUUUUAUGUUUCUCAGAAACCCCAUAUCAAGAGAAGUCCAAACGGGAUAAAAAUGGACGGAGAAUAUUUUUUGAAUAUUUAUGAUUUUGGGGAAGAAGGAUCAACACGAGACGGUGCCUGAGGGGGCCAUGAGGCAAGGGGCGCGCCCCUGACCCUCGUGGGCACCCUGUAAGGUGGUUAAUGCUUUUCUUUUGCCGCAAAAAUCUAAUUUUCAGAGAAAAAUCUUGGUGAAGGUUUCAAUCCAAUCGGAGUUACGGAUCUCCAGAUAUAUAAGAAACGGUGAAAGGGCAGAAUCUAGUAACGUAGAAACAGAGAGAGACAGAGAGACAGAUCCAAUCUCGGAGGGGCUCUCGCCCCUCCCACGCCAUGGAGACCAUGGACCAGAGGGGAAACCCUCCUCCCAUCUAGGGAGAAAGUCAAGGAAGAAUAAAAAGAAGGGGGGCUCUCUCCCCCUCGCUUUCGGUGGCGCCGGAACGCCGCCGGGGGCCAUCAUCAUCACAUCAAUCUACACCAACACCGCCGUCAUCUUCACCACCAUCUCCGUCACCUUCCCCAUCUAUAUUAAGUGGUCCACUCUCCCGCAACCCACUGUACCCUCUACUUGAACAUGGUGCUUUAUGCUUCAUAUUAUUAUCCAAUGAUGUGUUGCCAUCCUAUGAUGUCUCAGUAGAUUUUUGUUGUCCUAUCGGUAAUUGGUGAAUUGCUAUGAUUGGUUUAAUUUGCUUAUGGUUAUGUUUCUGUCCUAUGGUGCUCUCCAUGUCGCGCAAGCGUGAGGGAUCCCUGCUCUAGGGUUUGCAAUAUGUUUAUGGUUUGCUUAUUGUCUGUGUUGCGUGAGUGACUGAAACACAAACACGGAUAAGUGGGUCAUGGCGUAUGGGAAUAAAGAGGACUUUAUACUUUAAUGCUACGGUUGGGUUUUACCUUAAUUAUCUUUAGUAGUUUCGGAUGCUUGCUAGAGUUCCAAUCAUAAGUGCAUAUGAUCCAAGAAGAGAAAGUAUGUUAGCUUAUGCCUCUCCCACAUAAAACUUGCUAUCGGUCUAGUAAACUAGUCAAUUGCUUAGGGACAAUUUCACAACUCCUACCACCACUUUCCCACACUCACUAUAUUUACUUUAUUCCUUCUUUAUCUAAACAGCCCCUACUUUUUAUUUACGUGCGUUUUAUUAUCUUGCAAUUCUAUCCAACAACAUCUACAAAAUCCUUCUAGUUUCAUACUUGUUUUAGGUAAAGCGAACAUUAAGCAUGCGUAGUGUUGUAUCGGCGGUCGAUAGAACUUGAGGGAAUAUUUGUUCUACCUUUAGCUCCUCGUUGGGUUCGACACUCUUACUUAUCGAAAGAGGCUACAAUUGAUCCCAUAUACUUGUGGGUUAUCAAGACCUUUUUCUGGCGCCGUUGCCGGGGAGUCGCGUGGGGUGAAUAUUCUCGUGUGUGCUUGUUUGCUUAUCACUAAGUAAUUUUAUUUGCUGUUCUUAGUUGUUUUAUAUCUUUAAUUAUGGGUAGGAAACACAAAAUACCAAACACAUUAGUUGUACCUACUACACCAAUGGUUGAAGAACCACUCAAAAUAUGUCACACUCCUGAAGCUUUUUACUUGGAUCAUCUUCGAUCCCUAUGUGCUCGUGUUGAAACCCCAACUAGCUUAGUUGAGGGCAAAUCUUUAGAUGAGCAUGCUUGUUAUGUGCAACACCGCAUAUCUGGAAAAGGGAAACUUUUACUGGAUCAAUUUCAUCGUUUGCAAUGCUAUGCUUGGAAUUUAUGUGAAAUAUAUGAUUUUACUUGUUGUUCUGAAAACCCUAAGAAACACAUUCCCUAUCAAUGUGAGUUUAGUGAUAAUGGAAUCGUAUCUUCGUAUGCUAAGGGUAUUUACAAUUACUAUGAUGUUCAACAAAUUGAAGAAUUUGUUGCUUUUAAGGGAGCUUAUGAAAUUGCUUGUUUGAUUGAAAAGUAUGAUGCUACUCUUUACAAAUCUGAAAUUUUUUGCCAUACUUAAAUAUUGUUAUGAUAAUUAUGCUUCUAAUGCCUAUGUUAAACCAUAUAUUGAGGACUCCUCCGCUGUCCAAGAAGAUACUAAUAUUUUGUAGGAGUCUAUGGAAGAAGAAAUUGAUGAAACUAUGAGCUCAUUGGAUGAAAAAGAUGAUGGGGAGAGCAAAGAACAAAAGGAGGAAGAGCGGAUUAGCUACCCGUGCCCACCUUCUAAUGAGAGUAACUCUUGAACUCAUACAUUGUUUAAUUUCCCUUCAUGCUUACCGAAGGAUGAAUGUUAUGAUGAUUGUUAUGAUCCCGUUGAUUCUUUUGAAAUAUCCCUUUUUGAUGAUGCUUGCUAUGCUUGUGGCCAAGAUGCCAAUAUGAAUUAUGCCUAUGGAGAUGAAUUUGCUAUAGUUCCUUAUGUUAAACAUGAAAUUGUUGCUAUUGCACCCACGCAUGAUAGUCCUAUUAUCUUUUUGAAUUCUCCCGACUAUACUAUAUCGGAGAAGUUUGCCCUUAUUAAGGAUUAUAUUGAUGGGUUGCAUUUUACUACUACACAUGAUGAUUUUGAUAGAUAUAAUAUGCAUGUGCUUGCUGCUCCUACUUGCAAUAAUGAGAGAGGAACUAUAUCUCCACCUCUCUAUGUUUCCCAUACGAUGAAAUUGCAAGAAACUGCUUAUACUAUGCAUUGGCCUUUACUAUGUGUGCAUCAAUUGUUCUUUUAUGACAUGCCGAUGCAUAGGCAGAGAGUUAGACUUCGUCAUUGCUUGAUAUAUGUUACUUUGUGCUCACUACUAAAUCACAAAUCAUUGUUAAUUAAAAUUGGCUUUGAUAUACCUUGGGAUCCGGGUGGAUCUAUUACUUGAGCACUAUAUGCCUAGCUUAAUGGCUUUAAAGAAAGCGCUGCGAGGGAGACAACCAGGAAGUUUUAGAGAGUCAUUUAUUUCUGUUGAGUGCUUUCAUAAAGUUUAAAAACAAAAAUAAUGAAGAGGGGAACCCAAAACUAUUCAAAAAGGAAAGUGAAAGUGAGAAAGACAAGCAUUGUUGAAGUGGGGGAGCUCCUUGAACUUUGUUCAUGCUCACGGAAACUUUGUGAAUCUUAAUUACAGAAACUUUUCAUCAAAAAUAAUUAUCCCCUUGUACAAUUCCAUUGUAUUAUAAAAAUAAUGUGCCAAGGUUUGCCUUUAGGAUGUUUACAAUGCUUGUUGGAUUGUGCGGUGUAGGACAGAAACUUUGGUUGUAGUGCGCGAUUUUACAUUUUUUCCUGAAAUGUAAAACGGUUCUGAUUCAUUUUUCAUUGUCAUUCUAUACAAUUUUUUUAUUUUUUCCUAAUUUCGGCAGAAUUUUGGGGUACCAUAAGUAUGGUGAAUGUUCAGAUUGCUACAGACUGUUCUGUUUUUGACAGAUUUUAUUUUUGAUGCAUAGUUUGCUUGUUUUGAUGAAACUAUCAAUUUCUAUCAGUGGAUUAAGCCAUGGAAAAGUUAUAUUACAGUAGACACAAUGCAAAAAUAAAAUAUGAAUUGGUUUGCAACAGUACUUAGAGUAGUAAUUUGCUUUAUUAUACUAACGGAUCUUACCGAGUUUGUUGUUGAAGUUUUGUGUGGAUGAAGUGUUCGAAGAUCGAGGAGGUCUCGAUAUGAGGAAAAGGAGGAGAGGCAAGAGCUCAAGCUUGGGGAUGCCCAAGGCACCCCAAGUAAAUAUUCAAGGAGACUCAAGCGUCUAAGCUUGGGGAUGCCCCGGAAGGCAUCCCCUCUUUCUUCAACAAGUAUCGGUAUGUUUUCGGAUUCAUUUCAUUCAUGUGAUAUGUGCAAAUCUGGAGUGCCUUUUGCAUGUAGUUUUCAAUUUUCUUUUAUGCACCAUGCUGGUAUGAGAUAGUCCUUGGUUGACUUAUAGAAUGCUCAUUGCACUUCACUUCAAUCUUUUGAGUAUGGCUUUAUAGAAUGCUUCAUGUGCUUCACUUAUAUCAUUUGAAGUUUGGAUUGCCUGUUUCUCUUCACAUAAAAAACUGCCAUUUGUAGAAUGCUCUUUUGCUUCACUUAUAUUUGUUAGAGCGUGGGCAUAUCUUUUGUAGAAAGAAUUAAACUCUCUUGCUUUACUUAUAUUUAUUUAGAGAGAUGAUAGGAAUUGGUCAUUAACAUGGUUAGUCAUAAAAUCCUACAUAAAACUUGUAGAUCACUGAAUAUGAUAUGUUUGAUUCCUUGCAAUAGUUUUGCAAUAUAGAGAUGAUAAUAUGUGGGAGGUUCUAGUAAAUGGUUGUGUUUAGUAAGGAUAUUGGUAUUAAGGUCUGUGAUUCCCGAAGCAUGCACGUAUGGUCUCCUAACUAUGUAACCAAAUUGGCAUGCAUUGUAUUUUGAUUGUUUAUCUUUGCGUGAAGGUUGAAAAAGUUGAAGCGCGUUAAAAAGAUGAACCAAUUGCUUGACUGGCACCAGGAUAGGCAUGAGGGGUACCUUGUGUUAAGAAAAGGGAACAUAAAAGACUAUAUGAUUUUGUAGGGAUAGCGUUCUGUAAGCAUUGAUAUUUUGAAAGGCAUGAUUGUUUGUUGGGAUGCCUGACUAUUAUUGUUUUUAUGUCAAAUGAUAGACUAUUCCUUUGAAUCACUCGUGUCUUAAUAUUCAUGCCAUGAUUAGAUUACAUGAUCAAGAUUAUGCUAGGUAGCAUUCCACAUCAAAAAUUAUCUUUUUUUAUCAUUUACCUACUCGGGGACGAGCAGGAAUUAAGCUUGGGGAUGCUGAUACGUCUUCGUCGUAUCUAUAAUUUUUGAUUGUUCCAUUCCAAUAUUAUUCAACUUUCAUAUAAUUUUGGCAACUUUUUAUACUAUUUUUGGGACUAACGUAUUGAUCCAGUGCCCAGUGCCAGUUCCUGUUUGUUGCAUGUUUUAUGUUUCGCAAAAACCCCAUAUCAAGCGAAGUCCAAACGGGAUAAAAACGGACGGAGAAUAUUUUUGGAAUAUUUAUGAUUUUUGGGAAGAAUAAUCAACGCGAUACGGUGCCCAAGGGGGCCACGAGGCAGGUGGUGCGCCCCAGGGGGUGGGCGCGCCCCUGACCCUCGCGGGCACCCCGUAAGGUGGUUGAUGAUUUUCUUUUGCCGCAAGAAAGCUAAUUUUCGGAGAAAAAUCUUGGAGAAGGUUUCAAUCCAAUCGGAGUUACGGAUCUCCGGAUAUAUAAGAAACGGUGAAAGGGCAGAAUCUGGUAACGCAGAAACAGAGAUAGACAGAGAGACAGAUCCAAUCUCGGAGGGGCUCUCGCCCCUCCCACAUCAUGGAGACCAUGGACCAGAGGGGAAACCCUUCUCCCAUCUAGGGAGAAGGUCAAGGAAGAAGAAGAAGAAGGGGGGGCUCUCCCCCUCGCUUCCGGUGGCGCUGGAACGCCGCCGGGGGCCAUCAUCAUCGCGAUCUACACCAACACCGCCGUCAUCUUCACCACCAUCUCCAUCACCUUCCCCCAUCUAUAUUCAGCGGUCCACUCUCCCGCAACCCGCUCUACCCUCUACUUGAACAUGGUGCUUUAUGCUUCAUAUUAUUAUCCAAUGAUGUGUUGCCAUCCUAUGAUGUAUGAGUAGAUUUUCGUUGUCCUAUCAGUAAUUGGUGAAUUGCUAUGAUUGGUUUAAUUUGCUUGUGGUUAUGUUGCUGUCCUAUGGUGCUCUCCGUGUUGCGCAAGCGUGAGGGAUCCCCGUUGUAGGGUUUGCAAUAUGUUUAUGGUUUGCUUAUUGUCUGCGUUGCCUGAGUGACUGAAACACAAACAAGGAUAAGUGGGUCAUGGCGUAUGGGAAUAAAGAGGACUUGAUACUUUAAUGCUAUGGUUGGGUUUUACCUUAAUGAUCUUUAGUAGUUGCAGAUGCUUGCUAGAGUUCCAAUCGUAAGUGCAUAUGAUCCAAGAAGAGAAAGUAUGUUAGCUUAUGCCUCUCCCACAUAAAACUUGCUAUCGGUCUAGUUAAGUAGUCAAUUGCUUAGUGUAGGAUCGAAAGUAUGUCUAGAGGGGGGUGAUUAGGCUACUUGACCAAAUAAAAGUUUAUCCUUUUCCGAAUUUUAGUUCUUGGCAGAUUUUAACAAAGAUAGACAAAUCAAGCAAUCUUAACACAAUUCAAGCAAGCAUGCAAAGAGUAUAUGAGCAGCGGAAAGUAAAGCAUGCAACUUGCAAGAAUGUAAAGGGAAGGGUUUGGAGAGUGUAAACGCAAUAGGAGACACGGAUGUUUUUGUCGUGGUUCCGAUAGGUGGUGCUAUCGUACAUCCACGUUGAUGGAGACUUCAACCCACAAAGGGUAACGGCUGCGCGAGUCCACGGAGGGCUCCACCCACGAAGGGUCCACAAAGAAGCAACCUUGUCUAUCCCACCAUGGUCGUCGCCCACGAAGGACUUGCCUCACUAGCGGUAGAUCUUCACGAAGUAGGCGAUCUCCUUGCCCGUACAAACUCCUUGGUUCAACUCCACAAUCUUGUCGGAGACUCCCAAGUGACACCUAGCCAAUCUAGGAGACACCACUCUCCAAGAACUAACAAAUGGUGUGUUGAUGAUGAACUCAUUGCUCUUGUGCUUCAAAUGAUAGUCUCCCCAACACUCAACUCUCUCUCACAGGAUUUGGAUUUGGUGGAAAGAAGGUUUGAGUGGAAAGCAACUUGGGGAAGGCUAGAGAUCAAGAUUCAUAUGGUAGGAUUGGAAUAUCUUGACCUCAACAUAAGUGUAGGUGGUUUUCUCUCAGAAAAUGUAAGUUGGAAGUGUAGAUUUGUUCUGAUGGCUCUCUCCAAGAAUGAAGAGGAGGUGGAGGGGUAUAUAUAGCCUCCACACAAAUUCUAACCAUUACACACAACUUACCAAUCUCGGUGGGACCGAAUUGAGAAACUCGGUCAGACCGAUUCAGUAAAUCUAGUGACCAUUAGGAUUUUCGGUGGGACCGACAUGCAACUCGGUAGGAUCGAUAUGGUUACAGAUCGCUCAUCUCGGUGGGACCGAAAUGUUAUGAAGGGAAAAAGAGAGAUUACAAUCCCAUCUCGGUGAGACCGAGAUCCCUAUCAGUGAGACCGAUUUUCCUAGGGUUUGUGGCAGUGGCUAUGACAUCUGAACUCGGGGGCGCCGGAUAGAAAGAAUCGGUGGGGCCGAGUUUGACUUUUGGUUUAGGUCAUAUGUGGAUGUGAGAAAGUAGUUGAGGGCUUUUGAGCAUAUCACUAAGCACUUUGAAGCAAGAACCUCAUUAAGCAACACCUCAUCCCUCCUUAAUAGUAUUGGCUUUUCCUAUAGACUCAAUGUGAUCUUGGAUCACUAAAAUAUAAAAUGUAGAGUCUUGAGCGUGGAGCUUGAGCCAAUCCUUUUGUCCUUAGCACUUUGAGGGGUCCACUUUUCUCAUCCAUGCCAUGCCAAUCAUUGAGCUUUCCUGAAAUAUUUAUCUUGGAAUAGUAUUAGCUCAAUGAGCUAUAUGUUGUUAGGAAUUACCAAAACCACCUAGGGAUAGUUGCACUUUCAAUCUCCCCCUUUUUGGUAAUUGAUGACAACAUAUAGAUCAAAGCUUCGACAAAAUGAUAAUAAGAUUGAAAACAUUGUCGCUUUGAGAAGUAUGUGAAAAACAAGAGCUCCCCCUAAAUUUGUGCAUAGUUUAAGAUUUGCUUUGGACUGCAAAUGCACAAUGAAUUAGGAACAUGGGUUACUCUUCCAUGUCACAUACAUCUUGGUGGAGCGCUCAAAAUGAUAAUAAUUAAAUACAUGCACUCAUCACCAAGCAAAGUGAAUGAUCAUAUAGAGAUAAAAGGAUAAUGUCAUCCAACAAGCAUUAAGGAGCAUUGUAUAGGAUCAAACACAUGAUCAUCCAAGUAUCACACAAACGCAGAAUGUAUCUUAAACAAGCAAACAAAUAAAGUUCAACCACCAAAACAAGAGAGAACAAAAGCAACACUCUCUCUCGAAGCCUAUGAUCUAUACAUUUUCUCCCCCUUUGGCAACAAGUUACCAAAAAGUUCAUAAAAAAUGCAUAGUGCUAAAUCGACUCUCAGGCUUGGUCUUGAUGUGGUGGUGUAGAAAUGACUCCAAGGACGAAGGCAUCAGUUGAGGUUGAUGGAGCUGGUGGAGUGGCUAAUGGAGCUGGUGGCACUAAAGCUAUUCCUGGUGCAGAUGAAGUUGCUCUGGUGUCUGUCACUGGCACUGCAGCUGAUCUUUGACUUCUGGGCACUCUAGCAAAUGCAUCAGUGGUAGUCUUGCCCUUCCUCUCCUGCAUUUCAUCCUGAAGUUGCUCAACAACUGACUGUAUCUCAGUGACCUUCACAUCUAAGUCAUAGAACUUCUGCUCCAUGAUCCUCUCCAAGCUCUCCUGGUUUUGUGUCAGGGUGGCCAAACCCUUCUCAAUCCUUAGAGUGGAGGCAAUCAAGUAGCCAAGCUGAUCUUGCUUGCUCUUUAGGAAGUACUGAGAUGCCUCUUCAGCAGUUGGCAUCUUUGCAGCCUUUUCAGUCCUUGCCUUCUCCUUCUUUACUUGUGCUUGCACAGAAGAUGGUUCAUUUUCAUCCAUCACUACAGUGUUGUCCUCAAAGUCUGGGUAGAUAGGCAUGUGAUCCUUGUCCAAGAGAUAAGUGCCUAUGCCCAUCUUGGAGUUGGUGAGCUCCUGAAUCUGUGGGCAUACCCACAACUUCUCUUCUGGUCAGCAGCAGUCCUCUUGAUAGUCUCAACAAUUAAGCUCAUGACCUUGAACUUCUGAGGCACAUCAAAUAUGUGAAGCAAAUUAAUUGCAUGGCCUCUGAUCAUCUUGUGAUCACCUGACUUUGGCAAUAGAGUGUGCCUAAGGAUCCAGUUGAUUGUUGGCAAACCUGACAGAAGGUAAUGUACUGAUCCAAACUUGUGAGUCUCAACAGCAGCAUCUGUGAUCUCUCUAUACAUAUGUGCCAUGGAGUUGUGAUCCUUCUUCUUCUUGGCAUAGACAUCCAAGUCAUCCUCAUUUUCAUUAGGAGCAUUGAUCAACUCUGCCCACUCUUCAACAGUUGAUUGGUACCUAGUACCUUCAGACAUCCAGAUAAUCCUUCCAUCUGGGUAGAAGUGAGAUGUGAAGUAGAACUGCAUAAUAAGCUCAUCAUUCCACUUUGUGAGCUUCUGACCAACAAAGUCAUCUACCCCACAAGACUUGAAGCUGUCAAAGACUCUAGGAUAGUGUUCUUCAUUCUUCCUGAUGUACUCCCAGUCCACCCAUCUCAUAUCACAGACAAUUGGCUUCUUAUCAAGCAGCAUUGUCUCAUAGAAGUACUGUUGUUCCUUUGUAUGGAACCUGUAGUCCACAGCAGUCCUUCUUCUGACAACAUAGGGAUCUGUCAAUCUCCAUUGUCUGAGACCUGCAUCCUUCCUGAGCUUCAUAUCCUCAGCUACUGGGUGAGCAUCAUUGUGAUCUAGAAUUUUGGGCUUCAACUUCCUCAAGACAUGUGACUCAUCAUCUUCUUCUUCAGCAUCUUCAGGCACUGGGGCCUUGUUCUUCUCUGCAGCUGGUAUACUCCUGGUGUUCCUCUUGGGUGCAGUCUUGGGCUUGGGAGCAGCUUUGGGCUUUGAUGGAGCAGCCCCUGAUCUGAUUGCAUCUCCCAUAAGCUUUUGAGCUUUAGGUGCUGGUGCAGCAACCUCUUCCUCUUCUUCCAUCAUAGAGGGUUUUCCAACUACUCUGGCCAUAGUUUUCUUUGCUCUUUCUUUCCUUUUCUUUUCAGCCACUUCUGGCUCUUUGGGUUCAGAUCUCACAGACUCUUGAGUUGAUCCUCUGAGCUUCAGCAUAGGAGUCCUCUUGGCUGGAACUUUCCUGUUCAAGCCAUGCUUGGUGGCAGCAGUUGUGCCAUAUUCUUUCUUCAGCACCUUCCUGGAGGUGGCUUCAUCCUCUUCUGCCACAUAAUCCUCAUCUUCAGAAUCUGAGGUUCUCUUCUUUCUGGCCCUGGUGGCAGCUUUAGGCAAGUUGCUAGGAGUGCUCCUGCUGCCCUCAUCUGAGGUACUGGAGGGACUAGUGCCCUCACUCAAGUGAACUUGCUCUUCAUCUCCGUUCUGGCUGUCACUCUGAUCUGACAUAGUGCAAACUCUGAUAGUAGACCCCGUGAAUAGAUAUAGAUGAGAUAGAGGGGAUGAGCAUCACAAAGCAUAGAGGUUUUUGCAAAAGAAUGAAUUAAAAACUUAUUUUAGUUUUCCACAAAAAGCAUUUCGAUCUACCGAUUUGUAAACUCGGUGAGACCGGAGCAGCUUUUGGAACCUAAACUAGUGAACUCGGUCAGACCAAGUCACGGUUUAGUGGCACCGAGACUGCUAGGGUUUCACAAAGUCCUGAACUCGGUCAUACCGAUUUGCAAUUCUCGGUCAGACCGAGAAUCACAUGUGCAAUGGCCUAAGCCAAAUCGGUGGAACCGAUUUCUACAACUCGGUCGGUCCGAGAUGAUUUUGGCGGAAACCUAACCCUAAAUUCUUAAUCGAAACUAAUCUAUUUCGCUGGAUAGGACGAUCUCAACUGUGGCAAGAUACAUGGAAAAACAAUGUGUUAGGAAUCGGAUAGAUAUAGCACAAGGAUCAAGUCCAUACCCUAAGUUCAGCGGUGGACUUGCUAUGGCGACAACGGCGGAGACGAUUUCCGUUGACGGUGGUGGAGACCAGCGGCGGGAGGCGGCUGGCGACGAGGAGGACGACCCAGAGACCCAGGGACGUGGAGCAGGCUGAGUGCGAGCAAAGUGAUUCGGAGAAAUUUCCAAAUUCUGGCCCGGGGGUAUAUAUAGCUUGACCCUGUCGGUGUGACCAAGUGGAACGACUCGGUGGCACCGAGAUGCAUAACUCCAAGCAGUUGCUGCAACUCGAUGUGACCGAAAAGUUCAAAUCGGUUGCACCGAGAUUGAAAACCUAGAUCAACUUAGUGAUCUCGGUAUGACCAAAAAGGAUGAAUCAGUCAGACCGAAACGCACAAAGAAGUUUUGGAAGUUUAAGUCUAUGACGAAUCGGGGACUCCGAGUGCUCCUCACACAGAGUGGUUCGAAUCUGACUUGAUCAAACUUUGUGAUGUAGCAUGAAUAGAGUUUGAGACAGGAAUAACAUAGAUAGCUAGAGAGGGUUCUUAGGCAUUCUUGUCCAUCCACUUGGUCAAAAGAAAAGAAGCCAAACAAGCAAAACUACAAGUGGAUGUCCUCGAAUGAGUAAAAUAUGCAAACAACAUGCUCACACAAUAAGAUGGCAGAUAAAAUAUGUGGCAAAGCAUGCACAACCAAUUCUGGCAUCUAUCAAGCAAUUGGCGAUGACUAGGUCAUCUAUAUAUGAGUAUAUUGACUUAGGAGUCAAAUGAGAACAUUUGAUCAUAGGUCAUACUCAUCGUUUAAGCUCAAGUGGGGUUGCCACUUUUACAUAAUGCAUUGAUGUGUUCACAUCGUUAGAGUUGCUUUAGCUCAAUUCUUAGAGUAAAGCUCCCCCUAGAUGUGAGAUCCCCCAGAGAGGGAUGAACUAACCUUGGGUUUUGUCAAAGCUGACUUCAUGUAGGUGUUGAAGAUGUGGAUGCUCUAUGUUGAUGUAGAUCUUUUGGAGCAAUCCUUUGGAGUGAGUUGCACUUUCAAUACCUACACAGGUUAGUCCCACAAGGAACAAACAAGGAUAUCCAUAGACAUAGAGUGAUGCACACACAAGAUGAUGUCCAUGAAAGCAUGGCAAUGUAAGUAGAUAAGAGUAAACGCUUGGCAAUGUAAGAAGAACUUUUCUUGCGAAGAUCAUCAUUGAUAGCUUUUAAAAACUCAUGUUCUUGCUCAAGGUUGAGCUUUUCAAAAUGUAAUUUCUCAUGAGUCCUUAAAAGUUCUUGAUGAUCUCCUAAGAUAGUUUCAUGAGCUAACUUAAGAGUGUUUAGUUCUUUAGUUAGAAGCUCAAUCUUCUCCUUAUCAUUGUCAUUCAUUUUAUCUUGAUUAGCAUGAUUAAUUGACGUUUCGUCAUAGUAUUCAUCACUAGAGUUGUCAACAAGUAAAUCAUCAUCACCUAACAAGUCAUCUUCAUCACUAUUAAAAUCAACAUACUCGGGGUGUAAUACCUUAGGGCCUUUAGCCAUGAAGCAUCUUCCAAGUCCUUCAUUUGGUGAAUCAAAUAUGUCGUAGGAGUUGGUUGACACAAGUGCUAGACCGGCAACACCUUCAUCUUGGGUAUGUUCUGAGUCGGAUUGAUAGCUUCUCUCGGAGUGAUAUUCGGAGUCGGAGCCGGAUACCCAUUCACCAACGUGAGCUUGAUGUCUUCGUUUUGUGUAGCUCUUUGAUGAUUUGUCCUUCCUUUCUGAAUCCUUGCUCCUCCGGGAUGUUCUUCGUUCAUAACAAUCAUCUCUCCUCCUCCUCUCUCUUGGUGGUGAUUCUUCUCUUCUACUUCUUCUUUUAGGUGACUCUUCUCUUCUCUUGUAUGGAGCCGUACACUCUUUGGAAUAGUGUCCAGGUCUUCCACAAUUGUAGCAAUUACGCUCUCGACUCGAAGAUCUUUUGUCAUUGUAGGACCUUGUCUUGGAACUUCUUUCCUUGCUUCUACUCUUGUAGAACUUGUUGAAGUUCUUCACCAUUAGGCUCAAUUCUUCAUUGAAGGCUUGUUUCUCACUUGAUGAUGUGCGAGCUUCACAUGAGGCUUUGUAAGCACCACUUGACUUGUUAUGGAGCUCUUCCUUAUCCUUGAGUGACAUCUCAUGAGCAACAAUUCUUCCAAUGACCUCCGUUGGCUUGAGAUUCUUGUAAUUGGGCAUCAUUUGGAUCAAUGUGCACACGGUAUCAUAUUUUCCAUCCAAGGCUCUUAAGGUUUUCUUGAUGAUGAAUUUGUUGGUCAUCUCUUCACUUCCUAAGCCGGCAAUCUCAUUUGUGAUGAGAGCAAGCCUAGAGUACAUUUCAGCGACGCCUUCACCAUCCUUCAUCUUGAACUUGUCAAGCUGACUUUGAAGCACAUCCAAUUUGGAUUCCUUGACGGAGUUGGUACCUUCGUGCAUGUCAAUCAAAGUGUCCCAAAUUUCCUUUGCAUUCUCAAGACGGCUGAUUUUGUUGAAUUCUUCGGGGCACAAUCCAUUGAAGAGGAUAUCACAAGCUUGAGCGUUGUAUUGCAGCAUCUUCAACUCUUCCGCGCUAGCUUCACGGUUCGAUUCUCUCCCAUCAAAGAAUUCAGCUUGCAAGCCAAUACACACAAUAGCCCAAACGGCGGGGUUAUGUCCAAGAAUAUGCAUUUUCAUCUUAUGCUUCCAACUAGCAAAAUUAGUACCAUCAAAGUAAGGACCCCUACAGUGAUAAUUUCCCUUGCUAGACGCCAUACUCUCCUAGGUUGUGAAACCAAGGCUAUGACCACCAAAAGCUAUGGAAAUCAAAGCAAAUGGAGACCAAAGCUCUGAUACCACUUGUAGGAUCGAAAGUAUGUCUAGAGGGGGGUGAUUAGACUACUUGACCAAGUAAAAGCUUAUCCUUUUCCCAAUUUUAGUUCUUGGCAGAUUUUAACAAAGAUAGACAAAUCAAGCAAUCUUAACACAAUUCAAGCAAGCAUGCAAAGAGUAUAUGAGCAGCGGAAAGUAAAGCAUGCAACUUGCAAGAAUGUAAAGGGAAGGGUUUGGAGAGUGCAAACGCAAUAGGAGACACGGAUGUUUUUGUCGUGGUUCCGAUAGGUGGUGCUAUUGUACAUCCAUGUUGAUGGAGACUUCAACCCACGAAGGGUAACGGCUGCGCGAGUCCAUGGAGGGCUCCACCCACGAAGGGUCCACGAAGAAGCAACCUUGUCUAUCCCACCAUGGCCGUCGCCCACGAAGGACUUGCCUCACUAGCGGUAGAUCUUCACGAAGUAGGCGAUCUCCUUGCCCGUACAAACUCCUUGGUUCAACUCCACAAUCUUGUCGGAGGCUCCCAAGUGACACCUAGCCAAUCUAGGAGACACCACUCUCCAAGAAGUAACAAAUGGUGUGUUGAUGAUGAACUCCUUGCUCUUGUGCUUCAAAUGAUAGUCUCCCCAACACUCAACUCUCUCUCACAUGAUUUGGAUUUGGUGGAAAGAAGGUUUGAGUGGAAAGCAACUUGGGGAAGGCUAGAGAUCAAGAUUCAUAUGGUAGGAUUGGAAUAUCUUGACCUCAACACAAGCGUAGGUGGUUCUCUCUCAGAAAAUGUAAGUUGGAAGUGUAGAUUUAUUCCGAUGGCUCUCUCCAAGAAUGAAGAGGAGGUGGAGGGGUAUAUAUAGCCUCCACACAAAUUCUAACCAUUACACACAACUUACCAAUCUCGAUGGGACCGAAUUGAGAAACUCGGUCAGACCAAUUCAGUAAAUCUAGUGACCGUUAGGAUUUUCGGUGGGACCGACAUGCAACUCGGUAGGACCGAUAUGGUUAGGGUUAGGGCAUAACGUAAUCUCGGUGAGACCGAUUUUGGUAAUAAGCUAACCAGAGAGUUGGUCAAGUAAACUCGGUGGGACCGAUUCGCUCAUCUCGGUGGGACCGAAACGUUACGAAAGGGAAACAGAGAGUUUACAUUGCAAUCUCGGUGGGACCGAUCGCUCAUCUCGGUGGGACCGAAACGUUACGAAGGGAAACAGAGAGAUUACAAUCCCAUCUCGGUGAGACCGAGAUCCCUAUCGGUGAGACCGAUUUUCCUAGGGUUUGUGGCAGUGGCUAUGAGAUCUGAAGUCGGUGGCGCCGGAAUAGAAAGAAUUGGUGGGGCCGCGUUUGACUUUUGGUUUAGGUCAUAUGUGGAUGUGAGAAAGUAGUUGAGGGCUUUUGAGUAUAUCACUAAGCACUUUGAAGCAAGAACCUCAUUAAGCAACACCUCAUCCCUCCUUAAUAGUAUUGGCUUUUCCUAUAGACUCAAUGUGAUCUUGGAUCACUAAAAUAUAAAAUGUAGAGUCUUGAGCUUGGAGCUUGAGCCAAUCCUUUUGUCGUUAGCAUUUUUAGGGGUCCACUUUUCUCAUCCAUGCCAUGCCAAUCAUUGAGCUUUCCUAAAAUAUUUAUCUUAGAAUAGUAUUAGCUCAAUGAGCUAUAUGUUGUUAGGAAUUACCAAAACCACCUAGGGAUAGUUGCACUUUCACUUAGGGACAAUUUCACAACUCCUACCACCACUUUUCCACACUCGCUAUAUUUACUUUAUUGCUUCUUUAUCUAAACAACCCCUACUUUUUAUUUACGAGCCUUUUAUUAUCUUGCAAUUCUAUCCAACAACAUCUACAAAAUCCUUCUAGUUUCAUACUUGUUUUAGGUAAAGCGAAUGAUAAGCAUGCGUAGAGUUGUAUUAGCGGUCGAUAGAACUUGAGGGGAUAUUUGUUCUACCUUUAGCUCCUCGUUGGGUUCAACACUCUUACUUAUUGAAAGAGGCUACAAUUGAUCCCUUAUACUUGUGGGUUAUUAGUCACCUAGUUUUUAGUCCGUCAAGAAUGACUCAUGGGCCAGUGGGAAGGCGCAAUCAGUGUCGAAACCCUAAGGGCCACCACGCACCAUCAUCUGCCGCUUCCACAUAGUCCACACCCCACCCACUCUCACUUUCUCCAUCCAAAUCCCCAAAACACUCUCCAACGCAUCUGCCGCCGCCGUCGUCGACCAUGGCCGGGCGGACACCACUAACCAACGCGGGGGCUGCGACGGAGGCUGACGCCUACGAGCCGUACGUGGCAUUGAAGCAGCUGCGCACUUACAUCUUCACCGAGCUCCUCCCCGCCUUCCCCGCCCUCGACAACAGGCGGCUCACCGCCCUCCUCUCCUCCGACGGUGUCGACCGCAUCAGCCUCCUCCCCGACGCGCUCCUACGCAACAUCGUCUCCCGCCUCCCCAUCACGGAUGCCGCGCGCACCGCCGUUAUCGCCUCGCGCUGGCGCCGGGUCUGGCUAUCUACCCCCUCACGCUAAUCGACGAAUACCUCCGCCCCAGCGGUAACCCGCCGAUCGUCACCGCCGCCGUGUCGCAAAUCCUUGAUGCGCACCCGAGACCCUUCCGCUUUGUCCACCGCGCCACAGCCACAUGGACGCGUGCCAGCCCCAGCUCGCGCGCUGGCUCGAGCUCCUUGCCACCAAGGGCGUCCAAGAGCUCGUCCUUGUGAAUCGCUCGUGGCCACUCAAGGUACCCCUCCCGGCCAUGCUCUUCAGCGUCACCACCCUCACCCGUCUCUACAUCGACAUCUAGAAAUUUCCGGACGUGGCCAGGUUACUGUGCGGCACCUCCUUCCCAUGUCUCCGUGAGCUCGGGGUCUGCACCAUCCUUAUGAAGGACGGAGACAUCGAGGCCCUCGUCGCUAGGAGCCCCGUCCUGGAGAUUCUGAACAUCCAAGGAAGAAACGCAGGGCUGCGCCUUCGGCUCGUCAGCCAGAUCCUCCGGUGCGUGGAAAUCUGUGGCUCUAUUAUAGAGGACAUUAUCGUGGUGAAGGCUCCAUGCCUUGACCGGCUCAUCGUGGAGCAUCCUAGGGACAGUGCUAGUGGUCUGUGUACCAGGGUCAAGAUUGGUGACUGCCCAAAAUUGCACGCAUUAAGGAAUUUUGAAGGCAGGAAAUCACAUCCUAGAGAUCCAAGGCACCGUCAUCGUGGUACAUUUCCUAUCUGAAGUCUAUCCAUUUGUUCAGUUAGCAAAAUGUUCAGUUGAUAGAGGUUCAUGAAUCAUGGCUAAAUGUGCGAUCUUUCUUUGUGGGUGCAUUCUAGGCUGGGAUAAAGCCAAGCCCGAGCACCAUGUUGAUGAACGUUAAGAUCCUGAGUUUGAAUGUGUGUUUCGGAGACCACGACGACAUUAAGAUGCUGACUACCUUUCUCAGAUGCUUUGUCAAUCUGGAGACGUUGCAUAUCAUGGUAUCCCCCCUUUCCUCCCUCUCUCAUUAAUGUUUUUGCUUACUUUGCACUCUAUACAUUACUAAAUCAUCAGUGGACAUGGUGCCAGCUAGUGCAAGUAGUUUUUCUAUGUGGUAAGGUGAUGGUAGUAUCAGCUAGUACAUAGUUACGAAUGUUUAACCUUGCCAUGGGUGAUCAAUUGUAGCUUAAGUAUUAGCCCUGGUAAUUUGUUCUCAGCCAUCGUGCCUUGUCUUCACACAUAAACAAGAGUACACUAUUAGGGUCUGUGUUGUGUGGCCAUCUGUUUUUAUGUUAUGAUGUUUCGUAAAAAAAACGUGUAGCAGCAGAUUUCAUCAUAUCGGGCAGUUAUAAUUGUGUGUUACAUGAAUGAUAAUACUAUAUUUAUGUUAUAGAACUAACUGCAUAUCAGACACUCCUCUAUGAUUCGUGAUUACAAGGUAGUUUUCAAGGUUUACAACUGGAACUUUGUCCUGAAGGACAUACCUCGCAAAUGUGCACGUGGUUAAGACCUCCAUUUUGGAUUGUGUGUGUGAUUUCGUAACCCAACGUGUUAAAGGGGUUGUCAAUCCCUUUCGGGGUACGACGCCUCAAGAUAGGCAAAGGACGUGAGAUAAAUUUGUAGAUGGGAUAAAUAUAUCACGGAACAAAUAAUUGCAGCAAGGUAUUUUUGUAUUUUUUUAGUUUAAUAGAUUUAAAAAUAAACACAAGGAAAAAGUAGACCGCAAGGCAAAUAUAUGAGAAAGAAGACCCGGGGGCCGUAGGUUUCACUAGUGGCUUCUCUCGAGAAAAAUAGCAAACGGUGGGUGAACAAAUUACUGUUGGGCAAUUGAUAGAACUUCAAAUAAUCAUGACGAUAUCCAGGCAAUGAUCAUUACAUAGGCAUCACGUCCAAGAUUAGUAGACCGACUCCUGCCUGCAUCUACUACUAUUACUACACACAUUGACCGAUAUCCAGCAUGCAUCUAGCGUAUUAAGUUCAUAGAAAAACGGAGUAAUGCAAUAAGAAUGAUGACAUGAUGUAGACAAGAUCCGUCUAUCUAUUGCGACAGAUAUGGAUCUCAUCUUUUUAUCCUUAGUAGCAACAAUACAUACGUGUCGGUUCCCUUCCUGACACUGGGAUCAAGCACCGUAAGAUCGAACCCACUAUCGGGCACCUCUUCCCAUUGGAAGAUAAAUAGAUCAAGUUGGCCAAACAAAACUCAAAUAUCGAAGAAGAAAUACGAGGCUAUAAGAGAUCACGCAUAUAAGAGAUCAAAGAACUCAAAUAACUUUCAUGGAUAUAAAAAGAUAUAACUGAUCAUAAACUCGAAGUUCAUCAGAUCCCAACAAACACACUGCCAAAAGACUUACAUCAUAUGGAUCUCCAAGAGAUCAAUGUAUUGAUAAUCAAGAGAGAGAGAGAGAGAGAGAGAGAGAGAGAGAGAGGAAGCCAUCUAGCUACUAACUAUGGACCCGAAGGUCUACAAAGAACUACUCACGCAUCAUCGGAGAGGCACCAAUGGAAGUGGUGAACCCCUCCGUGAUGGUGUCUAAAUUGGAUCUCGUGGUUCUGGACUCUGCGGCGGCUGGAUGAAUAUUUCGUCGACCCCCCUAGGGUUUCUGGAAUAUUGGGGUAUUUAUAGAGCAAAGAGACGGUCCAGGGGGCACCCGAGGUGGGCACAACCCACCUGGGCGCGCCUGGGCCUCCUGGCGCGCCCUGGUGGGUUGUCCCCUCCUCGGGACCCCCCCCAGGUGCAACCAGGGCCCGCUGUGUUCCUUCUAGCCAAUUAAAAAUCAUUGUAAAUUGGCGUGUCAUUUGGACCUCAUCUGAUAUUGAUUUCCUGCGAUGAAAAAACAUGCAGAAAACAGCAACUGGCACUUGGCAGUAUGUCAAUAGGUUAUUACAAAAAAUGAUAUAAAAUGACUAUAACAUGAUUAUAAAACAUCCAAGAUUGAUAAUAAAACAGCAUGUAAUAAUAAAAAAUUAUAGAUACGUUGGAGACGUAUCAGCCACUCUUUGGCACAUCUUCACAAGCCCAUUGCCACCACAACGGACGGCAAGCUUCAAGCCCUUGAUCUCGUCAUGAUGAUCCACUUGAACUUGCACACCGCAACCUAACCCCACAUAGAACUCUCAUGUAGAUCAUGGGUUAGUACACAAAGCGUAAUGGACAAUGCUUACCAUUCCAUGGGAUCACUUGACCCCACUCGGUACAUCUUCUAUGCUGCGUGUGUUGAUCAACUUGAUUCACUCUUUGACUUAGUCUUGAUCGACCUCACACAUGACCAAUAUACACUUGUAAGUUCUGAAAUAUCAUCAAGUCAACAAAAGAACCAAGACAAAGGGAAAAGAUGAAUUAGCUUGACAAAUCGCGGCUCAAUAAAGGAGAAAGAGAGACAUGCAUUGCAUGGAUUGUGAGCUGGUUAAUUUGGCUAUGUAGGCAUGCAAGCAUGAUGCUAUGAUUAUAAUUUGAAUGAUGAUUUGUGGGAUGGCUAUAAUUAAAUGCAAUGGAGAGGGAGGAGGUACAUGCCACACAUGGCCCGCAUGCUAUGAUUGUGAAGAUUGAGGACGGACCGCAUAUCAGUAUAACGAUGAAUUUCAGGGAUAAAAAAGAACGGAGGCUCUCUUGGGUAUUUAAAUUAAAGGAAGGCGCUGGAAAAUUAAAGGAAUGAGAUGUAUUAUGCGGGGCGGAUUCAUCUCCGGAGAAGAGAAUUGUACACGCUGCAAAUAGAAUGAUGAAUUUUAGGACACAUAUGACGCUAGAUUCAUGAGGUAUUAUUAAAUGGAAGGAUAGAUUUCAGGAUUAUGGACUACAAAAUAAUUUCUAGGUUCUUCGAUGUAGCUCUGAGAAUGCUUUUUAUACACUUACGAAUUUUAUAGAGCAAUUAGCACGUACGGCUGCAGGUGCAAUAUGUAAAAGAAUUUUUGAUCUAAAGAUAUGUUUGUUCACCCGAUGACUAGGAAUCAUGUCCCAUGCACAAACUAGCACCCCAAAAAUCCUUACUGUCAAUUCACCGUCAUUUCUUUCAUCAUCAAACUAUAAUACGGUUAACAUGGUUCAUGACAAUUGGCGUUAACUUUGCAACAAAGAACAUCAUUUUUUCUCCCGUUGCAACACGCAUGCAUAUGUGCUAGUGAAUUGUAAAACAUACUGACUCAACAAGUUUAACCAGAAAAAAAUGUUUUUUUCCAAGCUGGACACCAACAAGUUUUUAGGCAGUCAAGGCUGACUAAUGGGCCCGUGGGAAGGCAAUCAGUGUGGUAUUUGGCCCACGCUCUUGGCCCACCAAACUACGAAGGGAAGGAAACCCUAAGAGCCACCACGCACCACCAUCCGCCGCUUCCAGCCCCCGCCCCACCACACACCCCACUCUCACUGUCGCCAUCCAAAUCCCAAAAACACUCUCCGGCGCAUCUGCCACCGCCGUCGUCAACCAUGGCCGGGCGGACACCACUCACCAACGCGGGUGCCGCGACGGAGGCCGACGCGCACAAGCCGGACGUGGCCAUGGUGCAGCUGCGCACCUACAUCUGCACCGAGCUACUCCCCGCCUUCCCCGCCCUCAACNNNNNNNNNNNNNNNNNNNNNNNNNNNNNNNNNNNNNNNNNNNNNNNNNNNNNNNNNNNNNNNNNNNNNACGGAGACAUCGAGGCCCUGGUCGCUAGGAGCCCCGUCUUGGAGAUUCUGAACAUCCAAGGAAGCAACAAAGGGCUGCGCCUUCGCCUCGUCAGCCAGAGCCUCCGGUGCGUGCAAAUCUGUGGCUCUGUUGUAGAGGACAUUGCCGUGGUGAAGGCUCCAUGCCUUGACCGGCUCAUCGUGGAGCAUCCUAGGGACAGUGCCCGUGGUCUGUGUACCAGGGUCAGGAUUGGUGACUGCCCCAAGUUGCACGCAUUAGGAAUUUUGAAGGCAGGAAAUCACAUCCUAGAGAUCCAAGGCACCGUCAUCGUGGUACAUUUUCUAUCUGAAGUCUGUCUAUUUGUUCAGUUAGCAAAAUGUUCAGUUGAUAGAGGUUCAUGAAUCAUGACUAAAUGUGUGUCUUUCUUUGUGGGUGCAUUCUAGGCUGGGAUAAAGCCAAGCCCAAGCACCAUGGUGAUGAACGUCAAGAUCCUGAGUUUGAAUGUGUGUUUCGGAGACCACGAUAACAUUAAGAUGCUGACUGCCUUUCUCAGAUGCUUUCCCAAUCUGGAGACGCUGCAUAUCAUGGUAUCCCCCCUCCCUCUCCAAUUAAUGUUUUUGCUUACUUUGCACUCUAUACAAUACUAAAUCAUGAGUGGACACGGUGCCAGCUAGUGCAAGUAGUUUUUCUAUGUGGUAAGGUGAUGGUAGCAUCAGCUAGUACAUAGUUACGAAUGUUUGACCUUGCCAUGGGUGAUCAAUUGUAGCUUAAGUGUUAGCCCUUGUAAUUUGUUCUCAGCCAUCGUGUCUUGUCGAGUACACUAUUAGGGUCUGUGUUGUGUGGCCAUCUGUUUUUAUGUUAUGAUGUUUCGUAAAAAAAACUUGUAGCAGCAGAUUUCAUCAUAUCAGGCAGUUAUAAUUGUGUGUUACAUGAAUGAUAAUACUAUAUUGAUGUUACAGAACUAACUGCAUAUCAGACACUCCUCUGUGGUUAGUGAUUACAAGGUAGUUUUCAUGGUUUACAACUGGAACUUUGUCCUGAAGGACAUACCUCGCAAAUGUGCACAUGGUUAAGACCUCCAUUUUGGAUUGUGUGUGUGAUUUCGUAAAACCAUGGACCAUCUUUUAGUCUCAAUCAACGGCAGUAGUAGACUAAGAUCUUCAGCCAUACUGCGUAGCUGGGUGUUUUUUUUCUGCACUGCUAGGUUACUUUGUACUCCCUCCGUUCCAUAAUAUAAGAGCUUUUUUGACACUAGUGUAGUGUGAAAAACGCUCUUAUAUUAUGGGACGGAGUAAUGUAAAAAAUGCUCAUAUAUUAUGCAUAGUUAAAAAAGGCGGGCCUAGGCUCUAGGCGUUAGCAAAACGCCUAGCGCAUAACUGCGCUUAAUCUGAGCAUAAGCAUGCACUUUGAUCAGAAAAGCGCAAGGCGGUGGCAAAACGCACAAUUAAUGCCUAGCGCUUUUUUGAACUAUGAUAUUAUGGGACUGAGGGAGUAGUUUGUAAAACAUACAAUGUUUAAUGUUGUUUUCUACACAUGCAAUGUUUAGUUUUUAGUGGUGCUCAAAUAGCAAUGCAUGUAGUUUCUGAAUCUCAACUGUCAAAAAAAUCACUCAAAAUAAUGUACUUACUAAUAUUGUUCCCAUUUAUAAACUUUAAUUUUCAAAGAGCUAAUGGCAAGUACUGACAAUUUAUCUGAGCCAAUUUAUGUUUUGCUUGCGUUCGUACCAAGUUCCUCUACACAUAGCUGCAUGCCUGCAUGUAUUGUUUAAUCCAUCUCGCAGCAGAUUUUAUUGCUCGCAGAUUGUUUCCCGUUGAUUUGCAUAGAUCUAUCAACUCAAUUACCGUCAUAGCUCUUUCUGCUCUUUCUAAUUUUUUGUAUUGUCAGUUGUUAAUCUUGUAUGUAAGCUAGCAUUACUGCCUACUUUUGUGCUCAUUAUUGAACUUGAUCUUUGCAGUCCGCAAAAGGUGUCUAUCAAGCUGGCAAUGUCAGGCCCAAUCUCAGGUUCUGGGAGUCGGCCAAGCCCACCAAAAGUGUCGAGUUCUCCAUCAAGGUGAUAUCUUUCUGUGAAUUUCGAGGGGAGCUAGGUGAGGCUGCUUUCCUGAAGUUCUUCUUUCGUAGUGCGAGGGCUCUUGAGAGUGCAAUGAUUACAAUGCGCUCUGGAUCAUUUUCUACGGAUGAGCUAUCUUCUAGAGUGAAACAAGUGUCUCAAAAGAUGGUGAGUAAAUCAUGCAAAAUGAUUGUUCUUGGGAGUGAUGGCCCUGAAGGAGGCAGGCCUUGGAGCUUCAAAAGAGGAACCGAUUACUGCUUCAAGGACCCUUUCUCAGCUGUGGAAUGGGUCGGUUAAGCUUUAUAUUCAUAUUUGCCACUGCUUGCAGGGAAAGAAGGAAGAGCAGCUCAAGUCUUGUUGCUUUCACCAGUGUAGCUCUUUGUACGAUUGUUGUGGUUAAUUACCUUCAGCCCUGGGGGAUCUUUAUUGAUCUUGACUUAGCAUUUAUCUAUGUUAUAAGCAGUUAAUUAGCUGAUAAUCUUCUGUGCUUUCUAGUAUUAGAGUCGGAGUGUGGUGGUUUAAAUAUGGCAGAGUUGGAAGCUUGGUUGAACUUGUAAUGGUCGUAAGCUGUGGUCUAUUGUUACCUUCACUAUAUAUGUUGUAAUGGCUUCGACGUUUUCUGGCCGAGAUGAAGGACUGAAUCCUCUUGUUUUGUUUACCAUUUUUGCUGCUGAAUGAAGCCUG